rnacentral:lncRNA from 1 species
CAAGUUCAAACUGAAAACUACCACAAAGACCAAAUCAUUAUGCUUCAGGAUCAGUAAUCAGAGGUCAAAACCAUCAGGGAAGUCCAUCUUGCAAUAAAACCUCCAACAAUGCAAAUCAAUGAACAACCCAAAUAUAAUCAGCAUACUUAAAGUUUCUUCAAGGAAAGUCAGACCAUAGUGAAAUCUGGUAAUCAGUUGAAACAAGCAUGGAGUCCAGGUGUAAGUUUUUGUGGUUGAAGAAGAUUCCGAACGAAGAUCCCAAACAGCCAUCAGACGAACAUAAAUCGAAGAACUUAAUGUAUAUUCACUCAAAUCUGACGUCGCCAAGCACAGAUGAGGAAUCCAGUAAACCAAUGCGACCAAACAUGGGAAACUGACCUGCCUCGAGUCCCCUUCACCAUACGUUCACAACCCACAUGGAGCUUUACUUCCACACCAGAUCGAGAUCUAGUCCUGCAAGCCAAAUUGUAGAGGAGGCGACAACAGAUGAAAUCCAUGUACAGAGCAAAGGUUUGGGCCCAAACUCCUAAUAACAAUUAUAUCUUGCCAACCCACACACGCAUAAGAAGAAAACACAGGGAUCAAGAGUACAGAUAACAAGCAUGGAGAGCUAGUCAUUGGCAACAUGGCCUGGGCUAAAUAAAAAUCUGUAACCAUAGGAAGGGCAGGGGAAAAAACCUAUAUCAGAGAGAUGCCCAAGUAACUAAAUGAAAUUAGAAAAAAUAGGAUCGUAUGAGUCUUUUUCGGUUGGAGGAUGUGCCAUUAGUUGAAAGCUCUGGAUUAUCCUCAUAUUCGUGCUGCAUAUGAAUCUGUAUUUAAAAUAGUGUCUAGUAAGAUAAUCAAUAGGUUAUGUAAGUUACAAUGAAUUGAAACGAUACUAGUAGAUUUAGAAGAUCAGCAGACGGAUUCAUCAUCAAGCUGAACAUGAGUUCGUCAACUACAACCUGCAGCAAGCAAUAAAAAAAAAUUUAGGGGCAAAUGCUGCUUAUAAAUAGCUAAAGCACGGACGAAAAGAUGAGUGGGAACAAGCAGGUAUGGAUGAUGGAGGACAACAACGCCGGUUCCAAACUGCAGUUAUAUCCUUUCCAAGUCAGUAUCUGCAAGAGCUGAGAAUUACUAAGGCAAAGAAACCCUAAUGUCUAUAGAGUUCAAUUAUAGAGUAAAAAAGUUUUAGCCACGGAAGGAACCGCCACACCGAGGCAAAAUAGGACCGCCUUCUAAAAACAGAUAGUUUAAAUCAGAAAACUGUGAGAAACCAAAACAGAUCAGUGAAGACGAAAGAGUAAAACAGAGGGAGUGAUAAUUAUCCAAACACAGAGCAUCAAGAUGCGUCGCUCCUGCUAAGCCAUAGCCACCGACAUAUCCAAUUAUAUCCUGCACAUAGGCCCAGACUUCCUAAAUAUAUCCUGCAACUGAUACGUGCAGAAGACCAGCACAGGGAUCAAGAGUACAAACAACAAACGAUCCACACACACAGAGAGAGAGAGAUCGCAAACCAAACAAUUUUAACAGAUUCCGACUCACUACCAGCAUGGUUUGGGCUUAAUCUGCAACCAAAGGGAGGGUAGAAGGAAAAACCUAAAUCAAAGACAUGAACAAGUAACUACGUGAAACAAAAAUAGGAGGUGAGUUAAAACUGGAGGAGUCUUUUUCAUUGUAGGAUGUUCCAUUAGUUUGAAUCUCCAUUGUUGAACCUUGGCAGAUAAAUCUGAAUUCAAAAUAUUGUCUGGUAAGAUAAUUUUAAAGGCUGUCUAAGUUCUGAUGAAUUGAGAAAAUAAUAGAAUUAGAAGAACUGCAAACAGAUUCAAGUCAGCAUCAGGUUGGAAGAGUCAUCAACUACGACCUGCAACGAGGGAGAUACCUUUCUACAAGUUACAAGAGGAAAACUAGGCUCAGCUAAAGCAUGCAUCAAAUGUUGAGGUAAAGGGUAAGUAAGCCUGUCUCGGCCGGAGUCGGGUAGACAACACUGGUUCCAAUUAUUUCGCUCCCAAGUCAGCAUCUGCAAGAGCUGCGAAUUACCAACCAAGGCAAAGAAACUAACAUUUGGAAGUUCAAUUAUCAAGGGAGGAUAAAAGGUCAGAUAUGUUGGGCCACAGAAAGAACCUCCAUGCCGAGGAAAAAUAGGACCACCCGCUAAUCCAUAUAAUUCCAAUUUCUGGAGAACCAGCAAAUAUUCUAAAUCAGAAUUGUCGGGCAACUAAUUGAGCUACGGAGAAGAAAUUAAACAGAGAGAGUAAUGAUCAUUCAAGUGCAGGUCAGCAAGAAGAUAGGUCGCUCCCGCUAAGCCAUAUAAUCCCAAUUUCUGGACAACCAGCAACAAAUCCGAAUCAGAAUUGUCGGAGACUAAAAUUGAAUUGAGGAGAAGGAAUUAAAUAGAGGGGUUCGUAAUCAUUCAAAUGCAGAUCAGCAAGAAGAUAGGUUGCUCCUGCUAAACCUUACUAAGCCCAAUUUCUGAAAACAAAUAUAGAUCAGAACUGCCAAGACUAACUUGUACUGUGCAAACCAAAUAAAUUGAAUCGGGGCAGAAUUCAUUAUCCAAACGCUGAUAGCAAGUUCCAGGUUCCAAAGCUACAUUAUCCAACCAAUCAAAAUGAUGAACAGAAACCAAAUCUCCACCAAUUAACCUCAAUUUCUGGAAAACCACAAACGAAUACAGAUCAGAACUACCAAGGGCUAAAUUGUACUGUGCGAACCAAAUAAAUUGAAUUGGGACGGAAUAUAUAUUAUCCAAACGCAGAUCACAAGUUCCAGGUUGGUAAGAGAUCCAAAGCUUCAUUAUCCAAUCAAUCAAAGAACUACUACACUCCUGCAUCUGCUGCAAGCAAAGGAGCACAAACACACACCAACAGCGCGAUCAGCUGCUGCAAUAAGAAUCCAACAGGACCUCUAAUCCACCUCAUAUUAGCUGAUGAUGAAGAAACACGUGAUGAGAACCAGAAGACCACACGGGCGAUAGCCAUUCAAACCUGACCUGCUCAAAUCCCCUUCAACAUACAACACCACAGGAUCUCCACGUUCCAGAUCCAAUCCUGAAACCAAUGUGUGGAGGAACACAACUAAACCAAACAAACCGUUGAUAGAACACUGACCUGACUCACUGUACAGAGAUUUACCCAUAAGCCCAAACUUCCUAAAUAUGUCCUGCAGUGGACAGGAUAAGAGUACAGAUAACGAAUUGAACCGCUUUGAGAUAUAUUGCAAACCAACCGAUUUUAACAGAUUUCGACUCACUACCAAGUACCAACAUGCUCUGGGCUAAAAUAAAUCUGCAAUGCAAGCCUAAAUCAAAGGCAUGAACCAAGUAGUUUGGUGAAAUAAAAAUAAGAGGCAAGAGUUAUAAAUGGAGCAGAGUCUUUUUCUGUUGUAGGAUGUGCCAUUAGUUUGAAGCUCCAUUCUUGCACCUUUGCAGAUGAAUCUGAAUUCAAAAUAUUGCCUGGUGAGAGAUCUUAAAGGUUAUCCAAUUAAUAAUGAAUCGAAGGUUAUCCAAUUAAUAAUGAAUUGAUUAGAUUUAGAAAAAAUGCAAGCAGAUUCAACUCAGCAUCAGUAUAGACUUUGCGUUUGUCAAAACUGCAACUCGUCAAACCUGAAACGAGCAAGGUACUUCUCUGUAAAUUAGGGGGAAACUAAGCUCAGCUAAAGCAUGCUUCAAAUGAGGAGGAGGUAAAAGUUAUAAGAAAGUCUUGUCUGGGAAAGCCAGGUAGACAGCACCGGUUCCAUCCAAGAUGAUGUCUGCAAGAGCUGAGAAUUGACAAACUAAGGCAAAGAAAACUUGUCUGGUGUGUUUUAAUAAUUAUAUUAUUGAGUAAGAAAUAUUUUGAGCCACAGAAAAAGAACCGCCAUGCCAGGGAAAAUAGGACCACCCGUUCAGCCGUAUAAUUCCAAUUUUCUGGAGUAGGAGCAAGAAAUCGAAAUCAGAAUUCUGUGGAGGCUAAUUGAACUGUGGAGAAAAGAAAAUGAACAGAGAGGGGAUGAUCAUCCAAACACAGGUGAGGAAGAAUGACAAGUCGCUCCCAGUAAGCCGUACAAUCCCAAUUUCUGGACAAGCAUGAACAAAUCUAAUUCAGAACAGACUAAAAUUGAACCGUGUAGAUGAAGGGAUUAAGUAGAGGGGGGUAAUUAAUCAUCCAAACGCAGAUGUUGCCCCCGCUAUGCCGUGUAAUCCAAUUUAUAAUUUCUGGAGAAGCAAAGAAUUCAGAUCAGAAUUGCAUGCCGUUGACUACUGUGCAGACCAAGAAACUAAAGUUGGGAGGGUUCAGGUUGGUAAGAGAUCCUAGGCUUCAUCACCCGAGAAGAUCAGACCAUAUCAGGGUAACCGCUGGUCCGUAGCCAAUCAGAAUAACCUCUGAACCUUAACCAACCAUCAAUCAAUCAGAAUAACCAUGAAAAGAAACCAAACCUCCAGAUCUGAAGAACUAGCGCGCCCUCUGGAUUCCUCUGCAUCUAGGUUGAGAGCACAAGACAUACCAAAACCGAGAUCAGCCGGUACAAUUAUAAGAAUAUUAUACGAGGGCCUCGAAUUAAUCCACCUCGUACCAACGGAUGACACGGAGUAAACCAGAGCGGUCGGGGAACCAGAAGAUGACGCGGGCCAUAUCCAUUUGAAAUCUGGAAUCACGGAUGAGCGCAGAGGAAGCGGUGUGAACGAGCACGGGAAUCUGACCAACGCGCGCGGAUGCGAACACGAAUACGAGGAACACGGGAUCCACAGUUGUAAACAGAACCGUACACACGAAACAGAAUCUGAGAUAGACUCGCAAACCAAAUGAAUGAAUCCCCCGAUCGAUCGCUUCCCGGGAUCGCACGGAGGCGGAGGAGACGAGACGGGUCGAAUCCAAGGCAACGGCGACGGCGAGUGAAAUCAAAUCAAACGCGAUUCGGAACGAAUCGGGAAUUGGUGGAGGAGACGCGAGGACGCGAGGAGGCGACUCGGGCGAUCGAGGGCGGAGGCGCGGCCGGAACGAAAGCUCCAGAGGAGAAGAGAGGAGGCCGGAGCGCGGGGUGGAGGGGGCGCACCUGGGGCGCCUUUUCUAGCCGGCGCAGAGGCGGUGCGGGAGGCCUGGCGCCAACCGGUUCCUUACCGGACCGGACACGGCUUCGCCUCGCAAGGAAGGGAUUAAUCAGGCUUUCUGGUCACAGGUGGGCGGCGGAAAUCAAACGGGAGUGGACCUGGUGAGACCGGACUUGGUUUGGUUUGGUUCGGUUCGGGUGGGGCGGCUGGCGGGUCGGCAAAGCAUCGGGUUGGGACGUGGGCCGCACCGACGGAACGCGAAAUUUCUAGGCUGCUCGCUGCUCGGGGUUGCAGACGGGCCAUGUGAUGUGAGAUGCCGUGUGUGGCUGCCGUUGAUUGCUGACCGUGUCCGUGAGCGCGAGCCACGAUGAACGCGUGGAUGGAUGAGAACCUGGAACAGGCCGUGCGCUGGGGGAGGAUCGCUGCCCUGGUCUUAACGCUCGCGUCCACCACCUUGCUUGGAUGCCCGAAAUCACUAGUUAAGGCCCACUCCAGCGCUAGACCCCGUUUUAUCCGCCGAAGGCAGUUUGAAUAAAAACGGAUGCAUGCAACGACCUAGCGCGCAGAAGAAUACCCAUAUUUUAUCCGGUCCGUGUCCGUUCUGCCUCAUCUUCACACUAAACUUGAGCUGGAUUUGGGACCAAAGCGGACAGAAAACAAACAAGUCUGUGGCCUCCUCGUCCGCUCCUGUCCGGCCCGGGCUCAUUUGUCAACCUCUUUGCACCCUACCUAUCCCGCUUUUGUCUCUCUCCUCUCGCUCGUGCCCCCUCUUGCGCCUGGAUCCCUUUGCCUAACCGAUAACCAUCGCCGUCGGGGAGCGGCGGCGGGCGCAGUGGCGCGACGCCGAACUGGAAGGGGAAGACGCAGAUGGAGCGGCUGGUGGUGAGUGACGCGCCCACGCCCCGCGGCGACGGGAGCAGCGGAGGUGCGGCUAGGAGCGCAACAGCCGGAUGCCGGCGUGCAUGUGGACCGGCUCCCUCUUGGGCCGCCGCCCCGCCAGCGCAUGCGCGUGCAUGGACGACGACGCGGCCGCCACCCCGGCAAUGUUCGGCACCAUGGCACCAUGGCACGACGAGUAAUUGACAAAAAAUUACCACAUUUCACGUAAUCGUCCCACAGAACUACCACAUUUUGAAAACUGACCAAAAACUCAAGUUUAGCGCUGAUUUUGUGACAAAAACUACCAGAUCGAGUUGAUGACAUAUUGAAGUGUUUUAAACGGCUUUCUGACAUAUCCGGCCCACCGGCCAGGACGGAGGCCGCGCUAACGGCUAACGGCGCUCGCCUGCCACCCGUUAGCCGCGCGCGUCGGUCGGGCCCGGUCGGACCAGGACUAGCCUGGCCGACCGGCUAGCUCGUCGUCCUCCCACCUCACUCUCCCCCGAGCUCACUGUCCUAGCCCUAGCCGUCUUCGUUCACGGCGGCGGAUCCAAACUCUGGCGCCAAAUCGCUUGGAGGAGCGCCCCUCGAUGUGCUAGGCGGCGGGGAUGCCGUCUUCGUUGAGGUUGAUAACUGGCUAGGCAGCAGUAGCUUUGCGGUCGAAAACCAAUCACAACCUCAAUCUCAGCCGUCCCAAACGAUUGUGAGGCGGCCUGUAGCAACAACGUCGAAGAGAAGAAGCGCAGGUCGAGGCCGGUGCAAGCUUCCUUGUCCUGCUGGUGGCGCGAGGUAUGACAACAGAUCUAUAAUUGUUUUUCUGAAAUGAUUUGUUUUGUUAGGAAUCACGAUAUAUAGGCUAGUUGCAUAGUUAGAUUUACAUUAGAACCAUGUUUGAGCACAACGGGAAUUGAAAUCUGUUGGGAACAUUAACAUUUUGUUUUGCUGUGACUGAAUCCAACAUGUCAGAAAAUAGAAAAUUUGAACUGUCAAACACUAAAUAUUGUGCAGAACAUUUAAUUACAAAUUUUCCAAUUUGUGGUGCAGUAUUGAUGACCCAAAGUGAGAAAUUUGAUGACCCAAAGUGGGAAAUUUGAUGACCCAAAGUGGGAAAUUUCUUAGCCAGAGAAUCUGUGGUUAGAGGAAUUUACCAGUUAGACAUAUCAUUUUUGACUAUGGUUUCUCUUAUUCGGAGUGAGGGCUAUGGAGCUGAUGAUUAUAUGUACUAUGUUCUCAAUGAGGAGAAAGGAAUAGAAGGUAUGGAGCAUCUUGGUUCUGAACAUGAUGUGCAGCAGAUGUUGAUCCACUUUGAGAAGGAAAAGAGUGUGAACAUACGAGUUGUCAGGGCAGAUGAGCAAUGUAAUGCAGAUGAAAAUAGAGAUAGUUAUUUUGCUGAACAUUGCAUUAACACUCAACAAAGUUGCACAAAGUUGGUGGAUGCAAUCAGUGACAGAAAGGAUGAGCUUAAGCAAAGUAGUCUGCAGAUGAAAGCUGACUUUAACCAUUUUGAAGGUGACACUAAUGUGUCUGAAUUUCUUUCUAAUGAUGCGUAGUCAGGUUUAGAUGACAACAAUGUGCAAUUACAUCCAGGUUCCCCCUCUGAAGAAGAAGCUGCAGAAGUAGAUACAUCAGUGGUCAAGAAACUUAAGCCAGUCAGAAACCCCUGGUCCAACCAUUAGAUCCCACCAAGAGGUUGAGAAAGAGGUAAAACCAGACUGGUUUCCUAAAGCAGAUGAAUUUUGUUUUCCUGGUGAUGUUGGCAUUAGUGAUGAAGAAGAAGAGCCUGAAGGAGCUUUCAAACUAGCAAGUGGCAGGAAGAGAGUGUUGAAGAAGUCAAAGGAUAGAGUAUGGUUCAAUGAGAAGCUUCCAGAUCCACAUGAACAGUUUUGUAAGGGAUUGUGCUUCACCACUGUUUAUGAGUUCAGAGAUGCACUUAGGGAUUUUCACAUCAGGACUCUGAGGAAUUUCCAGUAUCACAGAAAUACCCCUAAUAGGAUUAUUGUUUGGUGCUCAGAGAGAGCCCAUGGAUGUGAUUUUCAUAUCAGUGCAUCUAAGAUAGCUCAUGAAAAAACGUAUGCAUCAAGAAGUGUGAUAUGUUGCAUAAUUGUGGAGCAUGUGUAGAGACCACAAAGGUUACUACAAAGUGGUUGUCCAAAUUAGUACAACCAGCAUUGAGAUAAGACAUUAGAUCUCCUAUGGAUGCAUUAAUAAAGAAGACUAAGACUAAAUUCUCAGUUGAUGUUUCAAGAAGUGUUGCAUAUUGUUGGGGAACAUAGUAAUUUCAAAAAAAAUCCUACGCACACGCAAGAUCAUGGUGAUGCAUAGCAACGAGAGGGGGAGUGUAUCUUCAUACCCUUGAAGAUCGCUAAGCAGAAGCGUUUAACAACGCGGUUGAUGUAGUCAUACACCUUCACGAUCCGUCCCGAUCAAGUACCGAACGUACGGCACCUCCGUGUUCAGCACACGUUCAGCUCGAUAACGUCCUCACCUUCUUGAUCCAGCAAGACGGGCGAAGUAGUAGAUGAGUUCCGGCAGCAUGACGGUGUGGUGACGGUGUUGUUGAAGAACAAUCUUCGCAGGGCUUCGCCUAAGCACUACAAAAACUAUGACAGAGGAUAAACUAGAUGGGACGAGGUUGCCGGCACACGGCUUGGUGUUUCUUGAUGUGUCUUUGGUGCUAGCCCUUCCCCUCUAUUUAUAUGUUGAGCCUUGGGGUCGAAACUUGGAGUAAAAGCCUCCACAAAAUCGGUUUCACCCAAAGGCAAGAGUCCUUCUCGGACUCCAGGGCCAGACGCCUGGGACCUUGGCGUCUGGCCCCUGGACUAUGCAAAACUUCCUUUUACGCUUUCCAAAAACCUUGUGGGCUUUCCACUUUGGCCCAAAUAAAGUGUUCUCGCACCUAAACAUUUCGGGAAACAUCAGGAACCCCUUCCGGUGAAUUCUGGAACCCUUUCGGAGACCAAACACUAUUAUCCCAUAUAUCAAUCUUUAUCUCCGGACCAUUCCGGAAUUUCUCAUCACGUUCGUGAUCAUAUCCGGGACUCCGAACAACAUUCGGUCACCAACAUACAUAACUCAUAUAAUACUAUAUCGUCAACGACCAUUAAGCGUGCGGACCCUACGGGUUCGAGAACUAUGUAGACAUGACCGAGACACCUCUCUGGUCAAUAACCAAUAGCGGAACCUAGAUGCCCAUAUUGGAUCCUACAUAUUCUACGAAGAUCUUUAUCGGUCGAACCGCAUAACAACAUACGUUGUUCCCUUUGUCAUCGGUAUGUUACUUGCCCGAGAUUCGAUCGUCGGUAUCUCAAUACCUAGUUCAAUCUCGUUACCGGCAAGUCUCUUUACUCAUUCCGUAAUACAUCAUCCCGCAACUAACUCAUUAGUCACAUUGCUUGCAAGGCUUAUAGUGAUGUGCAUUACCGAGAGGGCCCAGAGAUACCUCUCCGAUAAUCAAAGUGACAAAUCCUAAUCUUGAUCUAUGCCAACUCAACAAGUACCAUCGGAGACACCUGUAGAGCACCUUUAUAAUCACCCAGUUACGUUGUGAUGUUUGGUAGCACACAAAGUGUUCCUCCGGUAUUUGGGAGUUGCAUAAUCUCAUAGUCAUAGGAACAUGUAUAAGUCAUGAAGAAAGCAAUAGCAACAUACUGAACGAUCAAGUGCUAAUUAAGCUAACGGAAUGGGUCAAGUCAAUCACAUCAUUCUCUAAUGAUGUGAUCUCGUUAAUCAAAUGACAUCUCAUGUCUAUGGCUAGGAAACUUAACCAUCUUUGAUUCAAUGAGCUAGUCAAGUAGAGGUAUACUAGUGACAUUCUAUUUGUCUAUAUAUUCACACAUGCACUAAGUUUCCGGUUAAUACAAUUCUAGCAUGAAUAAUAAGCAUUCAUCAUGAUAUAAGAAAAUAUAAAUAACAACUUUAUUAUUGCCUCUAGGGCAUAUUUCCUUCAGUCUCCCACUUGCACUAGAGUCAAUAAUCUAGAUUACACGGUAAUGAUUCUAACACCCAUGGAGUCUUGGUGCUGAUCAUGUUUUACUCGUGAGAGAGGCUUAGUCAACGGGUCUACAACAUUCAGAUUCGUAUGUAUCUUGCAAAUCUCUAUGUCUCCCUCCUUGACUUGAUCGCAGAUGGAAUUGAAGCGUCUCUUGAUGUGCUUGGUUCUCUUGUGAAAUCUGGAUUCCUUUGCCAAGGCAAUUGCACCAGUAUUGUCACAAAAGAUUUUCAUUGGACCUGAUGCACUAGGUAUGACACCUAGAUCGGAUAUGAACUCCUUCAUCCAGACUCCUUCAUUUGCUGCUUUCGAAUCAGCUAUGUAUUCCGCUUCACAUGUAGAUCCCGCCACGACGCUUUGCUUAGAACUGCACCAACUGAUAGCUCCACCGUUCGAUAUAAAUACGUAUCUGGUUUGUGACUUAGAGUCAUCUAGAUCAGUGUCAAAGCUUGCAUCGACGUAACCAUUUACGACGAGCUCUUUGUCACCUCCAUAAAUGAGAAACAUAUCCUUAGUCCUUUUUAGGUAUUUCAGGAUGUUCUUGACCGUUGUCCAGUGAUCCACUCCUGGAUUACUUUGGUACCUCCUUGCUAAACUAAUAGCAAGGCACACAUCUGGUCUGGUAUACAGCAUUGCAUGCAUGAUAGAGCCUAUGGCUGAAGCAUAGGGAACACCUUUCAUUUUCUCUCUAUCUUCUGCAGUGGUCGGGCAUUGAGUCUGACUCAACUUCACACCUUGUAAUACAGGCAAGAACCCUUUCUUUGCUUGAUCCAUUUUGAACUUCUUCAAAACUUUAUCAAGGUAUGUACUUUGUGAAAGUCCAAUCAAGCGUCUUGAUCUAUCUCUAUAGAUCUUGAUGCCCAAUAUAUAAGCAGCUUCACCGAGGUAUUUCAUUGAAAAAAUCUUAUUCAAGUAUCCUUUUAUGCUAUCCCGAAACUCUAUAUCAUUUCCAAUCAACAAUAUGCCAUCCACAUAUAAUAUUAGAAAUGCUACAGAGCUCACACUCACUUUCUUGUAAAUACAUGCUUCUCCAAAAGUCUAUAUAAAACCAUAUGCUUUGAUCACACUAUCAAAACGUUUAUUCCAACUCCGAGAUGCUUGCACCAGUCCAUAGAUGGAUCACUGGAGCUUGCACACUUUGUUAGCAUCCUUUGGAUCGAUAAAACCUUCAGGUUGCAUCAUAUACAACUCUUCUUCCAAAAAUCCAUUCAGGAAUGCAGUCUUUACAUCGAUUUGCCAAAUUUCAUAAUCAUAAAAUGCAGCAAUUGCUAACAUGAUUUGGAUGGACUUAAGCAUCGCUACGGGUGAGAAAGUCUCAUCGUAGUCAACUCCUUGAACUUGUCGAAAACCUUUCGCAACAAGUCGAGCUUUGUAGACAGUAAUAUUACCGUCAGCGUCAGUCUUCUUCUUGAAGAUCCAUUUAUUCUCGAUGGCUUGCCAAUCAUCGGGCAAGUCAACCAAAGUCCACACUUUGUUCUCAUACAUGGAUCCUAUCUCAGAUUUCAUGGCCUUAAGCCAUUUCGUAGAAUCUGGGCUCAUCAUUGCUUCCUCAUAGUUCAUAGGUUCGUCAUGGUCAAGUAACAUGACCUCCAGAAUAGGAUUAUCGUACCACUCUGGUGCGGAUCUUACUCUGGUUGACCUACGAGGUUCGGUAGUAACUUGAUCUGAAGUUUCAUGAUCAUCAUCAUUAGCUUCCUCACUAAUUGGUGUAGGAGUCACAGGAACAGAUUUCUGUGAUGAACUACUUUCCAAUAAGGGAGUAGGUAUAGUUACCUCAUCAAGUUCUACUUUCCUCCCACUCACUUCUUUCGAGAGAAACUCCUUCUCUGGAAAGGAUCCAUUCUUAGCAACAAAUGUCUUGCCUUCGGAUUUGUGAUAGAAGGUGUACCCAAAAGUUUCCUUUGGGUAUCCUAUGAAGACACAUUUCUCUGAUUUAGGUUCGAGCUUAUCAGGUUGAAGCUUUUUCACAUAAGCAUCGCAGCCCCAAACUUUAAGAAACGACAACUUUGGUUUCUUGCCAAACCGUAGUUCAUAAGGCGUCGUCUCAACGGAUUUAGAUGGUGCCCAAUUUAACGUGAAUGCAACCGUCUCUAAAGCAUAACCUCAAAACGAUAGCGGUAAAUCAGUAAGAGACAUCAUAGAUCGCACCAUAUCUAAUAAAGUGUGGUUACGACGUUCGGACACACCAUUACACUGUGGUGUUCCAGGUGGCGUGAGUUCCGAAACUAUUACGCAUUGUUUCAAAUGAAGACCAAACUUGUAAAUCAAAUAUUCUCCUCCACGAUCAGAUCGUAGAAACUUUAUUUUCUUGUUAUGAUGAUUUUCUACUUCACUCUGAAAUUCUUUGAACUUUUCAAAUGUUUCAGACUUAUGUUUCAUUAAGUAGAUAUAUCCAUAUCUGCUUAAAUCAUCUGUGAAGGUGAGAAAAUAACGAUACCCGCCGCGAGCCUCAAUAUUCAUCGGACCACAUACAUCAGUAUGUAUGAUUUCCAAAAAAUCUGUUGCUCGCUCCAUUGUUCCGGAGAACGGAGUUUUAGCCAUCUUGCCCAUGAGGCAUGGUUCGCAAGUACCAAGUGAUUCAUAAUCAAGUGAUUCCAAAAGUCCAUCGGAAUGGAGUUUCUUCAUGCACUUUACACCAAUAUGACCCAGAUGGCAGUGCCACAAAUAAGUUGCACUAUCAUUAUCAACUCUGCAUCUUUUGGCUUCAAUAUUAUGAAUAUGUGUAUCACUACUAUCGAGAUUCAAUAAAAAUAGACCAUUCUUCAAGGGUGCAUGACCAUAAAAGAUCUUACUCAUAUAAAUAGAACAACCAUUAUUCUAAGAUUUAAAUGAAUAACCGUCUUGCGUCAAACAAGAUCCAGAUAUAAUGUUCAUGCUCAACGCUGCCACUAAAUAACAAUUAUUCACGUCUAAAACUAAUCCUGAAGGUAGAUGUAUAGGUAGUGUGCCGACCGCGAUCACAUCGACUUUGGAACCAUUUCCCACGCGCAUCGUCACUUCGUCCUUAGCCAAUCUUCGCUUAAUCCGUAGUCCCUGUUUUGAGUUGCAAAUAUUAGCAUCAGAACCAGUAUCAAAUACCCAGGCACUACUGCGAGCAUUAGUAAGGUACACAUCAAUAACAUGUAUAUCACAUAUACCUUUGUUCACCUUGCCAUCCUUCUUAUCCACCAAAUACUUGGGGCAGUUCUGCUUCCGGUGACCAGUCCCUUUGCAGUAGAAGCACUCAAUGUCAGGCUUAGGUCCAGACUUGGGCUUCUUCACUUGAGCAGCAACUUGCUUGCCGUUCUUCUUGAAGUUCCCCUUUUCCUUUAACCUUUUUCUUGAAACUGGUGGUCAUGUUAACCAUCAACACUUGAUGCUCCUUUUUGAUUUCUACCUCCGCAGCCUUUAGCAUCACUGUCGGUGUCAAAACCGGCGGAUCUCGGGUAGGGGGUCCCGAACUGUGCGUCUAGGCGGAUGGUAACAGGAGACAAGGGACACGAUGUUUUUACCCAGGUUCGGGCCCUCUCGAUGGAGGUAAAACCCUACUCCUGCUUGAUUAAUAUUGAUGAUAUGGGUAGUACAAGAGUAGAUCUACCACGAGAUCAGAGAGGCUAAACCCUAGAAGCUAGCCUAUGGUAUGAUUGUUGUUCGUCCUACAGACUAAAACCCGCCGGUUUAUAUAGACACCAGAGAGGGUUAGGGUUACACAGAGUUGGUUACAAUGGGAGGAGAUCUACAUAUCCGUAUCGCCAAGCUUGCCUUCCACGCCAAGGAAAGUCCCAUCUGGACACGGGACGAAGUCUUCAAUCUUGUAUCUUCAUAGUCUAGGAGUCCGGCCAAAGGUCAUAGUCCGGCUAUCCGGACACCCCCUAAUCCGGGACUCCCUCAGUAGCCCCCGAACCGGGCUUCAAUGACGAUGAGUCCGGCGUGUAGAUUUAUCUUCGACAUUGCAAGGCGGGUUCUUCUCCAAACUCCAUAUACCUGUUGAAUAGUGUCCGACUUCUGAUGAAUGUCGCACUCCUUGGCUUCUGCGCCCAAUAAUGGCCAUCUUCCACGUGUCAAGCGAAUGCGAAAAGCCAGGGUGUUUUUUCAUUUACCCCCUAGCUGCGCAAAUGAGCCGCCUAUAAAAGAGACGGGGAUUUAGAUCCGAAUCACAUAAUCUUCCCUCCGCGAGCAUUCAUCGGAGUGCAUUCGACAGAGAUCCAUUCCAUCAUGGCCAGUCGACGCAGCUCCUCCUCUCGCCCCCAGCCCUCAGCCUGGAGAUUGGGAGAGAUGCUCUGUCCCGCACAGCAAGCUAGUGGCGCUCCAAACCAAGGGGUUUCUCCCCCAGCCUACAUGGUCCUGAUUCGAGCCGGGCUUGCCACCUAUAAUGGUGGAGAGCAAGCGGAGAGCGUCCCCAAUCCCUCCAAAGGAGAGCGGGUAUGCCUUGUCCCUUAUUUGAUAAGAGGGCUCGGAUUUCCAAUUCAUCCGUUUCUCUGGGGGCUCCUGGAGUUCUACGGCCUCCAGUUGCACAACCUUACGCCCGCCUCCAUAUUGCAUAUUGCGGGCUUCAUAGCCCUUUGCGAGCUGUUUCUGGGCGUCAAGGAUCAUUUCGCGCCAUGGAAGAAACUGUUCUGCCUUGUGCCCCGUUCACAGGAGGGGUCGAUAUAUCAAGUGGGCGGAGCCGAACUAUGGCGCAUCACCGGGACUGGAUAUCUAUUCGGAACCCCAAAGAAGGCGUCCGAAGACUGGCCCUCAGAAUGGUUUUAUAUAGAAGAUGCCCCCCUGCCGGAUCCUGUUCGGAUCAGCCUCCCUGAGUUUAAUAAUGCUCCUUUGAAGAAGCGCCUAAGCUGGCGUCCACGGAGCCCUCAGAAGGAAAAUGAUAGGGACGUCCUUUACCUGAUGAGCCGGAUAAGGUUGUUAGCUCAUUCCAGACUGACCAUGAUCGAGGUCAUGGCCACAUGCAUUAUGCGGGGGGUGCAACCGCUUCAGUAUAGAGGCCACCCCAUGUGGGAUUUCAACGGGGAGGACGACGCCACCCGGUGCGGCCGUAAGGGGCCGGAGUCAGUUGCCGCUCUAAUAAAGAUCUUGUCCACUUUGUACAAGGGAGAAGGGGAGGAAUUUCUCCGUGUCAACCCACGGGGCGGAUUCUCCAUGUACAAUCCUCCAAGUUGGGUAAGCGAGCACUUUCACUCGUCCAUCCGUUUCAUAUUCCCAUAGUUAAGUAUUCAGCCUAGCAAUUUCAAUGCAAGAGCUACGCCAGGCUGUAAAGGAGAUAAACAACCCUCCUCCACAACCUGAGGACCCGGAACGGUCCUUCGACCCGGACUCCCAAGAGGACCCGGACUUAGCUGUGGAGCUGAUCGAUGGGGUGUUUCAUCAAUUGAGCAAGGACAACACCUUGGUGGCCAUUACGGCCAAUUAUCCCAGACUACUUCCAGCCUCACAAGUAACCAAGACCGAAGUCCCCGUACUUUUAAAAUGAUCUACCCGUGCUUAUUUUUGACCACCAUAUACCAAUGGCGUUUUUGCGGGGGAAGUCCUUGAGGCAGAGGGCCGAGCCUGCGGUGGCUAGCCAACAAGGGGUGUCAAGGCCCGGCAGGCUUAAAAGAAGUGCGAUCCGGAUUGAGACACCGGUGCAGCGGUAUGGCGCGCGAUUUUAUUCCCAGGUUUUAUUCCCUCAAGGUAUACUAACGCUCGUGCUCUCUUCAGGAAGAAGAGCGCUCGCCGGACUAUAUCCAGAGAGGUUGCCAAUCGCACCUCCACCGGCCAGGCUCCAAGGCCGGGUCCGGAAGCGGAGACGAACAUGAGGCGCGCACCGGGCGCUCCUCUGACAGAGGAUGCGGACGGGCUGUCUGCUGCCAAUUCCGAGGUGGAAAGUGCCAUGAACCACAGGCGUCACCGGACAGUUCUUCGUGACACUUGUUUCUCCCAGGAGGCAUUGGAUACCUUUAAUAUGGGAGAUGCGUACCUCCGUGCCACUCAAAAUGGUCUAGCCAGAGCCACAUAGCAGUAUGUAAAAGACAUACGGGUGAGAAAAUUUGAUGGUUAUAUAUGUCAGUAGCCCCCGAGACUUGAAACAGUUAGAAUAACUGAUUGAAGGAUCAUUUGUUAUGCAGGAUCUUACAGAAAAGAAUACCCAACUGUCCCAGGAGCUGGAAGAGUGCAAAGCCCAACUUGAGGCUGCACUAGCCGCGGUGGGGGAGACCAAGGAGACUCCCUCUGGUAAUAUAUGCUUCGAAAGAUAAGUAUGUUGUGAAGGGCGGCAUGUGUGCGAAUCUGACAAUAACAUUGCAGAUGGUGCCGGAGUGGAUCCGGACAAGCAACAACUCUUGCGCCGGUUAAAGGCCAGCGAGAACGUGCUUACGAGGGUGAGGCAAGAGAAGAAUAAGCUCCAAGAUGCCAACACCCAGCUGGGCGAGGAACUAAAGGAUGUUCGUGCUCAGCUGUCGGACUCCGUGAAGGAGAAUCGGCGGCUUCGACGCGACAUUUUUAGUAAGUGCUUGAACGAACUUCGAAAAAGAGUUCGGCGAGGAACUCGAUUGACAGAGUUAUGUCUGUAGGUAUGCUGACAGGUCAGCCUGCCGAGGAAAUGCCCGGUUCUACGGGUGACCUUCUUCCCGAGCUCUUACAACUGCACGAACGAGUUCAGCAGGUAAUGCAAGGCAUCGUCCAGGCCCUAUGGCCAUCCGUCUCCAUGCCCGAAGGCCUUGGAGAGCUUGCAGAGAAGCUAAAGGGAGUGCGGCGGCGCUUUCGAUUAUGGAAGAUAUCAGCCUGCCGUCAAGGCGCUAGGGAGGCCUGGGCCAUGGUGAAGACGUGGUACACGAAGGCCAACCCAAACCACAUGGCCGAGGUCAGACCUAUGGGGCCCGAUGGGAAGGAGAUCCCUGUGAGUUUAGUGUACGGCCAGGUAGAGUUGGCCGCCAAAUAUUCCCAACAGGACUGUAAACUAGACAGCCUGUUGGAUGGUAUUGAAGAGGAAUAUACCCAGUCAAAUUGACUAUGUAAUUUAAAAUGACAUAUAAAAUGCCUUCUAGCCGGAUUGUAGAUCGUUUGUCAUGGCGGACCUUUUCGCUUCAACCUCGGGACCCAAUAGUCUGGAGUGUGUCCGAAUACCCUCUCGGUUAUGUAAGAACCGGGGCAUGCGUGGAGACCAGGCGUAGGGGUCAUUAGUGCUUGAACAGACAAGUGCCCAACUAGUUAUGUUAUAUUACAUGGUUAGUAAGAAACAUCUUCCAGGGAGAAUAGUUCCGUUAGGGGUUCCUUUCCCUGGGGAGGCAUGCCCUAAAGUGCAUGUACGGACUGCAAAAAGAGCAGAAAAGCAUCUGGGGGCAGAUAGAUAAACGAGUGGGAAAUCAUCUUUAGUUCACCGACCGAAUAUUCCCUUAAGAACGCUAGAUUUCGGCUUCACCCAGUCUGAGGUACACAUCCGGCUGACCCGGCAGUAACAAUCGCAGAGGUGCUCCCUUUACCGCCUAGCCGAACAAUCGGGAACGUAGGGGUAAGCACAGGAGCCAGGCAAGCCUGCUUGGCCAAAACUUAAGUCAUAUUGAUGCAUAUAAUGGUGAGAAAAAAGGUACAUGCAGAAGUGUGACACAUGUGUUGGGCAUGAAGCCCUAUAUAAACAAGCUUCUGUUAAAGAAGCCCCCAGGUAUGAUGAGCGCGGGUAGCGCGUCAAUUUGUGUGCGAACAAGGCGCGAACGAGCCCUUAAAGGCUGUAAGAGAAAAGGAGGGAGAAGUAGAGAAAUGUAAGACAGCUAAUGUAUAAUAAAUGGACAGAGGAAAAAGACGAACACAGAGUCCGGUGCUAGGCAUAGAAUCUCCGGAGACGGGCUGCGUUCCAUGGGUUCGGCUCGAGUCGGUUAUGCGAUGCAUCACGCAGACGGUACGCUCCACCAGUGAGGACUUGGUCAAUAAUGAAGGGACCUUCCCAUUUGGGCUUGAGUUUGUCCUUUUUCUUGUCCGGCAGGCGUAGAACUAACUCGCCAACAUUGUAAGUUUUGGCCCGUACUUCCCUGCUUUGAUAUCUUCGAGCCUGCUGUUGAUAGAAUGCUGAAGGUGCUUUUGCCACGUCACUCUCCUCCUCCAAGGCGUCCAAACUGUCCUGCCGAUCGAGUUCGGCUUCUCUUUCUUCGUACAUGCGCACGCGAGGUGAGUCAUGAAUUAUGUCGCAGGGCAGAACUACCUCUGCACCGUAUACCAUAAAGAAUGUUGUCAAUCCGGUUGUGCGAUUUGGAGUGGUCCGUAGCCUCCAGAGUACGGAGUCGAGCUCCUCUACCCAGUGCGUGUUAGAUUCCUUGAGGGACCGCACUAAUCUGGGUUUGAUGCCGCUCAUUAUUAGACCAUUUGCUCGCUCGACUUGACCGUUAGUUUGUGGGUGAUAGACUGAAGCGUAGUCGAGCUUGAUGCCCAUGUUUUUGCACCAGAGUUUGACCUCGUCGGCCAUAAAGUUCGUGCCGUUAUCAGUGAUGAUGUUGUGGGGGAUGUCGUAACAGUGUACGACCCCUGAUAUCAAGUCUAUCACUGGUCCGGAUUCGGCCGUCUUAAUAGGCUUGGCCUCUAUCCAUUUGGUGAAUUUGUCCACCAUGACAAGUAGGUAUUUUUGCUUGUGGGUUCCUCCUUUAAGGGGUCCAACCAUGUCAAGCCCCCAGACCGCGAAGGGCCAGGUGAUGGGUAUAGUUUGGAGGGCGGUAGGUGGCAUAUGGCUUUGGUUAGCAAAGAGUUGGUAACCGACGCAUCAUUGGACUAAGUCCUGAGCAUAUGCCCGGGCCGUCGGCCAAUAAAAUCCUGUACGGAAGGCCUUGCUAACAAGGGCCCGGGCUGCGGCGUGGUGCCCAUCGAGUCCGGCAUGAAUUUCAGCCAGAAGAUUCCGCCCCUCCUCUUCAGAGAUACACCUUUGAAGGACUCCGGUAGUGCUUUUCUUAUAAAGCUCCCCUUCAUGGACUUUAUAGGCUUUAGAUCGCUGCACUAUGCAGCGUGCCUCGUUUUGGUCCUCGGGAAGUUCCUGCCUAGUUAGAUAGGCUAGGAAUGGUUGUCCACAGGGCAAUGACUGCCAUUAUUACGUGGGCUGAGGAUGUUACUUCGUUGGCAUAGCCUCCCGCUGUGUCAGAAUGUUCGGUGUUGGGCGGUGCGGUUGGGUCCGGGCUGUUAUUUCAGGAUUCCCCUUCCCAUGAUACGGAUGGCUUGAAUAGCCUCUCCAAGAAAAUGUUGGGGGGGGGGCUGCAUCGUGCUUUGCGCCGAUGCAUGCCAAUAUGUCUGCUGCCUGAUUGUUUUCCCGUGCUAUAUGGUGAAAUUCGAGCCCCUCGAACCGAGCUGACAUUUUUAGGAGGCGUUGCGAUAAGCUGCCAUUUUCGGAUCCUUGGCAUCAAAGUCUCCAUUUAUUUGGGAUAUCGCAAGGUUCUAAUCCCCACGCACCUCUAGGCGUUGGAUGUCUAUGGAGACUGCUAUCCGGAGACCAUGUAGAAGGGCCUCGUAUUCGGCUGCGUUGUUAGAGUCUGUAUACAUUAUCUGGAGUACAUAUUGAACUGUAUCUCCUGUUGGGGACGUCAGAACGAUGCCAACCCCCAGACCCGCUAACAUUUUGGAGCCGUCGAAGUGCAUGAUCCAGUUGGAAUAUGUGCCAUACUCUUUAGGGAGUUCGGCUUCAGUCCAUUCGGCGACAAAGUUGGCCAAAACUUGCGACUUGAUAGCCCGCCGUGGCUUAUAGGUUAUGUCGAACGAGAGGAGCUCAAUGGCCCAUUUGGCAAUCCAGCCCGUCGUGUCGCGGUUGUUUAUAAUAUCGUUAAGUGGUACUUCGGAGGCUACUGUUAUCGAGCACUCUUGAAAGUAGUGUCGUAGCUUCCGGGAUGCCAUAAACACCGUGUACACUAUCUUUUGAUAAUGCGGGUACCGUGACUUGCAUGGAGUGAGGACAGUGGACACGUAGUAAACUGGUUUUUGAAUGGGGAAUUUGUGUCCGUCCGCUUCUCGUUCGACGACGAGCACUGCGCUUACAACUUGAUGGGUUGCCGCAAUGUAUAAUAGCAUUGGUUCGCCGAUGUUAGGCGCGGCCAAGACCGGGUUUGUUGCCAAUAUGGCUUUUAUUUCUUCUAGUCCCGCCAUGGCAGCAUUCGUCCACUCAAAGUGUUCGGUGCGCCGGAGGAGGCGAUAAAGGGGUAAUGCCUUUUCUCCCAAGCGGGAGAUGAAGCGGCUUAGAGCCGCCACACAUCCAGUCAAUUUUUGUAUUUGUUUGAGGUCCUUUGGAAUAUCCAAUUGUGACAGAGCUUAGAUCUUGGCUGGGUUUGCUUCAAUUCCUCUACCGGAUACAAUGAAGCCCAAGAGCUUUCCGGCUGGUACGCCAAAACACAUUUUUCCGGGUUGAGCUUAAUGUCAUAUGUUUGGAGGUUAUCAAAUGUGAUCCUUAAGUCGUCUACUAGAGUUUCGACAUGCUUGGUUUUGACGACCACGUCGUCUACGUAUGCUUCUACUGUUUUGCCGAUCUGGUUUGCCAGACAUGUCUGAAUCAUGCGCUGAUAUGUUGCGCCGGUGUUUUUGAGCCCCAAGGGCAUUGUGUUGAAGCAGAAUGGGCCAUAUGGGGUGAUGAAUGCCAUUGCGGCUUGGUCUGGCUCUGCCAUCUUAAUUUGAUGGUAGCCGGAGUAUGCGUCAAGGAAACAAAAUGAAUCGUGUCCUGCGGUAGCAUCGAUAAUUUGCUCGAUGCGAGGGAGGGGGAAGGGAUCCUUUGGGCAAGCCUUGUUGAGGUCCUUGAAAUCGACACAGUGGCGCCAGGAUUUGUCCUUCUUUGGUACCAUUACCAGGUUUGCUAGCCAGUCCGGAUGUUUUAUAUCUCUGAUGAAUCUGGCCUCCAGUAGUUUGGCUAGCUCCUCUCCCAUGGCUUGUUUCUUAGGUUCAGAGAAACGCCGGAGAGCCUGCUUGACAGGCUUGAAUCCUUUUAGGAUGUUUAGGCUGUGUUCGGCCAGCCUGCGUGGGAUUCCUGCAUGUCUGAAGGGUGCCAGGCAAAGAUGUCCCAAUUUUCGCGUAGGAAUUCUCAUACUGCGGCGUCUACAUCAGGGUUUAAGUACGCCCCGAUGGAGGCCGUUUUUGUAGGGUCCAUUGGAUGGACUUGGAAUUUGACUAUUUCGUCCGCCGGUUUAAAGGAGGUGGACUUGGAUCUUUUAUCGAGUAUCACGUCGUCCCUGUUCACCGUGGAGCGUAGCGCAGUCAGUUCUUCGGUCGCUAGGGCUUCGGAUAGUGCCUCAAGGGCCAGUGCGGCUGUCUUGUUUUCGGCGCGGAGUGCUAUGUCCGGGUCACUAGCAAGAGUGAUAAUUCCGUUGGGUCCGGGCAUUUUGAGUUUCCGUAAUGGGUAUAGCUUGAAAAAUUGUGAAUGCCUCUCGUCCUAAUAGAGCGUGGUACCCGCUGCUGAACGGGGCCACUUGAAACGUGACCUCCUCGGACCUGUAAUUAUCCGGCGUGCCGAACACCACAUCCAGUGUGAUUUUUCCCGUACAACACGCUUCCCGACUGGGGAUUAUUCCUCUAAAGGUUGUGUUGCUUCGCUCAAUACGGCUCCAGUCUAUUUCCAUUUUUUGAAGGGUUUCCUCAUAAAUGAGGUUCAAUCCGCUGCCACCGUCCAUGAGUACCUUGGUAAGGCGAAAGCCAUCCACUAUUGGACUGAGGACCAAUGCGGCUGGUGCUCGGGCUGUUCGGAAUUUAGGUUCAUCACUGGCAUUAAAGGUAAUAGCCGUGUCACUCCAUGGGUUUAUUGUUGCUACUUGGUAGACUUCGGCAAGGCUGCGGAGUGUUCGUUUCCGCAUAUUAUUUGAUGCGAAAGUCUCGAAGACUGUUAAUACCGUACUGGUAUCCCUGGGCUGGUGCUCUGUGAAUUCUGGAGUUAGAAGCUCCUCGCCACUCCUGGCCACCUGCCGGAGUAUCCAACAUGCUCUAAGGCUAUGAGUUGGUGUGGCACCCUCUAUACUAUGAAUUUUAUAGGGUCCAUUGAGCCAUCCCUCCAGUAUGGUUCCAUGCCCUAUAGACGGUUUUUGCUUUUUGGUGUUUAACCCAGGUGCCUGGUGAUAAUGCACCCUUUCAUUUCGGACUGUGGUUGUAUUCAGGGCCGUAUUGUCCCAAAAUUUUAUUUCGGUUUUCCAGGCACUUUCCAUCGCACAGUACUUUCGUACUAUGGAUGCCAAGUCGGCGAAGCGUGUAAUUUCACGGCGACUUAUGGCGUUGAGGAUUCCGUUGUCCGUGCAAUUAUUGCAGAAGAACGGAAUUGCAUCCUCCUCGCGGCAGUCCUUUAUCCUGUUCAUAACCAGGAGGGAUCUGGCCCAGUAAUGGUGUACUGUUUCUGCGGCCUCUUGCCGAAUUUGGGAUAGAUCCCUUAUAUUUGGGUGGGCGGGUGGAAUCAAAUCCGGAACCUCGCCCAAUCUGAGACUCGGGGGCCAAGGAGUUUCCGAACUCGGAAGCUCGGGUUCUUGGAUGUUGUCCAAUGAAUCUAGCCCGCUGCCUGACUUUAGGUUUAGUGCUUGAGUGACGUCCUCCCCUCCGUGGGUAUCCGGCUUGGAGGGGUCGGGAAUCCGGACAUAACUAGUCCUUAAGAUAGGUGAAGACUUACCGCAUUGUUCCUCCACCAUUGCGACGUGGUGGGUGACCUGGGGAGAGUUAAUCUCUCUCGGAUCGGGUUUAAGCCCAAUCUGAUCGUAGUCUGCAGCGACUCCCAGGGCAGCGAUGUGAUCCAAGAGCUCGUUUACGGAAGAGAGAUCCAUCGGAUCUAACUACUCGGCGAGUUCCGAGUUGACGUGGAGAUUGCUUUUGAUGACCCGAGAAGUCAUCGUCGGCGCGGCGGCCGAACAGGCGGUCAUAAGAAAACCGCCUAGCCGGAGAGUUUGGCCGAUAGCCAAAGCUCCUUUAGCGACAGCGCCGUCUUUAAAGACGGGAUGAGGCAUCCUUCCUGAUGGCGACAGCACAGCGGAACUCUCAAUGAAAGCACCAAUGUCGGUGUCAAAACCGGCGGAUCUCGGGUAGGGGGUCCCAAACUGUGCGUCUAGGCGGAUGGUAACAAGAGACAAGGGACACGAUGUUUUUACCCAGGUUCGGGCCCUCUCUAUGGAGGUAAAACCCUACUCCAGCUUGAUUAAUAUUGAUGAUAUGGGUACUACAAGAGUAGAUCUACCACGAGAUCAGAGAGGCUAAACCCUAGAAGCUAGCCUAUGGUAUGAUUGUUUUUCGUCCUACGGAUUAAAACCCUCUGGUUUAUAUAGACACCGGAGAGGGUUAGGGUUACACAGAGUCGGUUACAAUGGGAGGAGAUCUACAUAUCCGUAUCGCCAAGCUUGCCAUCCACGCCAAGGAAAGUCCCAUCCGGACACGGGACGAAGUCUUCAAUCUUGUAUCUUCAUAGUCCAGGAGCCCGCCAAAGGUCAUAGUCCGGCUAUCCGGACACCCCCUAAUCCGUGACUCCCUCAAUCGCGAAGAGCUCGGGAAUUGUCUUGUUCAUCCCUUGCAUAUUAUAGUUCAUCACGAAGCUCUUGUAGCUUGGUGAUAGUGAUUGAAGAAUUCUGUCAACGACACUAUCAUCCGGAAGAUUAACUCCCAAUUGAAUCAAGUGAUUGUUAUACCCAGACAUUUUGAGUAUAUGCUCACUGACAGAACUAUUCUCCUCCAUCUUGCAGCUGUAGAACUUAUUGGAGACUUCAUAUCUCUCAAUCCGGGCAUUUGCUUGAAAUAUUAACUUCAACUCAUAGAACAUCUCACAUGCUCCAUAAUGUUCAAAACGUCGUUGAAGUCCCGGUUCUAAGCCGUAAAGCAUGGCACACUGAACUAUCGAGUAGUCAUCAGCUUUGCUCUGCCAAAUGUUCACAACGUCCGGCGUUGCUCCUGCAGUGGGUCUUGCACCUAGUGGUGCUUCCAGGAUGCAACUCUUCUGUGCAGCAAUGAGGAUAAUCCUCAAGUUAUGGACCCAGCCCGUGUAGUUGCUACCAUCAUCUUUCAACUUAGCUUAAUCUAGGAACGCAUUAAAAUUCAACGGAACAACAACACGGGCCAUCUAUCUACAACAACAUAGACAUGCAAAAUACUAUCAGGUACUAAGUUCAUGAUAAAUUAAAGUUCAAUUAAUCAAAUUACUUAAGAACUCCCACUUAGAUAGACAUCCCUCUAAUCAUCUAAGUGAUCAUGUGAUCCAUAUCAACUAAACCAUGUCCGAUCAUCACGUGAGAUGGAGUAGUUUUCAAUGGUGAACAUCACUAUGUUGAUCAUAUCUACUAUAUGAUUUACGCUCGGCCUUUCGGUCUCAGUGUUCCGAGGCCAUAUCUGCAUAUGCUAGGCUCGUCAAGUUUAACCCGAGUAUUAUGCGUGUGCAAAACUGGCUUGCACCAGUUGUAUGUGAACGUAGAGCUUAUCACACCCGAUCAUCACAUGGUGUCUCGGCACGACGAACAUUCGCAACGGUGCAUACUCAUGGAGAACACUUAUACCUUGAAAUUUAGUGAGAGAUCAUCUUAUAAUGCUACCGUCGAUCUAAGCAAAAUAAGAUGCAUAAAGGAUAAACAUCACAUGCAAUCAAUAUAAGUGAUAUGAUAUGGCCAUCAUCAUCUUGUGCCUUUGAUCUCCAUCUCCAAAGCACCGUCAUGAUCACCAUCGUCACCGGCACGACACCUUGAUCUACAUCGUAGCAUCGUUGUCGUCUCGCCAACUAUUGCUUCUACGACUAUCGCUACCGCUUAGUGAUACAUACAAUAAAGCGACAACCAUAUGGCUCCUGCCAGUUGCCGAUAACUUUGUUACAAAACAUGAUCAUCUCAUACAAUAAAAUUUAGCAUCAUGUCUUUGACCAUAUCACAUCACAACAUGCCCUGCAAAAACAAUUUAGACGUCCUCUACUUUGUUGUUGCAAGUUUUAUGUGGUUGCUACGGGCUAAGCAAGAAGCGUUCUUACAUACGCAUCAAAACCACAACGAUAUUUCGUCAAGUUAGUGUUGUUUUAACCUUCAACAAGGACCGGGCGUAGCCACACUCGAUUCAACUAAAGUUGGAGAAACUGACACCCGCCAGCCACCUAUGUGCGAAGCACGUCGGUAGAACCAGUCUCGCGUAAGCGUACGCGUAAUGUCGGUCCUGGCCGCUUCAUCCAACAAUACUGUCAAAUCAAAGUAAGACAUGCUGGUAAGCAAUAUGACUUGUAUCGCCCACAACUCACUUGUGUUCUACUCGUGCAUAUAACAUUUAUGCAUAAACCUGGCUCGGAUGCCACUGUUGGGGAACGUAGUAAUUUCAAAAAAAUUCCUACGCACAUGCAAGAUCAUGGUGAUGCAUAGCAACGAGAGGGGGAGUGUAUCUUCAUACCCUUGAAGAUCACUAAGCGGAAGCAUUUAUACAAUGAGGUUGAUGUAGUCAUACACCUUCACGAUCCGCCCCGAUCAAGUAGCGAACCUACGACACCUUCGCGUUCAGCACACGUUGAGCUCAAUGACGUCCUCGCCUUCUUGAUCCAGCAAGACGGGCGAAGUAGUAGAUGAGUUCUAGCAGCACAACGGCGUGGUGACGGUGUUGGUGAACAACAAUCUCCACAGGGCUUUGCCUAAGAACUACAAAAACUAUGACGGAGGAUAAACUAGAGGGGACGGUGUUUCCGGCACACGGCUUGGUGUUUCUCGAUGUCUCGAGGCAUAAGCUAACAUACUUUCUCUUCUUGGAUUAUAUGCACUUAUGAUUGGAACUCUAGCAAGCAUUUGCAACUACUAAAGAUUCAUUAUAAAGGGACAAUUGCAUUUUUACCCCUAGUUGGUUCCUACCCACGGGUUUUGCCCUUACUUUUCGAGCUUGCUCAGUUUUGCCCUUACUUUUUCCAUCGAGGUCCCUCGAAUGCCCUUUGACCGUUUGACCAAAACUUUGAAAAUUCAUAACUAAUUCAUACGAACUCAAAAAAAUGCAAAUAAGAUAUCAAAAUGUUCAAAUAAAAAUUACCUUUAUGGGCAUAUCAUUUGCAUUCAGGACAAAAGCAUCAUUUAAACUACCCGAGGUAAUUAAUGUUAUUAACAUUAUUAUAAAUAAAUAGGUAUAAAUAAUAUUUUUUUCAUGAAUAAAAAUUACAUCAAAUGUAGGUGAUGUUUUCUGAACAUCCUGAUACCUUAUUUCCAUUUUUCUGAGUUUGUAUCAACUUGUUAUGAAUGUUCUAACGACUUUGACCAUUAUUUGGAAACUUCAUAACAAGUUGAUACGAAGUCAGGAAAAUGCAAAUAAGGUAUCAGGAUGUUCAGAAAACAUCACCUACGUUUGCAUACAAUUUUUAUUCACGAAGAAUAUAUUGUUUAUACCUAUUUAUUUUUAAUAAUGUUAAUAACAUUAAUUACCUCAGGUAGUUUAAACGAUGCUUUUGUCCUGAAUGCAAAUGAUAUGCCCAUAAAGGUAAUGUUUAUCUGAACAUUUUGAUAUCUUAUUUGUAUUUUUCUGAGUUCAUAUGAAUUAGUUAUGAAUUUUCAAAGUUUUGGUCAAACGGUCAAAGGGCAUUCGAGGGACCUUGAUGGAAAAAGUAAGGGCAAAACUGAGCAAGCUCGAAAAGUAAGGGCAAAACCCGUGGGUGGUAACCAACUAGGGGUAAAAAUGCAAUUGUCCCUAUGGUAAAACCCAACCAUAGCAUUAAAGUAUCAAGUCCCCUUUAUCCCAUUUGCAACGAUCUACUUACUCGGGUUUGUGUUUCAGUCACUCACGCAACCCACUAUACGCGAAUCAUGAACGCAUUGCAACACCCUACAGCGGGAAUCCCUCACGCUUGAGCGACACGGAGGGCACCAUAGGACAUCACCAAUAAUAAAAUAUGCAACUCAAACCAACCAUAGCAAUUCAUCAAUCACCGAUAGGACAACAAAAAUCUACUCAGACAUCAUAGGAUGGCAACACAUCAUUGGAAAAUAAUAUGAAGCAUAAAGCACCAUGUUCAAGUAGAGGGUACAACAGGAUGCGGGAGAGUGGACCGCUGGAUAUAGAUGGGGGAAGGUGAUGGAGAUGUUGGUGAAGAUGGCGGAGGUGUUGGUGAAGAUCGCGUUGAUAAUGAUGGCCCCCGGCAGCGCUCCGGCGCCACUGGAAGCAAGGGGGAGAGAGGGCCCCUUCUUCUUCUUCUUCCUUGACCUCCUCCCUAGAUGGGAGAAGGGUUUCCCCUCUGGUCCUUGGCUCCCAUGGCUUGGGAGGGGCGAGAGCCCCUCCGAGGUUGGAUCUAUCUCUCUGUUUUUGCGUCCUCUGUUUCUGCCCCUUCACUGUUUCCUUUAUAUUUGGAGAUCCGUAACUCCGAUUGGGGCGAAUCUUUCGCCCACAUUUUUCUUGUAAAAUUAGCUUUCUUGCGGAAAAAGAAGAGCGUCAACUGCCUUACGGGUAGCCCACGAGGGUCCAGGGCGCGCCCAGGGGGGUGGGCGCGCCCCCCAGUCUCGUGGUCACCUCGGACACUGUUUUGCGUUGAUUCUUCCUCCGGAAAAUCCCAAAUAUUCCAAAAUAAUUCUCCGUCCGUUUUUAUCCCGUUUGGAUUUCGUUUGAUAUGGGUUUCCUGCGAAACAUAAAACAUGCAACAGACAGGAACUGGCACUGGGCACUGGACCAAUAUGUUAGUCCCAAAAAUAGUAUAAAAAGUUGCCAAAAGUAUAUGAAAGUUGAAUAAUAUUGGCAUGGAACAAUCAAAAAUUAUAGAUACGACGGAGACGUAUCAACAUCCCCAAGCUUAAUUCCUGCUUGUCCUUGAGUAGGUAAAUGAUAAAAAAGAUAAUUUUUGAUGUGGAAUGCUACCUAGCAUAAUCUUGAUCAUAUGUCUAAUCAUGGCAUGAAUAUUAAGACACGAGUUAUUCAAAGCAAUAGUCUAUCAUUUGACAUAAAAAACGAUAAUACUUCGAGCAUACCAAUAAAGCAAUCAUGUCUUUUCAAAACAACAAGGCCAAAGCAAGCUUAUCCCUACAAAAUCAUACAGUUUGUCCAUGCUUCAUCUUCGUCACACAAAAUGCUCCCAUCAUGCACAACCCCGAUGACGAGCCGAGCAAUUGGUUCAUACUUUUUAACGCGCUUCAGCUUUUUCAACCCUCAUGCAAUACAUGAGCGCAAGCCAUGGAUAUAGCACUAUAGGUGGAAUAGAAUAUAAUGGUGGAGGUUUAUAUGGAGAAGACAAAAAAGGAGAAAGUCUCACAUCGACGCGGAUAAUCGACGGGCUAUGGAGAUGCCCAUCAAUUGAUGUCAAUGCGAGGAGUAGGGAUUGCCAUGCAAUGGAUGCACUAGAGCUAUAAGUGUAUGAAAGCUCAAACUGAAAACUAAGUGGGUGUGCAUCCAACUUGCUUUGCUCAUGAAGACCUAGGGCAUUUGAGGAAGCCCAUCGUUGGAAUAUACAAGCCAAGUUCUAUAAUGAAAAAUUCCCACUAGUAUAUGAAAGUGACAACAUAAGAGACUCUCUAUAUGAAGAACAUGGUGCUACUUUGAAGCACAAGUGUGGAAAAAGGAUAGUAACGUUGCCCCUUUUCUUUUUCUUUUAUUUCUUUUUUCUUUCGGUGGGCUUCUUUGGUCCCCUUUUUUAUUUAGGCUUCUUUGGCCUUUCCUUUUUUUCUUUUUUUUCUUUUUCUUUUUUAUGGGGCAAUGCUCUAUAAUGAUGAUCAUCACACUUUUAUUUACUUACAACUCGAUAUUACAACUCGAUACUAGAACAAAGAUAUGACUCUAUAUGAAUGCUUUCGGCAGUGUACCGGGAUGUGCAAUGAUCUAGCGGAGCAAUGACAUCAAAACGGACAAGCCAUGAAAACAUCAUGCUAGCUAUCUUACGAUCAUGCAAAGCAAUAUGACAAUAAAUGCUCAAGUCAUGUAUAUGAUCAUGAUGGAAGUUGCAUGGAAAUAUAUCUCGGAAUGGCUAUGGAAAUGCCAUAAUAGGUAGGUAUGGUGGCUGUUUUGAGGAAGAUAUAAUGAGGCUUAUGUGUGAUAGGGCGUAUCAUAUCACGGGGUUUGGAUGCACCGGCGAAGUUUGCACCAACUCUCGAGGUGAGAAAGGGCAAUGCACGGUACCGAAGAGGCUAGCAACGAUGGAAAGGUAAAAGUGCGUAUAAUCCAUGGACUCACAUUAGUCAUAAAGAACUCAUAUACUUAUUGCAAACAUUUAUUAGCCCUCGAAGCAAAGUACUACUAUGCAUGCACCUAGGGGGAUAGAUUGGUAGGAAAAGACCAUCGCUCGUCCCUGACUGCCACUCAUAAGGAAGACAAUCAAAGAAACACCCCAUGCUUCAAAUUUGUCACACAACGGUUACCAUAUGUGCAUGCUACGGGACUUGCAAACCUCAACACAAGUGUCUCUACAAUCCACAGCCACCCACUAGCAUGACUCUAAUAUCACCAUCUUUGUAUCGCAAAACUAUUGCAAGGAAUCAAACAUAUCAUAUUCAAUGAUCUACAAGUUUAUGUAGGAUUUUAUGACUAACCAUGUGAAUGACCAAUUCCUGUCAUCUCUCUAAAUAGAUAUAAAUGAAGCAAGAGAGUUUAAUUCUUUCUACAAAAGAUUUACCCACACUCUAACAAAUAUAACUGAAGAAAAAGAGCAUUCUACAAAUGGCGGUUUUCUAUAUGAAGAGAAACAUGCAAUCCAAACUUCAAAUGGUAUAAGUGAAGCACAUGAAGCAUUCUAUAAAGCCAUACUCAAAAGAUCUAAGUGAUGUGCAAUGAGCAUUAUAUAAAUCAACCAAGGACUAUCUCAUACUAGCAUAGUGCAUAAAAGAAAAGUGAAAACUAAAUGCAAAAGACGCUCCAAGACUUGCACAUAUCGCAUGAACGAAACGAAUACGAAAACAUACCGAUACUUAUUGAAGAAAGAGGGGAUGCCUUCUGGGGCAUCCCCAAGCUUAGAUGCUUGAGUAUCCUUGAAUAUUUACUUGGAGUGCCUCGGGCAUCCCCAAGCUUGAGCUCUUGCCUCUCUUCCUUUUCCUCAUAUCGAGACAUCCUCGCUUAGACACUUCAUCCACACAAAACUUCAACAGAAAACUCGGUAAGAUCCGUUAGUAUAAUAAAGAAAAUCACUACUCUAAAUACUGUUGCAAACCAAUUCAUAUUUUGUUUUUGCAUUAUGUCUACUGUAAUAUAACUUUUUCAUGGCUUAAUCCACUAAUAUAAAUUGAUAUUUUCAUCAAAACAAGAAAACUAUGCAUUAAAAAACAGAAUCUGUCAAAAACAGAACAGUCUGUACAAAUCUGAACAUCCACCAUACUUAUGGUACCCCAAAACUUCUACCAAAAUUAGGAACAAUAAACAAGUUGUAUAGAAAGACAGUGCAAAAGGAAUCUGAACCAAUUAACCUUCCAUUUAAAAAUGUAAAAUCGAGCACUACAGCCAAAGUUUCUGUCCUGCACCGUACAAACCAACAAGCAUUGUAAACAUCCUAAAGGCAAACCUUGGCACAUUAUUUUUAUAAUACAAUGGAAUUGUACAAGGGGAUAAUUAUUUUUGUUGAGAAGUUUCCGUAAUCAAGAUUCACAAAGUUUCCAUGAGCAUGAAGAAAGUCCAAGGCUAGCUCCCACUUCAACAAUGCUUGUCUUUCUCACUUUCACUUUCCUUUUUGAAAAGUUUUUAGGUUCCCCUCUUUAUUUUUUUUGUUUUUAAACUAUACAAAAGCACUCAGCAGAAAUAAAUGACUCUCUAAAACUUCCGGGUUAUCUCCCUGGCAGCGCUUUCUUUAAAGCCAUUAAGGUAGGCAUUUAGUGCUCAAGUAAUGAAUCCACCCGGAUCCCAAGGUAUAUCAAAGCCAAUUUUAAUUAACAAUGAUUUGUAAUUUAGUAGUGAGCACAAAGUAACAUAUAUCAUGCAACAAUGAACUCUAACUCUCUUCCUAUGCAUCAGCAUGUCAUAACAGAAUAAUUCAUGCACACCAAGUAAAGGCCAAUGCAUACUAUAAACAGUUUCUUGCAAUUCUAUCGUAUUGGAAACAUAGAGAGGUGGAGAUAAAGUUCCUCUCUCAUAAUAAUUGCAAGUAGGAACAGCAAGCACAUGCAUAUUAUAUUCAUCAAAAUCAUCAUGUGCAAUGGUAAAAGGCAACCCAUCAAUAUAAUCCUUAAUAAGCACAAACUUCUCCGAUAUAGUGUAGUAGGGAGAAUUCAAGAAGAUAAUAGGACUAUCAUGCGUGGGUGCAAUAGCAACAAUUUCAUGUUUAACAUAAGGAACUAUAGCAAGUUCAUCUUCAUAAGCAUAAUUCAUAUUGGCAUCUUGGCCACAAGCAUAGCAAGCAUCAUCAAAAAUGGAUAUUUCGAGAGAAUCAACGGGAUCAUAGUAAUCAUCAUAGCAACCAUCCUUCCGUAAGCACGAAGGGGAAUUAAACAAUGUAUGAGUUGAAGAGUUACUCUCAUUAGAAGGUGGGCACGGGUGAUCAAUCCGCUCUUCCUCCUUUUGUUCUUCGCUCUCCUCAUCAUCUUUUUCAUCCAAUGAGCUCACAGUUUCAUCAAUUUCUUCUUCCAUAGCUUCUUGCAAAAUAUUAUCUCUUCUUGGACAGCGGAGAAGACCUCAAUAUAUGGUUUAACAUAGGCAUUAGAAGCAUAAUUAUCAUAACAAUAUUCAAGUAUGGCAAAGUUUUCAGAUUUGUAGAGAGUAGCAUCAUACUUUUGAAUCAAAGAAGCAAUUUCAUAAGCACCCUUAAAGCAACAAAUUCUUCAGUUUGUUGAACAUCAUAGUAAUUAUAAACACCUUUAGCAUAUGAAGAUACAAUCCCAUUAUCAAACUCACAUUGGUAGGGAAGGUGUUUCUUAGGGUUUUCAGAACAACAAGUAAUAUCAUAUAUUUCACAUAAAUUCCAAGCAUAGCAUCGCAAACAUUGAAUUCGAUCCCAUAAUAGUUUCCCUUUUUCCAGAUAUACGGUGUCGCACAUAACAGGCAUGCUCAUCUAAAGAUUUGCCCUCAACUAAGCUAGUGGGGGUUUCAGCACGAGCACAUAGGGAUCGAAGAUGAUCAAAGUAAAAAGCUUUAGGAGUGCGAUAGAUUUUGAGUGGUUCUUCAACCAUUGGUGUAGUAGGUACAACUAACUUUUUUGGUAUUUUGCGUUUCCUACCCAUAACUAAAGAUAGAAAAUAACUAAGAACAGCAAAUAAAAAUUACUUAGUGAUAAAGCAAACAAGCACACACAAGAAUAUUCACCCCACGCUAUGACUCCCCGGCAACGGCGACAGAAAAAGGUCUUGAUAACCCACAUGUGUAGGGGGUCGCAACAGUUUUUGAUAAGUAAGAGUGUUGAACCCAACGAGGAGCUAAAGGUAGAAUAAAUAUUCCCUCAAGUUCUAUCGACCACCGAUACAACUCUGCACGCUUGACGUUUGCUUUACCUAGAACAAGUAUGAAACUAGAAGUACUUUAUAGGUGUGAUAGGAUAGGUUUGCAAGAGCAUAAAGAACACGUAAAUAAAAAGUAGGGGCUGUUUAGAUAAAGAUGCAAGAAAGUAAAUAUAGCGAGUGUGGAAAAGUGGUGGUAGGAGUUGUGAAAUUGUCCCUAAGCAAUUGACUAUGUUACUAGACCGGUAAUCACUAUCACAAUUCUAUUUGAGGGAGAUGCAUAAGCUAACAUACUUUCUCUUCUUGGAUCAUAUGCACUUAUGAUUGGAACUCUAGCAAGCAUCCGCAAAUACUAAAGAUUCAUUAAGCUAAAACCCAACCAUAGCAUUAAAGGUAUCAGGUCCCCUUUAUCCCAUACGCAACGAUCUACUUACUCGGGUUUGUGUUUUAGUCACUCACGCAACCCACUAUAAGCGAAUCAUGAACGCAUUGCAACACCCUACAACAGGAAUCCCUCACGCUUGCGCGACAUGGAGGGCACCAUAGGACAGAACCAAUAAUAAAAUAUGCAACUCAAACCAAUCAUAGCAAUUUAUCAAUCACCGAUAGGAUAACGAAAAUCUACUCAGACAUCAUAGGAUGGGAACACAUCAUUGGAAAAUAAUAUGAAGCAUAAAGCACCAUGUUCAAGUAGAGGGUACAGCGGUAUGCGGGAGAGUGGACCACUGGAUAUAGAUGGGGGAAGGUGAUGGAGAUGUUGGUGAAGAUGGCGGAGGUGUUGGUGAAGAUCGCGGUGAUGAUCUGGCUACCAUUCUACACUAUUAUGCAGCAGGCUCAUUUGGAUGAUCUGGCUGCCCAACAGGCUCAGAACGAGGAGGCUUGGAAUGCCCCUGUCCCUGCACAAGAGCAAAUUCAGGAAAAUGGUUGGAGGGCUUGUCCUGUGGUGCCCCCACCAUACACUGGUUUCAGCUUCAGGUCCUUUCUUUCAGUAUGAUGGCCCAUCUUUGAUGGAUGGAGUGGACCCUGAGAAAAAUGUGCAUGACAAUCUAUCUGACGUCUGGGCAUCUGAAGAUGAAGUUGCUGCAGUGGAGAGCCUGGCGGAUGGCUUUAUAAAUGGUAAUUUGGCUGCAAGGGAGGCUUUUGCUCGUGCUGGGGGUGACUCUGUUUAUGUCACCAUUACGCUGGAUCAUGAGCUGCUGCUGUGGAUGGGCUCGAUGCUCAAACGCAUCUACACGCGAGCCAUCACCAAUGGACACGCUGGGUCUAUUAUGCUUCCUCUUAACCCUUUCCAUCUGAUUCAAAAACAUUUGGAGGCAGCCUUGCUCUUUGGUUGCAGAAUCUGAAGCCUGAACCUGACCACAUAGCCAUCAUUUUCAGUGCUCGCUCUCUGUUGGGUGUUUGCAUUGGACCGCUGCAAUUAUCUGCUUCUUUUGGUGUCAUAACAGAGGUGACCCAGGUUUCUGAUGGUACCUUGUGUCUGUCACAGGAGAUCCCAAUUCCUAAUGUGCCAUCUCAUACUGCAAUCCAGGUUGAUCUGAAUGCCCCAACUACUGGCAUUGCUCUGCAAGUGUUGGCGUCCUCCUCUUCAUUUAAUUCUGCUGCAGGUCAUAAUGCCAAGGUACCUCUCGACACUACUGCUGUCCGGAGGAGUUCUAGAUGCAACAAAUAUGAUGGCUUCAAGGUUUCCAACGCUUCUGAGAUGAAACCCAGCUGCUCGAGGGUGAAGGCCAGGAUCGUCCCCACCGUCUCUGCUGUCUCCACGGCUGCUGCUCCAACUGCGUCGUGCCCUCCACCAACAACCAUCCUGGAGCUCCAGUAGGUGGGCGAUGGUUGCGGCAUUGAGCCUAAAGAUAUCUCUGAAGACAAGCUGCUGGCUACCCAGCAGAUUGCCUCUGAUGAGGCGGCCUGAUUUUCUUUCUGUUAAUGAAUAAAUCGUGGAACAUCUUGUCGUGCAACAUCAGAGGGAUUAACUCUGAUAGCAAACUUUUGGCUCUUAGGAAUGCUAUCGACUCUAGUGGUUGUUCUGUUAUAUGCAUUCAGGAAACCAAGCGGGAAUAUUUUGAUUUAGCGUUUAUUAAAUCUUUCUUCCCCAAGCGGUUUGAUAAAUUUGUUUUCGCGCCAUCAAUUGGGGCCUCGGGUGGAAUUAUCACUAUCUAGAACAGUUCUGUUUUUGUGGGCACACCUUGGCAUGUGGAAUCUUUUGCGGUGGGCGUUUCUUUUGUGGAUAAUCAGUCAAAUGAGUCAUGGAAUUUGGUCAAUGUUUACGGCCCAUGUACGGGUCAGAGACGGGUUGAUUUCACCUCCUGGCUAUUUGACCUCACCAUACCAGAUGAUAAAAAUUGAUUAUUUUUGGGUGACUUCAAUUACAUACGAUCCACUGAAAACAGAAAUAAGCCAGGGGGAGAUGCAUCUGAUAUGCUGUUGUUCAAUGAGCUUAUACGUGCACAAUCUUUAAUGGAAAUCCCAGUUAAGGGUAGAGCCUUCACGUGGAGUAAUAUGCAGGACGACACGCUCCUAGAACAGCUUGAUUGGUUCUUCUCAUCAUCAAAUUGGACCACAUCUUUCCCUAAUACGACGGUUCUACCUCUGGGAAAACCAGUCUCUGACCAUAUCCCAUGCGUGAUUUCAAUCGAAUCCAAAAUCCCAAAAUCAAACCUUUUUCGGUUUGAGAACUUCUGGAUCAAUCACCCUGGUUUCUCUGAUGUUGUGGCCAAUUCUUGGAGUAAACCAUGCCACGCCUCCAAUUCUGCUACUGUCGUUUGUAAGAAGCUCAAAACGCUUCGUUCUGAUCUCAAGCGUUGGAGUAGAGGUAUCUCCAAACUGAAGACCAUGAUUUAAAAUAGCAACAAUGCUCUAGCCAAUCUUGAUGCUUUAGAAGACAAGAGGGUUCUGUUUGUCUAGGAAGCAAACUUUAGAUGUAUCCUGAAAAGACACCCAACUGUCUCCUAAAGUAUCAGAAUGAAUAUUGGAGGAAAAGAUGCACCGUUAGAUAUUUCAGAUUUGCUGACGAGAACACUAAGCUGUUCCAAUCUCUUGCUACUGAACGCUUUAGGCAUAACUCAAUUGCCAGCUUGCAAGAUAGAGAUGUUGAGGUCACUGAUCAUGCUGGCAAGGAAGGGGUGUUGUUCAACACAUUCAAGGAACGUUUGGGGGCCUCUAAACCCACUAACAUGCGUUUUGAUCUGAACCGCAUCAUCAAAAAGGUGGAUGGCCUGGAUGUGCUCUCAGCCCCUUUUUCUAAUAGUGAGAUCGAUGCGGUGAUCAAAGAGAUGCCUACUGACAGGGCUCCAAGUCCCGAUGGUUUUAGUGGUUGCUUCCUCUAAACUGGCUGGCACAUUAUAAAGGAAGAUAUCUACAAAAUUUGUCAUGAUUUUCACGAAGGCAACCUUGACAUAUCCAGCAUCAAUGAGGGUUAUAUCACUCUCAUUCCAAAGAUCUCCUCUCCGCUUAUGGCUAAUUAUUUCAGGCCCUUAACAUUACUAAACUGCUGCCUGAAAAUUAUCACGAAAAUCCUAGCCAACCGCCUGCAAAAAGUCAUCCUGAAAAUCAUCCAUAGGAAUCAGUAUGGGUUCCUCAAGGGCCAUACCAUCCAGGACUGUUUGGCGUGGUCGUUCGAAUACAUCCACCAAUGUCAAACAUCUGCGAGAGAGAUAGUGUUACUGAAGCUUGACUUUGCCAAAGCAUUUGAUACAAUUGAACAUGAACCGAUGUUGUAGAUCAUGGAACACAUGGGCUUUGAUGAUAGGUGGCUCGGCUGGAUGAGGUCCAUUUUUUCUUCUGGGGUUUCUUCGGUUCUUUUGAAUGGGGUGCCUGGAAGAAAAUUUCUGUGCAAAUGUGGAGUGAGACAGGGCAACCCGCUGUCACCACUCAUCUUUGUUUUGGCGGCUGACCUACUUCAAGCGGGUAUUAAUGAUGCUUACACCCAAGGUUUAAUUGAGCUACCCUUUCCAUCCAACCGGAGAGGGGAUUACCCAGUGAUUCAAUACGCCGACGACACGAUCCUGGUCAUGCCUGCUUGCCCGGACCAAGCUGCCCGUAUGAAGUCCAUUCUGGUUGAUUAUGCUGAGUCAGUUGGCCUGAAAAUAAAUUUCCACAAAUCAACAUUGAUCCCAAUCAAUCUUGAUCUGCAACAGUCUCCUGUUUUGGCUUCUAUUUUUGGAUGCAACAUGGGGUCACUCCCUUUUACCUACCUGGGGAUUCCCAUGGGAACCACCAAACCAACGUUGCUUGAGCUAAUGCCUUUGGUGUGUGGGGUUGAGAGGAAGCUGUCCACGGCCCUGUCCCUGCUCUCAGCUGGCGCCAAACUCACAUUGGUCAACUCCACCAUCACUUCCAUGAUGAUAUAUGUGAAAGAUCGUGGAUGUCGCCUAGANNNNNNNNNNNNNNNNNNNNNNNNNNNNNNNNNNNNNNNNNNNNNNNNNNNNNNNNNNNNNNNNNNNNNNNNNNNNNNNNNNNNNNNNNNNNNNNNNNNNNNNNNNNNNNNNNNNNNNNNNNNNNNNNNNNNNNNNNNNNNNNNNNNNNNNNNNNNNNNNNNNNNNNNNNNNNNNNNNNNNNNNNNNNNNNNNNNNNNNNNNNNNNNNNNNNNNNNNNNNNNNNNNNNNNNNNNNNNNNNNNNNNNNNNNNNNNUUACGGUUGAGGCUUGAACAAAUGCGGAAUAAACCUAGCGGUUAAUUUGUCAAGCACAAAACCUACAACAACUAGGCUCACCUAUGUGCACCAACAACUUAUGCUAAGCAAGAAAAACUUCUUAGGUGAUAGCAAGAUAUAUGACAAGAAACAAUAUGGCUAUCACAAAGUAAAGUGCAUAAGUAAAGGGCUCGGGUAAGAGAUAACCGAGGCACGCGGAGACGAUGAUGUAUCUCGAAGUUCACACCCUUGCGGAUGCUAAUCUCCGUUUGGAGCGGUGUGGAGGCACAAUGCUCCCCAAGAAGCCACUAGGGCCAUCGUAAUCUCCUCAUGCCCUCGCACAAUGCAAGAUGCCGUGAUUCCACUAAGGGACCCUUGAGGGCGGUCACCGAACCCGUACAAAUGGCAACCCUUGGGGGCGGUCACCGAACCCGUACACUUUGGCAACCCUUGGGGGCGGUCACCGAAACCCGUCAAAUUGCUCGGGGCGAUCUCCACAACCUAAUUGGAGACCCCGACGCUUGCCCGGAGCUUUACACCACAAUGAUUGAGCUCCGAACACCACCAACUAUCUAGGGCGCCCAAGCACCCAAGAGGAACAAGCUCAAGGGUACCAAACACCCAAGAAUAAUAAGCUUCUCAACUUGUAACUUCCACGUAUUACGUGAAGAACUCAAACCGAUGCACCAAAUGCAAUGGCAAGGGCACACGGAGUGCCCAAGUCCUUCUCUCUCAAAUCCCACCGAAGCAACUAAUGCUAUGGAGGAAAAUGAGAGGAAGAACAAGAAGGAGAACACCGAGAACUCCAAGAUCAAGAUCUAAGGGGUUCCCCUCACAUAGAGGAGAAAGUGAUUGGUGGAAAUGUGGAUCUAGGUCUCCUCUCUCUUUUCCCUCAAAAACUAGCAAGAAUCCAUGGAGGGAUUGAGAGUUAGCAAGCUCGAAGAAGGUCAACAAUGGGGGAAGAACACGAGCUCAAAGAUAAGGUUCAUUGGGGAAGAAGACCCCCUUUUAUAGGACCUCCCGAAUCCAACCGUUAUGUGCUCAGGUCGUGCACAAGCUGUACUACCGCUUGGACGAGCGGUACUACCGCUUAGCACGGUCAAAACAGCCCAACGAGAGAGGAAACACGAGUUUUUGGUCCCGAGCGGAAGUAGCCAUGGAAGUAGCCGCGGUAGUACUGCUCCAAGCGGUAGUACCGCUCCCAAGAGCGGUAGUAAAAAAUUACUUCCGCUCCCGUCCGCGGUAGUACCGCUGCAGCCUUUUCAGAACACCAAAACUCACAACUUCUGCAAACGGACUCCGAAUUCAACGAAACCAAGUUUGUUGGAAAGCUAGCGACAAUGGCUAACACAAUCUUGAUAGAAAAAUCAAUAAGAAGCAAAUUAGAAAAGGCCCAAAAUAAAAUGGUGAGAACCCUUCCUCGGAUAAGACCGGUAAAACCUCCAACACCGAAAACAUCAUAGAAGACGCAUGCAAACUCCGUUUUCGAUGAACUCAAGCUUGUCAUCAAGAUGACCAUAAGCUCUAAGACUCACAAAGAGAACCAAACAAGAACCAAGAAACAUGAUGCAAGGAUGCAAUGGUUUGAGCUCUCGACGAACGAUACGAUCAAGCUACUCACUUGAGAGCCCCCCUUGAUAGUACAACUAUCGAUCCUAUAACCCGGUCUCCCAACUACCACCAUGAGACCGGUAAAAUAGAAAACCUAUGAAGGGAAAACCUUUGCCUUGCACAUGAUCCACUUGAGCUAGAUGAUGACGAUCUUGUCCUCCUCAAGAUGGACCACCUUUCUUGAUUGCGUUGGGUCGAUGGAGACUAGAUGAUUGCUCCCCCAUACUCCAGUAUGGGUGAGCCACUCUUCUGCACAUCUUCACAAGUCCAUUGACACCACAAUGGAUGGAAAGAUUCAAGCACUUGAUCUCUUCAUGAUGCUACACUUGAACUUGCACACGACAAUCUUGAUGACGAUCACUACUUGAUGUCAUCCUUUCCAUGGGUUAUAUGAUAUCUUCCUCUUGACGCAAGCCCAUGGACACGUACCUAACCCCACAUACAACUCUCACAUAGACCAUGGGUUAGUACAUAAAGUGUAAUGGACAAUGCUUACCAUACCAUGGGAUCACUUGAUCCCUCUCAGUACAUCUUCUAUGCUUUGUGAGUUGAUCAACUUGAUUCACUCUUGACUUAGUCUUGAUCAACCUUGAAUCUUUGCAACUCUCUUCAUUUGGAUGAUGUCUUGAAGGUAAACAUGAAUGAUCACACAACCUUCUUCUUCAAGACAUGCCUGCAAUAAGCUCAACACUCACAUGACCAAUCUUUGGAUAAUUCCUUAAUAGCACCUUGGUCAACACAUAAACUCCUUGAAACCAACACAUGGACUUCAAGAAAUGCCUAUGGACAAAUCCUUCAAAUAUAACUCAAUGCAACCAUUAGUCCAUAGAGAAUGUCAUCAAUUACCAAAACCACACAUGGGGGCACCGCAUGUCCUUUCAAUCUCCCCCAUUUUGGUAAUUGGUGACAAUCACUUUCAAGAGAGUUUAUACAAGGAAUUAUGCUUCCCUAGCAAUGCAACACCCAAUAGUGCAUGCGUAUGAGAUGCACAUGCUUCGGAACACAACCAAAGCAAGAGGAUAAAACUUUGAAACCUUCUCCACAAAACUCUCUGAAACUUCUCCCCCAUUGGCAUCGAUUGCCAAAAUGGGCGAAAAGCUUAGAAGGCCAAAAUAAAUUGUGGUCCUCCAUAAAUUGUGUAUUUCUCAACAAGAGAGUGGAAUGCAAUACACAUAUCCAACUGUCAAUACUUGGAGGAAGACAGACUAUAUUGAGGCCCAAAGAUUGCAACAAAGAGAUAUGCCACAAAGACAUAACAAAGAGAGACACAAGCAAUCAGAAGAUACCAAUUGAAGCAAGCAAUCAACGGAUAUCAAUUGAAUCAACUAGACCAAUGAUCCUACGUGUCACAUGAAUAAAGAUAUUAUGAUAUGAGCAGAGGAUUGUUCUAAAGAAACUAGAGAAUCCCCCCAUGAUUUGUGCACAUCAAGAAUUUUUGUAUUUGGAUACAAAGUGCACAAAAUAGGAUCAUAGCUCCCCCAAAAUCAAUAGAAACUCACAACCAGUGCAAGUGGGCAAAUAGGAGACAAAGCCUAGCACUUGUAAGAAGCACAUGGUUGAGCAACAUGUAACAGAGGCGACUAAGAAUAGGCUCAACCAACACCAAUGUGUGUGAGUCAAGGCAAUGCACUUGAGAAGACUAAUGUACGGAUAAGCAUUAAGCAUCAAUAUAGUCUUGAAAGAAUGAGAUACACGGUGCAAGGCAUUUCAUUCCCAUACACAAGAAGCAAACGGGUUCACAAGAUCACUAAUAAGCAUAUAAAGAACCUAUGCUUGUGACAACCCAUGGUGAAGAUAGAAGAUGAAAGCCUCAUCAAGACGAGGAAUACCAAGAUGGCAACCUCGUAAAGAUAAGCAUGAGGAAAUAAUCUUCACCACACAAGAGUGCAUCAAGAUGCAACGAUAUAAGACAUGCACUCAAGACAAAACCUUUCACGGAGCCACCAAAGAAAUAACAUAAGAAAGACAAGGUGGACGUGAAAGAAAGGAUAUCACCUAGAGAUGUAAUUUCUCUCAAGUGUAUAAGGGUCUAGGUAGAUGAAAUCAUGACGAUAUAUAUCUACAAAGAAGGAUGUACACCCGAAAUAGUUACAACAUGAAGGAACAAGAUAUCCAAAAGGAAGUCAUACAUAUACCAAUAAGAUAUGUGCUUGGAAGCAUAGCCCAAGGCUAGAUAUGGUCUUAUUGUAUAUAAAUGAAUUCCUACCACACAACCAUCAAAGACAUCACAACUAGCAACAAGAGAUCAUUGUUGGGAUGCUUUGAGAAAGGAAACAAGUAUCACAAGAAAGAAAGAAUAACAUGCCAUGAUACAACCCACACACGAUUGAUGCAAUAAUGUGUGCAUGUAGUAGAUGAUGAUACUUGUUACCGAGAUAACAUUGGAAGGAUGUAGUAGAUACCAAUUGAAGGUAGAAAGUAGUUCAUCGAUCAUCCUAGCUUGACUCCAAUAAGCACAUGGUGACAACACCUUCCUUUUGAAUGAGCCGAGUAUCCAAUGCAUCUCCAAUUGUUCCUAGAACAACAACACAAACAAAAUGGCACCCAAACUCAUUGGGACCAAAGAGUUAGAGAACCAACAAUACAUAGGACAAACUCCACAUAGAUAUAUGCAUAUAGAUAUGAAAAUGAAUCUCAUGCACAUCUCAUCCAAUUUGAGACUUGGUGGAGUUUCCCCUAUAUAUUGGGUCAAAGAAAGAAAACAUGCCAAAGGAACUACAUGAAAUUAAAAUGCAUGCUCAAGACUUCCAAGAAUCGAUACCAAAAUACAAGGAAAAACCAAGUGAAAAGGAUACCAAAUGGAGAAAUCAUCACUUGGAAGAUAUCAUUAAAAGAUACAUCAAGGAAUGAGAUAUCCAUUGGAACACACACAAAAAAAGAUGUCAAACUCCCAAAGGAGAGGAUGGUUCCAAACAAACCAAGCUGUCUACAAAGUUUCAUGUUGGCACAAAGUACCAAAAGAAACGACUUGCCAUCCACCCACACACACUUAAUAUGGAUCACAAUAUGAGUGUUUUAUAGAAAAUAGGAUAGCUCCCCCAAGACUAGUGCAUUAUAGAGAAUUUGCAUUUGAAUACAAAAUGCACAAGGUGGGAUCACCACUUUCACUAUAUCUAGAAAACACUAAACACGAGAAAUAUGUUGAAGCGAAGGCACUAUGCUGUGGCAAACAACAACUAUGCCUGUAUGCUCUGCCAGAAUCCUCCUGAGGAAAUAGUUGAUCACCUAUUUUUCACCUGCCCCUUUAGCCAACAUUGUUGGGACAAGGUUGGUCUGACAUGGCCGCAUAAUGGCAACAGGAUUUCCAUCUUGCAUGAGGGUAAAAAUCGCUAGAGGCAACCUUUGUUCAUGGAUAUUUUUUUGAUGGCCGCCUGGAGCAUAUGGAAGGAGAGGAACAAUGAGUUCUUCAGGGGUGUUCUGCACUCUUUCGCUGCAUGGCUUGAUAGAUUCAAACAUCUGUUGGGCCUCCUUGCUCAUAAUUGUAAAGAAGAGCUUCAUCCCUUCUUAAGCACUUUCACACAUAACUUGUAGGAGGCACACAUUGUUUCUUUUUCUUUGUACAUAUAGGGUGUAGGGGGACCCUGCAAAACCCCCAUGUAAACAUGUAACACCCAUCUGUGAGUAAUACAAAGUCAGUGGGAGCCUCUCCCACUGUCAUUCAUCGUAAAAAAAAGAUCGUGGUGAUGAUGAUGGCCCCCGGCAGCACUCCGGCGCCACCGGAAGCAAGGGGGAGAGAGGGCCCCUUCUUCUUCUUCUUCCUUGACCUCCUCCCUAGAUGGGAGAAGGGUUUCCCCUCUGGGCCUUGGCUCCCAUUGCUUGGGAGGGGCGAGAGCCCCUCCGAGAUUGGAUCUAUCUCUCUGUUUUUGUGUCCUCUGUUUCUGCCCGUUCACCGUUUCCUUUAUAUCUGGAGAUCCGUAACUCCGAUUGGGGUGAAUAUUUCGCCCAGAUUUUUCUUGUAAAAUUAGCUUUCUUGCGGAAAAAUAAGAGCGUCAACCGCCUUACUGGUGGCCCACGAGAGUCCAGGGCAUGCCUAGGGGGUGGGCACGCCCCUUGUCUCGUGGCCACCUCGGACACUGUUUCGCGUUGAUUCUUCCUCCGGAAAAUCCAAAAUAUUCCAAAAUAAUUCUCCGUCCAUUUUUAUCCCGUUUGGAUUCCGUUUGAUAUGGGUUUCCUGCGAAACAUCAAACAUGCAACAGACAGGAACUGGCACUGGGCACUGGAUCAAUAUGUUAGUCCCAAAAAUAGUAUAAAAAGUUGCCAAAAGUAUGUGAAAGUUGAAUAAUAUUGGCAUGGAACAAUCAAAAAUUAUAGAUACGGCGGAGACAUAUCACCAUCCCCAAGCUUAAUUCCUGCUCGUCCUCGAGUAGGUAAAUGAUAAAAAAGAUAAUUUUUGAUGUGGAAUGCUACCUAGCAUAAUCUUGAUCAUAUGUCUAAUCAUGGCAUGAAUAUUAAGACACGAGUGAUUCAAAGCAAUAGUCUAUCAUUUGACAUAAAAAACGAUAAUACUUCGAGCGUACCAAUAAAGCAAUCAUGUCUUUUCAAAACAACAAGGCCAAAGCAAGCUUAUCUCUACAAAAUCAUACAGUUUGGCCAUGCUUCAUCUUCGUCACACAAAAUGCUCCCAUCAUGCACAACCCCGAUGAUGAGCCGAGCAAUUGGUUCAUACCUUUUAAUGCGCUUCAGCUUUUUCAACCCUCACACAAUACAUGAGAGCAAGCCAUGGAUAUAGUACUAUAGGUGGAAUAGAAUAUAAUGGUGGAGGUUUAUAUGGAGAAGACAAAAACGGAGAAAGUCUCACAUCGACGCGGCUAAUCAACGGGCUAUGGAGAUGCCCAUCAAUUGAUGUCAAUGCGAGGAGUAGGGAUUGCCAUGCAAUUGAUGCACUACAGCUAUAAGUGUAUGAAAGCUCAAACUGAAAACUAAGUGGGUGUGCAUCCAACUUGCUUGCUCAUGAAGACCUAGGGCAUUUGAGGAAGCCCAUCGUUGGAAUAUACAAGACAAGUUCUAUAAUGAAAAAUUCCCACUAGUAUAUGAAAGUGACAACAUAAGAGACUCUCUAUAUGAAGAACAUGGUGCUACUUUGAAGCACAAGUGUGGAAAAAGGAUAGUAACAUUUCCCGUUUUCUUUUUCUUUUUUUUCUUUUUUAUCCUUCUUCUUUUUUCUUUCGUGGGCUUCUUUGGCCCCCUUUUUUAUUUAGGCUUCUUUGGCCUUUCCUUUUUUUUUUCCUUUUUUCCUUUUUCUUUUUUUAUGGGGCAAUGCUCUAUAAUGAUGAUCAUCACACUUUUAUUUACUUACAACUCGAUAUUACAACUCGAUACUAGAACAAAGAUAUGACUCUAUAUGAAUGCUUCCGGCAGUGUACCGGGAUGUGCAAUGAUCUAGCGUAGCAAUGACAUCAAAACGGACAAGCCAUGAAAACAUCAUGCUAGCUAUCUUACGAUCAUGCAAAGCAAUAUGACAAUAAAUGCUCAAGUCAUGUAUAUGAUGAUGAUGGAAGUUGCAUGGCAAUAUAUCUUGGAAUAGGUAUGGAAAUGCCAUAAUAGGUAGGUAUGGUGGCUAUUUUGAGGAAGAUAUAAUGAGGCUUAUGUGUGAUAGAGCGUAUCAUAUCACGGGGUUUGGAUGCACCGGCGAAGUUUGCACCAACUCUCGAGGUGAGAAAGGGCAAUGCACGGUACCGAAGAGGCUAGCAAUGAUAGAAAGGUAAAAGUGCGUAUAAUCCAUGGACUCACAUUAGUCAUAAAGAACUCAUAUACUUAUUGCAAACGUUUAUUAGCCCUCGAAUCAAAGUACUUCUACGCAUGCCCCUAGGGGGAUAGAUUGGUAGGAAAAGACCAUCGCUCGUCCCCGACUCCCACUCAUAAGGAAGACAAUGAAAGAAACACCGCAUGCUUCAAAUUUGUCACACAACGGUUACCAUACGUGCAUGCUACGGGACUUGCAAACCUCAACACAAGUGUCUCUACAAUCCACAACCACCCACUAGCAUGACUCUAAUAUAACCAUCUUUAUAUCGCAAAACUAUUGCAAGGAAUCAAACAUAUCAUAUUUAGCGAUCUACAAGUUUAUAUAGGAUUUUAUGACUAACCAUGUGAAUGACCAAUUCCUGUCAUCUCUCUAAAUAGAUAUAAAUGAAGCAAGAGAUUUUAAUUCUUUCUACAAAAGAUAUGCCCACGCUUUAACAAAUAUAAGUGAAGCAAAAGAACAUUCUACAAAUGGCGGUUUUCUAUGUGAAGAGAAACAGGCAAUCCAAACUUCCAAUGAUAUAAGUGAAGCACAUGAAGCAUUCUAUAAAGCCAUACUCAAAAGAUCUAAGUGAAGUGCAAUGAGCAUUCUAUAAAUCAACCAAGGACUAUCUCAUACCAGCAUGGUGCAUAAAAUAAAAGUGAAAACUAAAUGCAAAAGACGCUCCAAGACUUGCACAUAUCGCAUGAACGAAACGAAUACGAAAACAUAUCGAUAUUUGUUGAAGAAAGAAGCUUAGACGCUUGAGUAUACUUGAAUAUUUACUUGGAUUGCCUCGGGCAUCCCCAAGCUUGAGCUCUUGCCUCUCUUCCUUUUCCAAAUAUCGAGACAUCCUCGCUUAGACACUUCAUCCACACAAAACUUCAACAGAAAACUUGGUAAGAUCCGUUAGUAUAAUAAAGCAAAUAACCACUCUAAGUACUGUUGCAAACCAAUUCAUAUUUUGUUUUUGCAUUGCGUCUACUGUAAUAUAACUUUUUCAUGGCUUAAUCCACUAAUAUAAAUUGAUAGUUUCAUCAAAACAAGCAAACUAUGCAUCAAAAACAGAAUCUGUCAAAAACAGAACAGUCUGUAGCAAUCUGAACAUCCACCAUAUUUAUGGUACCCCAAAAAUUCUACCAAAAUUAGGAAAAAAAAGUUGUAUAGCAAGACAAUGCAAAAGGAAUCAAAACCAAUUGACCUUCCAGUUAAAAAUUUAAAAUCGAGCACUACAGCCAAAGUUUCUGUCCUGCACUGUACAAACCAACAAGCAUUGUCAAUAUCCUAAAGGCAAACCUUGGCACAUUAUUUUUAUAAUACAAUGGAAUUGUACAAGGGGAUAAUUAUUUUUGUUGAAAAGUUUCUGUAAUCAAGAUUCACAAAGUUUCCAUGAGCAUGAACAAAGUCCAAGGCUAGCUCCCACUUCAACAAUGCUUGUCUUUCUCACUUUCACUUUCCUUUUUGAAAAGUUUUUAGGUUCCCCUCUUUAUUUUUUUUGUUUUUAAACUAUAUAAAAUCACUCAAUAGAAAUAAAUGACUCUCUAAAACUUCUGGGUUGUCUCCCUGGCAGAGCUGUCUUUAAAGCCAUUAAGCUAGGCGUUUAGUGCUCAAGUAAUGAAUCCACCCGGAUCCCAAGGUAUAUCAAAGCCAAUUUUAAUUAACAAUGAUUUGUAAUUUAGUAGUGAGCACAAAGUAACAUAUAUCAUGCAACAACGAAGUCUAACUCUCUUCCUAUGCAUCGGCAUGUCAUAAUAGAACAAUUCAUGCACACCAAGUAAAGGCCAAUGCAUAGUAUAAACAGUUUCGUGCAAUUCUAUCGUAUUGGGGACAUAGAGAGGUGGAGAUAAAGUUCCUCUCUCAUAAUAAUUGCAAGUAGGAGCAGCAAGCACAUUCAUAUUAUAUUCAUCAAAAUCAUCAUGUGCAAUGGUAAAAGGCAAUCCAUCAAUAUAAUCCUUAAUAAGCACAAACUUCUCCGAUAUAGUGUAGUAGGGAGAAUUCAAAAAGAUAAUAGGACUAUCAUGUGUGGGUGCAAUAGAAACAAUUUCAUGUUUAACAUAAGGAACUAUAGCAAGUUCAUCUUCAUAAGCAUAAUUCAUAUUAGCAUCUUGGCCACGAGCAUAGCAAGCAUCAUCAAAAAGGGACAUUUCAAGAGAAUCAACGGGAUCAUAGCAAUCAUCAUAGCAACCAUCCUUCGGUAAGCACGAAGGGGAAUUAAACAAUGUAUGAGUUGAAGAGUUACUCUCAUUAGAAGGUGGGCAUGGGUGAUCAAUCCGCUCUUCCUCCUUUUGUUCUUCGCUCUCCUCAUCAUCUUUUUCAUCCAAUGAGCUCACAGUUUCAUCAAUUUCUUCUUCCAUAGCUUCCUGCAAAAUAUUAGUCUCUUCUUGGACAGUGGAGAAGACCUCAAUAUAUGGUUUAACAUAGGCAUUAGAAGCAUAAUUAUCAUAACAAUAUUCAAGUAUGGCAAAGUUUUCAGAUUUGUAGAGAGUAGCAUCAUACUUUUGAAUCAAAGAAGCAAUUUCAUAAGCACCCUUAAAAGCAACAAAUUCUUCAAUAUGUUGAACAUCAUAGUAAUUAUAAACACCUUUAGCAUAUGAAGAUACAAUCCCAUUAUCAAACUCACAUUGGUAGGGAAGGUGUUUCUUAGGGUUUUCAGAACAACAAGUAAUAUCAUAUAUUUCACAUAAAUUCCAAGCAUAGCAUUGCAAACGUUGAAUUUGAUCCCAUAAUAGUUUCCCUUUUUUAGAUAUAUGGUGUCGCACAUAACAUGCAUGCUCAUCUAAAGAUUUGCCCUCAACUAAGCUAGUGGGGGUUUCAGCACGAGCACAUAGGGAUCAAAGACGAUCCAAGUAAAAAGCUUCAGGAGUGCGAUAGAUUUUGAGUGGUUCUUCAACCAUUGGUGCAGUAGGUACAACUAACUUUUUUGGUAUUUUGCGUUUCCUAGAAAACAACUAAGAACAGAAAGUAAAAAUUACUUAGUGAUAAAGCAAACAAGCACACACAAGAAUAUUCUCCCCACGCUAUGAUUCCCCGGCAACGGUGCCAGAAAAAGGUCUUGAUAACCCACAAGUGUAGGGGAUCGCAACAGUUUUUGAUAAGUAAGAGUGUCGAACCCAAUGAGGAGCUAAAGGUAGAAUAAAUGUUCCCUCAAGUUCUAUCGACCACCGAUACAACUCUAUGGACGCUUGACGUUCGCUUUACCUAGAACAAGUAUGAAACUAGAAGUACUUUGUAGGUGUGAUAGGAUAGGUUUGCAAGAGCAUAAAGAACACGUAAAUAAAAAUUAGGGGCUGUUUAGAUAAAGAUGCAAGAAAUUAAAUAUAGUGAGUUUGGAAAAGUGGUGGUAGGAGUUGUGAAAUUGUCCCUAAGAAAUUGACUAUGUUACUAGACCGGUAAUCACUAUCGAAAUUCUAUUUGAGGGUACAGCGGGAUGCGGGAGAGUGGACCGCUGGAUAUAUGCACUUAUGAUUGGAACUCUAGCAAGCAUCCGCAACUACUAAAGAUUCAUUAAGGUAAAACCCAACCAUAGCAUUAAAGUAUCAAGUCCCCUUUAUCCCAUACGCAAUGAUCUACAUACUCGGGUUUGUGUUUCAGUCACUCACGCAACCCACUAUAAGUGAAUCAUGAACGCAUUGCAACACCCUACAGCGGGAAUCCCUCAUGCUUGUGCGACACGGAGGGCACCAUAGGACAUCACCAAUAAUAAAAUAUGCAACUCAAACCAAUCAUAGCAAUUCAUCAAUCACCGAUAGGACAAUGAAAAUCUACUCAGACAUCAUAGGAUGGCGACACAUCAUUGGAAAACAAUAUGAAGCAUAAAGCACCAUGUUCAAGUAGAGGGUACAGCGGGAUGCAGGAGAGUGGACCGCUGGAUAUAGAUGGGGGAAGGUGAUGGAGAUGUUGGUGAAGAUGGCGGAGGUGUUGGUGAAGAUCGCGGUGAUGAUGAUGGCCCCCGACAGCGCUCCGGCGCCACCGGAAGCAAGGGGGAGAGAGGGCCCCUUCUUCUUCUUCUUCCUUGACCUCCUCCCUAGAUGGGAGAAGGGUUUCCCCUCUGGUCCUUGGCUCCCAUGGCUUGGGAGGGGCGAGAGCCCCUCCGAGAUUGGAUCUAUCUCUCUGUUUUUGCGUCCUCUGAUUCUGCCCCUUCACGGUUUCCUUUAUAUCUGGAGAUCCGUAACUCCGAUUGAGGUGAAUCUUUCGAGAUUUUUCUUGUAAAAUUAGCUUUCUUGCGGCAAAAGAAGAGUGUCAACCGCCUUAUAGGUGGCCCACNNNNNNNNNNNNNNNNNNNNNNNNNNNNNNNNNNNNNNNNNNNNNNNNNNNNNNNNNNNNNNNNNNNNNNNNNNNNNNNNNNNNNNNNNNNNNNNNNNNNNNNNNNNNNNNNNNNNNNNNNNNNNNNNNNNNNNNNNNNNNNNNNNNNNNNNNNNNNNNNNNNNNNNNNNNNNNNNNNNNNNNNNNNNNNNNNNNNNNNNNNNNNNNNNNNNNNNNNNNNNNNNNNNNNNNNNNNNNNNNNNNNNNNNNNNNNNNNNNNNNNNNNNNNNNNNNNNNNNNNNNNNNNNNNNNNNNNNNNNNNNNNNNNNNNNNNUGGCCACCUCGGACACUGUUUCGCGUUGAUUCUUCCUCGAGAAAAUCCCAAAUAUUCCAAAAUAAUUCUCCGUCCGUUUUUAUCCUGUUUGGAUUCCGUUUGAUAUGUUUCCUACGAAACAUAAAACAUGCAACAGACAGGAACUGACACUGGGCACUGGAUCAAUAUGUUAGUCCCAAAAAUAGUAUAAAAAGUUGCCAAAAGUAUAUGAAAGUUGAAUAAUAUUGGCAUGGAACAAUAAAAAAUUAUAGAUACAACGGAGCCGUAUCAGGGUCAUCUUCACACAAUCCCAUGUAAUGAACAAGAAAGGGAUAAAGAGUUGGCUUACAAUUGCCACUUCACACAAGUACUUAAAUAAAUCAUACAUCAUUCAUAGUACACAAUAGUCCAACUACGGACAAAUCCAAAUGAAAAGAAGAUAACCCCAAAUGAUAGAUCCCCAAUUGUCCCAACUGGGCUGCACUACUGAUCAACAUGAAAUGAAACAUAACAACGACCAAGAUCUUCGUUGAGCUCCCAACUGAGCUCGGUUGCAUCACCAGCACUGGUAUCAUCGGCACCUGCAACUGUUGUGAUAGGAUCUGGUGAGUCACGAGGACUCAACAAUCUCAAAACCCGUGAGAUCAAGACUAUUUAAGCUUAUGGGUAGGAAGUGGGAAUGAGGUGGAGUUGCAGCAAACACUAAGCAAAUAUGGUGGCUAACAUACGCAAAUAAGAGCGAGAAGAGAAGCAACCCAACGGUCGAGAAGCUAGAAGUGAUCAAGAAGUGAUCCUGAAACUACUUACGCACAAUCAUAACAUAAAAACCGUGUUCACUUCUCGGACUCCGCUGAAAAGAGUCCAUCACGGCUACACACGCGGUUGAUGCAUUUUAGUUAAGUCAAGUGUCAAGUUCUCUACAACCAGAUAUUAACAAAUUCACUUCUGCCACAUAACCGCGAGCACGACUUUUAAAAGUUUAUACCCUGCAGGGGUGUCCCAACUUAGCCCAUCACAAGCUCUCACGAUCAGCAAAGGAUAUUCCUUCUCCCGGGAAAACCCGAUCAGCCUCGGAAUCCCGGUUACAAGACAUUUCGACAAUGGUAAAACAAGACCAGCAAGACCGCUCGACUGUGCCGACAAAUCCCAAUAGGAGCUGCACAUAUCUCGUUCUCAGGGCACACCGGAUGAACACUAUGUACAACUAAAACCAACCCUUAAGUUUCCCCGAGGUGGCGCUACAAGUGGCUCUAGUUCGGACCAACACUUAGAGAAGCACUAGCCCGGGGGGGGGGGGGUUAAAAUAAAGAUGACCCUCGGGGCUGCAGACCCCAAGGGAGGGUUAUAGGUUGUUAGGCAAAUGGAAAACCAAUGUUGGGCCUUGCUGGAGGAGUUUUAUUCAAGAGUGGAACAAAACACCAGGCAUAAGGCCGAGCCUUCCACCCUUUACCAAAUAUAUAGAUGCAUUAAUUAAAAUAAGAGAUAUUGUGAUAUCCCAACAUAACCAUGGUCCAAGAUGGAGCAAUCUUCAACUUCACCUGCAACUAGCAACGCUAUAAGAGGGGCUGAGCAAAAAUGGUAACAUAGCCAAACAACGGUUUGCUAGGAAGGGUGAAAAAGUUAGAGGCUGACGUGGCAAUAUGGGAGGCAUGGUAAACAAGUGAAAGGUAGCGCAACAUAGUGAUUGAACGAAGCAACUAGCAAGCAAAUAUAGAAAGUAUAUCGAGGGUAAUGGUCAUCUUGCCUAAGAUCCCGCAAGGAAAAAGAAUGAGUCCAUGAAGAAGACAAAUGGACGUAGUCGAACAAAUCCUCACAAAGGCAACAUUACCGGAACUAUCGAGGGGAAGUGCAACCGGAAAGAAGCAAACAACAUGGUAAACAACCAUUACAUAAACAUGGCAUGAUGCACAAGUAUGAUGCAUGUCCUGUUUAAAGAGGCAUGGCAUGGCAAAGUGCAACAAACAAUACUACACAUUAAGUGGAGCUCAAUAUGCAACGAGUUGCAUAUUGACGAAACACCACAUCAAUUAUUUAGUUCUCUCUCAGUUAUGUACCCAACAAUAUUAAAUGUCAUUAAACAUGGCAAGAUGUGAAACAUAGUAAAACUAUCUAGCUAGGCAAGUUUAGAUGAGGCCGGAAAUAACAAACAACAAUUCCGGAAAAUCCUCAUGUGCAUAUUUCGAAUUCGGUACUGUUCUGCCCUAAACCAUAUUUUAAUGUUGUUAAGCAGUAAAACAAAGUGCACCAUGUUAAACUAUGCAUUUUUCCACCCCAUUUACAUAUAAAGUUUAUUAAAAUUGGAGCUACGGUUAUUUAGUUAUGAAAUAAAUCAUUUUAGCAUGGCAUUUGAGCAAAUUUAAUCAAACAACAUUUUAAACAUUUCAAACAUGGAUGAAAGUUGCAUAUUAUUAAACUAGAUGAAAUUCUAAGCAUUUUACAUGUUUAAAUCAUUUUAAUCCAAUGCACCAUUUGUGAGUUAUUAAAUGCAUGAUCUAGAGGUACUUUUCUGCAAAUCUGCACUCUCUGGAUAAAUACUAAAAUCUCUGGAGAGGAAAAAAACAUAACGUGCUGAAUCAAGUUGGCCUAACAGGAGGAAAAACAGAGGAGGGGGCGCUGCUCACGUUGGGCCUUGAGGCCGAAUCUGGAGCUGGGCCAGGGGCGCUGGGAUGAGGCAGCCCACGCAGCAGGACGACGCGUCCACGACGCGGGCGAACGGGCGGUCAACGCGGGGCGGGGCGCUCGUCUUCGAAACAGAGGAAGCAGGGCCAGUGGACUUGGCAAAGGGCGGUGCGACGGACAACGACGAUGGACUAAGGCAAAGCAGGGGUCUCGGGAAUGGCGGGAAUUGAGCACGGAGGAGGCCAGGAGGCGCGGGGACGGCGGAUCCAGGCGACGGCGCGCCCGGCAAGAACUUGGCAACGAUGGUUCCUUGCUGCGGCAAGAGCAGAGAGAAAGAUGUGAGAGAGAGUGUUAGGAAAGGGAGAGAGACAGGGAAAGAGAGGAGCGGGAUGAGGCCGGUCUUGGUCGUGGUCGCCGGAGGGCACGGCCUGCGGUGUUGGCGAGGAGGCAGUCGGGAACGCCGGGGUGAGGUACGAGGCGACGAGGAGGAGGCAGGGCCUCGGGUGCUCGUGGACGAGGGACUUGUGGAGGUGGCUAUGGAGCUCAGUGAUCAACGCAGAGGAGGAGGUGCUUGGGAAGCACGGGAGCACGGCGAUGAGGGUCGGCGUGGAGUGGAUCGAGGGGGGCUGCUGGCAUCUGGAUCGAGGAGAAGCAGUGGAGAGCGAUGGUUGGGGAGGGAUGGAUCUCGAGGGGGAUUUGGUGAGUGGGUGGCGGCGGCUAAUCCAAGGAGGGGAUGGGACAAGAGGGCUAGGAUCUAGGGUUUUGAUUGAUUUAGUAAGUAGGUGGCCUAUAUAUAUACGAAAGGGGGAUGAUUUGGAUCUUGCAAUCGCGAUCGGGCGGUCCGUAAUAAAUAGGUAGGGAGUCCUAAUAAGAAAACCAAGAUAUUUUAGGGAUGUUAGGGGAUGAUUCGAAUCCAAUGGAGAUGACUGAGCGGGUCAGGUUCAGGGCAGGUUUCAGACAUGCGCAAGAGGGGGUCGGUGGUUGUGUAGAGAGGUUAGGUGGUCAGACAAGAGGGACUCUAAAAACCCGGUUGGUCUCGGAAUGGUCAAAGGAGGCAAGGGGAAUGCGGCAACUACGAAUAGGUGUGAGUUUUAUGAAAACAUGCAGAUGCAAUGCACAUGAUGCCAUGAGAUGAGAUGCAUGACAUGAACAAAAUGCAAAACAAAAGACAAAAACCCAACCACCGAGAAAAUAAUAUAUCACAUAGCCGAAAAUGGCAAGAGUUGGAGUUUCAAUUAUGGAAAGUUAUAUCCGGGGUGUUACAACACUCCACCACUACAAGAGGACCUCGUCCCGUGAUCUAGGAUGGCACCGGGAAGAAACGGAAGAGGAGGAGAAGAGGUAAAACUAAGUUUCUUCUUUGAUGAAUGAGUGAAACCAUGAACCUUGAGAGGUUGAGCAAUUUAAAAGAAAGAGUACAACAGAGAUGAACUAGAUUGCAAACAAUCCAUUAGAAAAGAGUAACAAGGAACAUUACGAGAACUUGAAGGUUGCAAAGACAUGAAUCAAGAGUUAAUGGACAAGAUAGAAUUCGAAACCACUCCAGUUAAAACAAGAUGAGAGAGGAAGAAUUCGGGCAGCACUCCGGUUGAACAUGGAAGGAAUAGAACAUGAACUUGAGAAGAUGGGAUGAUACUUGAUGAAAACAACAACACACUGCCUCCGGAACUAUUGAAAGAAUGGCACAAUGGCUAAGAAGGAUUUCAGACAGCACUCAGGUUGAAAAGAGAGGCAAAACUUGAUAAGAUGAAAGAAGUUGAAUGAGAACACAACACUUCGGUUAAAUGGAUAAGCAAGAAAAUAACAUGAUCUUGACAAAACAAGGUGAUGGGUGAAGAGAGAAACAUCACAAUGCCUCCGGAAGAAAUAAUAGAAGAUAGAUCAUUGGAAUAAAAGAAUGGAGAAGAAAAUGCCAACUUCUGCCACAAAUGAACUUGGAAAGCACCCUUCCAAGAAGGUUACAACGGGGUUGUUGGAAAAACCAACAAUGAAACGAAUAAGUUUGUAGUGGGCUUAUGGAAAACUUCUCAAAAUUUGAGGUUAAAUUCUGCCACUAACGAAUCAAUGAUAGGUUGAGAUCAACGAAGGGAUGAAAACUUGUUUCGCCGAGAGGAUAGGAGAAAACUUGGAUCAUUAAUAAGCACCAUAAAUAGCUACAUUCCUUAGGGAAGGCUGCAGGUGAGAUAUAACGCAAUAUAACUCCAACAAAAGAUUGAUUGGUUGAAAAGAUCUCUUGAACGAACAGAAAAUGAUGGAUUUAAAUAUGUCAGUCUUGAAAACUUGUGAAUCAUGAAACACGAAGGAAAAUUAUCAAGAAUGACAUAACACUGCCUCAAAAGAUAAGGUAGGAAGAAUUGCACUUCGGAUGCAAGAUGAAGAAUGCUUGAACUACUCAAAACAAAACAUGUGUUGGGCACCAUGUUUAUUUUAGAGUAUAGCUUGGCGGAUCUUAGCUUCGAGAGAAAUCUUGAAGAACAACUGAAGAAUGAAAAGAAUUCUUGACGAACCACGAUGUAGAGCCUCCGUGAAAAACUCCAGUAAUAAAAGGAUGAUAGAAAGAAAGAGAAGUUGAAAACACAAGGUGAAGCCUUGCGAUGAUUUAGAAGGAGCUUCACGACGAGAUAACUGAGAACUUGGAACUCCAAAAACAAAAGAUGAAGCAUCUCGAACCGAGAAUGUGAUAUGAUGAACAACUCCGAAAAUAAGAAAUUUAUCACUUGGAUGAAACAAGAAUAAUAAUUAUGUUAUGCGUAUCCUUCACCAAUUUAAAUUGAUGACAAGCAACGGAUUUAGCAUGCCACUUAUUCUCGUAGAAAGGAUUAAGAGAGAUAUAGCGUAAACUAGAGAAAAGUCUUCAACGAUCUACCGGUAGGAUUUAAACAACGAAUAAAUUAAUAUGAGAACAUAGGAAGAGGAAUCUUGAACAAACCACCAGUAGGAUUCAAAAAGAACGAAUUAAUUGAUAUGAUAACAAAGGAAGAGGAAUGUUGACCACCAUAAAAAUUGAAAAUGAAAGUAGCAAAGGCACAAUUCACGGGGAAGAAUUGGAAAACGAAUGAAGAUACUUGAGGGGAUUUAGAUACAUGAGAACGAAGAGAUCAUGAACUGAUUAGAGGGUAUUUGAACGAUGCACCGGUAAGAUUUGGAGAACGAUAGCUACACGCUAAGAAUGAAGAAUUAUGACAUGAUGGCCUUCGGAGGAAAUAAAUGGAAACAACUCAUGAAAUGCUCUGGAUGGGUGAAAAGAAUUCUCACAAUUGAAAACAAUUAUGAAAGGAUGGCAUCAAGCUUGAACUACACAUCUUUGGAAGAACGGGUAAGGAUUUAAGAGGAACUCUUUUUCGGUCUUCAAAGCUGAGAAUGACGAGGAGAAACACCACCCAAUUGUUGAGACACUCCGGAAGGAUUAAAAGAGGAAAGGUUGAGCCAAAGCUGAAAAGAAUUUGAAAGCGACCUUGGAGAAGGCAUGUGACUGAUGAAAAUUCAUUCUUACGUCAAACUUGGAAAUGAAUUUGAGAAUGGCUCUGGGAAAAUUAGAAGAGUCAGGUAAUUUCUUGGGAAAAGACCUGUGGGUUAGGGCCCACAGAAAAUAAACAUCGUUGAAGGAUUGCUUGAAAUAGAGAUUGCCCCGGUUGAAUUAAAUCGCUUGAAUGAGAGAAAACCUUGAAGUAACUCGAACGGAUUAAGAAUGGAAACAUGAUUCUUCUAAGAUAUUUUGAGCACUUCGGAUAUGAACUGGGAGAGGUGAAUAAAUAAGAGAGCCUUGGAUAAGAAAUUCACAUGGGAAGAGAUGUGACACAAAAGGAAGAGAUAUAAUCAACACCAAAGCUUGAAAUUAAUCCACCAGAGAAGAAAAGAGACAAAGAAUAAUAGACUUGAAGCUCUGUUAGUAUCUUCCUAAAAAACACCGGAUAAGAACAUUGAUUGAAAAGAGUGAAGAAACUUCACAUCAAUAAAAGGAUACUUGAUUAAGAAAUCUAGGUUCUUGAAGAAAAAAGUGUGGGAGGGCAGGAAACAAAGGCAACUUGGGACGGAUGGAAGAAACACUGUUGAGAAAACUUAGAAAUGAUCUUGCGGAUGGGAAAAAUGAUAGGAUCCACUUGAAGAGAAGCACGCCGGUUGGAAAAGAAUUAACAUGAUGACCUCGAUGAUCAAGAAGGAUUAGUAUUCACAUAGCAAUAUGAGAACACCGUUUGGGAAAGGUAUGGAUUCAACAUUUGACUUCGAAGCAACUCGAAUACCACAAAUAAAACAAAACUAAGGAUUUGGCUUGCAGAAUAAGCCGGGACAAAUACAUAUGAUAGAGAUUUACCCAAUCCCAUAUCAUGUAUCUGUCGGAAAGAUAUUCUAGGAGCUACUUGAAUUCCCACCUAUAAAACUCCCGAAACUUUCUGGUUAUGCAAUCUGGUGUUGGGGAUACAGGGGAAGCAAUAUAUAUCUGACCCAAAACUAACAAUCCCUACAUCCAGCUGUAUCCAUCCGUCAACACAUAACCAAGAAACUUUCAGAAAUCGUGUACCUCAACCUUGAAAAAGCAUCCGUUAUACUAGCUAUGGCAAUACUCCCGAACUCCCCAGUACUGGGUGGUGUCGAGGUUAUCUUACCACUUGCUGCAUAAAAGAGAUUUUCGAUGUCGGCGAAACUCAGGUAUUCUAGAACUGCAAUGAUAAAAUUGUGACGACAACACCUCGGAGCUCAACUCCCCGGGACACUGCCAUAACCCCUAAAUGUCAGGAGGCACCAAGAACAAUGUUCUCGUCAUAAGACUAUCGGAACGAUCCCAAGAUACCCGCGUGAUCCUAAAUUUUUUUAGUGAAAUUUGAGGAGAGGGAAGACAAAACAUCUACGUGAGGAGGCCUCACCAGAGCGACGAAGGGACUGAGGAGUAAAAAGAAUCCUACUCUCCGAUAUAUAUAAUCCAAGACUCAAAACAUUUUUGUUCUAGACUCAACAACGUCAACGAUUCGAUCAAGCAGGGGGCUCCUAAGUCGGGGAUGGCUCUGAUUACCAACUUGUAACAUCCACGAUGAGGCUAUAUCUCCCACAUGUCGAAGCACGACUUAGAGGCAUAACUGCAUUGUGGUUUUAUAGCAAGAAGGGUCAUCUUCACACAAUCCCAUGUAAUGAACAAGAAAGGGAUAAAGAGUUGGCUUAUAAUCGCCACUUCACACAAGUACUUAAAUAAAUCAUACAUCAUUCAGAGUACACACAUAGUCCGACUACGGACAAAUCCAAAUGAAAAGAAGAUAACCCCAAAUGCUAGAUCCCUGAUCAUCCCAGCUGGGCUGCACUACUGAUCAACAUGUAACAAAACAUAGCAAUGACCAAGAUCUUCGUUGAGCUCCCAACUAAGCUCGGUUGCAUCACCAGCACUGGUAUCAUCGACACCUGCAACUUUUGUGAUAGGAUCUGGUGAGUCACGAGGACUCAGCAAUCUCAAAACCCGCGAGAUCAAGAAUAUUUAAGCUUAUGGGUAGGAAGUGGGAAUGAGGUGGAGUUGCAGCAAGCACUAAGCAAAUAUGGUGGCUAACAUAUGCAAAUAAGAGCGAGAAGAGAAGCAAUGCAACGGUCGAGAAGCUAGAAGUGAUCAAGAAGUGAUCCUAAAACUACUUACGCACAAUCAUAACACAAAGACCGUGUUCACUUCCCGGGCUCCACUGAAAAUAUACCAUCAGGACUACACACACGGUUGAUGCAUUUUAGUUAAGUCAAGUGUCAAGUUCUCUACAACCGGAUAUUUACAAAUUCACAUCUACCACAUAACCGCGGGCACGGCUCUCGAAAGUUUAUACCCUGCAGGGGUGUCCCAACUUAGCCCAUCACAAUCUCUGACGAUCAGCGAAGGAUAUUCCUUCUCCCGGGAAGACCCGAUAAGCCUCGGAAUCCCGGUUACAAGACAUUUCAACAAUGGUAAAACAAGACCAGCAAGACCGCCCGACUGUGCCGACAAAUCCCGAUAGGAGCUGCACAUAUCUCGUUCUUAGGGCACACCGGAUGAACACUAUGUACAGCUAAAACCAACCCUCAAGUUUCCCCGAGGUGGUGCUGCAAGUGGCUCUAGUUCGGACCAACACUUAGAGAAGCACUGGCCCCGGGGGGGUUAAUAUAAAGAUGACCCUCGGGGCUGCAGACCCCAAGGGAGGGUUAUAGGUUGUUAGGCAAAUGGAAAACCAAUGUUGGGCCUUGCUGGAGGAGUUUUAUUCAAGGCGAACUGUCAAGGGGUUCCCAUGAACCCGACCGCGUGAGGAACGCAAAAUCAAGGAACAUAACACCGGUAUGACAGAAACUGAGGCGGCAAGAGUGGAACAAAAUAGCAGGCAUAAGGCCGAGCCUUCCACCCUUUACCAAAUAUAUAGAUGCAUUAAUUAAAAUAAGAGAUAUUGUGAUAUCCCAACAUAACCAUGGUCCAACACGGAGCAAUCUUCAACUUCACCUGCAACUAGCAACACUAUAAGAGGGGCUGAGCAAAAGCGGUAACAUAGCCAAACAACGAUUUGCUAGGAAGGGUGAAAAAGUUAGAGGCUGACAUGGCAAUACGGGAGGCAUGGUAAAGAAUUGAAAGGUAGCGCAACAUAGUGAUAGAACGAAGCAACUAGCAAGCAAAUAUAGAAGUGAUAUCGAGGGUAAUGGUCAUCUUGCCUGAGAUCCCGCAAGGAAGAAGAAUGAGUCCAUGAAGAAGACAAAUGGACAUAGUCGAACAAAUCGUCACAAACGCAACGUUACCGGAACUAUCAAGGGGAAGCACAACCGGAAAGAAGCAAACAACAUGGUAAACAACCAUCACAUAAACAUGGCAUGAUGCACAAGUAUGAUGCAUGUCCGGUUUAAAGAGGCAUGGCAUGGCAAUGCGCAACAAACAAUACUACACAUUAAGUGGAGCUCAAUAUGCAACCAGUUGCAUAUUGACGAAACACCACAUCAAUUAUUUAGUUCUCUCUAAGUUAUGUACCCAACAAUAUUAAAUGUUAUUAAACAUGGCAAGAGGUGAAACAUAGUAAAACUAUCUAGCUAGGAAAGUUUAAAUGAGGCCGGAAACAACAAACAACAAUUCUGGAAAAUCCUCAUGUGCAUAUUUCGAAUUCGGUACUGUUCUGCCCUAAACCAUAUUUUAAUGUUGUUAAGCAGUAAAACAAAGUGCACCAUGUUAAACUAUGCAUUUUUCCACCCCAUUAACAUAUAAAGUUUAUUAAAAUUUGAGCAACGGUUAUUUAGUUAUGAAAUAAAUCAUUUUAGCAUGGCAUUUGAGCAAAUUUAAUCAAACAACAUUUUAAACAUUUCAAACAUGGAUGAAAGUUGCAUAUUAUUAAACUAGAUAAAUUCUAAGCAUUUUACAUGUUUAAAUCAUUUUAAUCCGAUGCACCAUUUGUGAGGUAUUAAAUGCAUGACCUAGAGGUACUUUUCCACAAAUAUGCACUCUCUGGAUAAAUACUAAAAUUGCUGGACAGGAAAAAAACAUAACGGGCUGAAUCAAGUUGGCCUAACAGGAGGAAAAAAAUCAGAGGAGGGGGCGCUGCUCACAUUUGGCCUUGAGGCCGAAUCUGGAGCUGGGCCAGGGGCGCUGGGAUGAGGUAGCCCACGCAGCAGGACGAUGCGUCCACGGCGCGGGCGAGCGGGCGGUCAACGUGGGGUGGGGCGCUCGUCUUUGAUACAGAGGAAGCAGGGCCAGUGUACUUGGUGAAGGGCAGCGCAACGGACAACGGCAGCGGACCAAGGCGAAGCAGAGGUCUCGUGAAUGGUCGGAAUCGAGCGCGGAGGAGGCCAGGAGGCGCGGGGACGGCGGAUCCAGGCGAUGGCGCGCCCGACAAGAACUUGGCGAUGACGGUUCCUUGCUGCGGCAAGAGCAGAGAGAAAGAUGUGAGAGAGAGUGUUAGGGAAGGGAGAGAGACAGGGAAAGAGAGGAGCGGGAUGAGGCCAGUCUUGGUCGUGGUCGCCAGAGGGCGUGGCCUGCGGUGUUGGCGAGGAGGCAGUCGGGAACACCGGGGUGAGGUACGAGGCGACGAGGAGGAGGCAGGGCCUUGGGUGCUCGCGGACGAGGGACUUGUGGAGGUGGCUAUGGAGCACAGUUAUCGACGCAGAGGAGGAGGCGCUCGGGAAGCACGGGAGCACGGCGAUGAGGGUCAGCGUGGAGUGGAUCGAGGGGGGCUACUGGCAUCUGGAUCGAGGAGAAGCAGUGGAGAGCGAUGGUUGGGGAGGGAUGGAUCCCGAGGGGGAUUUGGUGAGUGGGUGGCGGCGGCUGAUCCGAGGAGGAGAUGGGACAAGAGGGCUAGGAUCUAGGGUUUGGACUGAUUUAGUAAGUAGGUGGCCUAUACAUAUACGAAAGGGGGAUGAUUUGGAUCCUUCGAUCGUGAUCGGGCGGUCCGGAAUAAAUAGGUAGGGAGUCCAAAUAAGAAAAUGAAGAUAUUUUAGGGAUGUUAGGGGAUGAUUCGAAUCCAAUAGAGAUGACUGAGCGGGUCAGGUUCAGGGCAGGUUUUAGACAUGCGCAAGAGGGGGUCGGUGGUUGUGCAGAGAGGUUAGGUGGUCAGACAAGAGGGACUCUAAAAACCUGGUUGGUCUCGGAACGGUCAAAGGAGGCAAGGGGAAUGCGGCAACUACGAACGGGUGCGAGUUUUAUGAAAACAUGCGGAUGCAAUGCACAUGAUGCCAUGAGAUGAGAUGCAUGACAUGAAUAAAAUGCAAAACGAAAGGCAAAAACCCAACCACGGAGAAAAUAAUAUAUCACAUAGCCGAAAAUGGCAAGAGUUGGAGUUUCAAUUAUGGAAAGUUACAUCCGGAGUGUUACACCUGGACUCUGCAAAACUUUCUUUUGCACUUUCCAAAAACCUUGUGGGCUUUCCCCUUUGGCCCAAAUAAAGUGUUCUCGUACCCAACCAUUUCGCGAAACAUCAGGAACCCCUUCCGGAGAGCAAACACUAUUAUCCCAUAUAUCAAUCUUUAUCUCCGGACCAUUCCGGAGUUCCUCGUCAUGUCCGUGAUCAUAUCCGGGACUCCGAACAAGAUUCGGUCACCAACAUACAUAACUCAUAUAAUACUAUAUCAUCAAUAAACGUUAAGCGUGAGGAGCCUAUGGGUUCGAGAACUAUGUAUACAUGACCGAGACACCUCUCUGGUCAAUAACCAAUAGCGGAACCUGGAUGCCCAUAUUGGCUCCUACAUAUUCUACGAAGAUCUUUAUCAGUCGAACCGCAUAACAACAUACGUUGUUCCCUUUGUCAUCGGUAUGUUACUUGCCCGAGAUUCGAUCAUCGGUAUCUCAAUACCUAGUUCAAUCUCGUUACCGACAAGUCUCUUUACUCGUUCCGUAAUACAUCAUCCCGCAACUAACUCAUUAGUCACAUUUCUUGCAAGGCUUAUAGUGAUGUGCAUUACCGAGAGGGCCCAAAGAUACCUCUCCGACAAUCGAAGUGACAAAUCCUAAUCUUGAUCUAUGCCAACUCAACAAGUACCAUCGGAUACACCUAUAGAGCACCUUUAUAAUCACCUAGUUACGUUGUGACGUUUGGUAGCACACAAAGUGUUCCUCCGGUAUUCAGGAGUUGCAUAAUCUCAUAGUCAUAGGGACAUGUAUAAGUCAUGAAGAAAGAAAUAGCAACAUACUAAAUGAUUAAGUGCUAAUCUAACAGAAUGGGUCAAGUCAAUCACAUCAUUCUCUAAUGAUGUAAUCCCGUUAAUCAAAUGACAUCUCAUGUCUACGGCUAGGAAAUUAACCAUCUUUGAUUCAACGGGCUAGUCAAGUAGAGGCAUACUAGUGACAUUCUAUUUGUCUAUAUAUUCACAGAUGUUCUAAGUUUCCGGUUAAUACAGUUCUAGCUUGAAUAAUAAACAUUCAUCAUGAUAUAAGGAAAUAUAAACAACAACUUUAUUAUUGCCUCUAGGGCAUAUUUCCUUCACCUAUAGGGCAAGGAGGAAGGCUGUUGGUGUGGUGCAGGGUGACCACAAGUAGCAGUACUUGAGGCUAAGGGAUUACCUUCAAGCUGUUCUUGAUACAAACUCUGGGAGCAGGUGUAUUGUAACAACAUUUGUUGACCCAGAAAACCCUGCACCCACUCCUAGAUUCAAGUACAUGUUCUACUGUUUGACAGCUUCAAAGGAAGGGUUUCUUAAUGGUUGUAGACCAUUUAUAGGUAAAUAUUUCCUAAUUGUGUUGUACAUAUUUGUGUGUCAAUUUUCUUCUAUAGCUAAUGUGUGACUCCAUCCAGGGCUUGAUGGAUGUUUCAUCAAGUUAACCACUGGACAACAAAUUCUUGCUGCCAUAGGAAGGGAUGGCAACCACAACAUCUACCCUAUAGCUUUUGGUGUGGUUGACAAGGAAGAUGGAGACAGUUGGACUUGGUUUUUAACUCAGUUGAGAUGUUGCAUUGGUAGUGGCAACAAAUUUGGAACAUACACAAUAAUAUCUGACAUGUAAAAGGUUAGAAACUAAAUCAUUGAUCAUAGUUGCUAUAGUAAUUCAUUGAAUUAUGUGAGUGUGUUCAUAUGUAGAUCUAUUUUGUGAAUGUAAAGGGUUUACUUAAGGCAAUAAAUGAAGUGUUCCCUGAUUCACCUCAAAGAUUCUGUCUUAGGCACAUAUAUGCCAACUUCCAAUCAGCUGGUUACAGAAGCAAAGAACUACAGAAGUGUGUUGACAAGGCUAGCUACUCUUAUACCAGACAUGGGCAUGAAUUAGGGACGGCAGAGCGGAAAGCACAGUGUGAGGAUGCUUGGAAAUGGCUUAAAAAUAUAUAAGUCUCUGCUUGGGCUAGGUAUGCUGUGGACCAUACUUGCAAAACAGAUCUAGUUGUGAACAACCUUAGUGAAGUCUUCAACAAGAUGAUACUUGAUGUUAGAUCCAAACCAAUAAGGACAAUGUUUGAAGGGAUCAGGACAAAGCAGAUGAUCAAGAGGCAACAGACUAGGGAGAAGUUACAGACUUGCAGGUGGACAAUCACACCAAAUUACUCAGAGAUUCUAGAGGAGAAUAAAAAAUAUGCCAAGUACUGCCAGGCUAACAGAGCUGGUGAAAUAAUUUGGCAAGUAACAAGCAAAGAAAAUCAAUAUUGUGUGGACAUAGCAACCUGCACAUGUGACUGCAAGAGACGGAACAUGACAGGUGUACCUUGCAGUCAUGGCAUAUCUGCAAUGACAAAGCAAAAGCUGCAUCUUGAGGAUUAUGUGUCUGAAUUCUUCAAGAAGCCAUUGUACAUGGAGACAUGGAAAGCAAUUAUUUACCCUGUCCCUGGUCCAGAUUGCUGGCCUAAUAUAAACACUCAAGACAUUCAUCCUCCUGCGUUUAAAGAAAAGGCAGGCAAAAAGCAGACAACAAGGAGGAAGGGAGAGUUUGAGGUUCUAGCUCCAAGAGACACAAGUAGGAUGGGCACUAUCACAUGUGGAAACUGUGGUUUGGAAGGACACAGGUAUUCAACAUGCAACAAGACUCUGAAGCCUAGUCUUCAGAUGAGGAAAAACAAACACGAGGUAAUUAUCAAGCUUGGGAAAAAUCUCAGACACUUCUGAAUGAGUACACUUUUAGAAAUAAAAGUUAUGUUUGACAUGCAUGAAAACAUGGCAGUUUACUCUGAUAUACCUACUGCAAGAACCACAUCAGUCCCUGUUACAAGAGGUAGAAGAGGAGCACAAGCAUCAUGUAGGCCUACUACAUCUCAACCAGGUCCUUCUACUUCUGCACCAGGCCCUACACCAAGAGCUAAAAUAGGUAGGACGGCAGGUGGAGGGAGGACUCAUGGAUUCACUGCACCAAGAGCUUCAACCACUUCAGAUAUUCAAGAGGAAGAGGAACGCAAGCUCAAAAUUGGCAGGCUACUUCUACUGCAGUGGUAACUACUGAAACCUGUCAGCACUGUUGUUGGUUUUAUGUGCACUUUCUAGAUUUGUUGUGCACUUUUUGAAUUUGUUGUGAACUUUUGUGAACCUGUCGUGCACUUUUCUGAACCUGUUGUGCACUAUCUGAACCUGUCGUUGAAAGUGCAACUAUCCCUAGGUGGUUUUGGUAAUUCCUAACAACAUAUAGCUCAUUGAGCUAACAUCUUUCCAAGACAAACAUUUCAGGAAAAUCUCAAUGAAUGGCAUGGCAUAGAUGAGGAUAAAAGGAUUGGCUCAAGCUCAAAAGCUCAAGACUCUACAUUUUACAUUUUAGUGGUCCAAGAUCACAUUGAGUCUAUAGGAAAAGACAAUACUAUGAAGGAGGGAUGAGGUGUUGCUUGAUGAAUUAUUGCUUCAAGUGCUUAGUGAUAUGCUCCAAAAACCCUCAACUACUUUCUCAUAUCCACAUAUGACCUAAACCUAUAGUCAAACUCACCCCCACCGAUUCUUUCUAUCCGGCGCCACUGAGUUCAGAUGUCAUAGCCACUGCCACAAACCCUAGGCAAAUCGGUCUCACCGAUUGGGAUCUCGGUCCACCGAGAUGGGAUUGUAAUCUCUUUUUUUCCCUUCGUAACGUUUCGGUCUAACCGAAGUGAGCGAUCGGUCCCACCGAGAUUGCAAUGUAAACUCUCUGUUUCCUUUUCAUAACAUUUUGGUCAAACCGAAAAGAGCGAAUCGGUCCCACCGAAUUUACCUGACCAACUCUCUGGUUUGCUUAUUACUAAAAUCGGUCUCACCGAGUUGUGUAAUCGGUCUCUCCGAGAUUACAUUAUUCCCUAACCCUAACCACAUCGGUCCUACCGAGUUGCAUGUCGGUCCCACGGAAAACCCUAACGGUCACUAGGUUUACUAAAUCGGUCUGACCGAGUUUGUUGAUUCGGUCCCACCGAGAUUGGUAAAUUGUGUGUAACGGUUAGAUUUUGUGUGGAGGCUAUAUAUACCCCUCCAACUCCUCUUCAUUCAUGGAGAGAGCCAUCAGAACAAACUUACACUUCCAACUUACCAUUUCUGAGAGAGAACCACCUACUCAUGUGUUGAGGCCAAGAUAUUCCAUUCGUACCAUAUGAAUCUUGAUCUCUAGCCUUCCCCAAGUUUCUUUCCACUCAAAUCUUCUUUCCACCAGAUCCAAAUCUUGUGAGAGCGAGUUGAGUGUUGGGGAGACUAUCAUUUGAAGCACAAGAGCAAGGAGUUCAUCAUCAACACACCAUUUGUUACUUCUUGGAGAGUGGUGUCUCCUAGAUUGGCUAGGUGUCACUUGGGAGCCUCCGACAAGAUUGUGGAGUUGAACCAAGGAGUUUGUAAGGGCAAGGAGAUCGCCUACUUCGUGAAGAUCUACCGCUAGUGAGGCAAGUCCUUCGUGGGCGACGGCCAUGGUGGGAUAGACAAGGUUGCUUCUUCGUGGACCCUUCAUCGGUGGAGCCCUCCAUGGACUCGCGCAACCGUUACCCUUCGUGGGUUGAAGUCUCCAUCAACAUGGAUGUACGAUAGCACCACCUAGCGGAACCACGGCUCAAAAAUCACCGUGUCUCCAAAUUGCAUUUGAAAUCUCCAAACCCUUCCCUUUACAUUCUUGCAAGUUGCAUGCUUUACUUUCCGCUGCUCAUAUACUCUUUGCAUGCUUGCUUGAAUUGUGUGAAUAUUGCUUGACUUGUGCUAAGAUAGCUAAAAUCUGCCAAAGACUAAAAUUGGGAAAAGGUUAAGUUUUUAAUUGGUCAAGUAGUCUAAUCACCCCCCUCUAGACAUACUUCCGAUCCUACAAGUGGUAUCAGAGCUUUGGUCUCCAUUUGCUUUGAUUUCCAUAGCUUUUGGUGGUCAUAGCCUUGGUUUCACAACCUAGGAGAGAGUAUGGCGUCUAGCGAGGGAAAUUAUCACCGUAGAGGUCCUUACUCCUUACUUUGAUGGUACUAAUUUUGCAUGUUGGAAGCAUAAGAUGAAAUUGCAUAUUCUCGGACAUAACCCCGCCAUUUGGGCUAUUGUGUGUAUUGGCUUGCAAGGUGAAUUCUUUGAUGGGAGGGAACCAAACCAUGAAGCUAGCACGGAAGAAUUGAAGAUGCUGCAAUACAACGCUCAAGCUUGUGAUAUCCUCUUCAACGGAUUGUGCCCCGAAGAAUUCAACAAAAUCAGCCGUCUUGAGAAUGCAAAGGAAAUUUGAGAUACUUUGAUUAAUAUGCAUGAAGGAACUGACUCCGUCAAGGAAUCCAACUUGGAUGUGCUCCAAAGUCAACUUGACAAGUUCAAAAUGAAGGAUGGUGAAGGUGUCGCUGAAAUGUACUCUAGGCUUGCUCUUAUCACAAAUGAGAUUGCGGGCUUAGGAAGUGAAGAGAUGACGGACAAAUUCAUCAUCAAGAAGAUCCUAAGAGCAUUGGAUGGAAAAUAUGAUACCGUGUGCACAUUGAUCCAAAUGAUGCCCAAUUACAAGAAUCUCAAGCCAACGGAGGUCAUUGGAAGGAUUGUUGCUCAUGAGAUGUCACUCAAGGAUAAGGAGGAACUUCACAACAAGUCAAGUGGUGCUAACAAAGCCUCAUGUGAAGCUCCUACAUCAUCAAGUGAGAAACAAACCUUCAAUGAAGAAUUGAGCUUACUGUGAAGAAAUUCAACAAAUUCUACAAGAGUAGAAGCAAAGAGAGAAGCUCCAAGUCAAGGUCCUACAAUGACAAAAGAUCUUCCAGUCGAGAGCGCAAUUGCUACAAUUGUGGGAGACCCGGACACUACUCCAAUGAGUGUACGACUGCCUACAAAAGAAGAGAAGAUUCUCCCAAGAGAAGAAUUAGAAGAGAAGAAUCACCGCCAAGAGAGAGAAGGAGUAGAGAUGAUCGUUAUGAACGAAGAACAUCCUGGAGAAGCAAGGAUUCGGAAAGGAAGGAUAGGUCACCAAAGAGCUACACAAAACGAAGACAUCAAGCUCAUGUUGGUGAAUGGGUAUCCGGUUUCGACUCUGAACAUCACUCCGAGAGAAGCUAUCACUUUGACUCCGAACAUAAUCAAGAUGAAGGUGUUGCCGGUCUAGCAUUUGUCUCAACCAACUCCUACGACAUAUUUGAUUCACCAAAUGAAGGAAUUGGAAGAUGCUUCAUGGCUAAAGGCCCAAAGGUAACACACCCCGAGUAUGUUGAUUUCAAUAGUGAUGAAGAUGACUUGUUAGGUGAUGAUGAUUUACUUAUUGACAACUCUAGUGAUGAAUACUAUGAUGAAACGUCAAUUAAUCAUGCUAAUCAAGAUAAAACGAAUGACAAUGAUAAGGAGAAAAUUGAGCUCCUAACUAAAGAACUAAACACUCUUAAGUUACCUCAUGAAACUAUCUUGGAAGAUCAUCAAGAACUUUUGAGGACUCAUGAGAAGUUACGCUUUGAAAAGCUCAAUCUUGAGCAAGAGCAUGAGUUCUUAAAGGCAAUCAAUGAUGAUCUUUGUAAGAAAAGUUCUUCUUACAUUGCCAAGCGUUUACUCUUAUCUACUUACAUGACUCAAGUCAAGUCUAGUAACAAAAACAAGACGGAUUCUUCCUCUAGUAGUAACAAUAAUCAUGCUAAAUCCAAUAUUGUUGCUUCUAGUAGUUCUCUUGAUUCCACUAAUGAUUCUCUUAGCCAAGUUACACUUGAGCAAUAAAAUAGCUUAUUGAAGGGAAUCAUAGAGAAAGGUGUUUACAAGAGCCUUGCCGGGAGUAAGAAAUUCGAGGAAAUUGUACGCAAGCAAGGAAGUCACCGGAAGAAUCAAGGUGUUGGUUUUGAACGAAAGUUCAAUGCCAAUGGACACUACAAGAAUCAUGUUAAUACGUGACGAUAUAAAUCCGUCAUGGACCAGUGUUAAACCGUCAAGGAAGGGCAGGCAUGACGAAUUUGAAAUCCGUCAUGUAUAUCGUGUCAUAAUUUGACCAUAAUGAUAUCCUUGACGGAUGUGUGAAACCGUCACGGAUUCAUGACAGUUUUUGUCCGUCAUGGAUGGCACUUAACUUACAUGCUCAUAACGGCGUUAAGUUGUCCGCCGUGUCAUCAUUUGACGUGGAUCUGAUGUGGCAGCCCAUGAACUAAGCGACCCAAUUAAUAUUCCGGCCCAUCAUUUUUCAUCUCAAUGCAAGACCUACCAACCAUGUAGUAGUCGGCCUAAUUGGAAUUUCAGCCCAUUAAAUUUCAGAUCGGUGCAAGGCAAACAAUUUUUAGCCCUAUAAGCCAGACCAUCUCACAUUUCUCUUGGUCCAUGAUUUUUUUUAUUUUAAGCCAAUAAUUAUUUAUAGAAAAUACAUGGUAUGUAAUUAAAGAAAAGGAAAUCACCAAAAAAUAACAAUUUGUGCAAAAGGAAAAACACCACAAAAACAUAAAUUACAGACAUUUCUAGAUGAUACCAUGUAGAGGAGCAAAAACACAAGAAACUUCAAUCUAUAAACAAGUGCUAGAGAACACCCCAUGCUGCUUGGCAGCCACUGCCGCCCAGCGCUCAACAGACGACAACCGGGGGUAAUUCACAUGCCUUCCUGGACACAGAUCCAGCCAUCCCCACCAACAUCAUCGAAGGAAGCAACCAUAUCACCUCAACCCAUGCUCCUAAGGACCCGCGGGACGUUGCCUGCACAUAGACAACCCGUAAGACUGACUCAAAAAAUGAAAAGUAUGGGUUUAAGCAUGUGUUUUCAUCCAUACACAAAACUAUACCAAAGGUAAAGUGAACCGUGCAUGUCAACUUCAAAUAAUGGUAUUUUUACUAUGACGCCAAUGCAGCACAAGCUAGCAACCAACAACGAUUUCAGGAUAACAUAAAAUCACAUUUGAAAUAUCAAACAGGAAAAGAAACAGAAGCAUGGAAAUUGAUGAUAAAGAUCCUGGUACAUAUAUUCUUUCCAUUUCUUAAUUUCACAAUGCACACAUACAGUUGCAAUAAAAAGUAUUAUGAGAUCUGAGAUGUUCAUGAAAACAACACAAAAUGAUAAAAUUGGACCAGAUUAAGAGCAUAGUGAAAUCCAAUGAUGGACAAAAAAAGCCUAAUAGUGAGUUCCCUAUUGAGUUGAGAUGGUUACGUAGAAACAAAUCAUGUCGCUGGUGGCCAGAUCAAACAUUUACGGAUAAGGGGAAAGUGGUAGCUUUGGUGCAGCUACUGUACCUUGGAUGCGUAGCAUUGGAUGGGGAUCACGAGCACGCAGCCGCACCUGUACCCAGUUCCCUAGGACCUUGAGAACCUGUACCUUUGAUGUGUAGCAUUGGAUACAGAAUCAAGGAGGUGUGAGAUUGCUGCGAGGGAAAGAUCAUCCUGGCUGCAACCACAGCAAGCAACAGCAGCCUCACUCCGCCAACGGUUAUUUCUUUUCAGAUGAAUGUGGAGAUUUGGUGAUGUUUAAACAAAAGAGCUUCCCUAUGAAUAUUUCUUUUCAAAGUUGUAACGGGGGAUGAUUCUAUGUGAGAGAUAAGUAGCUAACAGCAUAUACUUGGAAGGGAUGAUAAACGUACUGAAUUUAGGAUACAGUGCCAUCUUUUACUCUCAAGUAAUGAUAGCAAAUGUUGUUUGCAGAUUUGUUUCUACAGAAUGUUGUGUGGAUAUUCUUAUGGGACAAUUGCAUUUUUACCCCUAGUUGGUUCCUACCCACGGGUUUUGCCCUUACUUUUCGAGCUUGCUUAGUUUUGCCCUUACUUUUUCCAUCGAGGUCCCUCGAAUGCCCCUUGACCGUUUAACCAAAACUUUGAAAAAUCAUAACUAAUUCAUACGAACUUAGAAAAAUGCAAAUAAGAUAUCAAACUGUUCAGAUAAACAUUACCUUUAUGGGCAUAUCAUUUGCAUUCCGGACAAAAGCAUCGUUUAAACUACCCAAGGUAAUUAAUGUUAUUAACAUUAUUAAAAAUAAAUAGGUAUAAACAAUAUUUUUUUCAUGAAUAAAAAUUACAUGCAAAUGUAGGUGAUGUUUUCUGAACAUCCUGAUAACUUAUAUGCAUUUUUUGAGUUUGUAUCAACUUGUUAUGAAUGUUCUAACGACUUUUACCAUUAUUUGGAAACUUCAUAACAAGUUGAUACGAACUCAGGAAAAUGCAAAUAAGGUAUCAGAAUGUUCAGAAAACAUCACCUACAUUUGCAUAUAAUUUUUAUUCAUGAUUUUUUUUUAUACCUAUUUAUUUUUAAUAAUGUUAAUAACAUUAAUUACCUCGGGUAGUUUAAACAAUGAUUUUGUCCUCAAUGCAAAUGAUAUGCCCAUAAAGGUAAUCUUUAUAUGAACAUUUUGAUAUCUUAUUUGCAUUUUUCUGAGUUCAUAUGAAUUAGUUAUGAAUUUUCAAAGUUUUUGUCAAACGGUCAAAGGGCAUUCGAGGGACCUCGAUGGAAAAAGUAAGGGCAAAACCGAGCAAGCUCGAAAAGUAAGGGCAAAACCCGUGGGUAGGAACCAACUAGGGGUAAAAAUGCAAUUGUCCCUAUUCUUAUUGCUGCAGAUGAAUCCUAUAUAUUAUUUUACAUAUACUCUCUAAGUUACAGUAGUUCUGGUGCAGUGUGCAGGUUUUGUUAGAAGAUGCCACGUGCAAAUUCUCAUCUCUGUAGGUGAUUCUCAAUAAUUAUAACAAAGAAAGGUUAGUAAGAGUUUAUCUCCAUCUCCAAUUUAUCUAUUGGAUUUUAAUUCUAAUCUUUUCCUAGGUGGCAAUCAUGUUAACAUAUUACCUGGAGGUCGUCAAUUUUCUACUUCCAUAAUUUUGUCCUUGCGUGCAUUUUUCGGAGACACAGGGAAAGAUUAGCAUGGCUCCAACCAUGGCAAGGCACCCAGCAUGCAUGUCCCUUACAAGUGGCAGCACCUUUACUAACAAGUAUGAAAUUGAUACCCAGCGGCAAGCAUUGCUCAUCCCUGCCCAACAGAAUUAACUUUUAAAUGGAUAACAGUGUUUAUUUCUUUCCACAUGAUUGUGGAGAUAUGAAUUUAGGAAAAUGAUAGAAUUACAUGUGAAAGCUAACAGAUUAUCCUUUGAGGCAAUGCUUAAGGUCCUGAAUUUAGGAUACGGUGCAUCACAUAUUAUCAAAGUUUUGGAUAGCAUUCUGUCUCAGCGCUAUAGCAGCACUAUACUAUUCAGAGGGGCAUCAUGCUAAGCCACUUAGCGCAAAUAUAGCACGCUAUUGCUUCUGCCGCUAUCUGCCGUAGCCCUCUAUUUAAAACUUUGCAUGUUAUAUCAGGUAAUAGUAGUUGAUGUUGUGUGCAGAUUUCUCUUCUAAAUGCAGUCUGUACACAUUUCUUGCACCUGUCAAAUGAGUGAUGAAUGAAUUAUUUUUGCAGCACAACAAGCAAACACUCCAUUCACAAGAGAAGAAAGUCCGAUUUUACACAAGCAAUGGUUAAAGGUUGAAUGUUCAGUGGCACACAUAAUAUAACAGUAAAAAAGAUGCCAAUUGUGGCAUCAGAUUGGGAGCAAGAUUUUUUUCAUGCUGUGGGCAUGGAGAACUCUAUAUAAAUUGAACCAAGCCAAUGAAUCAAUAUUCCCUAAGCAGAACCAACUGAAAACCAUGGUAAAAAAAGAGUUGAAAGUAACACAGAACAUAGGGCCUGGACCAUCCAUCCAUCUCUCUCUCUCUCUCUCUCUCUCUCUCUCUGGAAGCAACCAUCCAUGCAUGUACAAAGUAAACUGGAACCAAAUCCAAGCUGCUCCAUGGAUAUGAUAGGAUCAGAUUGGAGCAAAGGAAACUAGUUUGCUAGCUAGGCAGGGCGGAGGUAAACUAAAACGCUGCAAAUAGGAAGGAAGGGUCGUGGUCUUACCACCGCGGUGGUGCAGGGGCGCUGGAUAUGGCUGGCCAGGCCGGAUCUGAAGAAAUAGUGGGAGAAGCGAGACCUUACUUGCUCCAUUGCGACGUCCCUGCAUCUAUUGAGCUGUAGCUGCGUGGGGAAGGAAAUCAGGGAAGGAGAUCAAAUCAAACCGAAUAGAUAAGAUGGGUAAUGGCUGACCUUGAGGCGCAGCCAUGUGUGUGCUCAUGCAGCUCUUAUGGCCUCCAUCGAUGGACGGUCAAUCUCCGUCAUCGGAUCCUUGACGAAGCCCUCUUCUCGGUUGUGGGAGGAAGCCGGAUAGGGAGGGAGAGGACGCUGGUUGUGUCCCUGGCAGAUCUGACCGCCGCCCGACCCGCAUUAAUGGCACCGGCAGCGCAUGCACUAGGUUCGCUCUCAGGGGCAUCCACGCCUCCGGGAACGAGGCUACCGUCGCGGCGUUUUCGGGAAGCAAAGGGGCAGAUGGACGUGGUUGGGGAGGUGGCGGCGGCCGUGGUUGGGUAGGUGGCGGCGGCCGCGGAUGGCGAGGGUGGGGGAUCUGGAAGAUGGGGAUAGUGAGAUCUACAGGGAGUCGGGGAGGAUGGAGUUGAUUGCUUGCCGUUGGAUCACACAAGAGGAGACGGUCUGGAUUUGCGAUCCGUGGGAUUGUUAGCUCAACCAAUCAGAACGCGAGUUUUCCCUCAUGCUGGAUUGCCACAUCAGCACCAUCCAUCCAUGACGGUCUAAAUGUUGUAUAAGAAUAAAAAAUAAAUGCCCAGUUAGUUGACCCAUGACGGUUUCUGUGACAGCCUCUCUUUAUCUGUCAUAAUGGGGCUACCGGUUUAGGGGGCCAUCGUUAAGUUGCUGAUAUAUGACGGAUUUUGUGACGAACCUAAUAAACUCCGUCAUAAUUUGUGACAGUUUUCGAGAACGUCACCAGAAAACUGUCAUGGAUUAACAGGUUUUUUGUAGUGGGAGUUGAGUGGGAAGAAGAUCAAUACCCCAAGACGAAGUUUGUUCCUCAACAAGAGAAGUAUGAUCCUACUUCCUUCAAGGGGACACAAGCUCAAGAUGAUCUUCCACCACAAGACCACAAGAAAAAAGGCAAUGACAAGCUUCAAUAGGAGAUUGAUGCAUUUGAAGAAGCUCCUAAGGCCUUGGUCAAGUGGGUUCCCAAGACUACAUCAAGUUCUACUUCAUCAAGUACGACUACAACUCCAUGGAUUCCCAUCAAGAUGAUGUGGAUCCCGAAGAAGAAGAACUAGAGAGUUCUUGACGGUGACUCCACCAACAUACUUCGCCCAUAUCUUUUUGGCAACAACAAGUGCAAUCAACUUCCACAUCUUGCACUAGUUCAAGGAGUCACAAACCCUCAUGUUGGUAAGGCAAGGGACAAGGUAACCUAAUGCUUUCAUGGACAUCAUCUUGUGUGUGCAUCACUCUAUGUCUAUGGAUAUACUUGUUUGUUCCUUGUGGGACUAACCCAUGUAGGUAUUGAAAGUGCAACUCACUCGAAAGGAUUGCUCCAAAUGAUCUUCAUCAACAUUGAGCAUCCACAUCUUCAACACCUACAUGAAGUCAUCAUCGACAAAACCCAAGGUUAGUUCAUCUCGCUUAGGGGGGAUCUCACAUCUAGGGGGAGCUUAACUCUAAGAAAUGAGUCGAAGCAACUCUAAUGAUGUGAACACAUCAAUGCAUUAUGUAAAAGUGGUAACCCCACUUGAGCUUAAACGAUGAGUAUGACCUAUGAUCAAAUGUUCUCAUUUGGCUCCUAAGUCAAUAUACUCAUAUAUAGAUGACCUAGUCAUCGCCAAUUGCUUGAUAGAUGCUAGAAUUGGUUGUGCAUGCUUUGCCACAUAUUUCAUUUGCCAUUUUACUGUGUGAGCAUGUUGGUUGCAUAUUUAACUCAUUCAAGGACAUCCACUUGUUGCUUUGAUUGAUUGGCUUCUUUUUCUUUUGCCAAGUGGAUGAACAAGAAUCCCUAAGAACCUUCUCUAGCUAUCUAUGUUUUUCUUGUCUCAAACUCUAUUCAUGCCACAUCACAAAAUUUGAUCAAGUCAGAUUCGAACCACUCUGUGUGAGGAGCACUCGGAGUCCCCGAUUUUUCAUAGACUUAAACUUACAAAACUUGUUUGUGCGUUUCGGUCUGACUGAUUCUUCCAUUUCGGUCAUACCGAGAUCACUAAGUCGAUCUAGGUUUUCAAUCUCGAUGCAACCGAUUUGAACUUUUCGGUCUCACCGAGUUGCUGUAACUGUCAACAGUUAUGCAUCUUGGUGCCACCGAGUUGUUCCAUUCGGUCACACCGACAGGGUCAGGCUAUAUAUACUCAUGGGCAAAAAUUUGGAAACUUUCUCCAAACCCCUUCGCUCGCGCAUAGCUUGCUCUGCCUCUAGGGUCUCCGGAUCGUCGACUUCGUCACCAGCCGCCUCCAGUCGCUGGUCUCCGCCGCCGUUAACGGAAUUCAACCCCGCCGUUGCCCCGUAGCGAGUUCAUCGCCAAACUAGGGUAUGGACUCGAUCACAGUGCUAUCCCCGUCCAAUUCCUAGCACAUUGUGUUCAUCAUGAUUCUUGCCACGAUUGAAAUGAAUCUAUCCAGUCAAAACAAUCCUUAGAUUAGAUGUGAAUUGAAAAUUUAGGGUCAGGUGUCCGCCGAAACCAUCUCAGACCCAUCGAGUUGAAAAACUCGGUUCCACCGAUUCGGCUAAGGCCAUUGCACAAGUCAUUCUCGGUCUGACCAAGAAUUGCAAAUCGGUGUGACCGAGUUUAGAACUCUGUGAAACCCUAGCAGUUUCGGUGCCACCGAACUGUGACUCGGUAUGACCGAGUUUACUAGUUUAGGUUCCAAAAGCUGCUUUGGUAUCACCGAGUUUGCAAAUUGGUUGAUCCGAAAUGCUUUCUAUGGAAAACUAAAACUAAGUUCUUGAAUCAUUCUUUUGCAAAAAUCUCUGCAUUUUGUGAUGCUCAUCCAUUCUAUCUCAUCUAUAUCUAUUCACAGGGUCAGCAGUCAGUGUUUGCAGCAUGUGAAACGAAAGUGACAGCCAGAACAGGGAAGAGGAGCAGGUUCAUAUGAGUGAGGGCACUAGUCCCUCUAGCACCUCAGAUGAGGGCAGCAGAAGCACCCCAAGCAACUUGCCCAAAGCUGCCACCAGGGCCAGAAGGAAGAGAACCUCAGACUCUGAGGAUGAAGACUAUGUGGCAGCUGAAGAUGAGGCCACUUCCAAGAAGAUAGUGCUCAAGAAGGAGUAUGGCUCAGCUGCAGCCACAAAGCCAGGACUAAAAAGGAAGGUCCCUGCCAAGAGGACACCUAUGCUGAAAGUCAGAGGAUCAACUCAAGAACCUGAGAAAUCUGAUCCCAAAGAGGCUGCUGCAGAAGGGAAGAAGAGGAAGGAAAGGGUCAAAAAGACCAUGGCCAGAGUUGUUGGACAUCCUUCCAUGAUGGAAGAGGAAGAGGAAGAAGAGGCUGCUGCUCUAGCACCCAAGGCACAAAAGCUUAUGGGUGAUGCUAUAAAGUCAGGGGCUGCAUCAUCAAUUCCCAAAGAAGCACCCAAAGCUGCCUCCAAGCCCAAGACUGCACCUAAAAGGAAUACUAGGAGUAUACCAGUUGCUGAGAAGAACAAGGCCCCAGUGCCUGAAGUUGCUGAAGAAGAAGAAGAUGAAGGACAAGUUCCGAGGAAGCUAAAACCUAAGAUUCCAGACCACAAUGAUGCCCAUCCAGUGGCUGAGAACAUGAAGCCGAGGAAGGAUGCAGGGCUCAGACAGUGGAGAUUGUCUGAUCCUUAUGCAAUCAGGAGAAGGACUGCUGUUGACUACAGGUUCCACACUAAGGAACAACAGGAUUUCUAUGAGACUGUGCUGCUGGAUAAGAAACCCAUAGUUUGUGACAUGAGGUGGGUGGACUGGAAAUACAUGAAGGCAAAUGAGGAACACUACCCAGGUGUGUUUGACAGCUUCAAGGGUUGUGGAGUUGAUGACUUUGUUGGACAGAAGUUCACCAACUCGAAUGAUGAGCUUGUAAUGCAAUUCUACUCCAUAGCUCACUUUUAUCCUGAUGGCAGAAUAGUCUAGAUGUCUGAAGGUACAAGGUACCAGUCCACAAUUGAAGAAUGGGCAAGCCUGAUCAAUGCACCAGAGGAGGAAGCUGAUGAAUUGGACGUCUAUUCCAAGAAGAAAAUGGAUCACAACUCAAUGUCGCACAUGUACAAGGAGAUACCAGAUAAAGCUCUUGAGACUUUCAAGCUUGGGUCUAUCCAUUUCCUUCUGUCAGGACUGCCAACGAUCAACUGGAUCCUAAGGCACACUCUCUUGCCCAAGUCAGGUGACCACAACAUGAUCAGAGGGCAUGCAAUAAACUUUCUACACAUAUUUGAUGUGCCUCAGAAGUUCAAGGUCAUGAGCCUCAUAGUUGAGACUCUCAAGAGGACAGCAGCAGACCAGUAGAGAAGCUGUGGGUAUGCCCCACAAAUCCAGGAGCUGAUCAACUCCAAGAUGGGCACAUGCAAAUACUGGUUGGAUAAGGAACACUUUGCUAUCUAUCCAGACUUUGAGGACAACCAAGUAGUCAUGAAUGAGAAUGAACCAUCUUUAGUGCAAGCACAAGAGAAGAAGGAGAAGGCACAGAAGGAGAAGGCUGCCAUGAUGCCAACAAUUGAUGAGGCAUCUGAGUACUUUUUGAAGAGCAAGCAGGACAAGCUUGGUUACUUAAUAGCAUCAACUCUGAGGAUUGAGAAAGGGUUGGCCACCCUAACUCAAAACCAGGAGAGCCUGGAAAGAACCAAAAAGUUCUAUGACUUAGAUGUGAAAGUAACUGAGAUCCAGUCUAUUGUGGAGUAGCUUCAAGAUGAUAUGCAGGAGAGGAAGGGCAAGACAAUCACUGAUGCAUUUGCUAGAGUGCCUCGAGCUCAGAGAUCAGUUGCAGAGCUAGUGUCAGACAACAGAGCCACUUCAUCUUCACCAUCUACAGCUCCAGUGCAACUAGCUCCAGCACCAACUCCUCCAGCUCCAUCCACAUCAACUGAAGCCUUCGUCCUUGGAGUCAUAUCUACACCACCACAUCAAGACCAUGCCUGGGAGACGAAAUAGCUAUGCAUUUUCUAGGAACUUUUUGGUAACUUGUUGGCAAAGGGGGAGAAAAAUGUAUAGAUCAUAGGCUUCGAGAGAGAGAGAGAGAGUUUGAUUUUGUUCUCUCUUGUCUUUGUGGUUGAACUUUAUUUGCUUUUGCUUGCUUGAGAUACUUUAUUGUCUGUGUGAUACAAUGAUGAUCAUGUGUUUGAUCAUAUGCUACCUUAAUGCUUGUUAGAUGACUAUAUCCCAUUUAUCUUUAUAUGAUCAUUCACUUUGCUUGGUGAAGAGUGCAUGUAUUCAAUCCUUAAUAUUUUGAGCGCUCCACCAAGAUGUAUGUGACAUGGAAGAGUAACCCAUGAGCCUAACUCCUUGUGCAUUUGCAGUCCAAAGCAAAUCUUAAACUAUGCACAAAUUUAGGGGGAGCUCUUUCUUAUCACAUACUUCUCAAAGCGACGAUGUUUUUCAAUCUUAUUAUCAUUUGUCGAAGCUUUGAUCUAUAUGUUGUCAUCAAUUACCAAAAAAGGUGGAGAUUGAAAGUGCAACUAUCCCUAGGUGGUUUUGGUAAUUCCUUACAACAUAUAGCUCAUUGAGCUAACAUCUUUCCAAGAAAAACAUUUCAGGAAAAGAUCAAUGAAUGGCAUGACAUAGAUGAGGAAAGUGGAUCCCUCAAAAUUCUAAGGAUAAAAGGAUUGGCUCAAGCUCAAAAGCUCAAGACUCUACAUUUUACAUUUUAGUGAUCCAAGAUCACAUUGAGUCUAUAGGAAAAGCCAAUACUAUCAAGGAGGGAUGAGGUGUUGCUUGAUGAGUUUCUUGCUUCAAGUGCUUAUUGAUAUGCUCCAAAAACCCUCAACUACUUUCUCAUGUCCACAUAUGACCUAAACCUAUAGUCAAACUUGGCCCCAUCGAUUGUUUCUAUCCAGCGCCACCGAGUUCAGAUGUCAUAGCCACUGCCACAAACCCUAGGAAAAUCGAUCUCACCGAGAUGGGAUUGUAAUCUCUCCGUUUCCCUUCGUAACGUUUCGGUCUAACCGAAGUGAGCGAUCGGUCCCUGUCGGUGUCAAAACUGACGGAUCUCGGGUAGGGGUCCCGAACUGUGCGUCUAGGCGGAUGGUAACAAGAGACAAGGGACACGAUGUUUUUACCCAGGUUCGGGCCCUCUCGAUGGAGGUAAAACCCUACUCCUGCUUGAUUAAUAUUGAUGAUAUGGGUAGUACAAGAGUAGAUCUACCACGAGAUCAGAGAGGCUAAACCCUAGAAGCUAGCCUAUGGUAUGAUUGUUGUUCGUCCUAUGGACUAAAACCCUCCAGUUUAUAUAGACACCGGAGAGGGCUAGGUUUACACAGAGUCGGUUACAAUGGGAGGAGAUCUACAUGUCCGUAUCGCCAAGCUUGCCUUCCACGCCAAGGAAAGUCCCAUCCGGACACGGGACGAAGUCUUCAAUCUUGUAUCUUCAUAGUCCAGGAGUCCGUCCAAUGGGCAUAGUCCGGUCAUCCGGACACCCCCUAAUCCAGGUCUCCCUCAGUAGCCCCUGAACCAGGCUUCCAUGACGACGAGUCUGGCGCGCAGAUUGUCUUCGGCAUUGCAAGGCGGGUUCCUCCUUCGAAUACUUCAUAGAAGAUUUUGAACACAAGGAUAGUGUCCGGCUCUGCAAAAUAAGUUCCACAUACCACCGUAGAGAGAAUAAUAUUUGUACAAAUCUAAUCUGAUGACGUAUUCCGCAGCGUGACAUCAUGCUACGGCCAAGCCUUUAUUCGAAUCAUUUUACUGUCCCACCUCAGCGCGUUUAGCGAGGUGGUUUCCUUGGCACGUCUUGUCGAAGCAGAGAUCGUGUCCCCUUAUUCCGGGAUUCUCAUCAAUACGGGUGUGGGUAACCCAACCAUGCCAUUAAUCACGGUGCUUGGGAGAUAAGCAAGUUUUACCAGGCUGGUGGGGGUACAUAGUUUCGUCCGCCCAUAUAAGGGGAUAAGGAGCCACCCUUUCGAUAUACGCCUUCUUCCUCCUUCGCUUCUCCAUUUCCGCGCACUCGAGCUCCAGCGCCCAAGUCCGCACUUCCCACCUCAACCUUCUCCAGCCAUGUCUUAGCGGGAGGCAGGUGGAUGGCCUCCUCCAUCACGGAGGGGCACAUCAAAAAGUUGAGGAAGGCCGGAUACUUGUCCAACAACAUUGCGCACCGGCUUCCAGGCGAGGGGCAGCUCAUCUCCACCCCCACGCCCCAUGAGAGGGUGGUGUUCCUCCCCCAUUUCCUCCGUGGACUGGGCUUCCCACUCCACCCAUUUGUCCGUGGGCUCAUGUUCUACUACGGCCUGGAUUUCCAUGAUCUGGCCCCGAACUUCAUCCUCAACAUCUCGGUGUUUAUCAUCGUGUGCGAGGUCUUCCUCCGCAUCAAGCCCCACUACGGCUUAUGGCUGAAGACCUUCAAUGUCAAGCCGAAGGUAGUGGGUGGCCCGCAAGCGGAGUGCGGAGGCUCCAUGGUGGGCAAGAUGCCCAACGUCACAUGGCUCGAGGGCUCCUUUGUGGAAACCAUCAAAGGGUGGCAAUCGAGGUGGCUCUACAUCACCGAGCCGCGUGACCCUGAAUGGGCCGCGGCCCCCGAAUUCCAAUACGGCAUCCCCACACGGCUCACCUCCUGGAAAGAGAUGGGCCUGUCGUGGGGUAAUUCGGAAGAGGUGACUGGACUCCAAACCUGCGUCCAAAACCUAGUGGACAAGAAGGUUAAACUUGUCAACGUAGUCCAGGUCAUGCUCUUCCGCCGGAUCCUCCCGUGUCAACGACGGGCUUUUAACUUGUGGGAGUUCGACCCGGCCCAGCACCAAACUUUGUCCAGGCUCUUUGACACAACGCACAAGGAUGUCUGGAAGGUGCUAUUCAAGGGCUCCGAGGUUCCCCCUCCCAUUACCGAGGAUCGCGGAUUCUGCGCAAAGCGCCAAGCCAGCGCAGUAAACUUGUUUUUCAUAGUUUGACUCUAUGCGGGAUCUAAGCUCCCAUUCCUUUGACAUGACUGGCAGAAGACGUCCGGAUAGAUCGACUGUCCGGCUCCUUUGCCCGAAGGCCCAGCAGAUGCCCGCUUGUCGAAGCUGCUGGUUCCAGCACCUCAUGUGGUGCUGGAGAAGAAGGCCAAGAAGAAGGCCAUGGGAACUUGAAAGAGUUCCCGGCGCCUGGUGGUGUCGGAUUCAUCGCCCGACGACCCAGAAGCGCACUCCUCCCACGAAGACGAGGAGGAGGAAGAAGAAGCCCCUCCCCCUCCAACGGGGGGAGGAAAGAAAAGGAAGGCUGCCCCAACUGGGGAGACCGGAGGGUCCAAGAAGGGAAAGACCCUUGUUCCGGACUACUCCAGCAACGCCGACGACGGCAGAGAGGAGUGGCCAUCCAGGGCCAAGCCCCUGGCAAAAUUGUAAGUAUACGGAUACCAGAAUAACUCAUGGCGCUCCUUUAUUGCACAAUAUCUUCUGACGCCGAAUAUAAUCAUGCAGUCCGCCCCUGGCCCAGCUCGAUGCCUCAUCGAGCGGCUCCCUGGACUCGUCGGAUGUGAAUAGUCUUUCACUCCCGACUGCUACCUCCCCUCGCCCUACGGACGAUGCCGAGGUGGAGUCCCAAAAGGGGCCAAGUCAGGAGGAGGUGGUCCUGGAGGCACCGCAAGGCGACCUCCCGGACUCCAGGCGCAAAGGGAUAAAACCCCAAAGGGCUCUAAGUCCGGCCCUGGGCCGGACACCGCACUGGAACCUUCAGUGGUUCCGGAGUCCGGCAGGCAGCCCCUCGUAAGAAGGGCAAGCUACGACGCCGGUGGCCUCCGUCCAACCGGAGGCACCGGACAAUUUGCUGGAGGUGCUUAACGGCGCCUCCAUCGACGAGGAGCACCGCACUAUUAUGAGUGCGGUGAACCAGAAGGUUCAGUCCGCCAAGAACGGCCUGACAGAAGCCUGUGCCAGACUUCUAACAGGCUUUGAGGUAUGUAUUUAAGACAUGUAAAAAUAUAACCGCAUAGACAGUAGCCCCUGAUGCUCAGUUUGGUGUUCAGAAAGAAAAGCCGGACUGAGGAUCUAAAAAGAUAUACACAUGAGUCUAACAUAAAUAUGUCAGUAUGGGAAUGCAGGCUGCGCUGCUGACCUUUGCCGCACUGACUGCGAAGGUUGGUGCAUUGAAGCAGAGCCUCAAGCGGUCCGAGAACGAGCUCAGCCUUGCCAAGAAGCAGCUCGAGGACAAGGAAGGUAAGUAGUACCUUAUGUAAGUAUAUAAAAAUACCUGGUUGCAAAUAGUGACAGGACCAACGUGAGUGUUACAGGGGCCACAACCAAGGUGGCGACCCUGAAGGAACCGCUGUCCAAGGCCGAAGACAAUGCGGCCGUGGAGCGCACCGAGCGAGAAAAGCAGGAGGCGCGUGCGGAGGAGGUGCGGCAAGAGCUCCACGCUCUUGUGAAAAAACACGAGAGUUUGGAGCUUGACUCAAAGACUCGAGAGUCCGAGCUUGCCCUGGCCCUUGAGAGCGCCAAAUCUGCCAAGGCCGAAGCCCAAAAAGCCCUCCAGGAAAUUGAGGCGAUGAAGAAGAUAGCGGCGGGUAAGGCAUUCUUUAUGCAAAGCAAUCACGUGAAAGUGAAUUACUUGUUACUUACCCGAGUCCGGUGCUCUCCAGGAGCAUUCGCAGAUCUGCCCCGCAGUCUGUUCGACGCCGCCGCAUUCUACCGAGCCAAGGAAGGGAGCUCGACGGAGAAGGUGUUCUGGUCCCAGUAUGUUGAGGCCGGACACCCGAUGCCCUUGAGCGACCAGCUGAAGCAGCUGGUUGAGCUCCAUAAGGCAGCCAAACAGGCCAUGAAGGGCCUUAUAGGUCGGCUAUGGCCUGGGGAGGCCAUGCCUGGGAGCUACUUUGGGCUGGUGAGGCGGCUGGUUGAUGCCUGUCCAUGGCUUGAAAUCAUCAAGCGCUCCGUAUGCAUCGAAGGCGCCCGUAGGGCCCUUGCCCGUGUUAAAGUGCAAUGGGGCAAGAUAGAUGCUGAGAAGCUGGUGACAGAUGGGCCACCGGAGGGGAAGGAGCAUCGCAAGCCCGAGUUGAUUAUGAGGGCAUCCUGAAGGGUGCCUGCCUUGUGGCGGAUGAGUGUUCCAAGGAUGUAAUUUUUGAGUAAACUCGCUCGUGUUAUCGUGUGCGCUGAAAACUUGUCCAUAUGCGCUAAGCAACGCUUUUUUGAAUUUAAAAUAUUACCUUCUGUGCGGCCGUUUAUUAAAUCUGAGAGAUGCGAGUCAUCGGCUUCUACCCCCAUGCCACGAGUGCUGGGGUGUGUUGAAAAUAUGCCCUAGAGGCAAUAAUAAAUUAGUUAUUAUUAUUAUAUUUCCUUAUUCAUGAUAAACGUUUAUUAUCCAUGCUAUAAUUGUAUUGAUAGGAAACUCAGAUACAUGUGUGGGUACAUAGACAACACCAAGUCCCUAGUAAGCCUCUAGAUGACUAGCUUGUUGAUCAAUAGAUGGUUACGGUUUCCUGACCAUGGACAUUGGAUGUCGUUGAUAACGGGAUCACAUCAUUAGGAGAAUGAUGUGAUGGACAAGACCCAAUCCUAAGCCUAGCACAAAGAUCGUGUAGUUCGUAUGCUAAAGCGUUUCUAAUGUCAAGUAUCAUUUCCUUAGACCAUGAGAUUAUGCAACUCCCGGAUGCCGUAGGAAUGCUUUGGGUGUACCAAACGUCACAAUGUAACUGGGUGGCUAUAAAGGUGCACUACAUGUAUCUCCGAAAGUGUCUGUUGGGUUGGCACGAAUCGAGACUGGGAUUUGUCACUCCGGUUGACGGAGAGAUAUCUCUGGGCCCACUCGGUAGGACAUCAUCAUAAUGUGCACAGUGUGACCAAGGGGUUGAUCACGGGAUGAUGUGUUACGGAACGAGUAAAAAGACUUGCUGGUAACGAGAUUGAACAAGGUAUCGGCAUACCGACGAUCGAAUCUCGGGCAAGUACAAUACCGCUAGACAAAGGGAAUUGUAUACGGGAUCGAUUGAGUUCUUGACAUCAUGGUUCAUCCGAUGAGAUCAUCGUGGAACAUGUGGGAGCCAACAUGGGUAUCCAGAUCCCGCUGUUGGUUAUUGACCGGAGAACGUCUCGGUCAUGUCUGCAUGGUUCCCGAACCCGUAGGGUCUACACACUUAAGGUUCGAUGAUGCUAGGGUUAUAAAGGAAGUUUGUAUGUGGUUACCGAAUGUUGUUCAGAGUCCCGGAUGAGAUCCCGAACAUCACAAGGAGUUCCGGAAUGGUCCGGAGGUAAAGAUUUGUAUAUGGGAAGUCCUUUUUUGGUCACCGGAAAAGUUUUGGGUUUUAUCGGUAACGUACCGGGACCACCGGGAGGGUCCCGGGGGUCCACCAAGUGGGGCCACCAUCCCUGGAGGGCUGCAUGGGCCAAGUGUGAGAGGGGACCAGCCCCAGGUGGGCUGAUGCGCCCCCCCCCACAAGGGCCCAAGGCGCCUAGGGUUUGGGGAGGGGAGCGCACCCACCUAACUUGGGGGGCAAGUUUCCCCUCUUCCCCCCCUUGGCCGCACCCUAGAUGGGUUGUGGGCUGCCGCCACCCCUAGGGAGGGAACCCUAGAGGGGGUGCAGCCCCCUCCCUCUCCCCUAUAUAUACUUGAGGACUUUGGGGCUGCCAAUAGAUGAGUUUGACCUCUCCCUGGCGCAGCCCUACCUCUCUCCCUCCUCCUCUCCCGCGGUGCUUGGUGAAGCCCUGCAGGAUUGCCACGCUCCUCCAUCACCACCAUGCCGUUGUGCUGCUGCUGCACGGAGUCUUCCUCAACCUCUCCCUCUCUCCAUGCUGGAUCAAGGCAUGGGAGACUUCACCGGGCUGUACGUGUGUUGAACGCGGAGGUGCCGUCCGUUCGGCAAUAGGAUCUCCGGUAAUUUGGAUCACGACGAGUACGACUCCUUCAACCCCGUUCUCUUGAAUGCUUCCGCUUAGCGAUCUACAAGGGUAUGUAGAUGCACUCUCCUUCCCCUCGUUCCUGGUUUCUCCAUAGAUAGAUCUUGGUGACACGUAGGAAAAUUUUGAAUUUCUGCUACGUUCACCAACAGUGGCAUCAGAGCUAGGUCUAUUGCGUAGAUUCUUUGCACGAGUAGAACACAAAGUAGUUGUGGGUGUUGAUUUUGUUCAAUAUGCUUACCGUUACUAGUCCAAUCUUGUUUCGACAAUAUUGUGGGAUGAAGCGGCCCGGACCGACCUUACACAUACACUUACGUGAGACAGGUUCCACUGACUGACAUGCACUUGGUGCAUAAGGUGGCUAGCGGGUGCCAGUCUCUCCCACUUUAGUCGGAAUGGAUUCGAUGAAAAGGGUCCUUAUGAAGGGUAAAUAGCAAUUGGCAUAUCAUGUUGUGGUUUUGCGUAGGUAAGAAACGUUCUUGCUAGAAACCCACAGCAGCCACGUAAAACAUGCAAACAACAAUUAGAGGACGUCUAACUUGUUUUUGCAGGGUAUGCUAUGUGAUGUGAUAUGGCCAAGAAGAAUGUGAUGUAUGAGAUUGAUCAUGUUCUUGUAAUAGGAAUCACGACUUGCAUGUCGAUGAGUAUGACAACCGGUUGCGUAUAUCAUGUUCGCCAUCCGCACUUGUGGGGGAAAGCCUUUCUGUCCCCUAUUGUUCGGCGGUCAGGGCUCCUCCUCGUCAUCGCUAUGCAGCCCCUUGUCUCUGUUUUUGCCACUUAACUUGCCUGCCUGCUUGAACACCCAACAAUCCCUGUUGGUGUGAUUGACUGGUAUUUCGGGGGUGCCGUGUAUCUGGCAUGAGCGAUCGAGUAUUCGGUCCAAACUGGAUGGGCCCGGAGUAUUUCUUUUGAAAGGCUUUUUCCACUGACCGGGUUUAGAGCUUCUGAAUCCGGCAUUAACUGCCGUAUCCUCAGCAUUGUCGCCAUUAAUGCGGCGCUUGUGCUUGUUGCGACGCGACCUGCCAUUGUUGUCCUUGGUAUCCGAAUUACCAGGGCUCUUGGUCAUGUUAUUACUACGAGCUAGCCAGCUGUCUUCUUCCGCGCAAAAGCGGGUCAUGAGUGUUGUGAGGGCUUCCAUGGAUUUCGGAUUUUCCUGUCCUAGGUGCCGGGCAAGCCAUUCGUCUCGGAUGUUAUGUUUGAAGGCUGAAAGGGCCUCUGCGUCCGGACAGUCGACUAUUUGAUUUUUCUUGGUUAGGAACCGUGUCCAGAAUUGUCUGGCCGAUUCCUCUGGCUGCUGAAUUAUGUGGCUUAGGUCAUCGGCGUCUGGUGGUCGCACAUAGGUGCCCUAGAAAUUGUUGAGGAAUGCGGCUUCCAAGUCCUCCCAGCAACCAAUUGACUCUGCUGGCAAGCUGUUAAGCUAAUGCCGAGCUAGUCCUUUAAGCUUGAGUGGGAGGUAUUUGAUAGCGUGUAUAUCAUCACCGCGGGCCAUGUGGAUAUGAAGGAGAUAAUCCUCGAUCCAUACCGCAGGAUCUAUUGUGCCAUCGUAUGAUUCGAUGUUUACGGGCUUAAAACCCUCAGGGAUUUGAUGAUCCAUUACUUCAUCUGUGAAGCAUAGUGGGUGUGCGGCGCCUCUGUACUAGGCUAUAUCACGACGUAGCCCAAAUGAGCUUUGUCUGUUGUGUUCGGCCUGGCCGUAUUUGCCAUACCCGGCAUGACGAUUAUCGUCACGUGCCGUGGGGCACCCACGCGAUCCAUAGAUCGAUCUUGUUUGCCUUGCCUUGUCCCCCAAUAUGUCUCGCAGGUCUGGCGCAUUUCCCCGUGUCUUGGUAUUUUUUUGAGCGAUGCCGGGGUGCGGCUUGAGUGGAUGGCCGAGAGGCCUCUCUGUCGCGGCCACGAGGUGGCCGGUCGGCCGUGUCGUGUGCUGGUGAUGUAGGUUUAGGUGCUUCCUCCUCUAAUCGGGGUAGCAGCCUGCGCUUUGGGUAGCUCUUGGAGGGGCGUUCGGGUUCGUACUCUUCGGCCGCAAGGACUUCAGUCCAUCUGUCGGCUAGCAAGUCUUGGUCAGCUCUAAGCUGCUGCUGUUUUUUCUUGAGGCUGCUCACCGUGGCCAUAAGCCUGCGUUUGAAACGCUCUUGUUCGACGGGAUCCUCAGGCAUGACAAAUUCGUCGUCGUCGAGGCUUGCCUCGUCUUUGGAGGGAGGCAUGUAAUUAUCGUCCUCUACCUCUCUGUCUGCCGCUCUCUCAUGAGGGCUGGCUUCUCCAUCCUCCUGUGCUAAAUCUUGAUGGAGGGGGUUGUCUUCGGCACUGUGUGGGGUGUUAUUAUCUCCCGUGCCGGAAUCGCCGUUUUUGCUUUGGCGGGAUUUAGAGCGGCGCCGCUGACACCGGCGCUUGGGCUACUUCUUGGAGGGGUCAUCCUCCGUUGUUCCAUCACCAUUCCCUUCUUUUGGGGUGUCCACCAUGUAUAUGUCGUAUGACGAGGUGGCUUUCCAGUGCCCUAUAGGCGCUGGUUCUUGGUCGUCUCCCGCAUCGGCGUCCAUACCGUCGAUGUCUUCGGAGUCGAAGUCGAGCAUGUCGGUUAAAUCAUCGACAGUGGCUAUGAAGUGGGUGGUGGGUGGGCUUUCAAUUUCUUCAUUGUCCGCAUCCCAACCUUGCUGACCAUAGUCCGGCCAGGGCUCUCCUGACCAAGAGAAAGACUUUAGUGAAUUCAGAAUGUCGCCGAAGGGCGAGUGCUGAAAGAUGUCCGCGGUGGCGAACUGCAUGAUCGGCGCCCAAUCGGGAUCGAUCGGUAGGGGCGCGGAAGGUUCGGAGUCCAGAAAGGAGUCCGGCACCUUGGAGUCACGAGCUUCGCAAAGGACAAGGCUGGUGUUCGGCUCGAUCAUCGUAGAGAUUGCAGCCCCCGAGGCGGUGUCUAGCCACCUGUCCUCGAUUGGCGUAGUCGGCUCCGAGCUAAGGGUCGGAGCGGACACUAGGGCGGCCUCCUGGGCACUGUUCAGCGGCAGAGCUAGAUCAUGCCCGUCGUGACAGUGCGGCGCGCUCGGCUGUGGCUCCAACCUGUCGAAGAUCAAGUCUCCGCGGAUGUCAGCCGUGUAGUUCAAACUUCCAAACCUGACCAGAUGGCCAGGGGCGUAGCUUUCGAUCUGCUCCAGAUGGCCAAGCGAAUUGGCCCGCAGUGCAAAGCCGCUGUAUACGAAGAUCUGCCCGAGGUGAAAAGUCUCACCCUGGACCGCAUCGUUGUUGAUGAUCGGAGGAGCCAUUGGGCCUAAAGAUGAUGACACAGAGGAACUCUCAAUGAAAGCACCAAUGUCGGUGUCAAAACCGGCGGAUCUCGGGUAGGGGGUCCCGAACUGUGCGUCUAGGCGGAUGGUAACAGGAGACAAGGGACACGAUGUUUUUACCCAGGUUCGGGCCCUCUCGAUGGAGGUAAAACCCUACUCAUGCUUGAUUAAUAUUGAUGAUAUGGGUAGUACAAGAGUAGAUCUACCACAAGAUCAGAGAGGCUAAACCCUAGAAGCUAGCCUAUGGCAUGAUUGUUGUUCGUCCUAUGGACUAAAACCCUCCGGUUUAUAUAGACACCGAAGAGGGCUAGGGUUACACAGGGUCGGUUACAAUGGGAGGAGAUCUACAUAUCCGCAUUGCCAAGCUUGCCUUCCACGCCAAGGAAAGUCCCAUCCGGACACGGGAUGAAGUAUUCAAUCUUGUAUCUUCAUAGUCCAGGAGUCCGGCCAAAGGUCAUAGUCCGGUCAUCCGGACACCCCCUAAUCCAGGACUCCCUCAGUCCCACCGAGAUUGCAAUGUAAACUCUCUGUUUCCUUUUCGUGACAUUUUGGUCAAACCGAAAAGAGAGCUCUCUGGUUAUCUUAUUACCAAAAUUGGUCUCACCGAGUUUGUGUAAUCGGUCUCACCGAGAUUACGUUAUGCCCUAACCCUAACCACAUCGGUCCUACCGAGUUGCAUGUCGGUCCCACUGAAAACCCAAACGGUCACUAGGUUUACUAAAUCGGUCUGACUGAGUUUUUUGAUUCGGUCCCACCGAGAUUGGUAAAUUGUGUGUAACGGUUAGAUUUUGUGUGGAGGCCAUAUAUACCCCUCCACCUCCUCUUCAUUCGUGGAGAGAUCCAUCAGAACAAACCUACACUUCCAACUUGCCAUUUCUGAGAGAGAACCACCUACUCAUGUGUUGAGGCCAAGAUAUUCCAUUCCUACCAUAUGAAUCUUGAUCCCUAGCCUUCCCCAAGUUUCUUUCCACUCAAAUCUUCUUUCCACCAGAUCCAAAUCCUGUGAGAGAGAGUUGAGUGUUGGGGAGACUAUCAUUUGAAGCACAAGAGCAAGGAGUUCAUCAUCAACACACCAUUUGUUACUUCUUGGAGAGUGGUGUCUCCUAGAUUGGCAAGGUGUCACUUGGGAGCCUCUGACAAGAUUGUGGAGUUGAACCAAGGAGUUUGUAAGGACAAGGAGAUCGCCUACUUCAUUAAGAUCUACUGCUAGUGAGGCAAGUCCUUCAUGGGCGACGGCCAUGGUGGGAUAGACAAGGUUGCUUCUUCGUGGACCCUUCGUGGGUGGAGCCCUCCGUGGACUCGCGCAACUGUUACCCUUCUUGGGUUGAAGUCUCCAUCAACAUGGAUGUACGAUAGCACCACCUAUCAGAACCACGGCUCAAAAAUCACCGUGUCUCCAAAUUGCAUUUGAAAUCUCCAAACCCUUCCCUUUACAUUCUUGCAAGUUGCAUGCUUUACUUUCCGCUGCUCAUAUACUCUUUGCAUGCUUGCUUGAAUUGUGUGAAGAUUGCUUGACUUGUGCUAAGAUAGCUAAAAUCUGCCAAAGACUAAAAUUGGGAAAAGGUUAAGUUUUUAUUUGGUCAAAUAGUCUAAUCACCGCCCCUCUAGACAUACUUCCGAUCCUACAGUCGUGCACUUUUCUGAACCUGUUGUGCACUUUGUGCAUUUGUUUGAAAGUGUUUUGUUCACAUAACUGUGGAAAUGGGGCUCACACUGGGCUCUCAUAUUGGACCACAGUCCACAAGCUUGCGUAGGUGUCUAUAAAAAGACCCUAACAUGUCCCUUUCCCAUACCACUAAAACCCUAUCUGCCAACAUCACUACAACCCUUGCCUAGCCAAAAAGAUGGAUCCAAGCAUAGGAGAGGUUGUCGACGACCAGAAAGAGAGUUCUAGAGCAGCAAGAAGGGCCGCAGGAGCAGAAAGGAGGGGUCGUAGGGCUCAGGCACGUGAGCAACGCCAGAGGCUAGCUGCCACGAUUAUGGCAGCCUGCAACUCCUCAAUGUGAUGCAGUUCAAGGAGGUGUUCCCAGAUGGAACAAUCAUCACCAAUGGUUUGAUCAUUUGGUGGGCUAGAGAUAGGACAACCUUCCAUCGCUACCAAGUCACAAGGGCUAGGUGGAGCAGAAUCCUUGAUUCUGCGUCUUGAAACAGUUCAAGGUUCAAUACUUCAAUGUUAUCUGAAUUCUCCAAGUCUCUUGUUCUAUGUAUGUGAUGAUGUGUCUGAAAUUUCUCUGAAUGUAUGCGCACUUGUAUGCGUAGAUUUGCUGAAUUUUCUAAAAUUGUGCUCUGAAUGUAUGCGCACUUGUAUGCGUGGAUUUUCUGAAUAUUCUGAAUUUGUGCUACUGAAUGUAUGUGAAUUUGUGUGAUUUUCUCUAGAACAGCUUGAUUUUAACAGUACCUCAGUCAACAAAAUAUGUUUUCACCACGAAAUAACUAUUGCACAACUUUCAACUAACAUCACUUAACCAGCACAAGUUUCACCACACAAUAACUACUGCACAACUACCACCCUGUCAACUACUACUUCACAAGUUUUACUUCUCCACUGCCUCACUCCACCUCUCUUUAACUCCCCCCUCUUUCUUCAGCUACUCUACUCACAUCACUCUACCUCACCACAACUUCACCUCGCUCAACACCACUGCACUCACCACUUCCUGCUCCAACCAUGGCUGCUUCUUCCUCUUCUCCGGACCCAUUUCUUUGUUGGGGAACGUAGUAAUUUCAAAAAAAUUCCUACACACACACAAGAUCAUGGUGAUGCAUAGCAACGAGAGGGGAGAGUGUUAUCCACAAACCCUCAUAGACCGAAAGCCGAAGCGUUAGCACAACACGGUUGAUGUAGUCGUACGUCUUCACGAUCCGACCGAUCCAAGUAUCGAACGUACGGCACCUCCGAGUUCAGCACACGUUCAGCUCGAUGAGGUCCCACGAACUCUGAUCCAGCUGAGCUUUGAGGAAGAGUUCUGUCAGCACGACGGUGUGGUGACGAUGAUGAUGUUCUACCGACGCAGGGCUUCGCCUAAGCAUCACUACGAUAUUAUCAAGGUGGAAUAUGGUGGAGGGGGGCACCGCACAUGGCUAAGAGAUCAAUGAUCAAUUGUUGUUCACUAGAGGUGCCCCCCUGCCCCCGUAUAUAAAGGAGCAAGGGGGAAGGGGGCGGCCGGCUAGGAGGGGCGCGCCAGGAGGAGUCCUACUCCCACCGGGAGUAGAACUCCCUCCUUUCCUUGUCCAAGUAGAUGGGGAAGGAAGGGAGAGAGGGGAGGAAGGAAAGGGGGGCGCCGCCCUCCCCAUCCUUGUCCUAUUCGGACUAGAGGGGGAGGGGGCGCGCGGCCUGCCCUGGCCGCCCCUCCUCUUCUCCACUUUGGGCCCAUGAGGCCCAUUAACCCCCGGGGGGUUCCCGUAACUCCCCGGUACUCCGGUAUAUAUCCGAUAACCCCCGGAACUACCGGUGUCCAAAUAUAGUCGUUCAAUAUAUUAAUCUUCAUGUCUCGACCAUUUCGAGACUCCUCGUCAUGUCCGUGAUUGCAUCCGGGACUCCGAACUAUCUUCGGUACAUCAAAACACAUAAACUCAUAAUAUAACCGUCAUCUAACUUUAAGCGUGCGAACCCUACGGGUUCGAGGACUAUGUAGACAUGACCGAGACAUGUUUCCGGUCAAUAACCAAUAGCAUAGCCUUGAUGCUCAUAUUGGAUCCUACAUAUUCUAUGAAGAUCUUUAUCGGUCAAACCGCAUAACAACAUACGUUGUUCGCUUUGUCAUUCGUAUGUUACUUGCCCGAGAUUCGAUCGUCGGUAUCUCAAUACCUAGUUCAAUCUCGUUACCGGCAAGUCUCUUUACUCGUUAUGUAAUGCAUCAUCCCGCAACUAACUCAUUAGUAACAUUGCUUGCAAGGCUUAUAGUGAUGUGCAUUACCGAGAGGACCCAGAGAUACCUCUCCGACAAUCGGAGUGACAAAUCCUAAUCUCGAAAUACGCCAACUCAACAUGUACCUUCGGAGACACCUGUAGAGCUCCUUUAUAAUCACCUAGUUACGUUGUGACGUUUGGUAGCACACAAAGUGUUCCUCCGGUAAACGGGAGUUGCAUAAUCUCAUAGUCAUAGGAACAUGUAUAAGUCAUGAAGAAAGCUAUAACAACAUACUAAACGAUCAAGUGCUAAGCUAACGGAAUGGGUCAAGUCAAUUACAUCAUUCUCCUAAUGAUGUAAUCCCAUUAAUCAAAUGAUAACUCAUGUCUAUGGUUAGGAAACAUAACCAUCUUUGAUUAAUGAGCUAGUCAAGUAGAGGCAUACUAGUGACAUUAUGUUUGUCUAUGUAUUCACACAUGUAUUAUGUUUCCGGUUAAUACAAUUCUAGCAUGAAUAAUAAACAUUUAUCAUGAUAUAAGGAAAUAAAUAAUAACUUUAUUAUUGCCUCUAGGGCAUAUUUCUUUCAGUCUCCCACUUGCACUAGAGUCAAUAAUCUAGAUUACACAGUAAUGAUUCUAACACCCAUGGAGCCUUGGUGCUGAUCAUGUUUUGCUCGUGGAAGAGGCUUAGUCAAUGGGUCUGCAACAUUCAGAUCUGUAUGUAUCUUGCAAAUCUCUAUGUCUCCCACUUGGACUUGGUCCCGGAUGGAAUUGAAGCGUCUCUUGAUGUGCUUGGUCCUCUUGUGAAAUCUGGAUUCCUUUGCCAAGGCAAUUGCACCAGUAUUGUCACAGAAGAUCUUCAUUGGUCCCAAUGCACUAGGUAUGACACCUAGAUCGGAUAUGAACUUCUUCAUCCAGACUCCUUCAUUUGCUGCUUUCGAAGCAACUAUGUACUCCGCUUCGCAUGUAGAUCCCGCCACGACGCUUUGUUUAGAACUGCACCAACCGACAGCUCUACUGUUCAAUAUAAACACGUAUCCGGUUUGCGAUUUAGAAUUGUCUGGAUAAGUGUUAAAGCUUGCAUCGACGUAACCAUUUACGACUAGCUCUUUGUCACCUCCAUAAACGAGAAACAUAUCCUUAGUCCUUUUCAGGUAUUUCAGGAUAUUCUUGACCGCUGUCCAGUGAUCCACUCCUGGAUUACUUUGGUACCUCCCUGCUAAACUUAUUGCUAAGCACACAUCAGAUCUGGUACAUAGCAUUGCAUACAUGAUAGAGUCUAUGGCUGAAGCAUAGGGAACAUCUUUCAUUUUCUCUCUAUCUUCUGCUGUGGUCGGGCAUUGAGUCUGACUCAACUUCACACCUUGUAAUACAGGCAAGAAACAUUUCUUUGCUUGAUCCAUUUUGAACUUCUUCAAAACUUUAUCAAGGUAUGUGCUUUGUGAAAGUCCAAUUAAGCGUCUUGAUCUAUCUCUAUAUAGAUCUUGAUGCCUAAUAUAUAAGCAGCUUCACCGAGGUCUUUCAUUGAAAAACUUUUAUUCAAGUAUCCUUUUAUGCUAUCUAGAAAUUCUAUAUCAUUUCCAGUCAACAAUAUGUCAUCUACAUAUAAUAUCAAAAAUGCUACGGAGCUCCCACUCACUUUCUUGUAAAUACAGGCUUCUCCAAAAGUUUGUAUAAAACCAUAUGCUUUGUUCACACUAUCAAAGCAUUUAUUCCAACUCUGAGAGGCUUGCACUAGUCCAUAAAUGGAUCGUUGGAGCUUUCACACUUUGUUAGUACUUUUGGAUCGACAAAACCUUCUGGUUGCAUCAUAUACAACUCUUCUUCCAGAAAUCCAUUCAGGAAUGCAGUUUUGACAUCCAUUUGCCAUAUUUCAUAAUCAUAAAAUGCGGCAAUUGCUAACAUGAUUUGGACAGACUUAAACAUCGCUACGGGUGAGAAAGUUUCAUCGUAGUCAACCCCUUGAAUUUGUCGAAAACCUUUUGCAACAAGUCGAGCUUUAUAGACAGUUACAUUACCAUCAACGUCAGUCUUCUUCUUGAAGAUCCAUUUAUUCUCGAUGGCUUGCCGAUCAUCGGGCAAGUCAACCAAAGUCCAUACUUUGUUCUCAUACAUGGAUCCCAUCUCAGAUUUCAUGGCCUCAAGUCAUUUUGCGGAAUCUGGGCUCAUCAUCGCUUCCUCAUAGUUCGUAGGUUCGUCAUGGUCAAGUAACAUGACCUCCAGAAUAGGAUUACCAUACCACUCUGGUGCGGAUCAUACUCUGGUUGACCUACGAGGCUCGGUAGUAACUUGAUCUGAAGUUUCAUGAUCAAUAUCAUUAGCUUCCUCACUAAUUGGUGUAGUUGUCACAGGAACCGGUUUCUGUGAUGAACUACUUUCCAAUAAGGGAGCAGGUACAGUUACCUCAUCAAGUUCUACUUUCCUCCCACUCACUUCUUUCGAGAGAAAUUCCUUCUCUAGAAAGGAUCCGAAUUUAGCAACAAAAGUCUUGCCUUCGGAUCUGUGAUAGAAGGUGUACCCAAUAGUCUCAUUUGGAUAUCCUAUGAAGACACAUUUCUCCGAUUUGGGUUCGAGCUUAUCUGGUUGAAGUUUCUUUACAUAAGCAUCGCAGCCCCAAACUUUAAGAAAUGACAACUUUGGUUUCUUGCCAAACCACAGUUCAUAAGGUGUCGUCUCAGCGGAUUUUGAUGGUGCCGUAUUUAACAUGAAUGCGGCCGUCUCUAAAGCAUAACCCCAAAACGAUAGCGGUAAAUCAGUAAGAGACAUCAUAGAUCACACCAUAUCUAGUAAAGUACGAUUACGAUGUUCAGACACACCAUUACGUUGUGGUGUUCCGGGUGGCGUGAGUUGCGAAACUAUUCUGCAUUGUUUCAAAUGUAAGCCAAACUCAUAACUCAAAUAUUCUCCUCCACGAUCAGAUCGUAGAAACUUUAUUUUCUUGUUACGAUGAUUUUCCACUUCACUCUGAAAUUCUUUGAACUUUUCAAAUGUUUCAGACUUAUGUUUCAUUAAGUAGAUAUACCCAUAUCUGCUUAAAUCAUCUAUGAAGGUGAGAAAAUAACGAUACCCGCCGCGAGCCUCAAUGUUCAUUGGACCACAUACAUAAGUAUGUAUGAUUUCCACCAAAUCUGUUGCUCGCUCCAUAGUUCCGGAGAAUGGCGUUUUAGUCAUCUUGCCCAUGAGGCACGGUUCGCAAGUACCAAGUGAUUCAUAAUCAAGUGAUUCCAAAAGUCCAUCAGUAUGGAGUUUCUUCAUGCGCUUUACACCAAUAUGACCCAAACGGAAGUGCCACAAAUAAGUUGCACUAUCAUUAUCAACUCUGCAUCUUUUGGCUUCAACAUUAUGAAUAUGUGUAUCACUACUAUCGAGAUUUAAUAAAAAUAGACCACUCUUCAAGGGUGCAUGACCAUAAAAGAUAUUACUCAUAUAAAUAGAACAACCAUUAUUCUCGGAUUUAAAUGAAUAACCGUCUCGCAUCAAACAAGAUCCAGAUAUAAUGUUCAUGCUUAACGCUGGCACCAAAUAACAAUUAUUCAGGUCUAAAACUAAUCCCCAAGGUAGAUGUAGAGGUAGCGUGCCGACCGCGAUCACAUCGAAUUUGGAAGCAUUUCCCACGUGCAUCGUCACCUCGUCCUUAGCCAAUAUUCGCUUAAUCCGUAGUCACUGUUUCGAGUUGCAAAUAUUAGUAACAGAACCAGUAUCAAAUACCCAGGUGCUAUUGCGAGCAUUAGUAAGGUACACAUCAAUAACAUGUAUAUCACAUAUACCUUUGUUCACCUUGCCAUCCUUCUUAUCCGCCAACUACUUGGGGCAGUUCCGCUUCCAGUGACCAGUCUGCUUGCAGUAGAAGCACUCAGUCUCAGGCUUAGGUCCAGACUUGGGUUUCUUCUCUUGAGCAUCAACUUGUUUGCCUUUCUUCUUGAAGUUCCCCUUCUUCUUCCCUUUACUCUUUUUCUUGAAACUGGCGGUCUUUUUGACCAUCAACACUUGAUGCUCCUUUUUGAUUUCUACCUCCGCAGCUUUUAGCAUUGCGAAGAGCUCGGGAAUAGUCUUGUCCAUCCCUUGCAUAUUAUAGUCCAUCACGAAGCUCUUGUAGCUUGGUGGCAGUGAUUGAAGAAUUCUGUCAAUGACACCAUCAUCAGGAAGAUUAAUUCCCAAUUGAAUCAACUGAUUAUUAUACCCAGACAUUUUGAGUAUAUGUUCACUGACAGAACUAUUCUCUUCCAUCUUGCAGCUAUAGAACUUAUUGGAGACUUCAUAUCUCUCAAUCCGGGCAUUUUCUUGAAAUAUUAACUUCAACUCCUGGAACAUCUCAUAUGCUCCAUGAUGUUCGAAACGUCAUUGAAGUCCCGGUUCUAAGCCGUAAAGCAUGGCACACUGAACUAUCAAGUAGUCAUCAGCUUUGCUCUGCCAGACGUUCUUAACAUCGUAAGUUGCAUCUGCAGCAGGCCUGGCACCCAGCGGUGCUUCCAGGAUGUAAUUCUUCUGUGCAGCAAUGAGGAUAAUCCUCAAGUUACGGACCCAGUCCGUGUAAUUGCUACCAUCAUCUUUCAACUUAGAUUUCUCAAGGAACGCAUUAAAAUUCAAUGGAACAACAGACGAGCCAUCUAUCUACAACAAACAUAGACAAGCAAAAUACUAUCAGGUACUAAGUUCAUGAUAAAUUUAAGUUCAUUUAAUCAUAUUACUUAAGAACUCACACUUAGAUAGACAUCCCUCUAAUCAUCCAAGUGACCACGUGAUCCAAAUCAACUAAACCAUGUCCGAUCAUCACGUGAGAUGGAGUAGUUUUCAAUGGUGAACAUCACUAUGUUGAUCAUAUCUACUAUAUGACUCACGCUCGACCUUUCGGUCUUAGUGUUCCGAGGCCAUAUCCGUAUAUGCUAGGCUCGUCAAGUUUAACCUGAGUAUCCGCGUGUGCAAUUGUUUUGCACCCGUUGUAUUUGAACGUAGAGCCUAUCACACCCGAUCAUCACGUGGUGUCUCAGCACGAAGAACUUUCGCAGCGGUGCAUACUCAGGGAGAACACUUAUACCUUGAAAUUUAGUGAGAGAUUAUCUUAUAAUGCUACCGUCAAUCAAAACAAAAUAAGAUGCAUAAAGGAUAAACAUCACAUGAAAUCAAUAUAAGUGAUAUGAUAUGGCCAUCAUCAUCUUGUGCUUGUGAUCUUCAUCUCCGAAGCACCGUCAUGAUCACCAUCGUCACCGGCGCGACACCUUGAUCUCCAUCGUAGCAUCAUUGUCGUUUCACCACCUAUUGCUUCCACGACUAUCGCUACCGCUUAGGGAUAAAGUAAAGCAAUUACAGGGAAAUUGCAUUGCAUACAAUAAAGUGACAACCAUAUGGCUCCUGCUAGUUGCCGAUAACUCGGUUACAAAACAUGAUCAUCUCAUACAAUAAAAUAUAGCAUCACGUCUUGACCAUAUCACAUCACAACAUGCCCUGCAAAAACAAGUUAGACGUCCUCUACUAUGUUGUUGGAAGUUUUACGUGGCUGCUACGGGCUGAGCAAGAACCGUUCUUACCUACGCUUCAAAACCACAAUGAUAGUUCAUCAAGUUAGUGCUGUUUUAACCUUCUCAAGGACCAGGCGUAGGCACACUUCGUUCAGCUAGAGUUGGAGAAACUGACACCCGCCAGCCACCUAUGUGCAAAGCACGUCAGUGGAACCAGUCUCGCGUAAGCGUACGCGUAAUGUCGGUCCGGGCCGCUUCAUCCAACAAUACCACUGAACCAAAGUAUGACAUGCUGGUAAGCAGUAUGACUUGUAUCGCCCACAACUCACUUGUGUUCUACUCGUGCAUAUAACAUCUACACAUAAAACCUGGCUCUGAUGCCACUGUUGGGGAACGUAGUAAUUUCAAAAAACUUCCUACACACAUGCAAGAUCAUGGUGAUGCAUAGCAACGAGAGGGGAGAGUGUUGUCCAUGUACCCUCGUAGACCGAAAGCAGAAGCGUUAGCACAACGCGGUUGAUGUAGUCGUACGUCUUCACGAUCCGACCGAUUCAAGUACCGAACGUACGGCACCUCCGAGUUCAGCACACGUUCAGCUCGAUGACGUCCCUCGAACUCCGAUCCAACCGAGCUUUGAGGGAGAGUUCCGUCAUCAUGACGACGUGGUGAUGAUGAUGAUGUUCUACCAACGCAAGGCUUCGCCUAAGCACCGCUAUGAUAUUAUCGAGGCGGAAUAUGGUGGAGGGGGGCACCGCACACGACUAAGAGAUCAAUGAUCAAUUGUUGUUCUCUAGAGGUGCCCCCUGCCCCCGUAUAUAAAGGAGCAAGGGGGGAGGGGGCGGCCAGCCAGGAGGGGCGCGCCAGGAGGAGUUCUACUCCCACCUGGAGUAGGACUCCCUCCUUUCCUUGUCCAAGUAGGAGAGGGGGAAGGAAGGGAGAGAGGGGAGGAAGGAAAGGGGGGUGCCGCCCCCCCCCAUCCUUGUCCUAUUCGGACUAGAGGGGGAGGGGGGCGCGGCCUGCCCUGGCCGCCCCUCCUCUUCUCCACUUUGGGCCCAUGAGGCCCAUUAACCCCCCGGGGGGUUUCGGCAACUCCCCGGUACUCCGGUAUAUAUCCGAUAACCCCCGGAACUAUUCCGGUGUCCGAAUAUAGCCAAUAUAUCAAUCUUCAUGUCUCGACCAUUUCGAGACUCCUCGUCAUGUCCGUGAUCACACCCGACACUCCGAACUAUCUUUGGUACAUCAAAACACAUAAACUCAUAAUAUAAUCGUCAUCUAACUUUAAGCGUGCGGACCCUAUGGGUUCGAGAACUAUGUAGACAUGACCGAGACAUGUUUCCGGUCAAUAACCAAUAGCGGAACCUGGAUGCUCAUAUUGGCUCCUACAUAUUCUACGAAGAUCUUUAUCGGUCAAACCGCAUAACAACAUACGUUGUUCCCUUUGUCAUCGGUAUGUUACUUGCCCAAGAUUCGAUCGUUGGUACCUCAAUACCUAGUUCAAUCUCGUUACCGGCAAGUCUCUUUACUCGUUAUGUAAUGUGUCAUCCCGCAACUAGUCAUCAUCGGUGAAUAUCUUCAUGUUGAUCGUAUCUUCUAUACGACUCAUGCUCGACCUUUCGGUCUCUUGUGUUCCGAGGCCAUGUCUGUACAUGCUAGGCUCGUCAAGUCAACCUAAGUAUUUUGCAUGUGUAAAUCUAGCUUACACCCAUUGUAUGUGAACAUUAGGAUCUAUCACACCCGAUCAUCACAUGGUGCUUCGAAACAACGAACUUUCACAACGGCGCACAGUUAGGGGAAACACUUUCUUGAAAUUGUUAUGAGGGAUCAUCUUAUUUACUACCGUCGUUCUAAGCAAAUAAGAUGCAAAAACAUGAUAAAGAUCACAUGCAAUCAAAUAGUGACAUGAUAUGGCCAAUAUCAUUUUGCUCCUUUGACCUCCAUCUUUGGGGCGCCAUGAUCAUCAUCGUCACCGACAUGACAUCAUGAUCUCCAUCAUCUUGUCUCCAUGAAGUUGUCUCGCCAACUAUUACUUCUACUACUAUGGCUAACGAUUUAGCAAAGAAGUAAAGUAAUUACAUGGCGUUAUUCAGUGACACGCAGGUCAUACAAUAAAUAAAGACAACUCCUAUGGAUCCUGCCGGUUGUCAUACUCAUCGACAUGCAAGUCGUGAUUCUUAUUACAAGAACAUGAUCAAUCUCAUACAUCACAUAUAUUUUAUUCAUCACAUCCUUUUUGGCCAUAUCACAUCACAAGGCAUAUGCUGCAAAAACAAUUUAGACAUCCUCUAAUUGUUGUUGCAUGUUUUUACGUGGCUGCUAUAGGGUUCUAGGAAGAACGUUUCUUACCUAUGCCAAAACCACAACAUGAUAUGCCAAUUUCUAUUUACCCUUCAUAAGGACCCUUUUCAUCGAAUCCGAUCCGACUAAGGUGGGAGAGACAGACACCCGCUAGCCAACUUAUGCAACUAGUGCAUGUCAGUCAGUGGAACCUGUCUCACGUAAGUGUAUGUGUAAGGUCGGUCCGGGCCGCUUCAUCCCACGAUACCGCCGAAACAAGAUAAGACUAGUAGUGGCAAGUAAAUUUACAAAAUCUACGACCACAACAAAAUUUUGUUCUACUCGUGCAUAGAAACUACGCAUAGACCUAGCUCAUGAUGCCAGUGUUGGAGAUCGUUGCAGAAAAUAAUAAUUUUCUACGCAUCACCAAGAUCAAUCUAUCGAUAAACUAGCAAUGAGAGAGAGGGGAGUGCAUCUUCAUACCCUUGAAGACAGCAAGACGGAAGCGUUGCAAGAACGCGGAUGAGGGAGUCAUACUCGAAGCGAUUCACAUCGCAGUGGAUUCCGAUCUUAGCGUCGAACAACGGCACCUCCGCGUUUAACACACGUGCAGCCCGGUGACGUCUCCCGCGCCUUGAUCCAGCAAGGAGGAGGGAGAGGUUGAGGAAGAGGGACUCUAACAGUAGCACGACAGCGUGGUGGUGAUGGAGCGGCAGUACUCCGGCAGGGCAUCGCCAAGCUCUUGCGGAGGAGGAGAGGUGUUGGGGAGGGGAGGUGCUGCGCCUUGGAUGUGGUGCUAUAGCCCUCCCCUCGCCCCUCUAUUUAUAGGAGGAGGGGUGCUACCUCUUGAGCACUGCGUUGGAUUUCCCCGAAGAGGAGAGGAUGAUGCAGUAAAGUAGCGUAAGUAUUUCCCUCAGUUUUUGAGAACCAAGGUAUCAAUCCAGUAGGAGAUCACGCACAAGUCCCUCGUACCUACACAAAACGAUAGCAACUCGCAACAACGCUUAGGGGUUGUCAAUCCCUUCACGGUCACAUACGAGAGUGAGAUCUCAUAGAGAUAAUAGUUUUGGUUUUUUUGAUAGAUAGAUGCAAAGUAAAAAGUAAAAGGCAAAGUAAAACCAAGCAAGUAAAUAAAGUAAUAUAGAUUGAUAUGAUGAGAAUAGACCCAUGGGCCAUAGGUUUCACUAGUGGCUUCUCUCAAGAGCAUAAUUAUUCUACGGUGGGUGAACAAAUUACAGUUGAGCAAUUGAUAGAAAAGAGAAUAAUUAUGAGAUUAUCUAAGUAUGAUCAUGUAUAUAGGCAUCACGUCCAAAACAAGUAGAUCGAAACGAUUCUGCAUCCACUACUAUUACUCAACUCAUCGACCGCUAUCCAGCAUGCAUCUAGAGUAUUAAGUAAAACAGAGUAACGCUUUAAGUAAGAUGACAUGAUGUAGAGGGAUAAAUUCAUGCAAUAUGAUAAAAACCCCAUCUUGUUAUCCUCGAUGGCAACAAUACAAUACGUGCCUUGCAACUCUUUCUGUCACUGAGUAAGGACACCGCAAGAUUGAACCCAAAGCUAAACACUUCUCCCAUGGCAAGAACUACCAACCUAGUUGGCCAAACCAAACGGAUAAUUCGAAGAGACUUGCAAAGAUAACUCAAUCAUACAUAAAAGAAUUCAGAGAAGAAUCAAAUAUUGUUCAUAGAUAAGCUGGAUCAUAAACCCACAAUUCAUCGGUCUCAACAAACACACCGCAAAAAGAAUAUUACAUCGAAUAGAUCUCCACAAGAGAGGGGGAGAACAUUGUAUUGAGAUCCAAAAAGAGAGAAGAAGCCAUCUAGCUAAUAACUAUGGACCCGAAGGUCUGAAGUAAACUACUCACACUUCAUUGGAGAGGCUAUGGUGUUGAUGUAGAAGCCCUCCGUGGUAGAUGCCCUCUCCAGCGGAGCUCCGGAACAGGCUCCAAGAUGAGAUCUCGUGGAUACAGAAGGUUGCGGCGGUGGAAUUAGGUUUUUCGCUCCGUAUCUGAUCUAACGGGGGUACGUAGGUAUAUAUAGGAGGAAGGAGUACGUCGGUGGAGCUCCAAGGGGCCCAUGAGGCAGGGGGGCGUGCCCAGGGGGGCGCCCUCCACCCUCGUGACCGCCUCUGGCACUUCUUGGAGUAGGGUCCAAGUCUCCUGGAUCACGUUCGGUGAGAAAAUCACGUUCCCGAAGGUUUUAUUCCGUUUGGACUCUGUUUGAUAUUCUGUUUCUUCGAAAUACUGAAAUAGGCAAAAAAACAACAAUUUUGGGCUUGGCCUCCGGUUAAUAGGUUAGUCCCAAAAAUAAUAUGAAAGUGGAAAAUAAAGCCCAAUAUAGUCCAAAACAGUAGACAAAGUAGCAUGGAGUAAUCAAAAAUUAUAGAUACGUUGGAGACGUAUCAAGCAUCCCCAAGCUUAAUUCUAGCUCGUCCUCGAGUAGGUAAAUGAUAAAAAAGAAUUUUUGAUGCGGAGUGAUACUUUGGCAUAAUUUCAAUGUAAAUCUUCUUAAUUGUGACAUGAAUAUUCAGAUCCGGAAGAUUCAAGACAAAAGUUUAUAUUAACAUAAAAGUAAUAAUACUUCAAGCAUACUAAUCAAAGCAAUCAUGUCUUCUCAAAAUAGCAUGGUUAAAGAAAGUUAUCCCUACAAAAUCAUAUAGUCUGGCUAUGCUCUACCUUCAUCACACAAAGUAUUUAAUCAUGCACAACCCCGAUGAUGAGCCAAGCAAUUGUUUCAUACUUUAGAAAUCUCAAACUUUUUCAACUUUCACGCAAUACAUGAGCGUGAGCCAUGGACAUAGCACUAUAGGUGGAAUAGAAAGGUGGUUGUGGAGAAGACAAAAAGGAGAAGAUAGUCUCACAUCAACUAGGCAUAUCAACGGGCUAUGGAGAUGCCCAUCAAUAGAUAUCAAUGUGAGUGAGCAGGGAUUGCCAUGCAACGGAUGCACUAGAGCUAUAAGUAUAUGAAAUCUCAACAAAAGAAACUAAGUGGGGGUGCAUCCAACUUGCUUGCUCAAGAAGACCUAGGGCACUUUUGAGGAAGCCCAUCAUUGGAAUAUACAAGACAAGUUUUAUAAUGAAAAAUUCCCACUAGUAUAUGAAAGUGAUAACAUAUGAGACUCUCUAUCAUGAAGAUCAUGGUGCUUAAUUUUGAAGCACAAGUGUGGAAAAAGGAUAGUAGCAUUGUCCCCUCUCUCUUUUUCUCUCAUUUUUUUAUUUUUUAUUUGGCCUUUCUCUUUUUUUUUCUUUUUUUUGGCCACUCCUUUUUUUUAUAUUUUUUUUCAUAAAGUCCGGAGUCUCAUCCCGACUUAUGGGGGAAUCAUAGUCUCCAUCAUCCUUUCCUCACUGGGACAAUGCUCUAAUAAUGAUAAUCAUCACACUUUUAUUUUUCUUACAACUCAUCAAUUACAACUCAAUACUUAGAACAAGAUAUUCGAUAUGAAUGCCUCCGGCGGUGUACCGGGAUAUGCAAUGAAUCAAGAGCGACAUGUAUGAAAAUUAUGAAGGUGGCCUUGCCACAAAUACAAUGUCAACUACAUGUUCAUGCAAAAAGCAAUAUGACAAAAGUAAUGUGUGUCAUAUGAACGGAACGGUGGAGAGUUGCAUGGCAAUAUAUCUCAGAAUGGCUAUGGAAAUGCCAUAAUAGGUAGGUAUGGUGGCUGUUUUGAGGAAGGUAUAUGGUGGGUGUAUGAUACCGGCGAAAAGUGUGCGGUAUUAGAGAGGUUAGCAAUGGCGAAAAGGUAAGAGUGUGUAUAAUCCAUGGACUCAACAUUAAUCAAAAUAACUCAUGCACUUAUUGCAAAAAUUUAGAAGUCAUCAAAAACCAAAGCAUUAAACGCAUACUCCUAGGGGGAUAGAUUGGUAGGAAGAGACCAUCGCUCGUCCCCGACUUCCACUCAUAAGGAAGACAAUAAAUAAAUAAAAUUGUGCUCCGACUUCAUCACAAGCGGUUCACCAUACGUGCAUGCUACAGGAAUCACAAACUUCAACGCAAGCAUUCUUUAAAUUCAUAAUUACCCCUACUAGCAUUGCUUUAAUAUUAUCACCUCCAUAUCUCAAAACAAUUAUCAAGCAUCAAACUUAUCUUAGUAUUCAACGCACUCAAAAGAAAGUUUCACAAAUCUUGAAUACCAAGUAUAUUAACUUUGAGCAAUUUACCAUGCUAUUAACAACUCUCAAAAUAAUCUAAGUGAAGCAUGAGAGAUCAAUAGUUUCUUUAAAAUAAAUCCACCACCGUGCUCUUAAAGAUCUAAGUGAAGAACUAGAGCAAAAAUUAUUACUCUCAAAAGAUAUAAGUGAAGCACUAUGAGCAAAACUAUCAAGCUCAAAAGAUAUAAGUGAAGCACUAUGAGCAAAACUAUCAAGCUCAAAAGAUAUAAGUGAAGUACAUAGAGUAUUCUAGCAAAUUCCACAUCAGGUAUGGCUCUCUCAAAAGGUGUGUACAGCAAGGAUGAUUGUGGCAAACUAACAAGCAAAGACACAAAUAAUAAAGAUGCUCCAAGCAAAGCACAUAUCAUGUAGUGAAUAAAAAUAUAGCUCCAAGUAAAUUACCGAUGGAAGUAGACGAAAGAGGGGAUGCCUUCCGGGGCAUCCCCUUGCUUUGACUUUUUGGUGUCCUUGGAUUAUCUUGGGGAUGCCAUGGGAAUCCCCAAUCUUAGGCUCUUCCCACUCUUUGUUCCAUAAUCCAUCAAAAGAAUUCACCCAAAACUUGAAAACUUCACAACACAAAAUUCAAUAGAAAUCUCGUGAGCUCCGUUAGUGAAAGAAAACAAAACACUACUUCAAGGUACUGUAAUGAACUCAUUCUUUAUUUAUAUUGGUAUUAAACCUACUGUAUUCCAACUUCCUUAUGGUUUAUAAACUAAUUUAUUAGCCAUAGAUUCAUCAAAAUAAGCAAACAACACACGAAAAACAGAAUCUGUCAAAAACAGAACAGUCUGUAGCAAUCUGUAACUAACGCAAACUUCUGGAACUCUAAAAAAUCCUACCAAAAUAGUACGCACUAGAAAUUUUUUUUAUUGAUCAGAAGCAAAAAGAAUCAAUGCAAAAUCUCGUUCCUUUGAUUUAUUGAAUUUUUUCUCGUGAGCGCAAAGUUUCUGUUUUUCAGCAGAAUCAAAUAAACUAUCACCAUAGCUUAUCCUAUAGGUUCUACUUGGCACAAACACUAAUUAAAACACAAAACCACAUCUAAACAGAAAGUAGAAACAAAAUUUAGCACUAAACAAGAACACAAAAUAAAAUUGGGUUGCCUCCCAACAAGCGCUAUCGUUUAACGCCCCUAGCUAGGCAUAAAAGCAAAGAUAGAUCUAAGUUUUGCCAUCUUUGGUAGGCAAUUCCUCAAAGAGGCAUCUACCUCCUUCAGAAUUUCCUUUAUUUCUAGUAAUUAUCAAAUUUUCAGGCAAAAGAUCAAAAAAUUCAUUCAUAGCAAAAGGUUCCUUAAUGAUAGUAAAAAGAUUGGGAUGAACACUUAUAGAUUUAAGAUUCGCAGUUUCCUUACUAGAUAAUUCACCCUUAUUCCUAGGAACAUAAAUUAGCUUAGUAUUUUUAGUAGAAGAACUUGGAGUGUUUUGUACGGAAGAAAAAGCGGUUCCCAAAUUGGUAAUGAUACCCUCAAGUUUAUCGUUUCUUGUGGAAUCUAGAUUUAUUUUAUCAUUAACUAUGGGUUCUUUUUCUUUAAUAUUCUUCAAAGUCAUUCCUACCUUAGAUCCAUAUUGGGUAAUUUGAUUGUGGAUCUUUUUAUAAAGAUUUUCAAUUGAUUCAAUGGUAGCAACUUCAUUAUCAAUAAUUUCAAGUAUUUGCAUAACAUGCUCCAAAGUUAAUGUAGUUCCAUUAAUCAAAAGAGGUGGGGUGCCGAAUAAAUCUAUUAAAGCAUUAUAGGAAUCAAAAGUGUGGCUACCCAAGAAAUUCCCUCCAGUAAUGGUAUCAAGGAUAUAUCUAUACCAAGGAUUAGCAACUACGUAAAAAUUACGACGAAGAACUGAAGUAGAUUGCUUCCUGGUAGAUCUAUUUUGAGCAUUGCAAAUUCUAUACCAAGCGUCUUUCAGAUUUUCUCCCUCCCUUUGUUUAAAAUUUAGAACUUCAUUCUCGAGAGAUAAUGGAGAAGAUAAAGAAUUAGACAUGACGACAAGCAAGCAAGCAAGCACACAGACAGGCAGGAGGACAAGCGAAGAAAGCAAAAGAGAAAGAGAGGAGGAGAUUGGGAAAGAGAGGGCGAAUAAAACGGCAAGGGUGAAGUGGGGGAGAGGAAAACGAGAGGCAAAUAAUGUAAUGCGAGAGAUAGGGAUUGUGAUGGGUACUUGGUAUAGUUGACUUUUGCGCGAACUCCCCGGUAACGGCGCCAGAAAUUCUUCUUGCUACCUCUUGAGCACUGCGUUGGAUUUCCCCGAAGAGGAGAUGAUGAUGCAGUAAAGUAGCGUAUGUAUUUCCCUCAGUUUUUGAGAACCAAGGUAUCAAUCCAGUAGGAGAUCACGCACAAGUCCCUCGUACCUACACAAAACGAUAGCAAUUCGCAACCAACGCUUAGGGGUUGUCAAUCCCUUCAUGGUCACUUACGAGAGUGAGAUCUGAUAGAGAUAAUAUUUUUGGUAUUUUUGAUAGAUAGAUGCAAAGUAAAAAGUAAAAGUCAAAGUAAAACAAAGCAAGUAAAUAAAGUAAUAUAGAUUGAUAUCAUGAGAAUAGACCCGGGGGCCAUAGGUUUCACUAGUGGCUUCUCUCAAGAGCAUAAGUAUUCUACGGUGGGUGAAAAAAUUACUGUUGAGCAAUUGAUAGAAAAGCGAAUAAUUAUGAGAUUAUCUAAGUAUGAUCAUGUAUAUAGGCAUCACGUCCAAAACAAGUAGAUCAAAACCAUUAUGCAUCCACUACUAUUACUCCACUCAUCGACCGCUAUCCAGCAUGCAUCUAGAGUAUUAAGUAAAACAGAGUAACGCUUUAAGUAAGAUGGCAUGAUGUAGAGGGAUAAAUUCAUGCAAUAUGAUAAAAAUCCCAUCUUGUUAUCCUCGAUGGCAACAAUACAAUACGUGCCUUGCAACUCUUUCUGUCACUGAGUAAGGACACCGCAAGAUUGAACCCAAAGCUAAACACUUCUCCCAUGGCAAGAACUACCAAUCUAGUUGGCCAAACGAAACGUAUAAUUCGAAGAGACUUGCAAAGAUAGCUCAAUCAUACAUAAAAGAAUUCAGAAAAGAAUCAAAUAUUGUUCAUAGAUAAGCUGGAUCAUAAACCCAAAAUUCAUCGAUCUCAACAAACACACCGCAAAAAGAAGAUUACAUCGAAUAGAUCUCCACAAGAGAGGGGGGGAACAUUGUAUUGAGAUCCAAAAAGAGAGAAGAAGCCAUCUAGCUAAUAACUAUGGACCCGUAGGUCUGAAGUAAACUACUCACACUUCAUUGGAGAGGCUAUGGUGUUGAUGUAGAAGCCCUCCAUGGUAGAUGCCCUCUCCGGCGGAGCUCCGGAACAGGCUCCAAGAUGGGAUCUCGUGGAUACAGAAGGUUGCGGCGGUGGAAUUAGGUUUUUGGCUCCGUAUCUGAUCUGACGGGGGUAUGUAGGUAUAUAUAGGAGGAAGGAGUAUGUCGGUGGAGCUCCGAGGGGCCCAUGAGGCAGGGGGCGCGCCUAGGGGGGCGCCCUCCACCCUCGUGACCGCCUCUGGCACUUCUUGGAGUAGGGUCCAAGUCUCCUGGAUCACGUUCGGUGAGAAAAUCACGUUCCCGAAGGUUUUAUUCCGUUUGGACUCCUUUUGAUAUCAUGUUUCUUAAAAAUACUGAAAUAGGCAAAAAAACAACAAUUCUGGGCUGGGCCUCCGGUUAAUAGGUUAGUCCCAAAAAUAAUAUGAAAGUGGAAAAUAAAGCCCAAUAUAGUCCAAAACAGUAGACAAAGUAGCAUGGAGUAAUCAAAAAUUAUAGAUACGUUGGAGACGUAUCAAGGGGUAAGGGGGCCAGCCCCCUCUAGAUGAGAUCUAGAGGGGGGCGGCGGCCAAGGGGGGGGGACUUGCGCCCCAAGCAAGGGGGCGCCCCCUUUAGGGUUUCCCCCCCAACCCUAGGCGCAUGGGCCCAAGGGGGGUUGGCACCCAGCCCUCUAUGGGCUGGUUCCCUUCCCUCUACAGCCCACGUGGCCCUCCGGGGGAGGUGGCCCCUCCCGGUGGACCCCCGGAACCCUUCCGAUGGCCCCGGUACAAUACCGGUAUGCCCCCGAACUUCUUCGGUGACCGUAUUACAAUUUCCCAUAUAUAAAUCUUCACCUCUGAACCAUUCCAGAACUCCGCAGGACGUUUGGGAUCUCAUCCAGGACUUCGAACAACAUUCGGUAAUCACAUACAAGUCUUCCUAAUAACCCUAGCAUCAUCGAAUACCUUAAGUGUGUAGACCCUACGGGUUCGGGAAUCACGCAGACAUGACCGAGACAGCUCUCCGGCCAAUAACCAAUAGUGGGAUAUGGAUACCCAUGUUGGCUCCCACAUGUUCCAUGAUGAUCUCAUCGGAUGAACCACGAUGUCGAGGAUUCAAGUAAUCCCAUAUACAAUUCCCUUUGUCAAUCGGUACGUUACUUGCCCAAGAUUCGAUCAUCGGUAUCCCAAUACCUUGUUCAAUCUCGUUACCGGCAAGUCACUUUACUCGUUACAUAAUGCAUGAUCAUGUGACUAACCUCUUAGUCACAUUGAGAUCAUUAUGAUGAUGCAUUACCGAGUGGGCCCAGAGAUAUCUCUCCGUCAUACGUAGUGACAAAUUCCAGUCUUGAUUCGUGCCAACCCAACAGACACUUUUGAAGAUACCUAUAGUGCACCUUUAUAGUCACCCAGUUACGUUGUGACGUUUGGUACACCCAAAGACCUUCUACGGUAUCCGGGAGUUACACAAUCUCAUGGUCUAAGGAACUGAUACUUGACAUUAGAAAAGCUUUAGCAAAUGAACUACACGAUCUGGUGCUAUGCUUAGGAUUUGGUCUUGUCCAUCACAUCAUUCUCCUAAUGAUGUGACCCUGUUAUCAAUGACAUUCAAUGUCCAUAGUCAGAAAACCAUGACCAUCUGUUGAUCAACGAGCUAGUCAACUAGAGGCUUACUAGGGACAUGUUGUGGUCUAUGUAUUCACACAUGUAUCACAGUUUUCGGUUAAUACAAUUAUAGCAUGAAUAGUAGACAAUUAUCAUGAACAAGGAAAUAUAAUAAUAAUCAUUUUAUUAUUGCCUCUAGGGAAUAUUUCCAACAGUCUCCCACUUGCACUAGAGUCAAUAAUCUAGUUACACUGUGAUGAAUCGAACACCCAUAGAGUUCUGGUGUUGAUCAUGUUUUGCUCGUGGAAGAGGUUUAGUCAACAGAUCUGCGACAUUCAGAUCCGUAUGCACUUUGCACUACAAAAAAAGGACACGUCCAUGACAUUUUGGGCCGAACGAAUUUUUUUCUGUCAUACAUAUGACACUUCUAUGACGAUAAUUGUGACAAAACCCGGUAUCACCAUAGAUGUGGUGGGCUCCUACUUCUAUGACAAAAAAUCAUGACAGAAAAUGGGCUUUUCGUCCUGGGCGGGCCGGAGACGCAGCUACAUUACAUUCUUUGGGCCAUCCAUGACGGAAAAAACCAUGGUAGAAGCGAGGGUGAGGAAAAUUUCGGGGAGUUGCCGGUUACGAUGGGAGGUCGGGGGCCGAGCGAUGCACGUUUCUCUCGUACACGUACGCGCGUGUGUGCGAGGCGUUGGCUCUAACUGAACCCGAGAGAGGUGUUGGCCUCUAACUGAACCCGAGCGAUUGCACUGCAGGCUACGCGUUACUGAACCCGAGCGAUCGAUCGAUGGCUGUUAACUGAACCUGAUCGAGCGAUUCGUUCGCUACUGCUGCUAACUGAAGCCGAUCGAUGCCGCCUCUCUGGAUGAACAGUGAGCGUUGCGGUGGGGUUUGGAUGAAUAGUGAGCUGUGGGAGUGGACAAACACGACCCGUGGUGUUGCCUCUGGAUGAACAGGACCCCGUGGUGUGGAGGGCUGGAUGAACAGGACGACCCCGUGGAGGGCUGGAUGAACAGUAGACGGUGGAGGGGUUGCCCGUGGAGGGGUGGAUGAACAGGACCCCGUGGUGUGGAGGGCUGGAUGAACAGUAGACGGUGGAGGGGUGCCCGUGGAGGGGUAGUUGAACAGUAGCCGCUGGAGUAGCGCGCGGUGGAGGCUGGAUGAACAGGAGCCCGUGGAGGCUGGAGGAGGUCGACGGUAGCCCGUGGAGGCUGGAGGAGGUCGACGGUCGAGAUGAACAGUAUCCCGUGGAGUCCUGUUUUGCAGUACGCCACACCCCUCCCGAUGAACAGGACCCCCGUUUCGACCUAGCGCUCCAACACAAGUCCGUUUCGUCCAUUUUGCGGUACACCACACCCUCCCGAUCAACAGGUCCCCCGUUUCGACCGUAGGAGGUCCGUUUCCUCCGUCUUGCGGUAUGCCACACCCCUCCCGAUCAACAGGACCCCCGUUUCGACCGUAGGAGGUCCAUUUCCUCCGUUUUGCGGUACGCCAGACCCCUCCCGAUGAACACGACCCCCGUUUCGAACGUGGCCGGUCGAACACAAGGCCGUUUCCUCCGUUCUGCGGUACGCCAGGCCUCGUUUCCAUCGCCUGUUCCAUCCAAGCCCUUCCGAUGAACACGACCACGCAUUCCAUUCCGACCCAGCCGGUUGGCUCCCCAUGAACACGAUGACGACGCUAUUUCUCCGUUCCGACCCAGCCAAUGUACACGAGCCCUGGCCAUACGCAUAUAUGCACGAGUAGGCGUUUGAGACCCCGCCCGUAUGUACACAUACGUGGCCGUAUUUUCUUUCUUGCACCCUGGCCGUUGUACGUACGUGUACAUGCUAUGUGCGCGCCUCUACUACGACACGUGCGCGCCUCUACAUCCACCAGUAUAUAUGUACGUACACGUUCGCGACCAGAAUGACAACACUACGUACGCUUCGACCAGGUGGGUCCCGACUGUCAGACACUUCCUUGCGUGUGAAGAUGUAGCUGGUGGGUCCCAGCAGUUAGGGGGGUGAAUCAUUUUUUUUUCGGACGCACUUCCUUGCAUGCGAAGAUGUAGCUGGUGGGUCCCAGCAGUUAGGGGGGUGAAUCGUGUUUUUUUUGCCCGGACACACUUCCUUGCGUAAGAAGAUGUAGAUGGUGGGUCCCGGCAAUCAGGGGGCGAAUCGUCUUUUNNNNNNNNNNNNNNNNNNNNNNNNNNNNNNNNNNNNNNNNNNNNNNNNNNNNNNNNNNNNNNNNNNNNNNNNNNNNNNNNNNNNNNNNNNNNNNNNNNNNNNNNNNNNNNNNNNNNNNNNNNNNNNNNNNNNNNNNNNNNNNNNNNNNNNNNNNNNNNNNNNNNNNNNNNNNNNNNNNNNNNNNNNNNNNNNNNNNNNNNNNNNNNNNNNNNNNNNNNNNNNUUUUUUUGCCCGGACGCACUUCCUUGGGUGCGAAGAUGUAGCUGGUGGGUCCCAGCAGUCAGGGGGCGAAUCUUUUUUUUUUGCCCGGACGCACUUCCUUGCGUCCAAAGAUGUAGCUGGUGGGUCCCAGCAGUCAGGGGGCGAAUCGUUUUUUUGCCUGGACGCACUUCCUUGCGUGAGAAGAUGUAGCUGGUGGGUCCCAGCAGUCAGGGGGAAACGUUUUUUUCGCGAAAUACAGUGGCCCGUCCGGUGGGUCCCAGCUGUCAGGUGGAGGAAUAAUUAUUUUUCGCGUAAUAAGGAGGCACUUCCUUGCUGCAGCCAUGGACCCAGCUGUCAGCCUCUCCACGUACAGUCCACGUCCGAUGGAAGUCGUUCCUUGACCAUGUUGACCAUGCCGCGCCGAGAGCACCAGGGCGGUGGACGACGGCGAGGCCUAGGAAGGGGACGACGGGGAGCCGAGGAAGACGCGGCAGUGGAAGCCCGCGCGGAGAGGAGUACUAGGGUUCACUGGUUCGGCUGCGGUGUGAGGCUGCCGUCGCCGCAGGGCCUGGCCAGCGGUGGGAAUAGUAGGGGGCGGUGAGGCCUCCGCGUCAGCAUAGCCGGCCACAGAAGGCAGGAGCAUGCGGCACGACCGGCGCUGCUUUGGGCGACUGGAGCAAGAAGACCAGAGGUUGAAGAAGCACUACGACCGUUGGAUGGACAUCGUACGGUCACUGGAGCUAGAAUCGUUCAUAUUGAAGAAGCAGCACCGCCGUUGGAUUAACAUCCAAUGGUCACUGCUGCUAGGAUCGUUUGUGGACUAAGUUGACAAAGCCAAAGUACACGUCAACCUAGUAGACCCACAAGUCAGCCUCCAAACCUGUCCCAAACAGCAUACAACCCGAAAUUUCUAGCCAGAUUCAAAUUAAUUUUAAAUCUAAAUAUACCUUAUUUUAAAUUCAAUGAAAUAUUACCCGCACAAAAAUAAUGAAAUUUUAAAUAUCAAAAUCUGAAAGAAAACAUUAUUUUGGAACUAAUUGCCUGUUUGCUGUAUUUUUUUCAUUUUAUAGCCCAUUUAUUUUUACUUAUAGCCCAUUUCUUAUUACUUAUAGCCCAUUUUCUGGGCAAAAUGCAUCCCUCCUCGUCUUGAAAGAUUUCCGGCCCAGCAGGGCGUAGAAAAGCAAGUAGGCCUAUGUUGGUUAUUCUGCAAAAAACAAAAUAGCUGGCUAGCCAUUUUUCAGAAUGGAAAAAAACAAAUUGGGCUGGUCAUGUGCUAAACAUAUGAAAUAAAAGCCUGGGCUAGAUGGGCCACGGGUCCCGCACAACCCAGUUGAUACCCUUCUCCGUCCCGAAAAAACAAAAUUACUAUGCGCGCUGCUGGGUCCCUACUGUCAUCCUCACCAUGUACAGUCAUCUCCUUAUUCCUCUUGGUUGUUGACCAUGUUGACAACACCGGAGGGCGUCGCCGCAGCGAGCGAACCAAGGCGGAGGACGAUGGUGAGGCCUCAGACGGGAAAGAACAGGAGCCGGGGAAGAUCACAGAUAGCCGUGGGAGGCGAGAGCAGGCGGUCCCGCCGGCGCUGGUUUGGCUUUGGCGGCUCGAGGAAGAAGAGACUGAAGAAACGCGACAGACGUUGAAUGUAAAUCCAACGGUCAAGGUUGGCACAAUCGUUUGCUGACUAAGUGGACACCAAGUAGCAUACUUUUUUAUAUAUAGGAAGAAAACUGCGAGGAAAAUGCGUUUGUCUACCGUCCUCCUCACAGGGAACGUUCGCCACAUAAGUGACUAGCACCCAUGGUUUUCAACCGAGAGGUCUUGGGUUCGAGUCCCAGGAAAUCUCAAUUUUGUCCUCCUUCCUUCCUUGCAAAAAAAAGGGAAAGAAAAUCAAAGACUUGGGAAGGCGUACAGAACAAGCUAGUGUACCAGUAAAGAGACAUUGCCGAGUUUUAGAAAAAAGAGAGACGUGCUCAUGUAACUGGUUCGAAUCCAAACCUAGACUAUGACUAUAUAUGGUGCUAUGCUACUCUGCAAGUAAUGAAACUGAAAUAUCCAAUGUUCGCUUCUCCUCUUCUCUACUUACUCUGCCUAGCAUCAGAAGCUCUGGGCGCAGCAACCAUGUCCACUGGCUGCUCGUCCACCUGCUCUUCAGCAGGCAACAACCAAAUAUGGGCCAAGUCACCACCCGUACCAUCGCCUGUGGGUCUCAUCACACCCCCGCCCGCAGUGCACCGCAGCCGAUUGCUCAUCGCAACCCGCUGCCGUUGGUGUGGUGCCAUUGCUGCAAAUCACGCAGAGUCAUCCAUCGCGUCUCAACCACAAUCCUCAACCCUGGCCGAGUCUUCUACAAAUGCCCGAAUCAUGGGGUAAUAAUAUGUUAAAGUGUUGUUCUGCUACUUUCAGUUGCUAAUUUUUUUAAUAGUUUGGUUGAUGAUCUUCCAAUUUGAUUCGUGCAGAAAAGGGAAGAUUCAUGUGAUUUGUAUUUCUGGGAAGUUGCUGAUGUGGGGGAAUGCAACUACGCUGAUUAUUUGGUUAGCCGAGGAAUCCCAAUACCAGCAGGUUGGGGUGUUGGACAAGUAACUAAAGGAUUGACAGAAGAGGAAGAUGCAGAGCAGAAGGUUAAAGAGGCAGUUCCUCUGAUCAUGGCCAAGCAACAGCUGCUGAACAGCCUUGACAGCAAUGAGGAGAUGAAAGAGCUUGUGAAGAUAAUGGGAAAAUCGAUGUGCUCUGUAGGAUGAUUGUCUCUUUAUCUACAGUGUAUGUAGCACUCGUGAUGUAUUCAGUGACUACGACAUGAGCACUUUGCUGAAACUAGUAAUGAAUGAAACCUGUGUAGCAGGCUGGGCGUAGUGUUGUGAACAUCUAAUGAUUUCUAUUAACGGAAAUCAGGGGGUAUCCCCUUUUUCUCAUAAAUAAAUAAAUAAUAGAGGCCCUGUCGAGUCAGCUUUGUUCUCAUUCGAAGACGUCGAGCAAAUUGCAGUCCAACAGCAAACUAUGUCAUCAAAUUCAAGUUUCACAGCCAAAUAUGAGUACAACUAAACAACAAUUUCAUCAUGUUUUAGUUGUCAUACAAUCACCAAACACAAAUCAGCAUACAUAACAAGUAAUGUUCUCACAACAAAAUACUAAACAACUUGUUCAUCAGGUUUCAGUUGUCAUAGCAAACACAAUUUCACAUAGUAGAUAAAAAACGUCUUCUAACAGGCAAAUACGACAAAAGUAAUGUAAUCAUCAUCCGCAGCAGCAGCGUCAACAUAUUCGCCAUGUGUAUCAGUCUGAAUCGUAAUUCCCCACGGUGUCAUCUUCUUCUUCGUCCUCAACGUCCUCGAAUGUUGGCUUCUUCUUGAUCAACUCUUGUAUGUCCACAGCACGACAGGCAAUCUUUUCGCCGGCGUCAUUGAUGUGAUGGUUCUCGAAGAUAUUAGGAACAUUUGUGUUAUCUUGUACAUCAGGAGCAGUGUAAGCAUCAUCUUGUUGUGCAACUUCAUUAAACGAAUUCCUCUGCUCAAACCUUUGCAAUACUCUCCAGUCAUCGCUACGUGCAAAUGUGUCUUCCAAGAAAAAUAUUUGUGUUGCUUGAUUUGCCAAAAUAAAAGGCUCGUUGGUCUGGUACACCGCCUUGACAUUGAUGGAUUUGAAUUAAUCAUCAGCUCUGGGUUUUGCGAUCCUGGAAAAUAGGUUAUACCAACGACAUCACAACAGAACCACACACCGAUGAUCCUUGAAACUGUAGAUAUACUACAACUGAACAAUGUUUGUUAUGUUAGCAUACAUUUCAGUUGUCUCUUUGUCAUACGUAUCCGUGCUCAUGAUGUCACUGUUUUGUGUCUUCCUACCUUCGUCUCAUGCAAGGGUGUUGUAGCGCACAUCUCCAAUAACGCAAGAUUCAUAAUGUCUUACCCGAGUAUCAAGACCCAUUGCUAGUGAGUAAAGGGCAUCAUCAACUGCCUGCCCAUCCUCCCGCAUCUUCUUAACCUAUGGUUAGAAAAUAGACAAGCUGAUCAUCUUAUUUACUCAAUAUAUUAAAAAAACUGACAGUGCACUUCAAAAGCUUACAUGGUUCUUGAACCAUUUCGCAAAUCCUGCCAUAACCAGUUUGUCGAUGUUUCUUGGAUUUUGCAGUAACUCCUCUUUGUAGAUGCUGCACAACAUAGUGAUCGCGUCAAACAUCUAAAUAUAUAAGAAUGUGCUGCAAGUUUAGUAGAUUACGAUGUAUAAGCUGCAGUACUGCACUUACUUGAUAUAAGGUAGUAUCUGAGGACAGUUAUUCAACACAUACCAAAACAUUUUGUCCAAAUCUUUAGGUUUGUCCUCUUGUCGACUCUUCCCUGUAACUCGAACAGAAUAAUCGAAAACAUUGAGCCCGGGAUUGUCUUCACCCACGUCUUUGCUAAGCUGAUCAGCUGUUUCAAUGUAUUUUGAGCAGAAUGUCAACACUUCUGUAGCAAUGUAGGCCUCUGCAAUGGAACUCUCGGGUCUAGCUCUAUUCCUAACAUAGCCCUUGAAAGUGCCUAGCCGCCUUUCAAUAGGGUACAUCCAGCCAUACUAUACUGGACCUCUAAGUAGUGCCUCAUCAGGUAGAUGAAUAGCCAAAUGCACCAUCACAUCAAAGAAGGCUGGAGGAUAUAUCUUCUCAAGGUCGCAUAGGAUAGUUGGUAUCUUGUCUCUAAAACGCUCCAAAGCAUCUAUCCUGAUAUUUCUACUGCAGAGUUCCCUGAAGAAUUGUCCCAACUCUGCAACUGCUCUGUAUAAGUCAGGGCGGCCCAAUCCUCUAAGGAUAACAUGUAAAACCCUUUGAAGUAGGACGUGGCAGUUAUGAGUUUUCAACCCUUGUACCUUGUUUCCAUCUGCACUGACUCUCCUUUCAGGGUUGGAAGCAAAUCCAUGUGGGAAUCCCACACAUGAUAGGACCUCGCAGAAUUCUUUUCUUCUUACCUUGUCCAAGACAUACACAGCUGGUGCCAUAUACCGUGGUUUACCUUCAUCUUGCACCUGCAAAUCCUUUCUGAUACCCAGGUGUGUCAAAUCAAUCCUAGAUUUUAAGGUAUCUUUCGUCUUGCCUUCAAUAUUAAGAAGUGUGCCGAUAAUGUUGUCACAUAUAUUUUUCUCGAUUUGCAUCACAUCAAGAUUAUGCCACAGAUCUAAAUCUUUCCAAUACUCCAAGUCCCACAAAGUGGACCUGCGGGUAAACAAUAAUCUCUCUUCUGCCCUGCCACGCUUCCUUUUCCUGCUAGCAUUACCAGGAUGGUUUCUUGGUGUAAUAUGCCUGACCUUCUCUAAUUCCACUUGCAACUCAUCGGCGGUGAGCCUCUUUGGCCCAUCACAGUUUUCAUGCUUUGCAUUGAACACAUGUCUUCGCUAUUUUCUAGGAUGCGGCUUGUCCUUGGCAAGGAAACGGUGGUGUCCAAUGUAAAAGAUCUUGCUAAGUAUUGUGUAUGACAGCGGAUUCUUGUCACAGCGAACACAUGCAUUGUAACCAUGUGUCGUUCGCCCUGACAUAGUGCCCCAAGCCGGAUAAUCAUGGAUGCACCAAAUUAUAAUAGCACGUAGAAAGAAAUCAGCUGGUGGGCUGCUAUAUAGGUCUCGAGUGAGAACACCCUUCCAUAGCUGUUGAAGUUCCUCCACAAGAGGCUCCAUGAACAAAUCAAAAUCCUUUCCCAGACUUUUUGGACCUGGGAUGAGCAAGGCCAUCAUGUAGUUUGAUUCUUUGGUGCAGACAUUUGGAGGCAUGUUGUAAGGGAUAACAAGCACUGGACACAUGCUAUAUGUGGUGCUCUGGUGGCCAAAUGGGUUAAAUCCAUCUGAAGCUAAGCCAAGUCUAAUGUUUCUCGGGUCAGCAGCAAACUUUUUGUGUUUAUCAUUGAAGCUUUUCCACUCACUACCAUGAGAUGGAUGGCUCAUUACAAUCUGAUCUCUGUACUCCUAGUUCCUAGAAUGCCACAGUACAUCCUCUCUUGUUUCAGCAUCAUGAACCAACCUCUGCAAUCUUGGUGUAAUUGGAAAAUGUCUCAGAACAUUAUGAGGAAUCCUCUUCACAUCAUCGCCAUCUUUCCAUCUUGAUGAUUUGCAUUUCAGGCAUUCACUUAAGUUGGCAUAAUCCUUCUGGAACAGAACACAAUUAUUCUUUCAAACAUGGAUCAUAUCAUAUCCAAUUGCAACAGCACGAAGGAAAUUCUUCAUUUUACUGUAGGUGUGUGGCAGCUCAGACGCAUCUGGGAAAGAUUUGCGGAAAGCACCCAACAUCGCAUCGAAUGAUUUGUUGAUCAUUCGCUCAGAUGUCUUCACCUGAAGAAAGGUGACCAUAGCUGAAAAUACUGAAAGCUUAUUUCCUGGGGUGACAACAACGUUGCUUUGUUCCAACAUGCAGGCCCACCAUUUUUCUUCUGCAGGUGAAAGUUCACGGAAUGCAUGAGCAUUUUGUAGCAUUGUUUCAAUGUUGGUCAAACUCACUGGCUCUGCCACCUCCUCCUCCUCCUCCUCUUCCACCUGAGCAUCAGGUAGAUCAAGAUGGUGAUCUGCUUCUUCCACGUAGUCAAUAACAUUGACGUUCACAGCUUCACCAUGAUGAACCCACCUAGUAUAUGUGACCGACAUCCCAUACAAGUGUUGAUGAUUUUGCACAGUUGACUGGGGUCUUGUAACUGAAUUCAUACAACUGCUACAUGGGCAGAGCACAUCUGAUUUCGGACCACCGUACUCAGCUCUGAUAAAGAUCAUGAAGUUUUCAACCCUCUCGACAUAUGCAGCGGAGAAUCUUCGAGCAGAAGUUAUUUCAAGUCCUGUCCAUCUGUUAGACAUACAAAUUAGUUCUUCUACUAGAUACUACAGGAAAAACAUAUAUGCUUUUUUAUGAAGUCUAGAAAAAAUACCUAGGUCGAUGUCUAAAGCUAUGGCAAGAUAUUUGGACGAGCAGAUCUAAGUAACGAAAUAUAUGUAAAGCUAAUUUAGCAAACAGAUUUGAGUGCUAAAUUAUGGCAGGCUGUUUCAGUAGUCAAUGAGGCCGAGCACACAGCCAUCAAACUAUCGAAGGCCAUCGCAGCAACAAAGAUCGAGUAUAAAACGGUGUAGAGCUAUUUCACCUAACAGAUUGGCUACUAGACCAUGGCAAUCUACGUCAAAAUAAAUAUAUGGCAGGAUAUUUUUGCAACUAAUCGGCCUUGGCAUGCCAUCUCAGCUAAGCAGAUUGAGUGCAGAACAGGGCAAGGAAGCUUCUUAAGUAGAGCAUAUUCACAAUAAACCACUUCAGCAAACAGUGAGAUUACCAGCGUCUAUCAGCUAACAUUCAGCGCUACACCGACAUGAAUGGGGCCUCAGUCUAGAAUGCGCGUACCGUGGGAGAAGCUGACCGCCGUGCGUAUCCACAUGAACGUCUCCAGCGGUGGCGGCGCUGACCGCGGUGCGCCUCCACAAGAACAUAGCCAGAGGUGGCGGCGCGGCUAGAGGACGGCAGUCUAUGAUAUCAUACUAUGGGAGCGAGAGGAUCAUCGUGCGUCCCCUCGAUGAACCGCGGUGCCGACGUAUCAGCGCGGCAGGGAGGGCGGGUUUGGCGGAGCGAAUGGAGUGGAGUGGGACGGUGGGGGGGGAGGGGGUUUGGGNNNNNNNNNNNNNNNNNNNNNNNNNNNNNNNNNNNNNNNNNNNNNNNNNNNNNNNNNNNNNNNNNNNNNNNNNNNNNNNNNNNNNNNNNNNNNNNNNNNNNNNNNNNNNNNNNNNNNNNNNNNNNNNNNNNNNNNNNNNNNNNNNNNNNNNNNNNNNNNNNNNNNNNNNNNNNNNNNNNNNNNNNNNNNNNNNNNNNNNNNNNNNNNNNNNNNNNNNNNNNNNNNNNNNNNNNNNNNNNNNNNNNNNNNNNNNNNNNNNNNNNNNNNNNNNNNNNNNNNNNNNNNNNNNNNNNNNNNNNNNNNNNNNNNNNNNNGGGGGAAGGAUUUUCGCGCGGUGGGCGAGGGGAGUUUGGCGCAUGGUCGGUUUCUCCAAGUGCAGUCCCACGUGUCAGUGAAGAGGCAAGCCGAAGCGCGUGAGUGCGACAGGAGUGCUGUGAGUGUACCGCCUUUUUUCCUCAAAAAAAAUUAGGUGCUUUGCCCCCUCAAAAAAAAAAUUGUUGCUUCACGCGAUCCAUUGAUACUACUACUAAAACGGCGCAGCCGGGUCUUCUCCCGCGCGAUAUGCUGGGAGGUUGGCUUAGUUGGGUUUUUUAGGAUGAGUAAUGUUACACCUAGUAAUCCCAGUUAUGUAAUUAACGUAAUGUGAAACGUGUGAGCUGUUGAUUGUAGAUUGGGGGGAGGGAGGGGCCCACCACCAUGAAAAUCAGGGGAGGAGAGAGAGAGAGGCAAUUUACGUUAACCCUUUCGUAGGUUCCCGUAGAUGUAGAAAGAUGUGAAAUGCGUGAAUGUGUAGUGAACGUACUAUUGGAGUGCCUAAGAUAAUUUGUGUAUGUAUAGACCCUAUGUGUUUAUUUUACUUCGCAUGUUAGAUUUGUAUCGGUUCAAUAAAAAGCAGAGUUAGUGAUGAUGGUGUGCCUGUCAUCCUGCAAUAUCGGCCGUCCGAUCUAUAUCUAAUGGAUAGGAAGGAAACUAUGACAAUUUACCCACACUCCACUCCACAUUUGAAGAUAAGGCUUUCCCUCGUUCAUCCUUUUCUCCCACAAGAUCUUGAUCUUCCAUGCAACGCACGGGCAUCUUGCUAGUACUCCUACAAUAUGUAUAUUAUUGUGAAAGUUCAUAUACACCAGCCAAGAUUAAUGCAAGCACGGCAUAUUUUCAUUACAUUUCGAACUUCUAUAUGACAGAAAAAUAAAAGAAACCCGACCCCAAACCUGUUCUACGGCCGUACAGCGGCGACCGACGUCCUCCAUCUGCGAUCUCUAUGUACAGGGGCGAGGUUCAAGACCCGUAAAGUGAAGGUGCAGUCUCCGGCGAGGAAAAGUAGAACACGGGAGACGGACCGACCAGUUGGCACACCAUGCCCUGCUGCCUCCCAUGCCCUACUCAUCCUCGGAGGAGUCCCUGACCUCGGCGGUGCCGGACGUUGGACGGGGGCAAGAAGGACGCGUGGCUGACGGUGCUCCUGUCGUCGGCCGCCAGCGUGGCCACCGCUUGUGCGGUCGCGUCCGCGUCCGGCUACGCCGCUAUUGCGUCGCGAGAGGCGACUUGAGCGAGGGCGGCGACCUCGACCUUCAUCCCCGAAGAUAAGCUCUCCCACAGAGUGUUCGCACUUGCGGUCAUGGCAGAUGUGGUGCCAGGUAGGAGGACGAUGCGCUAUGGUGUGGAGGUUAGCUGGGCGUUGUCGCUUUAAGUAGCGCAUUCCGGUGAGGCCAAGUGUCCGGGUGAGUCAUUAAGUUGCCGGAGUUGGUUCCUCGGGCACCGAGCCUCUUAACGACGACAUACGAACGGACGGCAUGAAUGCGGGCAGCUGGCGCCGGCUGGGAACGCACCACGCGACGGCGCGAGGGACGAGGGUUUUGGUGUGCCAGGGUAGUCAGCUGCGGUCAUGGCAACGUUGGAGAUGCCCUUUGCUCACAUGUGAUCCCCGCAUGUCAUUGAAAAAGCAAGAUGACCCGGCAUGGUCUAAGGUCCAGAGGAUGCAGUUGGCCGCGCUACACCACUCCGCGGACGCGUCACGGUGGCCCGUGCAUACUCGAUGAGCCGGGUGUUGGGGUGUGUUUGGAUUGUGGCCAAAGUGCACCUUACCAAAAUUUUGGUCAUGACCCAAAGAUUCGUCUUUGUUUGGAUGGUUGCCAUUUUUUUUGGCAUGCCAAUGAACUCUAGCCAACUCUAUUUCAUUUUUCUUGCCAAUGUCGGCCAAAUCAUGGGCAACCAAUACCUGAACCAAAAUUUUGGUCAUAACACAAAGAUUGUUCUUUGUUUGGAUGGUUGCCAUUUGUUUGGCAUGCCAAUGAACUCUAGCCAACUCUAGUUCAUUUUUCUAGCCAAUGUCGGCCAAAUCAUGGGCAACCAAUAGCUCAACCAAAAUUUUGGCUACCCAAUGCUUUGAUGCGGCAACCUUGGGCACAAACAAAACAUACUGUUGGUCGUGCCACAACACUAACGCCACCCUCGGCACACUGAAACCGACCGUGUCUAGCGACGAUAUGAGUGUGUCGCUCACCGCGGUCGCCGUGUCCAGAGGCGGUGCUGGAGCUGCGCCCCGUUGUUGGCCCCAACAACCCACAUGAACGGUUGUCGGUGGCGAGGAGGUCAUGGGCCAGCUCCUCCAUUGGACUAGUCUGCGCUAUGUCGUCCCGACGGGUGUGCCCCACAUGUCGGUUUCCUUGUUUUCCCGGCCAUAUUCGAGCGUCAGUGCUCCGCGUUGCGCAUUAGGCCUUUCACUAUGUAGGCCAAGCGAGACAACUUAUUAUUUAUUUGAGCAGUUCAAGUAUAAUCACGUGGCGUCUGCUUAUUUCUCAUUCCUCUCCAACCCUCUUCUCCAUUGAUCAUGUCGCCCUCCAGUCGAGUCCAUCCUCCCGCAUGCCUCAUUUGAACAUUCCGCCGAGUAUCAUUAGCAUGUACCCACCCUAGUCCUCUUUCAAUAGAUCUUCGGGCCCCGAGAUGAGAUCGAGAGGGAACGAGUGCGGGCACGUGAUACCCAAGGCGGAUUCAAAAUUUUGAACCGGUGAUCAUAGCAUCCGCAAAUCAUAUAUAAAGGGUAUUCAAUGUUCAUUUCGUUUUGAACGUACAAUAUACUCCCUCAUAUCCUUUCUAGUUUACAUAUAGGUUUUAUGUGUAGUCAAAGUAUCUCUACUUUGAUCAAGAAGGUAUCAACAUUCAACAGCGCCCAAUCAAUAUUGUUAGAUUCGUACGUACUCCUAGAUUUGUACUCGAGAUGGUUUCCAAUUUGACCAUUGACAAGAUUAAUAGUACAUGAGAUGUAUAAUGUUUAAAUUAUAUCAUUGGAAACUCCUUUCACAUACGAAUUUGACCGUAUGCUUUGUGUAAGUUGCAUGUCAUAUAUUAUUACUCUAACAUUUGGUCAAAGUUAGCCUUGAAAAACGCAUUAGACCCUGUAUGUUUUGUGUAAGUUGCAUGUCAUGUAUUAUUACUCUAACAUUUGUGUAAGUUGCAUGUCAUAUAUUAUUACUCUAACAUUUGGUCAAAGUAGUAUAGUGGAAGUGGAUCCUCUCACGUAGGUAUCCCUGCCUUACCCUCCCUUUCGGUCACUUACUGGCAGACCCCAUGCUUGCUAGGCCCCGCAUGUCAGUCACUCAAUGGGUUCGACCACGUCAGGGGAUCCUCAUCCGUAGUAUACUCCCUUUGUUUUUAUUUACUCCGCAUAAAACGGAGGGAGUGGUGGUAUAAUAAAUGACGUGGGCGGGGGAGGGGGAGGGACGUCGGUUUGCUCUCAAUUGCGGUCCCACAAGACAAAGCGUGUUCCAUUCGGUGAGCAACGUGGAGGGUCCAGCGUGCCGGGCUGCAACGUGAACGCGACAAGAGUGAUGUACAGUCAAAACCGAUUGACCGGUCGUCACCGGAAUAACUAUUCACACCAGAACCUUCGCUGCUCAGCCUACGCCAGCCACUGCCCUAAAACCACACCAAAUCUCCAGCCCAUGCCCCCACCUUUUGAUCCCCUAGCCCGCAUCAAGCGUCCCCUAGUUCACCGGAAAGCCAUGGUGCGCCGCAAGAUCACUUACUACAAGAUGCUGACGCCGGAGCACUGCGCAGAAAUCGCUGCGGCGGUCGGCGCCACAGACUUCCAUUCCCAAGCUCGCUUUGCGGCAGGCCAAUCCCCGAGUUCUUUAGAGCCAAGCUACGAGGAGGAGGAAACCGAUCCAAUGUUCAUGGCGGAGGUCGCGGUGCAGAAGGCCCCCGAUGGGUAUGAAACGAUGGACGUCGACUUCGUGCCGGUGUCCGAGUCCCCCAUGGUGCAGGCGGACCAGCGGUUCAACAUGGCGAUACUAAAGGAGGACGGGGAGGCAGAGGCUCGAUUCGACAUGGAGCGCACGCAUGCCGCUGCCAUCGAGGCUCUCCUGCAGGCAGAACCGGAUGUCGUGGAUGUGAACCGGGUGGCGGAGGCACAACUUGAGGCGGAGUGCGCGGAUGCCGCUGCCAUCGAGGCCCUCUUGCAGGCGGAACCGGACGUCUUGUACUUGAACCGGGCGGCAGAGGCUCGACUCAACGCAGAGCGCGCGGAUGCCGCUCUCAUUGACGCCCUCCUGCAGGCAGAACCGGAAGUCCUGGACUUGAACCGGGCGGCGGAGGCUCGACUUGACGUGGAGCGCGCGGAUGCCGUUGCCAGCGAGGCCCUCCUGCAGGCGGAACCGGACAUCCUCGACUUGAACCGGGCUGUGCUCUUGUCCGUGCAGAGUGCCUGCACGCUCCGCUUGAACGAGUAUCUGGAGGCCGAGGACAACCACGGUGCGGAGACACACGUCGACAGCUACGGCUGGUUCGCGCCGGCAGCCAAAGACGACGAGGCCGUCUCUUUCCGCGAGCAAUGCUAGUUUUUCUUUAUGUUGUUGUUUUUAUGGAUCUUUUGCUGUGUGAAAACUUAUAUUUGUUAUGAAAGUCGCCUGACUUGGGUCAGUCUACCAUUUCAGGCGGUUGGAUGAAUAUCCUACGUCUCCUAACCCUUCUUUCCUUCUUCCUCACCUCUUCUUAUUCCCCAACAUACCACCACACGGGCUGUAUGGAUACUCCCCAACAUGCGGUUGGAUAAACAUACUCUAUGAACCAAAAUUAUGUGUCAGCGAUAGGAUGGCUGAGUUUGGUUUGUUCACAUGCGACAACACGUGUCAGUGAGGGUGUGUUCCCUUGGUUGGGUUUGCAGCGUGCAGGAGCGACUGUGUGAGGGUGCGGUGCGACCGCGACGUGCAGGAGUGACCGUGUGAGGGUGCGGUGCGACUGUGACAGCCAUGCGCAAGUGUACCUCCUUCUCAUUUUGAAAACUUUAGGCAAGCUUGGCAAAAAUGUGUGGAGAAGUUUGGCAAUGCAAGGCCUAGACCAAAAUAGGAUAAGUACGUACGUACUAGGAGUACUAGUGUUAAAAAAGAAAGGCGGGGUUUUCCUUCGCGGGAUUUAAUCGAUACAAAUCCUCGUUUCACAUGUCAAUUAAUGCGUAUUUUUUCUCCAAAGACCAAAGAACUAAUCAUCUCACUCCUCAUCGCUUGAUCAAUGCAGCGCCAUGCAAACUAACCUUCUCACUUCUACAUGCAUGCAGGGGAUAUUAAUGUCCUUGGUUGCUAACCCCAUCAAUUUUGUCUCGAUUAGUGUUAGUGGCCCUUUGCAAAUUAUAAUUUUGAUAUAUUGGCCUUGUGUACAAAAAAUGGAGGUACUAAUAACUAUAUUGGACUUCCUUCCCCAUUGCGAUGCUGUCGAUGAUAUCUCUUUUUUUGUGGUUUGGCGAAGUGCUUUCAAUGGAGAACACCAUUGAGGAAGACCACGGUAAGUCGUUCGCAAGUGCCGUCUGCAAGCUGAGACAACCACCUUAUUUGCAUCCAAGAAGUCCGUUGAACCAAAGAACUAGUACUACUAGGAGUACUAGUGUGGUGAUCAGCGAAGCGGAGUCAGCGAAGAGUGAAAUGAUGGUUGCUUCGUCCGUGCUUUUGUGAUUUGACGCCUUGCUGCUUUGUGAUUUGUGAUAGAAGGGAUAGGCGAGUAGACUCUGUGCUCUAUACUGUACUACUAGUACAUGCGUCCAAGCAUGGGAGAAAGAGGAGAGACGUUGCAUUUUUCUAUUCCUUCAAUCAAUCAAUCAGGGAGCUUCGGUUCCAUCUUUUUGGCUUUGGCAACACCGUCCACAAUGGUUCCCACGAUGCCAAAAGCUAUUUUCACAUUUGGCUACACAUUGUGGAUGCCCUUAACCGUACCACUUGGUUUUGCUCCUAUGUGGUAUCUAUACAAAUCUCAAUUAUAUUGAUCUAAAAAAUUAUAGAAUCAAGAUUAGUAAAAAGGAGGUGAUUUUGCCACGCGGAUGGCGGGGGAGGUUUCUUAUUUUCAAAGGACGUUGUCCUGGUGGUUUGCUAACAUGCGGUCCCACGUGUCAGUGCUUUACCAAGCCGAUCCGCGUCCCACAUGAGGCAGAAUAACGGCAGAAGCAACACGUGGUUAAGUUGAAGAAGAUGAGGGAGAAGCGGAUUCAGCAACGAGUGAAAUGAUGGUUGCUUCGUCCCUCCAACUUUUUUUAGCAUUAUUACUUCGUCCCUCCAACUUAACUGUGGGAAAGGUGCAGCUUUGUGAUUUGACGCCUCAUUGCUCAUUACUACACCGGCACCAUGACUGGGGUGCUUCACCCCGGCUGCUCUGCUCUAUAUUCCGGUAUAGCACGUGGACCUGGUAGCUUGAUGUCCCACAUGUCGGUGAAAGGGACUAGAAGAUUUAUGAAAGGGAGCGAUCCACUCUUACGACGGAGGAGUAGACGACACGACGGCCCAGUGAACUGUCACUUGUACUGUAUAGUACUAUAGUUUUGCUGUGUGGCACGAUCCAUUGAUACAAACCCGAUUAAACAGGAAAGGGCGGGAUUUUUCCCGCGCGGUAGAUGAUACAGGCCAUACAUUUCAAAGGCAAUUUUAAUGUAUGCAAACUGAAUAAUUAUAAGUAACAAUAUGAUAUCUAGUAAAACUAAAAACACAUAUGAUUUAUUGUGUUAGAGUGUAGUAGUAGUGCUGUAACAUGCGAGAACAUGUAGAGAUGUAGUUUUGGAGGGCCUACAGAGAGAAAAGUGUAAUACGGUCACCGAACUUUAGAAUAAGCUGAUUACGGUCACCAUAUACAUUUUGCGGUGAUUAUACGGUCGCUUGCUCACGGUUCAGCAUUGGAUUGCACUCUGUUGACUGGCCAAAUAGUCUGCGUGGCGCCAUGUUGACUAGUUAAACUGACCAUGUUCCUUGUGGGUCCCACUUGUCAGUUCGCAUAGGGAAAGGUCAGAUAAACACAAAUUUACGCAGGCGCGACAAGGCUCCAACCCGUGCGCGGGAAUCACCUGGUUGUGUAUGUGUCUCUCAUGUCCUGAUGUGUGCGCAUACACGUGUAGGUUGAGCACUUGAGCGUGAGAGUGUGUGUUGGUCGUGUGGUGUACUGGUGUGUGCAUGCGUGCAUGCGUGUGAGUGUUGCGUGCGUGUGUGGCUGCGUGUGUACGUGUGAGUGUUGCGUGCGUGCGUGGGUGCAUGUGUUUGUGAGAGUGUUGCAUGGAUGCAAUUCGUGUGCAUGCGUGCGUGUGUGUUAAAACAGACGACUCAGCAUACCAAUACAAGGCCACCUUGUCCGUUGUGCCCGCGGUCAUGACUUCUAACCACCGUCCAAAUAUUUUUUUGUCGUUUGUUUUCAUUCUUACUAGCAAGAUGCCCGUGCGUUGCACGUAACAUCAAGAUGCAUUUGUAUGACUUGUUUAUCUUGUGAGAGAAAAGGAUGAACAAGGGAAGGCCUUAUUUUCAAAUGUGGAGAGGUGUGUGGGUACCUUUUUGCAAAAUUGCCAUAGUAUCCUUCCUAUCCAUCAGAUAUAAAUCGGACGGCCUAUAUUGCAGGAUGGCAGGCACACCAUCAUCACCAACUCUGUUUUUUAUAAGAGUGUGUAUUUUAUGUAUUUUAUAAGAGUGUAGAUGUAGAGUAGAUACAAGUCGACAGGUGGGGCAUGAUGGUAGUGAGAUAAUGUGAUGCAACACUAGAGGUGCCAUGUGGAGCGUUUAAUUGGUCAACUAGUCAUGUCAUGAGCAAAUACUGAGUUGUACGGUGAGCCUGUGACUGUAUAAUAACCACUAAACGUAAAUGGUGACCGUAAUGAGUGGAUUCUGAAGUCCAAUGUGCGUAUCGUGUUUUCGCUUCAAAUACAAUGAUUGUCAUUGCAUAUAUCGUGAGAGAAAGAUGAAACAUGCNNNNNNNNNNNNNNNNNNNNNNNNNNNNNNNNNNNNNNNNNNNNNNNNNNNNNNNNNNNNNNNNNNNNNNNNNNNNNNNNNNNNNNNNNNNNNNNNNNNNNNNNNNNNNNNNNNNNNNNNNNNNNNNNNNNNNNNNNNNNNNNNNNNNNNNNNNNNNNNNNNNNNNNNNNNNNNNNNNNNNNNNNNNNNNNNNNNNNNNNNNNNNNNNNGGGUAUGCGAUAGAGAGAGAUGCUCUUCGUUUCUCUUUAUUAUGACUAACUUUGUAUAUAGUAUAAAAAUAUACAAAUUCAUAGUGCGGAAUAAAUAUCAUUGUGGGCACCAUGCAAUGCAAAUUAGUGUUCGUACUCCUCCAUAUAACUUUGUAAUGUUGUAUAUAUGUAGAAACUCUAAAAUAAUUUUUUGGCCACACUUUAUUCAAAAGGAACGUUGUAUGUGAAAUAAACGUGAAGAGAAGGCUUUUUAGAUCAAUGGGGUACGUGAUGUAACAUGUGUGAAUGUGUAGUUGAUGCAUUUGGCGGGGCCUAGAGAGGUAUGUGUGUGUAUUACGAGUGGUCUAGGGAGAGAGAGAGAGACGAAUAUGAUGUCACGACAAGAGAUUCCAUUCCCUUGAGUGUGUAUAUGCAAGGGGGGAGGGAAUAGAGGCACCAAGAGAAAUUUUCUGCGUGUGUGGUGUUUGUGUUGGUAUGUGUGGGUGUGACAAGAUAAUGAGACAUGGGGGCAGAGGGUGUGUCACCGCGUGAGGUCCGGUGGGUCAAGGUGAGGCCCUUCGUUCGGUUCCGUCCUGCGCCGCAUUGUUCGGCCCAUGACGCAUUUAGCAAGACCCAUGGAUGACUAGUCGUACAAGAGAAAGAUAGCAGAAUUGUGAAGGACUCUGGGUCCACUGACAAAGUCAGCUAGGAUUUGUAACCCUAGGUUCUCGGACUAAGGUAACCCCUUUAUCUCUGAUAUUACUAUUCAUCCAACCUAGCUUUAAGGGGCAUCCUACAGAAUGCUCUACUAGAAUCAUACUCGUCGAUUAGGAAGAGAGGUGUGAGACAAUGCGUGAGAGACAUGCCUAAAGAUAAUGUGCGUACAUGAGACACGUAGGCAGGUCCAUGUAUAUAGAAAGGGUCGAUGGGGAUUACGCGUGUGUAUGUUUGCGAGAGGAAGAGUGCUUGUGAUAAAGGUUAGUGAAAACAGUUGUAAAUGGUUACGAGAGGGAGGGAGGGUAAUAUCUAGAGCAUGUGUGCGAGAAAGACACCUCGGGAGAGAGUGUGUGAGCAUGUGUGAGAGACCACCGAUGGAGAGUGAAACUACACGUAAAAGACUGCUAUACACAUUGAUUAAAGAUAUAAAUUGUAUCCAAAUAUUAGGAUGGGAUCAUGAUAUUUGCAGUUCGCGUAAGGAGUGGUCAUUGAUCCAUCAGACAUCUAGAUUCUAUCGAAUUUGAGCAUGUCUAUGUUAUUAGUCGACACAAUUGAUCCACAUAGUUAGUAUUUUGAACUCCAGACAAUGCAUCGCUUUAGCAAUCGAAUACAAACAUGAGUAUAGUUCAUGUUGUGUGUGUAAAGCACAUUAUACAUACGAAAGUUACACAAUAAACAUUAUAAAUAGCUACCUAUGAACUAGCAUACAUUUGAAUUCAACUUAAGGUGGUUUAAAAAUAUCGAUUCAACAUGAAGUCCAUUCAAUUAUUUGAAUUUGAUAUCAUGGCAUUUGUAAACCAUACCUAAAUUAUGGGGGCACCAAUCUUUGCUCUGAUUUUGUACAUAAUAGCAUAUGUAGUCAUGUACAAAAUAGAUUCAAAUUUAGCUCCUCCAUUCCAAAAUAAUCGUAGUUAUAGGAUUUUCAAGUGUCAAAAUUUCAAAAAGAAGCGGAUAAUUUAAUGAGGCUUUCAAACAUACAAGGUCAAAUAUAACGUUGUCUGUUUAGGUCAAUCCUCAUAGUUCAAGAGUACUCUAAACGUGAAUGCUUGUGUUUCAAAAUUUCGAACGAAGCGCCAAAAGAGCCUCUACUUGCCCGAAACCGCAUGAGACCAAUGUUUGGUAGUACAAGGGAAUUACUUUUCUAAUAACUCCGACCCAAACUUAAAAAAAAUAACUCCGAACCGUGAAACCUACCGGCCCGACGUCCAAAGGUCUAAACCGGGGUAGGUUUGUAGCUUCAUCUAGACGCCAUGCAACCGCCUCCGAAAAACAUACAUACACAAUGGCCGCCUAAGCACACAUGCGCGCGGCCGAAAUCGCUCCCGCCCACUAUUUGGGACACCCGGGAUUACCAUCCUAGCCCCGACCCGCAGUAGAUCCGAAAUUUAAGAGGGGGGCAAAGUUUGUACUUUCCCCAAAUUUCAAACAAGCGUGUCCCAUCUUCUGUUCAAAAAAGCCAAAGACAAGCGCAUCCCAGACCGAAACAUGGUCCCCCCCCACCCGUCCGAUUCCCCAUUCGUACUCAGUGGGCGCCAAAACUACCUCUCCACCAGCCGCGAAACCCCGGCAUCCUUCGUCCGCCACCCCAUCCCACCCAUCAACAGCCGCCCUCCUCCAUCACGCCGGAGCCAAUACCCCGACGUCGGCGUCCACCGCAACCUCAACCAUAAUGCCCUCCCCAGCUAGUAGUUGAAGCCGAGGCCGAGUAGUCCGUAACCGAGCCAGUUCAACCAUGCCGUCCUGCACCUCACCGCUGCCGCUCCAACUUCACCACCGUCCAUCGCACCGGAGCUGUUCCUGCUACGCCGUCCUUCGCCGCCUCGGAUUUGCUUCCCCUCCAUCGAUAUACGGCCACGGCAACACAGUCAACAAUUUGGCCAUGGGUUUGUCCAAGGAACAACGGCUCUCCAAAACAUCGGUUCCCCCGGGAAAAACAAGAAGAUCACUGCGACAUAUCGACACCACACUAGCAACCGAUACAGGUACUCCUCUUCCCUUAUUCGUGCAAAUCUUAUGUGUCUGCUUGCACGGUAUUCAUCCCACAGAAGACACUAGUUGACCGCUUCUUCUUCAUACUAGAUGUUCCUAGUAACUCGCGAUGCACAAGGUUUCUCCUCAUAUACUAUUUCACCUUAGCUAGAGGUCCGUUGCCCCCUUGAAUUUCAAUUUCUGGCCAGUUGAUUCCCAAUUAACGGAAGCAUUCCCCAGCGUAACAGGCGCUAGUACACCUAUUACACCGGGGAAGCGCCUUGGUGUUUAUCUUAGGGGCGUGUGCGGCCUAGAUCUACUGGCGCCCGAUCUGGAGACUGGAGGUCGGCCGGGAUUAAAGGGAUGGCCUAGGGCGCUGCCAAGCACGGCGGUGGUGUGAGGUCGAGGGGAGGGCAGGGCGGCGGAGGCAGGGGUCUGGGACGGUGGUCGCUGGCGGUUCGAGAAAGAUCGUCAACAGUGACUGGCGGGAGGUAGACGAAGGCCAUCUGCCCGUUCCUUAUAGAUCGGAUAGUUCAUUAAAAAAUCGACUGACCUAUUUAUUUUCAGUCGACUGUUAUCUUAGAUAUGACCACAUGUGGUGGUGUGCUAGAGGAGUACCUGCAUUUCCUGUGCUCAUAUAUUACAAAAUCAUAUGGAGUAGAAUCUAAUUUUGUUUGCCAUGCAAUGUUGUAGAUCUAUCAUAUGUCUCCUGUUGUUUAUAUUUCACCCAACCUACUAUCUGCUACUUUUACAGUGCACUAGUUCUGCACACACUUCCGCCCAUACUCUCACUAUUGUGUUUUUAUGCAAGGGUAUUUCAGAGUCUGCCUCGAGGGAAGCAGAAAAGAAAAGAGAGAAGUUGCUCCAGCUUGCUACGCGGGUAGGCACGACACGUUACAGUGCUAUAAAGGGUGCAGUGUCAGCAGAUGGAAACGGUAAACGUAGCUCUGGAGUUGAUGACCUCACUCGUAAUGAACCACCAUCCCAGGUGCUUGCUUUAACUUCGUGGUGUCAUAUGUGGUUGCAUGUUCCAUAUGGUGUCUAGCUUGUAUUCGAAAGGCCUAAGUCGGUCUUUAUUAAGAUAAGGAAAUAUAUUUUUUACAUGAACCACCAUCCCGUGAGCACCAGAAGACAAAUAGCUAGUCAGGGCACUGGCCGAGCCAGUGACAAGCCUAGCAAAGAUAGGCACCACCUGGAAGACAACUACUUCCUCUGUUCCUAAAUAUAAGUCUUUGGAGGGAUUUCACUAUGAACCACAUACGGAUGUAUGUAGAUGCAUUUAGAGUGUAGAUUCAUUCAUUUUGCUCCGUAUGUAGUCUAUAGUGAAAUCUCUACAAAGACUUAUAUUUAGGAACGGAGGGAGUAAAAAGCUGCGAUGGUGGCGAAGCAGCCCGCUUCCCACCAGGCUCUCAGGUCCUAGAUGAUCAUGCUCACCACUCCAGCCGGAUGUCUAGCUUGUAUUGCUUCCAAUUUGGUUAAAUUGCAUCUGCUUAGCUUACACAUUAUACCUUUGAAUAUGACAUGCCUUUCUGUUUUUGGUACAUACUAGUACAUCUGUGUAUUAACCAUGCUCUUACAUCAAACUAAUGUUCUUGUGUAUCCCUCAUCAAUCACUUAUGACAAGGCAGGCAUGCAAGGGGACUACUCCUCAUUUAAAGAAUGCAGCGUCGGCCUCCCGACAUGAUUCUCAAGAAAUAGAAAUGCUAGAUGAAGAUAGUGAACGUAGCUUUGUAGUUGAUUACAACAUUUCCCCUACACUAGCAUCGCAGGUGCUUGCUCUAACUUGGCAGCGUAAUAUGUGGUUGCAUGUUGCAUAUGGUGUCUAGAUUGUAAUUCUUCCAAUCUGGUUAAACUUCAUGUGCUAGUCUGCUUAGCUUAUACAUUAUACCUGUUAAUGUGACAUGCCUUCCUGUAUUUAGUACAUAGUACAUCUGUCUAUUAAGCAUGUCCUUACAUAAAACUAUUGCUUUUUUUUGUAUCUCGCAUCAAUCAAUAUGACGAGACACCUUUAGUAUAUGUAGUGCGAUAUUAGUUGAAUCUUUCAUAUGAUUUAUAGCAUGCGCUCCUUCUAAUUUGUUGAAAUUCCAUUUAUGAUGGGACGCUUUUAACUUGGCAGAGUCAUAUUGGUUGCAUCUUUCAUGUGGUUUCUAGCUUGCAUUGCUUCUUAUUUGCUGGAAUGGUUUCUUCUUAGUUUACACAAACAGUUGUGAACGUGCCAUGCCGUCCUGUUUUUCGUACAUAUUCAAUCCUGGUAUCAUGUGUUUGCCUUACAUCAAAGUAGUGAUUGUCAGUAUCAUGCAUGAAUGAGUUCUGAAGAGAGAAUUUUAUUGCUUUUUCUUGUUGGUUUUACUUGACAAUUCAAAAUCAAUAAAGCGGAAGGAAGUUAGCAAGGAAGCGGAUAAAGGUGCUCCUUCCGAACGGAGGGUCUCUACAGUUUCUACUCCUCCACACCCCCAAGAUGAUUUCCAAGACAACACAUGCAUAGACACUCAACAAAGCUGUGUUUAUGAUGAGCACGUCUCCCCUAGUGCAGCAUCACUGGUGCUCCCUCUAACUUAGCAUUGUUAUACGUGGUUGCAUGUUAUGUGUGAUGUCUAGCUUGUAUUGCUUCUAAUUUUGUUGAAUUCCAUCUGCUUACUUUACACAUUAUACUUGAAUAAGACACGUGUUCCUGUUUCUAGAACAUACAAUAUCUGUCUAUCACACCAUGUUAUUACAUCAAAUUACUAUUGUUGUGUAACCUGCAACAAUCACUUAUCAUAAGACACAUUUGACUUCGGAGUGUGAUAUAGGUUACAUCUCACAUUCUUUUCUAGCUUGUACUACUAAUUUGUUGAAAUGGCACUUAUGACGAGACAAUUUUAACUUGGUAGAGUGAUAUUCGUUGCAUCUUUCAUAUGGUGUCUAGCUUUCAUUACUUCUAAUUUGUUGAAAUGCCUUCUCCUUAGUUUACACAUCAUAAGUUGUGAAUAUGCAAUGUUGUGAAUAUGCAAUGGCACUAAUGACGAGAGACCUCUAACAUGGUAGUGUGAUGUUGUUUGCAUCUUGCAUAUGAUUUAUUUCUUGUACUGCUUCACAUUUGUUUAAACGCCAUUUAUGAUGAGACACUGUUAACUUGGCAGACCGAUAUUUGUAGCAUCUUUCAUAUGGUGUCUACCUUCCAUUCCAUUGCUUCUAAUUUGGUGAAAUAUCUUCUUCUUAGUUUACACAUCAUAGUUCUGGUUAUCUCUUCCGUCCUGUUUUUCAUACAUAUUACAUCCUCCUAUCAUGUGGUUGUCUAACAUCAAAGUUCAGUCCGUCUGCAUCACGCAUCAAUUUGUUCUGAAGAACUAAAUUGUUAUUCGUUUUUCUUGUCGGCUUGACUUAAAAUGGCAUAGAGAAAGAGGAAGAAACACAGAAUGGCAGGGAAUGAGAAGUGGAUGAAUCCUGCAGAUUCUGCUGGUACUGAUGGUGCAAUAGAAGGUCAAAGUCCAGCGGAAAAUUCUACAAACACGCCAUCCCAUGCUACACGAGCUGCAAAAAAAGCCAAACAGAAACAAAUAGCUACCACCAAACAAGCAGAGACAGCCCUAGUUCUUGCAACACCUACCACAGUACUACUGGGUGCACGACUUACUCGUGCGUCAACUGAGCUAGCAGCAUGUUCCCAAGCUCCCUUGCCACCUGACACUACUUCCCAAGCACUCUUGACACAAGACGAGUUGGCAAUAUCAGAUGAACCUUGUGAGCUUCAACAACAAGAAGGUAGUUGCUGGAGUCAAGUUACAGUUGCAUGCUUCUUUAUAUGUAGUCUCACAGUUUGAUGUACACUAACACUUCCUAUGUUCGUUGUUGGACUAGCACCUAGGCGCAAGAGGAAACAAACAUCAGGGAUAAUGCUCAAUAGGUUAACUAAAUCUAGAGGAGGAAGAAUGGAGAUCCGUUUUGAGGUUUAAAAAGGCCACGUGAUGCUACAGAGUCAGCCAAGUUAGUAUCAGAGGCAGCGGUUGCCGUUAGGUGUCAUGUACGUAUCCUCCCAACAUGGAUUCAGUACAGGAAUGACAAAGACGAAACCCAGUUCAACACCUUCCUCGACCAUUUAUCUGUAAGUAUGGUUAUGUAUGGAAACUAGUAAUAUCGUCUUGCUCUGUCCCAUACUUUCUAGGUUGCUGAUAAUGAGACUCCCAUAAUUUUCAACAGAUGAGGUUCAAGUUGGAUAGCCAAGAUGAUGCAACCAUACAAGCUUGCACCCAUGUUUUCAAGUCUUCUCUGCGAUAGUAUCGGUAUAACUUGAGGAAAACUCACUUUGAAGGCAAGGCUAAGAGUGAACUUUCCCAAACAUCUCCAGUGGAAAAUAUAUCGGAUGAAGACUGGAGGGGCCUUGUUAAACACUGGUCAGAUCCAAAGUAUUAGGUACAUUAUAUAUAUGUGAUCAGAUCACAUGUUGAAGUCCUAUUUACGCAUGUGCCACACAAAUCUAUCUUCUUGUAGGUGAACUGUUCAAAGAACAAGGCCAACCGUACAAAAGUGAAAUUCCAACAGACGACAGGAUCUCGUAGCUAUAUUGCACACUACGAGGCUCUUGUAAUUAGCUGUUGUUUCACUCUUUUCGUUGUACCAUAUUAUCAUAUCUAUAUUGACUUGUUCGAAAUGCAGAGGAAAGCCCACAAGGACCAAAAAGUACCUGAACCAAAUGUUGUGGAAAUCUUCAAGGACUGUCACACCAGCAAGAAGAACGGCAUGACUACACCAGUCAAAGCCGCUGUUGUAAGUCCUUAAUCCUCAUGCCUUUUAACUCACUACUAGGAAAAGGCCUACUAAUGGCGCACCUAAUUUGGCCAUUAAUGGCGCAUUAGUGGUGCGCCAUUAGUGCCACGCCAUUAGUAUAUUUUACUAAUGGCGCACCACGGGUGCGCCAUUAGUAUCUGGUAUACUAAUGGCGCACCUCAGAUGCGCCAUUAGUAUAUACAACAAUGCGCCAUUAGUAUGCCUCCCAGGGGGCCAUGUAUACCCAGGUGCUUUGGCAUACUAAUGGCGCACAACAACAAGAUGCGCCAUUAGUAACUUCGGCAUACUAAUGGCGCACUGUUUAAUGAUGCGCCAUUAGUAUCCUUUGGCAUACUAAUGGCGCACUGUGAUGUGAUGCGCCAAUAGUAUGAAUAUUAGGUUUUUUUUAUUUUUUUAUUUUCUGUUUUUUGCACAGGUUACAAAAUGUAUAAUUGGACAAAAUAUAGACAGCACACAUCAACAACAGAUUCAUCGAAUACAAUAGAAGAUUAGUCUCUGAAUACAAUUCAUCAUAUUAGUCUCCGAAUACAAUUCAUCAUAUUAGCGGGCGUAUCUACAAAAAGUCCUAAACUAAACCUAUACUAAACUAUCUAGUUCUUCAUCUUCUGCUUCUUUCUUCCAGUUCAUCAACCUGCAAAACAAGAAACAACAAACAUGAAAAACUUGAUCAAGGUUUAAAUGUAGCAUUCCCCUUAGCAAAAUGCCUUUGCUGUAGGAGCUAGCACUUACGAGUUUGGAAACAUUAGUCAAACCCCAAUCAGAUUAAGUUGAUCAAAGAAACAAUAGAAGAGAGCCAACACUGCAUAAAUGGAGCCAAUAACCCAAAAGACAGAAGUAGAGCCAGCAAAGUAUAGAUCAAAGCAAAACCCAAAGAUCAACUCAAACUAGAACUAACUCCAUGAUUAGGGGAUCCCUCAAUUAAGCUUGGGUUAGUUUUCAGAUGAAAUCCAACAAACCCACUACUAAUCAACUAGCCCAGAGGUAGGGUUUGAAGUAGGGAUUGUCCUCAGGCAGCCUAGUAGUGCUAGGACUAUUGCAUCAUUGGAUCAAGUAGUGCAACAUCUUUAAGUAACAAUGAGAGCCUCAGGACACCAUCACUGGCAUGGCAAGAUUAAGGAGCACCUGUUCUUAUCAGUGAGAGUAGGAGAGAAAGAAAGAAAGUGAACAGACCAGUGCAGCAUAUGUUCAAAUCAGAUUUAAGAGAGAGGGAAUUGGCAAGGAAAGAUAUAGUCCAUAACCUGCAAGAAGAAAUAGGCCAUUGAUAGCACAUUUACUAAACAUCUGCUAUAAGCAGAACACAUACACUCACUUACACAUGGGUACUAUUCUGUAUAUAGGUACACAAGCACAACACAUGCACCUGGUAUAGAUAGGAGUAUAAGCAUGCAUCUAAAUUAUCUGAAACAUAUGAAAUAGCUAAUGCAAAGAAACAUAUGAUAAUAAAGAAAACAGAGCACAAGUAAAUAGGAAUGAUCCAUCCAUCCAUCCCCUAACUAAUGUAUUGAUCCAUCCAUCCAUGACCUAACUAAUGUUGUUGUAUCUCUAGACUAAGUGCAGCAACACAAGGACUAAAACUACAGAGCACAUGUGUACGUAACUACUAUACUCAUCCAUGGCAAAUUGUACCAAACCAUCCAUACAUAGCCAGAUUGCAAUGGAGUGGAUUUAACACAAGACAUGAAAAAUUGAUGAGCCAAAUGAUUUUUAGUAUUACUAACUUGAAAGGAAGCUCACUGUUUCCAUCUUCUAUCUAUCCAUGAUUUUAUUUUUCUGAAGCAAGCAUCAAAAAGCACAAUGACAAUCGAAUUUCACACAAAAACUGAACCAAUACUUGCUGUUAUGUAGUGUCCAUGACAAUUGCAAUUCAUGUCCACUCCAGAUCAGAUUUGCAAGGGCUAGAAAGAGAGGUUGUAGCUCACCAUGUAUGGGGGUAGGAGGUGGAUGCAGGGGAGGGGUGGAGGGUGUCCUGCAGAAGAAGCUUCGCCAUUAGAGCAACCUGCACAAAACAGAGGAAGGGGAGAUGAAUAAAUCAUGGUGAGGAGGAGAAACAACAACAAAAAUACCAAAAAAAUCCCUUCCAUGGAGUGUUGUACUAGGAGCAGCUCCUCUCUCUCCGCUAGGGUUUGGGGCGCUGGGAGGCUCCAUGGUGCCACUGCGUGGUGCCGGACAAGGGAAUCCAUCUCCAUGGCGGCGUCCCGCCCCACGGAGGUGCGCCCCUCCCGCCGUCGUCAUCGGCACGCCCAUGGCGACCUGCAGAGAAGGAAGAGAAGAUGAGGUGAGGUGAGGAGGAGAUGGUGGGCGAAGAAGGAGGGGGAGGGGCUUACUAGUGCUGGAUCCGGUCACCUAUGGCCUCGCCGUGUCCUGCCAUGGCGGAUCCCGGCGAACAAAAGGGGAUGCAAAAUCCUAGCCAGUGGGGCAGCCGCGGAUCUGCAUGGAGGUAAGCCAGAUGCGGACCAAGGGGAUCUCGCCGGCAUGCUGCACGCGGCCGGAGCUCGCUGGAACCAGGCGGCAUGGGUGGCGACGGCGGUGAGGGAGAGAGGGGUUCGGGGGGAAGAGAGGAGGCGACGAGGGUUUGGGUGGGUUCGAGCGAGAGAGAGAGUGUGUGUGUGUUGGUGCGUUGGGUCGGAUGGAUGGAUUGAUGUCCAAAAUAUCCAGGUUACUAAUGGCGCACCUUCUGGUGGUGCGCCAUUAGUAGUUUUGCAAAAAAAAACAAAAAAAAACAUACUAAUGGCGCACUAUUCCACAGUGCGCCAUUACUAGUUUAAACUAGUAAUGGCGCACGGUCGAACAGUGCGCCAUUAGUAGUUUUGCAAAAAAAAGGAAUAAAAAUAUAAUAAAAAAACAACAUUAGUGGCGCACUUUCCGACAGGUGCGCAUUACUAGUUACAACUAGUAAUGGCGCACUGUGUCUGGAUGCGCCAUUAGUAUGUUUGGACAGGCGCACUAGUUCAAAAAAAAUGAUACUAAUGGCGCACCCUGGGCCAGGUGCGCCAUUAGUAGUUUCAGCUCUAAUGGCGUAUCAGAAGGUGGUGCGCCAUUAGUAUAUACUAAUGGCGCACCGCUUGUCUGGUACGCCAUUAGUGUCAAUCCCAUCUAUAGCCCUUUUUCUAGUAGUGACUAGUACUUACUCUAACUUGUGCCUUGAACUGCAUGGUUUGCAGCCAAUGUCUAUUACUUUUUUCAAUUGUAUACACAAUUGUCUUAGAGUAUCAUUGCACCUUACAAGGUUUAAAAGAGAGGAGUGAUGUUCCUUUGAUCUUGACCCGUAAUCUAGUUUCGUGCUGGACUUGCCCAUACAACGUUACAAUUUCCUGUUUGUCUGUUCUUAGUUGUUUUGUGAUAUGAAUGAUGUCAUACUAUGCUUACCGUAUUAUAAACUUUGUCUCUUUAUCCUUAGCCCUCAAUACAAUGUGAAGAAAUAGACAAUACAUUAGCGAUGCUACAUGGCCAUAUGUUUGGAACCUGGUUUUUUUAUGUACUUUGCAAUAAAAUACAACUAAUAUUUUACAUGGGUUCACCAGAAUAAGUUCUGUAUAUAGGCCAAAGCUAUUUUGUUUGGUUUUGCUGCCUCCUUAAUAUCUUCUGUUUGGGUACUAAUAAUGUAAAACCUCAACUUUUCAGCAAGCUAUGGAAAAAAUGGUGGAACGGCCACCUUCUGAAGGUGGCGAGGCAACUAUAACCGCAAUGUCAGCUCUUGCUGCAGUGGGUCAGUACCUGUCCACUAACAGUGCCAAAAGCACGUUCCUGCGUAAUACUAGGUUGGUUGUUAAGGCAAUAUCGUCCAAACUGCCUCAUGAUCAAGAUAUGCAAGAUCAAGGCAAUGUUGUAUUUGCGCUCCAGACACAAGUCCAUUCCCUAAUAGAGACCCUUUGUGAAACAAGGAGAGACAUUGUUCAAUGUCUUCAAGAUAUGCAUGGUUUUGAAACCAGACUAUCAGACAUUUGCUAUGUUGUUCAGGAGCCUAGGCGAAAUGAAGGCGAGGGUUAUGGUGCUCCAUCGGACAAUACAACAUGAAAAUGUAAUAGUCAGGUCAAAUGAACUGAGCUUCUGAACUUCUGGUGGUGCAUUUAUCUGCUAGACUGUUAAGUUUUAUGCCAACCUUCCUUUUGGUAUAUAGUUGUAAUUUGUUUUGGUGCGAUACAAAAUUUAUUCUUAACGUGCAGCCACCGACUGAAGAAAACAGCAAGCCAUUUUUGUAUAGUGUAGGGUGUUCCAUAUAUUUGCACUGGUGGCGAUCUUUGAUGCCGAGUGGAUGUAAUCUGUGCAAUCGCCUUAAUAGCCUAGCGUUAGUUUCGGCCUUAUUUAUUUCCUAGUCUUCUUUUUCCCUGGUUUUCUAGUGGCCGCAACUACCAUGGGCCAUAUAAGGGCCGUAGGAUCCAUGGGUCUCCUACAGGCCGUCGAUAAAUGGGCCUCCAAUAGGGCCGUAGAAGAACUGGUCGGCCUCGGGCCAUCGGAUAAAUGGGUCUACAUGGGCCGUCAACGGGUGUAAUUGGUAUCAGCCCAGCACGGUAAUGGGCCGUAGGACAGCAAAGGCUUAAUUCUGUCACAGGCAUAACGGGUCAUUAAUGGGCCAGAAUAUAGGACGGGCUAGAAACGGCGCAAUGGGUUAAUAGGCCAGAAACGGGCCGAAUCUUGCCAUGGGUCGAAUUUGUCCCAUUAGGGUAACAGGCCAGUAACGGGUCGACUCUUGCCAUGGGCCGAAUUUGACCCAUUAGGGGAACAGGCCAGAAACGGGCCGACUCUUGCCAUGGGCCGAAUUCGGUCCAUUAGGGUAACAGGCCAGUAACGGGCCGACUCUUGCCAUGGGCCGAAUUUGGCCCGUUAGGGGAAUAGGCCAGUAACGGGCCGAAAGUAAUCGAGGACCGAAAAGGAUCCCAAGAACGUAUGGGCCGUCAAUAGGCCGAAAGCUAACACGGGCUGGAAACGGCCCAUGUAAAUCACGGGCCGUUAACGGGUACAAAGAAAAUUACUGUUCAUUAUGGGCUAGAGUCACCGUGGGCCUGUAAAGGGCCGAAAGAUACGAAGGCCUCAUAUGGGCCGAAAGACGUCAUGGGCCAUACAUGGGCCGAAAGUGAAAUGGGCGGGUGUUAUAUUCGACGGCCCACAAGACGUUGUUGGGGCAAUUUCCUUCAGGGACUAACGGGCCGUGAGUUAACGGACCGUAAAAUGGGCUAUUUGUGAAGAGACCGUUAACAGGCUUUUCAUGGGCCAGCCUGUUAACUUUUGACCAAGUCAAACAGCCCGGCUUUGUAAGCUAAAUGGGCAAGUGGUGGGCCGUGGCACGUGUCCACAUAUCAUAGGCGCCUAUCUGACCCACUGACGAGCUGACACGUGUUUCGUCCGGCCAAUAAGAAUUUUACACAUGGAAAUUUCCCAUUGGUCGGGGCUGUUAACGGGUUAUCGGAUCCAAAACCCGACCCGAUAGUUUAACGGCGUUCCGUUACGGUGGAUGCCACAUGUCGGUCACCCUUGACGAAAGCACUUCUGUGACGCGCGAUUUAUCAUCAUGGAAGUGGACACUUCCGUGAUGAUAAUUUUGGUAAUGUCAUGCAACACUUCUACGAUAGCACACGUAUGACUAUCUUGAUUCUGUCAUAAAUUUGUCAUGGAUGUACAUGCAUGACAAAAAACGCGACCUAAUGUGACAAACACGUAUCAUCACGGAAGUGUAUUUUUUUGUAGUGUUGCAAAUAUCUAUGUUCCUAUCUUGAACAUUUUCACGAAUGGAGUUGAAGCGACGCUUGAUGUGCCUGGUCUUCUUAUGAAACCUAGGCUCCUUGGCAAGGGCAAUAGCUCCAGUGUUGUCAUAGAAGAGAGUGAUCGGCCCCGACACAUUGGGAAUAACUCCUAGGUCGAUGAUGAACUCCUUCAUCCAGAUUGCUUCAUGCGCUGCCUCCGAGGCUGCCAUGUACUCCGCUUCACAUGUAGAUCCCGCCAUGACACUCUGCUUGCUGCUGCACCAGCUUACUGCCCCAUCAUUCAAAAUAUACACGUAUCCGGUUUGUGACUUGGAGUCAUCCAGAUCUAUGUCGAAGCUAGCAUCGACGUAACCCUUUAUGACGAGCUCUUUGUGACCUCCAUAAAUGAGAAACAUAUCCUUAGUCUUUUUCAGGUACUUCAGGAUAUUCUUGACCACUGUCCAGUGUUCCAUGCCGGGAUUACUUUGGUGCCUAGCUACCAAACUUGCGGCAAGGUUUACAUCAGGUCCGGUACACAGCAUGGCAUACAUAAUAGACCCUAUGGCCGAGGCAUAGGGGAUGACACUCAUCUUUUCUCUAUCUUCUGACGUGGUCGGGGAUUGAGCCAAGCUCAGUUUCAUACCUUGCAACACAGGCAAGAACCCCUUCUUGGACUGAUCCAUAUUGAACUUCUUCAAUAUCUUAUCAAGGUAUGUGCUUUGUGAAAGACCUAUGAGGCGUCUCGAUCUAUCUCUAUAGAUCUUGAUGCCUAAUAUAUAAGCAGCUUCUCCAAGGUCCUUCAUUGAACACUUGUUCAAGUAGGCCUUUAUGCUGUCCAAAAGUUCUAUAUCAUUUCCCAUCAAAAGUAUGUCAUCUACAUAUAAUAUGAGAAACGCUACAGAGCUCCCACUCACUUUCUUGUAAACGCAGGCUUCUCCAUAAGUCUGCAUAAAACCAAACGCUUUGAUCAUCUCAUCAAAGCGAAUGUUCCAACUCCAAGAUGCUUGCACCAGCCCAUAAAUGGAUCGCUGGAGCUUGCAUACCUUGUUAGCAUUCUUAGGAUCGACAAAACCUUCCGGCUGCAUCAUAUACAAUUCUUACUUACCAUUAAGGAAUGCCGUCUUGACAUCCAUUUGCCAUAUCUCAUAAUCAUAGUAUGCGGCAAUUGCUAACAUGAUCCGGACAGACUUCAGCUUCGCUACGGGAGAGAAAGUCUCAUCAUAGUCAACCCCUUGAACUUGCCAAUAACCCUUAGCGACAAGUCGAGCUUUAUAGAUGGUAACAUUACCAUCCGCGUCCGUCUUCUUCUUAAAGAUCCAUUUAUUUUCUAUCACUCGCCGAUCAUCGGGCAAGUCUGUCAAAGUCCAUACUUUGUUUUCAUACAUGGAUACUAUCUCGGAUUGCAUGGAUUCAAGCCAUUUGUUGGAAUCUGGGCCUGCCAUCGCUUCUUCAUAGUUCGAAGGUUAACCAUUGUCUAACAACAUGAUUUCUAGGACAGGGUUGCCAUACCAUUCUGGUGUGGAACAUGUCCUUGUGGACCUACGAAGUUCAGUAGUAACUUGUUCUGAACUACCUUGAUCAUCAUCAUUAACUUCCUCUCUAGUCGGUGCAGGCACCACAGGAACAUCUUCCUGAGCUGCACUACUUACUGGUUCAAGAGGUAGUACUUCAUCAAGUUCCACUUUCCUCCUACUUACUUCUCUCGAGAGAAACUCCUUCUCCAGAAAGGACCCAUUCUUGGCAACGAAAAUCUUGACUUCGGAUCUGAGGUAGAAGAUAUACCCAAUGGUUUCCUUAGGGUAUCCUAUGAAGACGCAUUUUUCCGACUUGGGUUCGAGCUUUUCAGGUUGAAGUCUCUUGACAUAAGCAUCGCAUCCCAAAACUUUUAGAAACGACAGCUUAGGUUUCUUUCCAAACCAUAAUUCAUAAGGUGUCCUCUCAACGGAUUUAGACGGUGCCCUAUUUAAAGUGAAUGUAACUAUCUCUAAAGCGCAUCCCCAAAAUGAUAGCGGUAAAUUGGUAAGAGACAUCAUAGACCGCACCAUAUCCAAUAGAGUGCGAUUACGACGUUCGGACACACCGUUACGCUGAGGUAUUCCAGGCGGCGUGAGUUGUGAAACAAUUCCACAUUUCCUUAAGUGCAUACCAAACUCGUGACUUCAAUAUUCUCCCCACGAUCUGAUCGUAAGAACUUUAUUUUUCUAUCACGUUGAUUCUCUAGCUCAUUCUGAAAUUCCUUGAACUUUUCAAAGGUCUCAGACUUGUGUUUUAUUAACUAGACAUACCCAUAUCUACUUAAGUCAUCAGUGAGGGUGAGAACAUAAUGAUAGCCACCGCGAGCCUCAAUGCUCAUUGGACCGCACACAUUAGUAUGUAUAAUUUCCAAUAAGUUGGUUGCUCACUCCAUUGUUCCGGAGAACAGAGUCUUGGUCAUUUUGCCCAUGAGGCAUGGUUCACAUGUGUCAAAUGAUUCGAAAUCAAGAGACUCCAAAAUUCCAUCUGCAUUGAGCUUCUUCAUGCGUUUGACACCAAUGUGACCAAUGCGGCAGUGCCACAGAUAUGUGGGACUAUCAUUAUCAAUCUUACAUCUUUUGGUAUUCACACUAUGAAUAUGUGUAACAUCAUGUUCGAGAUUCAUUAAGAAUAAACCAUUGACCAGCGGGGCAUGACCAUAAAACAUAUCUCUCAUAUAAAUAGAACAACCAUUAUUCUCGGAUUUAAAUGAGUACCCAUCUCGUAUCAAACGAGAUCCAGAUACAAUGUCCAUGCUCAAAGCUGACACUAAAUAACAAUUAUUAAGGUUUAAAACUAAUCCCGUAGGUAAAUGUAGAGGUAGCGUGCCGACGGCGAUCACAUCGACCUUGGAACCAUUCCCGACGCGCAUCGUCACCUCGUCCUUCGCCCGUCUCCACUUAUUCCGCAGCUCAUGUUUUGAGUUACAAAUAUGAGCAACCGCACCGGUAUCAAAUACCCAGGAGCUACUAUGAGUACUGGUAAGGUACACAUCAAUAACAUGUAUAUCACAUAUACCUUUGGUGUUGACGGUCUUCUUAUGAGCUAAGUACUUGGGGCAGUUCCGCUUCCAGUGAUCGUUCCCCUUGCAAUAAAAGCACUUAGUCUCAGGUUUGGGUCCAUGCUUUGGCUUCUUCCUGACAACUGGCUUACCGGGCGCGGCAACUCCCUUGCCUUCCUUCUUGAAGUUCUUCUUACCCUUGCCUUUCUUGAAACUAGUGGUUUUAUUGACCAUCAACACUUGAUGUUCCUUUUUGAUUUCUACCUCCGCUGAUUUCAGCAUUGAAAAUACCUCAGGAAUGGUUUUCACCAUCCCCUGCAUAUUGUAGUUCAUCACAAAGCUCUUGUAGCUAGGUGGGAGCGACUGAAGGAUUCUGUCAAUGACCGCCUCAUCCGGGAGGUUAAUGUCCAGCUGGGACAAGCGGUUGUGCAACCCAGACAUUUUGAGUAUGUGCUCGCUGACAGAACUAUUUUCCUCCAUCUUACAACUGUAGAACUUGUCGGAGACUUCAUAUCUCUCGACCCGGGCAUGAGCUUGGAAAACCAUUUUCAGCUCUUGGAACAUCGCAUAUGCUCCAUGCUGCUCGAAACGCUUUUGGAGCCCCGUUUAUAAGUUGUAAAGCAUGCCGCACUGAACGAGGGAGUAAUCAUCAACACGCGACUGCCAAGCAUUCAUAACGUCUUGGUUCGCUGGGACGGGUGCUUCACCUAGCGGUGCUUCUAGGACAUAUGCUUUCUUGGCAGCUAUGAGGAUGAUCCUCAUGUUCUGGAUCCAGUCCGUAUAGUUGCUACCAUCGUCUUUCAGCUUGGUUUUCUCUAGGAACGCGUUGAAGUUGAGGUUGACAUGAGCGUGGGCCAUUUGAUCUACAAGAUAUUUUGCAAAAGUUUUUAUACUAAGUUCAUGAUAAUUAAGUUCAUCUAAUCAAAUUAUUUAAUGAACUCCCACUUAGAUAGACAUCCCUCUAGUCAUCUAAGUGAUACACGAUCCGAGUCAACUAGGCCGUGUCCGAUCAUCCCGUGAGACGGACUAGUCAUCAUCGGCGAACAUCUUCAUGUUGAUCGUAUCUUCUAUACGACUCAUGCUAGACCUUUCGGUCUCUUGUGUUCUGAGGCCAUGUCUGUACAUGCUAGGCUCGUCAAGUCAACCUAAGUGUUUUGCAUGUGUAAAUCUGGCUUACACCCGUUGUAUGUGAACGUUAGCAUCUAUCACACCUGAUCAUCACGUGGUGCUUCGAAACAAUGAACUUUCGCAAGGGCGCAUGUCGGCAUUCUAGGAACAGGGGUCCCCAGACUUGCCUGCCUGUGGCCUGCAGCAUGGCUCAAGUGGUGGCCCAGUGCGGCCCAUCUUCAUCGACUCAAGCUCAAGACCCUCGCGAGGGGCCAAGCCUCGCGGGGAGGACGACAGGAAGCUUCCUCGGGAGGGGCCUCGCCAGGAAGGCUCGCGAGGAGGCGGAGACAUCAAGGUGAGGGUACCUCGCGAGGUGCACAUGACGCAAGCCAUGACGAUCGAGACCAGGCGGGCGCCAGCCUGCGCAGUGUCCUUGUUUCCUCUUUGGUGCAAAGGAGCAAGCUCAGACCAAGGCAUCAGGCAAAGGAUACCGUUUCGGUGCAACAAGACCAAGACCAGCAGAGCGGCAGGAUGGAGGUCACCAUGGAGCCCAAGACAGCGUCAUCGUUAGGGCCCUUGGCAGUCGAAGACCAACUUUAGUUAGGAUAAGCUGUACUAGAUGUUCCCCUUCAAAAUGGCCGUUGUUGGCGCCCUUCCCGCUCAAUAUUUGGGAAGAGGACCAAGGCCUCUAUAAAUAGGACUAGCCAUUCUCAAGGCAGGGGAUCGAGCAAUCAAACCUUAGCCAGAACCACCCACACCAGCACAAGAACACCCCUCGCGAGGCUGUUCCUCCCUUGUAUUGUUCAUCAUCAGCCCCUGAGGCAAUGCACACACCACACACUGGAGUAGGGUAUUACACCACAAUGGUGGCCUGAACCAGUAUAAACUCUGUGUCCCUUGUGUUGAUUAUCUUGCUAGCCUAGAUUCUUAGCGAGGCUGUGGGACGUAGGUUGCUAGGGGAGAGAUCUCCGCGCGCACCCUAGAGUUCGAACCUCAAGGGUCUGCCGGAACCCGAAAUCCGACAUUUUGCACGCCAGGUAGGGGUGCGACGGGAUCCUUCUUCCACCGCCUCGCGCUCCAUCGCGACCCGACGGCCAAUGCCGACCGCUGGGCGGCAUGGCCUAUCCAUGCCGUGCCGCCUGCCCAGGGUGACCUCAACCCCGCACCUCAGGCAGCCCACGCCCCGCAGAGCGCUGCGGGGCGCGGGCAACGUGGUCAGUCGUCGCCUGCCCUCACCCCGCGGCAGGUACGGUCGGCAGCAAGGGCCUUGAGGCAUGCUGCGGCCACGGCACCGCACACCCGACGGGAGGAGGCGAACAUGAAGGCCACGCUCAUGGUGGCGCGAGAACUGCUGCGGUGCAAACUGCAAGAAAGUAGCCACGACGUGCUACUGGAGUGCAUCGCCGAGCUCCUGGAUGCUGCUACGUCAGGGGCCCCCCCCAUUCUGCGUCCAGCUUCCACCCCAGGCUCCGAGCGGAUCCCAAGGUGGACCAAUCCGCACCCACGCGCCCCUGGGCGUACCUCAAGGCUUCAUCAACACCGGCCUGGCCAUCAGCGCCGGGCAGCAAGUUGCGUUGGCACCGCCCCUGGUAAGCGAGGGCAUGCGCAUCACUGCCUAUGGUCCUAGCGGGCCGCUGCCCUAUCAUCCCCAAGAUGGAGCUUCGAGUCGAACUGCAUGGCACACGGAGCACUACGGCAAGGCCUUCGGGGUGACCGCCCCGGAGGCCUAUGUGCCCCACAUGGUGGAUCGAGGGUACGCCCUGGAAGAAGACCACGGCUCGUUCCUCGGGCCAGGCUGGGAGGAAGAGGCGCCAGAAGCCGAGCUCUUUCAGGAGCCUCACGAAAGCCUCGACAGCCGCGCCGGCGGCAGCAACUACCGGGUACAAGGAGCAAGCUUAUGCUAACCAUGGGUCGCAGGAGGUUCAGGUCAUGGCAGCGAAUGGCUGCCCAGUGCGGCAACCUCCCUCCCCUCGGGGGGAGGGCACUGGGGGUAGCAGGAGAGGGGCCAGGAGCCAGGCUCCCCCCCCCCGCGACAUGCGGAGCAAGGCAUUCUCAAGAGGUAGGCCCUCUGCCGGGGAGGUGCCCCAGGGCCUGCCCUCGGCAGAGGACCCGUGGUCGUCGGGGGAAUCGCUCGCGACCACUUUACCCCAUUGGCGUCGUCCUUGGUUUCCGGUCGCCGUAUGUGGUGGUAGAGUGUGGCGCAAGGCGGGGCCCUCGUCUGGUCAUAUGAAGCAAGGCCGGUACCAGUGAAGAAGGCCUAGUGCCUGUGAAGCUCGCCGCCCGUGACACUCUCACGUAAUAACGACUUGGGGUUGUACACGCCCCGGAGUCUCCGAAGAGCCGCCCUCGGGCCUCGGGGGCUCUUGCCCACGCCCAGUGGCAGCACUUAGCUCCGCGCUGGUGAGAAGACGUCGAACACUAGACUAGGUGUGGGACGCGUCUUUUGUCUUUUUUACCUCUUUCUUCGUUGUCGAGCUUCCUUGCUUUGAAUUUGAGUUGGAUUUGAGCUUAAGACUUGCGUGUGUUCGGGGAAGGGGUGUUUAGUCUCGUUCGAGCAAUUUCUCGUGUUUUGAUUUCGGCUUUGCAUCCAAAGUUAGCACCAGCUACUCCCCCCUCGCGGCCCCUCGCGAGCCAGGCCGGGCCAAGCGCGCAAACACUCCGGACCACCGUCGCCGCUCACUCUCAGGGGGCUCUCAUCGCGAGACCAAAGGGUUCGCCCAUAGGACACUCAAAACACUACGGCCCCCGCAUGUUUGCUCGGGGCCAGCCGGGGUCAAAGGUAAAUCAGGUCGGUUGACCCGGCGCGAGGUCGGCAACCCAGCGUGGGCACAUGUAUGGUGUUAUAUCUACAAGCGUACCAAUUACAACCUUUACACGAGGGGGCUCCCCCUCCCAAAAUGCUCUCAUAACCUCCAGGGCCAUGCCCGAACUUUUCUGUGCAGGGUAAGCAGUUGAGGCGGCGUGCAAUCAGUUGGACAUGUCGCUCAUCGCGUCCUCUAGGAUGCCUCCGGAGGCAUCACUGGCGUCACUGGCAUCGUCACCAUCAUCACCAUCACCGUCAUCAGCGCCAUGCUCAUUCACAACACCACCUUCAUCAGCAGCCACGAUCACGCCCUCGUCAUCAGAGGCGAAGGCCCUAACGAGGGCGUCCACGUUGUCCUCCACCCACUGCGCCAGAUCGCCCCGGAUGGCUAUGGGCACCGGUGCGAUGGAAGCGUCGAAAUCAAAGUGGGGAUCUUUGUCCUGAAGAUAACUGAAGACACAGGAGAAGGCACGCCCAAGCAGGGCUCGGCUCCUCUCCUCAACAAGCCAGCGGGCCCUGUCAGAGCGGGUCUCCAGCUGUGUUACCACAUCCGUCAAGAACCAGAGAUUGCCAGCAUAGUUGAUUACACGAGGCUCCGUAACAGCUGCCUCGCAGAUGUUGCCCAGGGCCGCAUUGGCCAUUUCCCUGAGCGUUCGGAGCAUGGGGCCAUGCACAUGCUCCAGUGUCUGCCGCUGAUGGAUCUCAUCCUCGUUCCGCCGCGCAACGGCCUCGGCGCCAUCAACCCUCUAUUGAAGAAGAAGCAGCUCGGCGCGAGAAGAGGCCAGCUCCACCUGUGCUGCACCAAGGGUGGCUGUGGAGGAAUCUGCAUGCCGCGUCACUUCAGUCAGCUUGGCCCUGAGGGCAGUGGUCCUGCCCUCAGCUUCGGCCCUGACCAGCUCCAACCUCUCUUCGUACUCGCGCUCAAGACCCAAGCGAGCUUCCGCCACACGGCGGUCGAUCUCCCCUUGGACUCGGGCCACCCGCGCGCCGACAUCAUCCUCCGCCUGGGUCACUAGGCGCUCCCUCGUCUCCAACCGCUCAAGGUCAAGGUUGCGUUCAGCAGCCUCCAGCAUCAGCGCCUCCUCGCACCUCAGGAGCUCUGCCUCAUCGACGGGUGCCCCCUUCAGCGACACAAGGGCAGCCUGGCGCAGCUCCACUUGCAGCUCCAGAGAGUUGCUCCAGGCUUGGAGCUCCCACACGCGCUCCUCCGCAGCCUCGCAUCGUCGGUCGGCCUCCCGGGCCUCUUCGACGGCUUGGGAGCAGGCCUUCCACGAGGCCGCCAGCGACGCUUCGGCCUUCGCGUUGUCGAGGUCACGUUGGUGACGCGCAAGACUGACGGCCACCUUCAGCCUGCGCCUUUCCUCGGUGAGGUGCAGACCUUCGGCUUCAAGGCGCGCAUCCUCGCCCGCGAGAUCCAUGCCAAGCUGACCCACUGCAUUUGCCGCCUUCUGAAAAAACUCUCGGCGGAGGGUGCUGCACUCUCGAGCAUGCCUGAGCAUGUCCUCCACGUCCUCCUCCGCCAUAGGCGGAGGCAGAGGGACCCGAGGCGGCACGCCCCCUCUCGGCAGGGGGCUGGGGGCUGGCGCCCCAGCGAUCGUCGGAUGGGCCCCGCCAGGGACCCAGGCCGGCGCUGGUCCAUCUCCUGAAGUGGGGCCCAAGAUCGAUCAGCCAGUCGCCAUCCACAAUCGGAGGAGGAGCACGGAGCAAGCUGGUUAUGCCCCAGGAGAGCUCGCGAAGGGGGGACAGCAGGCGCGCAGGCUCAAGGUACCCAGCGGGAUGGCCCGCCUCUCUAGUCGGCCCCGCGGCAGGGAUGGUGCUCGAGCUCGGGACGCUCAAGGUCAGCGAUGAAGGUGAGGCUUGGGGGAUGGCUCCUCGACCGUCUCCGCAAACUCGGCAGGAAGGGCCCUGAAAGGCUACAAUCAGCUGAAGGAACGGUAAAAUAAGGAACUGAGAGAGAAAAAGUACUUACUCAUCGAUGGCAAAAUACUUACAGCACUUCAACGGGCGACAGGGGCGGUCAUUGCCACCCGAGGCCUCCUCCCUCUUGCGGAGGGCCUCGAAGUCUAUGCGAAACCGGCCUAGGCCCCUGAUGCGAGGGCCAUCGCGUGGUGUAGAAGGAAGAUCAGGAUGACUUGCGCCAAGGGCGACAGACUGGGAGGCGUCGUAGGGCGCCGCCGCGUGAAGAUCAGUCUGGGCCUCAGGAGUCCCGACCUCGGGAGCCUCAGGUCGCGACUCCUCAUCCGCCACCACCCCAGGACACACUUCGGAAGAUGAUGCCUCAGGAGCCCCUCGUGGCGUCAGCAUCUCAACAUCAGACCCCUCGGCUCCCGGCGGUUCUCGCCUCCUUGCUUCAUCACCUGAGGCAGGACCGCCGUGAGCAACCGGAAGAGCGACCACAACAAUUGGGUUCUCGUGGGGCCCCAUGAGGCCGACCGGGCGCAGCUCCCAUUCGUCGAAGCUGGGCAUCUGCCUCACAAAGUCGGCCCUGCCCGAGCAAAGAUACAAGAGGGAGGCCCCAUGACGGAUGCUGCAUGGAGAAGGGUCGCCAGUCAAGACCCUCAGCACCGUCCUCAGCGCUUCGGGCACCAGAUCCUCCUCCUAGAGCCUCAUGCGGUCUUCGUGCACCGCGAAGGUCCACAUCCGACGGGAGUGGCGCUGGAGAGGAGCGAUGCGACAUUGAACGAACUCCUUCACCACCUUGGGCGCCGUCACACCGAGCUCCCUCAAACUCUCGAAGCGGCGCCAGAAGAAAGCAAGCCGGGGGCUCGUGUGCUUCUCAUGAUCCUAGCCUGAGUUGGGAAUAGCAGGCAAUGUUGGGUGCGAGAGCAGGGGGCUAGGCACCCCAACAUCCACGUACAACCACCGCUCUCAGAACCCGGUCACAAGAGGAGGAAGGCCGAAAUCGAUCCCUGAGGCAGCCGUCUCCGGCACGGAGAGGAAGCUCACGCACCCCGAGCAUUGAGUUGGGUCACUCGGGCGCAAGGAGAAGAAGUGGCGCAGGAGGGCAACGGAGGGAGGAAUGCCUACCAUGGCCUCGCAAACAAAGGCGAAGACAGCAAGGAGAGUAAUGGACUCAGGACCAAGGUGCAUCAUGUGGAUCUGGUAAUGGGAGAGCACCGCAUUGAAGAAAGCAGAAAAGGGGGGAACCAGACCCGCCCACAAGGUGUCGGCGAGAAAUCAGACCACCAUGACGACCCUGUCGAAGGAGGCGUGGGACGUGGGCCAAACCGUCGUCCUCCCGCACUCGUUGAAGAUGGAAGCAAGGGCGGAGCGGACCUUGUCCACGGCUUCGAUGUUGAGUAAGAUUGACUGAUCGACGGCGGGGGCGACUGCCGGGGGCGAGCGAGGCGAAGGCGCGGGCUUCUUCCCCUUUCCCUUCUUCGUUGGCGCCAUGGCAAUGGGAAGAGGGGGAGAGCUCGAGCUGGAUUGGAGGCGGAGGCUGGAGCUCUAGGAAGAAGGAAGGGCAGGGAGCGCGUGAACGGCGAAAGAGGAAUAACUGUGUGCAACCACGGGUCCGCCUAGUCGAGCGCGUAAUGAGGGGCGUGGGGAAACGGAGACGCCCACGUCCAAUCAACCGCCACGCGGCGCCCAAGGCCGCAGGCUUUUGGGGCCCGCGGCAAUUCACACUUGCCCCUUCUCUUCUCCGCUAAGCCAAGUCCAGGCGCGCCUUGGGCCUGGGGGCUACUGUCGGCGUUCUGGGAACGGGGGUCCCCAGACUUGCCUGCCUGCGGCCUGCGGCGUGGCUCAAGUGGUGGCAGAGUGCGGCCCAUAUUCAUCGACUCAAGCUCAAGACCCUCGCGAGGGGCUAAGCCUCGCAGGGAGGACGACAGGAAGCUUCCUCAGGAGGGGCCUCGCUAGGAAGGCUCGCGAGGAGGCGAAGAGAUCAAGGCGAGGGUACCUCGCGAGGUGCACAUGACGCAAGCCAUGACAAUCGAGACCAGGCGGGUGCCAGGCAGGCGCCAGGCGGGCGCCGGCCUGCGCAGUGUCCUUUUUUCCUCUUUGGUGCAAAGGGAGCAAGCUCAGACAAAGGCAUCAGACAAAGGCAACAAGCCAAGACCAGUAGAGCGGCAGGAUGGAGGUCACCGUGGAGCCCAAGACGGCAUCAUCGUCAGGGCCUUUGGUAGUCGAAGACCAACUUUAGUCAGGAUAAGUUGUACUAGAUGUUCCCCUUCAAAAUGGCCGUUGUUGGCGCCUUUCCCGCUCAAUAUUUGGGAAGAGGACCAAGGCCUCUAUAAAUAGGACUAGCCAUUCUCAAGGCAUGGGAUCGAGCAAUCGAACCUUAGCCAGAACCACCCACACCAGCACAAGAACACCCUCGCGAGGCUGUUCCUCCCUUGUAUUGUUCAUCAUCAGCCCGUGAGGCAAUCCACACACCACACACUGGAGUAGGGUAUUACACCACAAUGGUGGCCUGAACCAGUAUAAACUUCGUGUCCCUUGUGUUGAUUAUCUUGCUAGUCUAGAUUCUUAGCGAGGCUUUGGGACGUAGGUUUGUAGGGGAGAGAUCUCCGCGCGCACCCCAGAGUUCGAACCUCAAGGGUCUGCCGAAACACGAAAUCCGACAGCGCACAGUUAGGGGAAACACUUUCUUGAAAUUGUUAUUAGGGAUCAUCUUAUUUACUACCGUCGUUCUAAGAAAAUAAGAUGGAAAAACAUGAUAAACAUCACAUGCAAUCAAAUAGUGACAUGAUAUGGCCAAUAUCAUUUUGCUCCUUUGAUCUCCAUCUUUGGGGCGCCAUGAUCAUCAUCGUCACCAGCAUGACACCAUGAUCUCCAUCAUCAUGAUCUCCAUCAUCAUGUCUCCAUGAAGUUGUCUGGCCAACUAUUACUUCUACUACUAUGGCUAACGGUUUAGCGAAGAAGUAAAGUAAUUACAUAGUGUUAUUCAGUGACACGUAGGUCAUACAAUAAAUAAAGACAACUCCUAUGGCUCCUGCCGGUUGUCAUACUCAUCGACAUGCAAGUCGUGAUUCCUAUUACAAGAACAUGAUCAAUCUCAUAUAUCACAUAUAUUUCAUUCAUCACAUCCUUUUUGGCCAUAUCACAUCACAAGGCAUAUGCUGCAAAAACAAGUUAGACGUCCUCUAAUUGUUGUUACAUGUUUUUACGUGGCUGCUAUAGGGUUCUAGCAAGAACGUUUCUUACCUAUGCCAAAACCACAACGUGAUAUGCCAAUUUCUAUUUACCCUUCAUAAGGACCCUUUUCAUCGAAUCCGAUCCGACUAAGGUGGGAGAGACAGACACCCGCUAGCCACCUUAUGCAACUAGUGCAUGUCAGUCGGUGGAACCUGUCUCACGUAAGUGUACGUGUAAGGUCGGUCUGGGCCGCUUCAUCCCACAAUACCGCCGAAACAAGAUAAGACUAGUAGUGGCAAGUAAAUUGACAAAAUCUACGCCCACAACAAAAUUGUGUUCUACUCGUCCAUAGAAAGUACGCAUAGACCUAGCUCAUGAAGCCACUGUUGAGAUCGUUGCAAAAAAUAAAAAAUUUCUACGCAUCACCAAGAUCAAUCUAUGGAGCAACUAGCAACGAGAGAGAGGGGAGUGCAUCUUCAUACCCUUGAAGACCGCGAGAUGGAAGCGUUGCAAGAACGCGGAUGAGGGAGUCGUACUCGAAGCGAUUCAGAUCGUGGUGGAUUAUGAUCUUAGCGCUGAACAACGGCACCUCCGCGUUCAACACACGUGCAGCUCGGUGACGUCUCCCGCGCCUUGAUCCAGCAAGGAGGAGGGAUAGGUUGAGGAAGAGGGACACCAACAGCAGCACAACGGCGUGGUGGUGAUGGAGCGACAGUACUCUGGUAGGGCUUCGCCAAGCUCUUGCGGAGGAGGAGAGGUGUUGGGGAGGGGAGGGGCUGCGCCUUGGAUGUGGUGCUGCAGCCCUCCCCUCGCCCCUCUAUUUAUAGGAGGAGGGGGAAGGGGCCGGCACCCUCUAGAUGAGAUCUAGAGGGGGGCGGUGGCCAAGGGAGGGACUUGCCCCCCAAGCAAGGGGGCGCCCUCUUUAGGGUUUCCCCCCCCAACCCUAGGCGCAUGGGCCCAAGGGGGGGCUGGCGCCCAGACCUCUAAGGGCUGGUUCCCUUCCCUCUAUAGCCCACGAGGCCCUCCGGGAGAGGUGGACCCCCGGAAUCCUUCCGGUGGCCCCGGUACAAUACCGGUAUGCCACCGAACUUUUCCGGUGACCGUAUUACAACUUCCCAUAUAUAUAUCUUCACCUCCGGACCAUUCCGGAACUCCUCGUGACGUCCGGGAUCUCAUCCAGGACUCCAAACAACAUUCGGUAAUCACAUACAAGUCUUCCUAAUAACCCUAGCGUCAUCGAACCUUAAGUGUGUAGACCCUGCGGGUUCGGGAAUCACGCAGACAUGACAGAGACAACUCUCCGGCCAAUAACCAACAGCGGGAUCUGGAUACCCAUGUUGGCUCCCACAUGUUCCACGAUGAUCUCAUCGGAUGAACCACGACGUCGAGGAUUCAAGUAAUCCCAUAUACAAUUCCCUUUGUCAAUCGGUACGUUACUUGCCCGAGAUUCGAUUGUCAGUAUACCAAUACCUCGUUCAAUCUUGUUACCGGCAAGUCACUUUACUCAUUAUAUAAUGUGUGAUCCCGUGACUAACCUAUUAGUAACAUUGAGCUCAUUAUGAUGAUGCAUUACUGAGUGGGCCCAGAGAUACCUCUCCGUCAUACGGAGUGACAAAUUCUAGUCUCGAUUCGUGCCAACCCAAUAGACACUUUCGGGGAUACCUAUAGUGCACCUUUAUAGUCACCCAGUUACGUUGUGAUGUUUGGUACACCUAAAGCACUCCUAUGGUAUCUGGGAGUUACACAAUCUCAUGGUCUAAGGAACUGAUACUUGACAUUAGAAAAUCUUUAGCAAACGAACUACACGAUCUUAUGCUAUGCUUAGGAUUGGGUCUUGUCCAUCACAUCAUUCUCCUAAUGAUGUGAUCCUGUUAUCAAUGACAUCCAAUGUCCAUAGUCUGAAAACCAUGACCAUAUGUUGAUCAACAAGCUAGUCAACUAGAGGCUUACUACGGACAUGUUGUGGUCUAUGUAUUCACACAUGUAUCAUGGUUUUCGGUUAAUACAAUUAUAGCAUGAAUAAUAGACAAUUAUCAUGAACAAGGAAAUAUAAUAAUAAUCAUUUUAUUAUUGUCUCUAGGGCAUAUUUCCAACAAUUAUUACCUCUAGGGCAUAUUUCCUUCAGUAUCAACCCAUUCCCAGCUGGCAAGGGAUGGGUUGCCAUGCUUUAUGGUUCAGCGCGCGGUGACAAAGACCUCUUCGUGGACUACAUGAAGGUCGCCACAAGGUACACUAGCGUUCAAGGACUGGUGGAUGAAGCAGACGAAGUGAGGAAGAAGGCGACGAGUGAGGAGAAGCAAUGCAUGGACCAGUAGUAUGGAAACCGAGGUAAGGGGAUCCUACUCAUAGAUAUACUGCUAUGGGCAAUGAAAGAGGCGGGCUCCGCCAAUGUUGGGCAGAGGCAGCGGUGGGCAGACCACCACUACAUCACUCCAGCACAAUCUACGGCUGAAGCAAGCGCAAACAAGCACCAAGACAAGGACGACAACCUCCAGAUCAUCACACCACCAGCACUGCAGGCUCGCCGCUGCCCUCCUCCCAUCAUCUUCAUCGAUGAAGACGAAGAUGAAGAAGAACAGGAGGUGCAGAUGCUGCCAAAUCAUCCUACCGAAGUUAAGCAGGAGGUACAAUGCUCGAGCCGCUUACCAGGGUAGGCGCCUAACUGAAACUGAAUGUGAAACUAUUCAGUUUCACAAUCAGUUUCGUCAGUCUUAUUCAGUGUUGGCUAGUUUCAGUUAUCCCCAAACUAUUUGGUGCUAUCUAUCUAUGUAAUGCUAUCUAUGUUGCAUCCUCAGACAAUUUGUGUUAUCUAUGCUACCUCCUAUGUAAUGCAAGUUUCAGUUUCAUUUUCAGUUUCAGUGUUGUUUGGUGUUACCAGAUUCAAGUGUAAGUAUUAGCAACAACUAGGUAGCAGCAAAAAAUUGCAGAUGGAGAUAUAACAACAUCUGGAUAAUAUGGUUCAGGGGCAUUACAAAUAGGAUUAUCUUAGAGCAUUACAGAUCAGGGGCAUUAUAGCACCCAACGACAUAAGCAAAAUGAUCUGAAACCAUAGGCAGUUAAUAGGGAGUUCAUAUUAAUACUAAGAUGCAUAUCUGCAUCAGAUUCUAGUACUAGGCCAGUUAUAUAUAUAGGCAUCAUAUUCACUUACCAACCAUAGGUACCACUUCACUCCUCCAUGACCAGCCUUCAAGAUCUCAUCAAUGAUAUGCUCCAGCUUCUUCUUCUCUUCUUUAAGGAGGUCUCUCUCCACUAGUAUCUCCUUCAUGGCUUUCCUGGUGUUUUGAAUGAUAUCAGCUUGACUCUGUAGGAUGCACCUUUGUUCUUUCUUGAGCUUAAGCUUCUCCAUUUGAACCUCAAUCUUUGCCUGCUCCUCAAGCUGACGCUUCUUCUCCUUAAGUUCAUUGAUUGCCUGGCUUGUGUAAUCCAUGUCAUGGGAUUUCUACCCAUCCUGGUAAUCAAACAGCUUGGAUACAUCAUCCACAAGCUGACUGUACUGAUUGCCAAGAGAAUCCAGCUCCUUGUUCAGUUUCUCAACCUCUAUCUCAUGAGCCUCUUUGUCUUGGACUCUACCAAGGUUGUCCUUAUCAUACAUAUCCCAGAGCUUGGUUAAGCACCUUUGCAAAAUUACAGGCCAAGGGGCAUCUACCCACUCUAAAGCACCACAGUUCACACCAUCUUGAAAAUUCAGUUAAAUUUAUAGUGAGCUUUAUUCUUCAUUAACAAACAUAUUCACAAUAACAAAUCAUAAACAAUAGUCAUAUAUGUAGCUACACUACACUAGCUAACUCCAUACUACAAAAUAUAAAUCAGUGCUAUGUUUCCAUUGCUCUUUGCUGCUCUUUGCUACAAGUACAUAAUUUGGACAUAGCAAUGUUCUUAUAGUUAAGCAAAAAUGAGAAAAGCAGCAGCAUUAUUCAGAAAAGCACAAAAUGAAUCAAUCACAGCCAUGAAAACUUGGUUCAUUACCUCAGUUGCACAUCCUAUGAAUCUCCUGCCAGUGUCAGUGCCUUCAAAUGCCACAAAUUUGCCUGCCCUCUGCCUGUGCAGGAUGCACCCACGGUCAGAUUCAAUCACAAGCCCAGAAAAGAUUGGAUCUAUCACAGUAUUUGGUGUUUGCUGUAGUAGGAAACACAUAUAUAUCAACUACAGCUCACAUAUAUGAACUUAAAUGGAGAAAUCCCAAUCCUUCUUCAAAUCCUAACCCUAACCCUAGCUGAUGGGAGGAGAGAUUGAGCUGACUUACAAAAUACUCCAUCUACAUGCUAUUGAAGUCGCUCAUGUACUUGUCAUCGUCAGAGGUCUCGUUGCUGUUAGGCCACGCAUGGUCGCGGCGUCGCCGAAGUGCGAGAAGAAGAAGAGAAGCAGUGGAGAGCAGAGGAGAAGAGUGAGUGAGCGAGUGAGCUCGGUGGAGAGUGAGGUGGGGAGGACGAUGAGCUAGCCAGUUGGCCAGGUUAGUCCUGGUCCGACUGGGCCCGACCGACGCGCGCGGCUAACGGGUGGCAGGCGAGCGCCGUUAGUUGUUAGCACGGCCGCCGUCCUGACCGGUGGGCCAGAUCUGUCAAAAAGUCAUUUAAAACACUUCAAUCUGUCAUCAACUCGAUCUGGUAGUUUUUUGUCAUGAAAUCAGCGCUAAACUGGAGUUUUUGGUCAGUUUUCAAAAUGUGGUAGUUCUGUGGGACGAUUACGUGAAAUGUGGUAGUUUUUUGUCAAUUACUAUGGCAUGGCGGGCGCCGCACCGUGCGCUCUUGGAUGGAGCCGCGCUGCUAGGCAAAGGGAUCCAACGCGUAGGAAGGGGCGAGCGCGGCGGCCUGAGCUGUCCGGCCAGGGUUAAUCAAAUAUUUCCCGGGCUUGGUAGGUAGGCAUAGUAGUGCCGCUGCUCAUGCUGCUCGGACCCCAAACGAACAAAAUCCGGACCAAAUGGUAUGUCUGUUUGGGGUCGUGCGCUGGAGUUCUCCUAAGAAGUAUUCCUUGCAAAGAUCACUCACACCUUCUCAGGUUUGCGAUAAGUGGACAAGUGGCGUGUUGCAUGUGCGCCACUUGUCGCAACCGGGGAGGUUUCCCCCUUUUUGUAGAUUCAUUUAUUCAAAAUGUUUUAUCUCUUAAACUGUGCGUCCAAAUCUCGAACCGUUUUCACCGUUGUACUCCUCGCGUUGAGAUCUUCAAAACUAGAUCCCAUGUUGAUAGGUUUUGACGAAAAAAAUUCACUUAAAAAACUGAUGAAAAAACCGAACCGGGAGCACGGGGUUUUUCCCUUUCUGAAAGAGGCACGCCGGUGCCUCCCACAAAAUCACAACCGUGCCUCUCGCAGAAGCAAAACCGUGCCUCUCGCAGAAGCAAAAAAAAAAGAGAAAACACGUUUUUUUGUUUCCGAGGAGGCACUGUCGUGCCUCUGGCGAAAGCAUAACCAUGCCUCUCGCAGAAGCAAAACCGCGUCUCUCGUGAAAGAAAAAAACAGAAAACACGUUUUUUCCGUUUUCGAGAGGCACGGUCGUGCCUCUCGGGAAAGCACAACGGUGCCUCUCACGGAAGCAAAACCGUGCCUCUCUCGGAACAAAAAAAACAGAAAACCCGACUUUUUUCCGUUUCCGAGAGGCACGGCCGUGCCUCUCGCGAAAGCACAACCGUGCCUCUCGCGAAAGGAAAAAAACAGAAAACAUGUUUUCUUUUUGUUUCUGAGAGUCAUGGCCGUGACUCUCGCGGAAGCAAAACUAUGCCUCUCGCGGAAGCAAAACCAUGACUCUCGUGAAAUUAAAGAAAACACAUUUUUUCACACAAAAAUGUUUUUUUAAUCCAAAAGUUAAGGAAGAACGGCGGAAAACCGAAACGUCGAAAAAAUGUUUCAAAAGCCGAAAACGCGUGCAGAAAAAUAAAAUAAAAAAUCCAGAGGGAGCACCCAGAGCGCGACAGGUGGUGGGAGGCUGAGAGCACGCCAAGUGGACCUCAUCGUUGUGAGCCUCCCGAAGGAGCGCUCAUUAACUAGUUGCUCUCUUGGAUGCCACGCGCCCCACGUGACGCAAUGGGCUUGAUUCCCCACAAUCCCUCCUUUCUGCAACAAGUCUUUUGUUGCAAAAAAAGUUAAGUAUAUAAGGACUUCAGUUACAAAAAUAAUUAAAUUGCGGCAAGGCCUUUGUUCAAAAAAAAAAUUGUAACAAGAUCUCUAUUGCAAAAAAAUGCAACAUGACCUCUAUUGCAAAAAAAAAGUAACGUUACCUAUAUUUUUGCAAAUUUUCUGCAAUACAAGCCAUGUUGCAGAAAAUUACCGCAACACAACCUUUGUUGCAACGCUAGAGGAUGACGCUCGCCCACUCAGUUCGUCAAGUCCAUGUCUCGUGAUGUGGCGGAUCUUUUUAUAAGAUCCGCCGGCUGACGCGUAGCAGCGCCAUUUCCCAACACAUAGUAAUAUUUAUUUAUUUCUAAUGUCAGGCGCGGACGCACUGACCACCGUAUAAAUCGUUGCACGAAUCUCUGAAUAGCCUAAACUUCCACGUCGGCUCGGAUGGCGAACACUCCACCCACUAGCCUACUCCGCCCUGUUUUCUCCCGUACUAAUCACUCCCACACAUAAUUUCUAACCAGUAUGGCUAGAUCUCAGUCAAGUGACAUAUAUAUAAAAAGAAAAAAGAAAAAAAAUUCUAUGAAUCUUCAUCCAAGAUCAAAGGAAUAUAGCAUUUCUCACAAAAAAGGAAUAUAGCACUGACUAAGACAUCUCAGUUUAGCAAAAAAAUUUCUCGCCAUUAGUCUAAUUUGAUGGUGGUUGUGACAUGGUGCUUGGGUAACAUUGCGGUUCUUGGUGUCGCCGGCACACAGGCAGCAAAUAUCAUAGCGUUUGUGAGCUAGGGGUUUUGAUGAUCACAUUCGCCGUGGUGGGGGACUGCCGCCAUAGGUUGUUAGGUUUUUCUGUUGAUACGGGUGAGCACCAUCACCCACAUUGGAGAUCAACAUUCAGGGCAUCUUGGCAGCGAUGGAAAAUAUGCCUUCAUUAGGGGCCCACUAAUACAUCUCCAACGUAUCUAUAAUUUUUUAUUGUUCCAUGAUGUUAUAUUAUCAUUCUUGGAUAUUUUACAAUCAUUUUAUAGUCAUUUUAUAUCAUUUUUUGGUACUAACCUAUUGACAUAGUGCCCAGUGUUAGUUGUUGUUUUCUGCAUGUUUUUACAUCGCAGGAAAUCAAUAUCAAAAAGAGUCCAAACGCAGCGAAACUCUUGGAGGAUUUUUUUGGGCCAGAAGAAAUCCAGUGGGCCAAGAAAGCACUUGAGAGGUGGCUCGAGGGGAGCAACACUCACCAAGGCGCGCCAGGAGGCCCAGGCGCACCCUGGUGGGUUGUGCCCACCUCGAGUGCCCCCUAAACCACCUCUUUGCUCUAUAAAUACCCCAAUAUUCCAGAAACCCUAAGGAAGUCGACGAAAAUCAAUUACAGCUGACGCAAAGUCUAGAACCACCAGAUCCAAUCUAGACACCAUCAUGGAGGGGUUCACCACUUCCAUCGGUGCCUCUCCGAUGAUGCGUGAGUAGUUCUUUGUAGACCUACGGGUCUGUAGUUAGUAGCUAGAUAGCUUCCUCUCUCUCACUUGAUUAUCAAUAUAAUGGUCUCUUGGAGAUCCAUAUGAUGUAAGCCUUUUUGCGGUGUGUUUGUUGGGAUCCGAUGAACUUUGAGUUUAUGAUCAGAUCUAUGUUUUUAUCCAUGAAGUCUAUUUGAGUCUUUUUUUAUCUCUUAUAUGCAUGAUUGCCUAUAGCUCGUAUUUCUUCUCCGAUAUUUGGGUUUUGUUUUGCCAACUUGAUCUAUUUAUCUUGCAAUGGGAAGAGGAGCUUUGUAGUGGGUUUGAUCUUACGAUGCUUGAUCCCAGUGACAGAAGGGGAACCGACACGUAUGUAUCGUUGCUACUAAGGAUAACAAGAUGGGAUCUAUAUCUUGAUAAUAGAUAAAUGGAUCUUGUCUACAUCAUGUCAUCGUUCUUAUUGCAUUACUCCGUUUUCCAUGAACUUAAUACACUAGAUGCAUGCUGGAUAGCGGUCGAUGUGUGGAGUAAUAGUAGUAAAUGCAGGCAGGAGUCGGUCUACUAAUCUUGAACGUGAUGCUUAUAUAAUGAUCAUUGCCUAGAUAUUGUCAUGAUUAUUUGAAGUUCUAUCAAUUGCCCAACAGUAAUUGUUUUCCCACCAUUUGCUAUUUUUCUCAAGAGAAGCCACUAGUGAAACCUACGGCCCUCGAGUCUAUUUUCAUCAUAUUUGCCUUUGAGAUCUUUUUUCCUUUGCAUUUAUUUUCAAAUCUAUUAAACCAAAAAUACAAAAAUACCUUUCUGCAAUUUAUUUGUUCCGCGAUCUAUUUAUCCUAUCUACCACUUUUACCUCAUGUUUUUUGCCUAUCUUGAGAUGCCGUAGACGAAAGGGAUUGACAACCCCUUUAACACGUCGGGUUGCAAGUAUUUGUUAUUUGUGUGCAGGUGUUGUUUACGUGGUAUGAGGAGGUUCUCCUACUGGUUCGAUAACCUUGGUAUCAUCACUGAGGGAAAUACCUACUGUCGCUAUAAUGCAUCAUCCCUUCCUCUUUGGGGGGAUACCGACAUAGUUCUAGCAGACAUCAAAAGGAAUUUCUGGCGCCGUUGCUGGGGAACAUCUUUAACAUCAACCAGGUUCCUAAUCACAAAUCUCAUCUCCUCGCAAUUUACAUUAUUUCCCAUUUGCCUCUUGUGUUCCUCUCCCCCAGUUCACAAAAAAUGGCCAUUUUAUUCGCCCUAUUUUUCGUUCGUCGUUUUUUCGUCAGAUCUCAUGUUUGCUUGUGUUGCCAUGCGCCUUCUAUUUUCUUGCAUCUGUGCUUGCUAAAAAUAUUUUGAUAUGGAUCCUCAUCCCCUUACUAAUGUUUUCAAAAUAUCCAGUUAUGAUGAACCAAUUGCUAGUGAUUCUAGUGCCCUAGAUUAUCUAUAUGAAGUUUUGCUUGAGAUUCGAGAUCUGAAAAUUGUGAUGAAGAAAUUUAUGAAGUGAUUCAUGAUAGCUCCUUGAAUGAAAAGCAUGAUUGCAAUUAUUUUAUUAUAAAUUCUAUUAAUUUCAAUUGUGUUAGUAAUAUGCGAAACGCCAAGCUUCGGGAUGCUAGUUUUGCUAUGUACGCUACUUAUUGCAAUGCUCAUGAUUGGGGUGAUAGUGUUUCUUAUGAUCUUGAAAAUUCAUUUAAGCCUCAUGAUGAAUAUGUUUGUGAUAAUAUUGAAAGUGGGUUUGGAAGAGUGUAAACUUUAGGUAAUAGUGAUCCCACUACCUUGGAGAAUGAUCAAUCUUAUGAAAUUUUUGGUAAAAGUGGGUUUGGAGAGGUCGUGACUUUAGUUGAUGGUAAUCCCACUAUUUUGAAGAGUUCAACUUUGCAUGCAUGUGGAUCAUGUCGAGAAUAUUUUAUGUGAUAGCUAUAUUGUCGAAUUUGAUUAUGAUCCUACAUGUAAUUAUUAUGAGAGAGUAAAAUAUGGUUGUAGAAUUUUUCAUGUUACUAAAUUACCUCUCUUCAUGUUGAGAUUGUUAUUGUUUCUUGAUUCUUCCUUGCAUAUGCUAGAUUUUGCUUGCCUUCAUAAUUUGUUUUCCUAUAAAAUGCCUAUGCAUAGGAAGUAUGUUAGACUUAAAUGUGGUUGUCACGUGUUUUAUGAUGCUCUCUUUUGCUUCAACUCUUAUCUUUCAUGUGAGCAUCGAUAAAUCUUAUGCCUAGCUAGGGGCGUAAAACGAUAGGGCUUGUUGGGAGGCAACCCAAUGAAUAAAAUUUAUUUUUGCUUUUUGAUUUCUGUUCUUGUGUGUUAGAACAAUUAUACUACUGUUAUGAUUGUGUUUUUUGUGUUUUAAUAAGUGUUUGUGCCAACCAAGGCCUUUGGGAUGAUUUGGGUGAAAGUUGAUUUGAUCUUGCUGAAAGGCUGGAUUAGUAAUUUGAUCUGCGGGGCACAACUUCUUUGACCCAAUCCUGGAUAUGGAAGAGGUACUGGAGUUUGUUUCUCCUAGUCAUUCUGCGAUAGAAUGGCUUGACGGACCACAAGAGUAUUAGGCAUCGAUAAACGAACGCACGCAUACUCUUGACUAUCAAUUGAUAGACGAGGGUCAGAAUGCAACUAAAGAGAUCAACUCAAAGGAUCAUAUAAUUUUCUGAGUUGUGGACGCAUAGAUUAGUAUGUCGAACCAAGUUCAACAUGUUUCUUCCGGAUAACCCAUGCAGAAAGGUAGAACUGGCAGAGUCACGAUUUAUGAAUGGAGAACUCCUCAAGAGUACUCUAAUUGUGAUCUUUUGAUCCAAUAAACAUCUGCCAUAAGCGGUUCAUAGUAUUUGGAAGAAGGAAAUACCACGGACCUCGAGGACUAUCGCAAAGUUACUAAUAUCCUGAAGGAACUAGCAAACACUAUCAACAUGAAGUAAGUAGAGUGAAUCUCGGGUUCAAAGCUCAAGGAGUAGAAUACCUACUACUAAGUAGCAUCACGGAAUGCUUUCGAGAAUGAUGGCCAGAAUCCUCACACUGGGAGCACAAAUCAUGGCUAAAUUACUAGAUGAUCCCCUAAGACACCUAGGGUCAUAAUAAUAUCUCCAACAUAUAUGUCAAGGUAACGGAGUACCUCAACUUACUGAUUAGUGUGGUUAAUCUGGCCCAUGGGAACAUUGAAACGGGAAGAAAGGAUUUGCAAAUGCAUCAGACUACUUAGAAACAUGGGAUGACUCGGACAGCAUAACGGCUGUAAAUGCUCAGAAAAGAUUUGAGACAUUCACAAAAAUGGUGGCAUAACCACUCAGAAGCACAAUAUCAAGGUUUCGAGAUCAACAAUUAACAUACAGAGGUAGAAACUGAACUGAGGCUUAAAUCCAACAAACUUAUAAGUCUACUGAUUAGUAACACGUGAUCCUAAUAGAAAGAAGAGAUAGCCUAGUUCUUAAUCCCCGUAGAAGAGAAGAUGACUCAGAUCAGAAGGGCAUAAGGUAUAAGGAAUAAAAAGAGCCUUACGUUCCAUCCCACAAUCAAUUCCCUUAUAUAACUAAAGAAUUUCUAGACUCAACUUCGACCAGUUUGGCUUGGUAAUCCUACAGGCAGUCAAGCUCUGAUACCAACGCUGUCAGGACCCCGACUCAAUGCCACAUCGAUCUAGCAUGUAACACCUCAUAUCACUUUGCGGCCUCACGCACGGUAUUCCCACGGGUGUCGCCUUACCUUAGCCCGGGACCGUUUGCGCCUUUUGGCACACGUAUAUGACGGUGUCGCUAGCAUCCAUAUGAUAAGGAGCCCAGGCUGACAUGGCUAGUCGUAAACCCAAAGUGGCACAGACUUACAGGGACAGGCAUCCAUGACCCAACAUCGAACGUGUCGGUCAUCAGCGAGUGAAUCCAGGCUGUAGCACUGGGCUAGCAGGACUCCGGUGAACCGGGCUGUAGCGGGCUAACAGGACUCCAGUAUUCAUCGCGUGACAUUUCCCCGAAGGGACAGACACAGGAACGAAGAAGGACACAUGCCGGCCAGCCUAAGUGUUCCGGAGCAGUAGCAAGCUACCAUGGCUCAGUGGAAACACUAGGAGACAUUUCCCGGUAAGAGAGGCUACUAAAGAUAAACAACUAGAUGGUCAGAUCCCACACAUACCAAGCAUUUCAAUAACACACACACAAUAUGCUCGAUAUGUGCAAAUACAACAUGGCAUCACAACAUGACUCUACGACUCAAGUAAUUUAUUCAAUAGGCUCCGAGGAGCGAGGUAUUACAAACAGGGGUCUCACGACCCAACAUUCAGAGCAUACAAGUCAAAACACAAGCGGAAGCUAUCAUGUCUGAGUACAGACAUCUAGAAAUGAAAAAGGCUGAGAAGCUUGACUAUCUACCAGAUCCUGUCGAGGCACAAGAUCGUAGCUGAGGUAACAAGCUAAACGUCGAAGACCACGCGGAAAUACUAGUGAGACUGAAGUCUCUCUGCAAAAACACAAAAUAGGCAAACAUGAGUACAAAUGUACCCAGCAAGACUUACAUCAGAACUAUCUACAUAUGCAUCAUUAUCAACAAAGGGAUGGUGGGGUUUAACUGCAGCAAGCCAGCUUUGACUCGGUGGCUAUCCUGAACUACGACUGCGAGUAACUUUUUUGAGGUGGCGCACACGAGUCCACAUAUUCACCAUAUCAAUACACCACUAUGGAUCCGCUCCCGUCUCCCUACGAGAACGCCAUCCAUAGCACUCACGCUUAUCUUGCGUAUUUUAAAGUAUCCACUUUCACUUGUCUAUGAACUGAUAUAAGCAACCCAGAAGUCCUUUUCCGCGGACACGGCUAUUCGAAUAGAUGAUGUUAACCCUGCAGGGGUGUACUUCUUCAUACAUGUUUCCACCACUUAGCGUCUGCACACGACAUGUGCUCGGCAGACUUCAAGCGAAAGCCGACGUGGGUGUAGACCACGGCCUACCUAAACACUCAAGUCUCUAGUCCAGGUUUAUCGCCUAUUUGGGUUCCAUCCAUGAGGAGAUCCGGCCGGAGUUUCGCUCACAGCCCCAAACGAUGUGAACAGGGUUCCCGAGAUACCAAACGGGCAUCCGGUACACCGUGCCACGUACCUACCGCAUCACAGCCCACCCCUACGGUCAGCGCUGUCCACGGCCUCCAGUAAGCUACAAACACCAGAAACUACUUGCAACUCCUGGACAGAGGACUAGGGUGAAUAAGAAGUCGAGCGGGGUCAUAUUUCAAGGCCCAAUGUAUGGUAGUAGCUGAAUCAUGGAUCACAAACGCAGAACUCAGUUCCUGAGGACGGCUGCAAUGAGACAACCCACCAUGUACUCCUACAUGGCCUCUCACCGCUACCUUUACCAAAUCGUGUUCACAUACUUAGCUCACACACAGUAGGACAUGUUCACACACCUCUAAUUCAUCCUCGAUGAAUCAGACCUGACUCAACUCUAAGCAGUAGCAGGCAUGACAAACAAACAUGAAUGAGUAGGCACAACAGGGCUCAAACAACUCCUACUCAUGCUAGUGGGUUUCAUCUAUUUACUGUGGCAAUGACAGGUCAUGCAAAGGAUAAAGGGGUUCAGCUACCGCAGCAUGUAACAGUUGAAUCGGUGUUGUCCUAAUGCAGUAAAAGAGAGCAGGAGCGAGAGAGUGGGAUUGUAUCGGAAUGAACAAGGGGGUUUUGCUUGCCUGGCACUUCUGAAGAUAACAUUGAGUCUUCAUCAGUGUCAGCGAUCACAUCAUCGGGUAUCACGUCUAUCGAGAGGGGACAAAUACCGGCAACACAAAAGGGAACACAAUCAAUGCAAUGCACAAUAUGAUGCAUGAUCAUGACAUGGCAAAAUGAAUGUGUUUGAGCUAAUGCAACUAGCAACAGAUUAAAUGAAGUUGGUUCGAAUACAAGAUUCAAAUUCAAACUCCAUAUGUGAUUAUUCAAAUGCCAUUUACUUCAUUUGCCCUAAACAGUAGUGAUAAGUUGUUCUAACAUGCAUGAAAAUGGUACAGAUGCAUUCCUUGAAUUUUUCUGAUAAUUUUUCAUAUAUAAAUUAUUUAAUUUGGAGUUAUGGUUAAUUUUCUAUGAUUUUUAGAAGUUUUAGGCAUUUUCUGGAAUUUCCUGGAUAUUAAUAAAUCCAGUAAUUGAAUUAAUGCGCCAGCCUGACGUCAUCAUGACGUCAGCAGGUCAACUGGGCGCCUCCAGGUCAAACCUGACACUGGGACCCACAUGUCAGUGUGAUUAGCUUAACUAAAAUUAAUUAAAACUAAUCCUAAUAGUCAACAGGGCUGGGCCCCACCUGUCAUUGACUCAGGAGAGUCAACCGGGGCCCACCCGUGGUCAAAGUCAAAGUCGGCUGCCGGCGUUUAGCCGCCGGCGAGCCCGACGCGGCGGCGAGAGUGGUUUUGGCCACUCCGGCGACCAAAUGGGCCGCAGAGGGCAUCUAGGAGGAUCUGGGGACGAGCCGAAGCUCCUGGUGGAGUCAGUUGCGCUCGGGGCGGCUGGAAUCGGUGCCGACGGCGAGCGAGGCGGCGCCGGAGCUCGGGUGUGCUCGGUUUCGGUGUUACACGGCACGGCGGGCGCGGCCGAUGGGCUCUACGGGAUGCUGGGGUCACCAGGAAUACCCGGAGGCAACGAGCGCAGGCGGAGAAGCUCGGGAGCACGGAGCUCACCGGCCAUGGCGGACGGCGGCUUCGGGUGCUCGUGGGGCGAUGGCUACAGGGCGCAAUCGAAGGGGGAAAGAGGGAGGGGAGGCGUAGGAGCUCACAGCGGUGCCGCAGGGAUGGUUGGCCGGCUCGGGGGCGCGCCAGAGUGGCCGAAUCGACGGAGAAGCUCCUCGGCGGCCGGCGAGGGGAAAACGUCGGGGGUGGCGUUCCGGGGCUCUUCUGGUCGCGUGACACGACGAGGAGGUCGAGGGAGGACCGGCGGAGCUUCCUGGGGCGUCGGCGAGGCUAGGGGUGGCCGGUGGCCAUGGGUACGGCGACNNNNNNNNNNGAAAUAAAUAUGGGUGCUUUCUGAAUUAUUCCAGUGACCCUUAUCAAUUUCCAACAUUUAUUUGAGCAUUUAAAAUAUUUAUAGUAUUUAAAUGCCCAAAGUCAAAUACAAUAUGAUUUAAUUCAAAAAUCCAAAAAUGACCUAAGGAUAUAUUCAUCAUUUUUGGCAGAGGUUUCCACCUUAACCAGAAAUCAUGAACUUUUCUUAGGGGCCUUUUGGGUUUAUUGAAAAGAUUUUAACUUACCCUAGUUGAGUUGAUUUAAUGCUAGGGUUUGAACAUCCCCAUUUCAAUUUUAGGCAAAAUUUAAACAUGAUGCAACACAUGACUAGCUAGCUCAGAGCAUUACCAGAAGCUAGGGAUGUGACAACUCACCCCCACUAAACAAGAAUCUCGUCUCGAGAUUCAAGCGUAGGGUAAGGUGAAAGGUAAGCGCAACUAGUAUAAUCUUCACGAUCCAGGGUGCACUUCAAAUGAACGUUGAUUUGAACCCAUCAUUGUCUUGUCGUCUUGCUCUGAGAACUUCAGCUAAUCAUGACAAGAAGAGGAAAGGAAAACUCUAGAACAAUCGAUCUUCGAGAAGACCGAACAACUUAGGAUCAACUCAUGGGAUGAGAUAUAGCAACAUCUCUUGAGCUGAGAGACGAAGCACAGAUCCGAAGAAAUGGAGUAAGACAAAUGACGAGGGUUCGCUAAGUAGACAACAAUUCCAGACUUAAGAAUGUGGUGAUCGGUUGUCAACGUAGCGAGGAGUUGAGUUGACAUGGCACCAUAAUGAUGCACCUUAGGGAAGGUGACUCGAAGAUAAAUCCCCUUAAGUGGCAAGAAGAAUUACUUUUGAUACCGAGAUCAUUGAAACUCUUUAUACCAGCCUAAGGCAAUUCUUGAGUGACCGUUUGGAGGGGUUCGGUAGAAUGGCAUACUCGGACUUGGAUGAUGUGGAUUACCUUGUUGAAGACAACGCAAUGGAUGAAUUUGCUUAUCACCGGAAAUGGAAGAGACCCAUGGUAGAAUGACACAUUGACGGUGCAAGCUGGGAACAAAAUGCAAAUGCUGGGAAUGAUUCUGGUAACUGGGGAAGAACCCAACAAUAGAGAAUGAAUUCACUGUGGAAGUGGUUAUAGCAUAACCGACGAGACUAGGAGCAAUCCCGGUUAGUGCCGGCGAUAAUACCUAGCGCUUGUGCGUGCUCUCAAGAACUUGAGCAUUUCCAUAUUCAUCAAGGUUUUACCAACAUCCGUGUCAAGGAUCCUGGCAACACAACUUGCUACCAUGAUGAAUGGUGAUGGAGGAUGCAGAUGCAAAGGAAGAUAACACCUUCUCAGAUUUCACCCUUGGCGGGGCCAAGGAAAUAAAAUCUGGAUGAUCGACCGAGAGACAUUUAGCACUCCGCUUCUAAUGUUCUCCUUGACGUGCUAGUGUAUCCCAUUCAUAGAUAUGGUUUGAUAACUAGAACAUCAAGUAACAGGUCGGACUUCGGGAACACAAAAAUCCAUAGGGGCAACUAGGAAGUAAACCCUACGAAAUCCUUAUGGGGAGGUGGCCAACUUCAUCAAUCAAGAUAUUAUAAUAAUAGGUCUACCGGAUGGGUGUGUUGGCCACGACAUCCACCUUGCCGGUUAUUGAGAGACCAAUAUUAUAAUUCUUGGGAAAUGUUCCAACCAUCACAUCUGCCUGAGAUUCAGAUCUGGUUGGUGUCAGGAUAUCCCAGACUCAUCAAGUCUAGAAAGAAAAAUGAAAGUUUGCAACACAAAUCGACGAGAUGACGUUGCGAGAUUCUCGGGAAAUGAACUACGAUAGUAAGCUCCAAAACAUGAGCUGGUUCUGCUACAAACAUGUGAACACGUUGUCCCAGACAAGCAUGACCACAAAGUAGUCUUAUAAUAAAACACUACCGAGUUCAGGAGGGGGAACCAUCAGCGAGGAUAUCGAAGUUUUGUACAAAUCCGUCCGGUACCUUCGGGACUAGCACUUAGAACUUAUUAAUCUUGAACAAAUCAAUCAGUGGCUUGGUGUGCUAGGGACCCAUAUAGAAUGGAGGUUGCAAGUCUCCGAACCACAGAAUACUUCGCACGUAUGCAUGACUGAUUUGGGAUGAUUCCAAAGGAAACAACAUUGACUUUCUCGAAUCCACGGCGGCAACUUGCAUCAAAUGCACAUGGACUGGAGGAAGUCACUUCUUACAUUCGAACAUAUGCUUCAUGAACUAGCAUGAAGAAAUGCUUUCAAAAGUUUCCAACACUAACUUAAUGUUCAACAAAUCAUGGAGGGAAUAAGGAUGUUGUCAAUGGGCUCAACAACAAUUCAUCUAGGUUUCCUUUUAAAAGGAAUUCCAUAGUUGAGUGAACACGGUGAUAGCAUUGGUCAGACCAAAGAUGUAAUGGUGUAUGCUCGAGGGAUCAACCACGAAUAAGACAACAUUACGAGCAUCGUUGGUACUGAUUUGAUUUGACGAUAGCCCACACUCAAAUCAAAGGAUUGAUAAGACAAUAGGUCCAACAACUGAUCACAAGGACCAAUCGAUGAAGAUAUCAUCUUUCUUCAACACACACUACACAAGAAUAUCCCUUUGGAACGAACUAAGUCAGGCAAGCUUUUAUCUUCCAACUCUCCAAGUUGUUGUCUAGCUUAACCAACUAGCUCAGGGAUAUCCAACACAGAUUCUUGGAGAAAGGGUGGUUCACAAGAAACCAACUUGAUCACGAGCUCAACAUAACGGUCAGGUGACGACCUGGUAAUACUUCCGAGAAGAUCUUCAGAAAUCACGAACCACCGAUAUGUUACUAAGCUCGAGAACAAUCUUGCUUUUCAGGGCAAGAUGAUAUAAUCAAAUGAGCGAGGACUUGACAAAAUCCUAACUCAUCAAUCAAAGAGUGCACCAGGAAAUAAGGACUAGGUAGCACGAUCAAUCUUAGAAUGGUGAUUCAAUAACCAACAUACUAAGAAUAAGAUUAUUGUCCAUUAACUACCAAGCAAUGGGGUUGCUAGGAGUAUUGAGUUCACACAUCAUGAUUCACUUGUCGGCACUCCGGCUGCAACAACACGGAACCGAGGAAUGAACAAUGAUGGCAAGAAGUAUCACUGUACCAAGAGUUCAUAGGAUGGUGUGCAAUUCCUAUAACAAUCCCGAUAUAAAGAUGGUAAUACUUUAGGGUAGAACAGGAUCAAAGGCUGGAUUAGUAAUUUGAUCUGCGGGGCACAACUUCUUUGACCCAAUCCUGGAUAUGGAAGAGGUACUGGAGUUUGUUUCUCCUAGUCAUUCUGCGAUAGAAUGGCUUGACGGACCACAAGAGUAUUAGGCAUCGAUAAACGAACGCACGCAUACUCUUGACUAUCAAUUGAUAGACGAGGGUCAGAAUGCAACUAAAGAGAUCAACUCAAAGGAUCAUAUAAUUUUCUGAGUUGUGGACGCAUAGAUUAGUAUGUCGAACCAAGUUCAACAUGUUUCUUCCGGAUAACCCAUGCAGAAAGGUAGAACUGGCAGAGUCAUGAUUUAUGAAUGGAGAACUCCUCAAGAGUACUCUAAUUGUGAUCUUUUGAUCCAAUAAACAUCUGCCAUAAGCGGUUCAUAGUAUUUGGAAGAAGGAAAUACCACGGACCUCGAGGACUAUCGCAAAGUUACUAAUAUCCUGAAGGAACUAGCAAACACUAUCAACAUGAAGUAAGUAGAGUGAAUCUCGGGUUCAAAGCUCAAGGAGUAGAAUACCUACUACUAAGUAGCAUCACGGAAUGCUUUCGAGAAUGAUGGCCAGAAUCCUCACACUGGGAGCACAAAUCAUGGCUAAAUUACUAGAUGAUCCCCUAAGACACCUAGGGUCAUAAUAAUAUCUCCAACAUAUAUGUCAAGGUAACGGAGUACCUCAACUUACUGAUUAGUGUGGUUAAUCUGGCCCAUGGGAACAUUGAAACGGGAAGAAAGGAUUUGCAAAUGCAUCAGACUACUUAGAAACCUGGGAUGACUCGGACAGCAUAACGGCUGUAAAUGCUCAGAAAAGAUUUGAGACAUUCACAAAAAUGGUGGCAUAACCACUCAGAAGCACAAUAUCAAGGUUUCGAGAUCAACAAUUAACAUACAGAGGUAGAAACUGAACUGAGGCUUAAAUCCAACAAACUUAUAAGUCUACUGAUUAGUAACACAUGAUCCUAAUAGAAAGAAGAGAUAGCCUAGUUCUUAAUCCCCGUAGAAGAGAAGAUGACUCAGAUCAGAAGGGCAUAAGGUAUAAGGAAUAAAAAGAGCCUUACGUUCCAUCCCACAAUCAAUUCCCUUAUAUAGCUAAAGAAUUUCUAGACUCAACUUCGACCAGUUUGGCUUGGUAAUCCUACAGGCAGUCAAGCUCUGAUACCAACGCUGUCAGGACCCCGACUCAAUGCCACAUCGAUCUAGCAUGUAACACCUCAUAUCACUUUGCGGCCUCACGCACGGUAUUCCCACGGGUGUCGCCUUACCUUUGCCCGGGACCGUUUGCGCCUUUUGGCACACGUAUAUGACAGUGUCGCUAGCAUCCAUAUGAUAAGGAGCCCGGGCUGACAUGGCUAGUCGUAAACCCAAAGUGGCACAGACUUACAGGGACAGGCAUCCAUGACCCAACAUCGAACGUGUCGGUCAUCAGCGAGUGAAUCCAGGCUGUAGCACUGGGCUAGCAGGACUCCGGUGAACCGGGCUGUAGCGGGCUAACAGGACUCCAGUAUUCAUCGCGUGACAUUUCCCCGAAGGGACAGACACAGGAACGAAGAAGGACACAUGCCGGCCAGCCUAAGUGUUCCGGAGCAGUAGCAAGCUACCAUGGCUCAGUGGAAACACUAGGAGACAUUUCCCGGUAAGAGAGGCUACUAAAGAUAAACAACUAGAUGGUCAGAUCCCACACAUACCAAGCAUUUCAAUAACACACACACAAUAUGCUCGAUAUGUGCAAAUACAACAUGGCAUCACAACAUGACUCUACGACUCAAGUAAUUUAUUCAAUAGGCUCCGAGGAGCGAGGUAUUACAAACAGGGGUCUCACGACCCAACAUUCAGAGCAUACAAGUCAAAACACAAGCGGAAGCUAUCAUGUCUGAGUACAGACAUCUAGAAAUGAAAAAGGCUGAGAAGCUUGACUAUCUACCAGAUCCUGUCGGGGCACAAGAUCGUAGCUGAGGUAACAAGCUAAACGUCGAAGACCACGCGGAAAUACUAGUGAGACUGAAGUCUCUCUGCAAAAACACAAAAUAGGCAAACAUGAGUACAAAUGUACCCAGCAAGACUUACAUCAGAACUAUCUACAUAUGCAUCAUUAUCAACAAAGGGGUGGUGGGGUUUAACUGCAGCAAGCCAGCUUUGACUCGGUGGCUAUCCUGAACUAUGACUGCGAGUAACUUUUUUGAGGUGGCGCACACGAGUCCACAUAUUCACCAUAUCAAUACACCACUAUGGAUCCGCUCCCGUCUCCCUACGAGAACGCCAUCCAUAGCACUCACGCUUAUCUUGCGUAUUUUAAAGUAUCCACUUUCACUUGUCUAUGAACUGAUAUAAGCAACCCAGAAGUCCUUUUCCGCGGACACGGCUAUUCGAAUAGAUGAUGUUAACCCUGCAGGGGUGUACUUCUUCAUACAUGUUUCCACCACUUAGCGUCUGCACACGACAUGUGCUCGGCAGACUUCAAGCGAAAGCCGACGUGGGUGUAGACCACGGCCUACCUAAACACUCAAGUCUCUAGUCCAGGUUUAUCGCCUAUUCGGGUUCCAUCCAUGAGGAGAUCCGGCCGGAGUUUCGCUCACAGCCCCAAACGAUGUGAACAGGGUUCCCGAGAUACCAAACGGGCAUCCGGUACACCGUGCCACGUACCUACCGCAUCACAGCCCACCCCUACGGUCAGCGCUGUCCACGGCCUCCAGUAAGCUACAAACACCAGAAACUACUUGCAACUCCUGGACAGAGGACUAGGGUGAAUAAGAAGUCGAGCGGGGUCAUAUUUCAGGGCCCAAUGUAUGGUAGUAGCUGAAUCAUGGAUCACAAACGCAGAACUCAGUUCCUGAGGACGGCUGCAAUGAGACAACCCACCAUGUACUCCUACAUGGCCUCUCACCGCUACCUUUACCAAAUCGUGUUCACAUACUUAGCUCACACACAGUAGGACAUGUUCACACACCUCUAAUUCAUCCCCGAUGAAUCAGACCUGACUCAACUCUAAGCAGUAGCAAGCAUGACAAACAAACAUGAAUGAGUAGGCACAACAGGGCUCAAACAACUCCUACUCAUGCUAGUGGGUUUCAUCUAUUUACUGUGGCAAUGACAGGUCAUGCAAAGGAUAAAGGGGUUCAGCUACCGCAGCAUGUAACAGUUGAAUCGGUGUUGUCCUAAUGCAGUAAAAGAGAGCAGGAGCGAGAGAGUGGGAUUGUAUCGGAAUGAACAAGGGGGUUUUGCUUGCCUGGCACUUCUGAAGAUAACAUUGAGUCUUCAUCAGUGUCAGCGAUCACAUCAUCGGGUAUCACGUCUAUCGAGAGGGGACAAAUACCGGCAACCCAAAAGGGAACACAAUCAAUGCAAUGCACAAUAUGAUGCAUGAUCAUGACAUGGCAAAAUGAAUGUGUUUGAGCUAAUGCAACUAGCAACAGAUUAAAUGAAGUUGGUUCGAAUACAAGAUUCAAAUUCAAACUCCAUAUGUGAUUAUUCAAAUGCCAUUUACUUCAUUUGCCCUAAACAGUAGUGAUAAGUUGUUCUAACAUGCAUGAAAAUGGUACAGAUGCAUUCCUUGAAUUUUUCUGAUAAUUUUUCAUAUAUAAAUUAUUUAAUUUGGAGUUAUGGUUAAUUUUCUAUGAUUUUUAGAAGUUUUAGGCAUUUUCUGGAAUUUCCUGGAUAUUAAUAAAUCCAGUAAUUGAAUUAAUGCGCCAGCCUGACGUCAUCAUGACGUCAGCAGGUCAACUGGGCGCCUCCAGGUCAAACCUGACACUGGGACCCACAUGUCAGUGCGAUUAGCUUAACUAAAAUUAAUUAAAACUAAUCCUAAUAGUCAACAGGGCUGGGCCCCACCUGUCAUUGACUCAGGAGAGUCAACCGGGGCCCACCCGUGGUCAAAGUCAAAGUCGGCUGCCGGCGUUUAGCCGCCGGCGAGCCCGACGCGGCGGCGAGAGUGGUUUUGGCCACUCCGGCGACCAAAUGGGCCGCGGAGGGCAUCUAGGAGGAGCUGGGGACGAGCCGAAGCUCCUGGUGGAGUCAGUUGCGCUCGGGGCGGCCGGAAUCGGUGCCGACGGCGAGCGAGGCGGCGGCCGGAGCUCGGGUGUGCUCGGUUUCGGUGUUACACAGCACGGCGGGCGCGGCCGAUGGGCUCUACGGGAUGCUGGGGUCACCAGGAAUACCCGGAGGCAACGAGCGCAGGCGGAGAAGCUCGGGAGCACGGAGCUCACCGGCCAUGGCGGACGGCGGCUUCGGGUGCUCGUGGGGCGGCGGCUACAGGGCGCAAUCGAAGGGGGAAAGAGGGAGGGGAGGCGUAGGAGCUCACAGCGGUGCCGUAGGGAUGGUUGGCCGGCUCGGGGGCGCGCCGGAGUGGCCGAAUCGACGGAGAAGCUCCUCGGCGGCCGGCGAGGGGAAAACGUCGGGGGUGGCGUUCCGGGGCUCUUCUGGUCGCGUGACACGACGAGGAGGUCGAGGGAGGACCGGCGGAGCUUCCUGGGGCGUCGGCGAGGCUAGGGGUGGCCGGUGGCCAUGGGUACGGCGACGAUGGCGGCGAGCUCCGCUCGGUGGUGUGCGCGAGAGGGAAACAGAGGAGGGAAUGGGGUCCAGGGGGAGAGAGGGGAGGUGCAGGGGGCGAGGGCGUCUCCGUGGCGUCGCGAGGGGGUCGGGGAGGAAGCAGGAGGUGGCUAGGGGGGGAAGCAGGAGGUGGCCGAGGCAGCGUCGGCGAGCGCCACGCCUCGCCUCUGCUCGUCCUCCUGGCAGAGGAGGAAGAGGACAAAGGAGGAGGAGGUGGGCUGGGCCGGCUGGGGGGCAACUGGGCCGGCUGGUGGGCUGCACGGGUGAGGCCAGGUAUGUCCUUCUCCCUCUUAUUUUUGUUCUGUUUUAUUUUUUUCUAUUUCUGCAAUUUGUUUUUGAUUUGUUUUAAACAUCAAAUCAUUUUAUAAAAUCCUGGAAAUAAAUAUGGGUGCUUUCUGAAUUAUUCCAGUGACCCUUAUCAAUUUCCAACAUUUAUUUGAGCAUUUAAAAUAUUUAUAGUAUUUAAAUGCCCAAAGUCAAAUACAAUAUGAUUUAAUUCAAAAAUCCAAAAAUGACCUAAGGAUAUAUUCAUCAUUUUUGGCAGAGGUUUCCACCUUAACCAGAAAUCAUGAACUUUUCUUAGGGGCCUUUUGGGUUUAUUGAAAAGAUUUUAACUUACCCUAGUUGAGUUGAUUUAAUGCUAGGGUUUGAACAUCCCCAUUUCAAUUUUAGGCAAAAUUUAAACAUGAUGCAACACAUGACUAGCUAGCUCAGAGCAUUACCAGAAGCUAGGGAUGUGACAGUUUUUGCCAUAGAAAAGUUGUAAUACAGUAGAUAUAAUGCAAAAAAACAAAAUAAUAAUAGGUUUGCAACAGUACUUAUAGUAGUGGUUUGCUUUCUUAUACUAAUGGAUCUCACGAAGGUUUUGUUGAGUUCUGUGUGAUUGAAGUUUUGAAGUUUUGGGUGAUCUUACGAUGGAUGAAGGAAUAAGGAUUAGCAAAAGGCUAAGCUUGGGGAUGCCAUUGGCACCCCAAGACAAUAUUCAAAGAAGUAGCAAGCAACUAAGCUUGGGGAUGAAGGAAAUAUGCCCUAGAGGCAAUAAUAAAGUUAUUAUUUAUUUCCUUAUAUCAUGAUAAAUAUUUAUUAUUCAUGCUAGAAUUGUAUUAACCGGAAACUUAGUACAUGUGUGAAUACAUAGACAAAACAUAGUGUCCCUAGUAUGCCUCUACUUUACUAGCUCGUUAAUCAAAGAUGGUUAUGUAUCCUAACCAUAGACAUGUGUUUUCAUUUGAUGAAUAGGAUUACAUCAUUAGGAUAAUGAUGUGAUGGACAAGACCCUUCCGUUAGCUUAGCAUUAUGAUCGUUACAGUUUCAUUGCUACUGCUUUCUUCAUGACUUAUACAUGUUCCUCAGACUAUGAGAUUAUGCAACUCCCGAAUACCGAAGGAACACCUUGUGUGCUCUCAAACGUCACAAUGUAACUGGGUGAUUAUAAAGAUGCUCUACAGGUGUCUCCGAAGGUGUUUGUUGGGUUGGCAUAGAUCGAGAUUAGCAUUUGUCACUCCGCGUUUCGGAGAGGUAUCUCUAGGCCCUCUCGGUAAUGCUCACCACUAUAAGCCUUGCAAGCAAUGUGAUUAAUGAGUUAGUUGCGGGAUGAAGCAUUACGGAACGAGUAAAGAGACUUGCCGGUAAUGAGAUUGAACUAGGUAUGAUGAUACCGAUGAUCGAAUCUCGAGCAAGUAACAUACCAAUGACAAAGGGAACAACGUAUGUUGUUAUGCAGUUUGACCGAUAAAGAUCUUCAUAGAAUAUAUAGGAGCCAAUAUAAGCAUCCAGGUUCCGCUAUUGGUUAUUGAUCGGAGAUGUGUCUCGGUCAUGUCUGCAUAGUUCUCGAAUCCGCAGGGUCCGCAUGCUUAACGUUUGAUGACGAUUUGUAUUAUGAGUUAUGUGUUUUGAUGACCGAAGUUUAUUCGGAGUCCCGGAUGAGAUCACGGACAUAACAAGGAGUCUCAAAAUGGUCGAGACAUAAAUAUUGAUAUAUUGGAAGGCUAUUUUCGGACAUCAGAAUGGUUCCGUAGAAGUUCGGGUAUUUUCCGGAGUACCGGGAGGUUACGGGAACCCCCCGGGGAGUUGUUGGGCCUUAGUGGGCCUUAGUGGGAAGAGGAGGCAACGGCCAGGAGGUGGCGCGCGCCCCCCAAGCCCAGUCUGAAUUGGACAAGGGGUUGGGGCGCGGCCCCCCUCUCCCUUCCUUUUCCCUCUCCUUUUAGGUGGAAUCCUACUAGGACCUCGAGUCCUAGUAGGACUCCCCUCUCCUGGCGCACCCUGUAAGGGCCGUCCAACCUCGCCCUCCCUCCUUUAUAUACGGGGGCAAGUGGCACCCUAGAACACACCAAGUUUUGCCUUAGCCAUGUGCAGUGCCCCCCUCCACAGUAACACACCUCAAUCAUAUCGAUGUAGUGCUUAGGCGAAGCCCUGCGCCGGUAACAUCAUCAUCACUAUCGCCACGCUGUCGUGCUGAUGGAACUCACCCUCAUCCUCAACUGGAUCAACAGCACGAGGGACGUCAUCGAGCUGAACGUGUGCUGAAUGUGGAGGUGUCGUACGUUCGGUACUUGGAUUGGUUGGAUCAUGAAGACGUUCGACUACAUCAACCGUGUUACUAAACGCUCCCGCUUUCGGUCUACAAGGGUACAUGGACACACUCUACCCUCUCGUUGCUAUUCAUCUCCUAUAUAGAUCUUGUGAGAUCAUACACAAUUUUUUGAAUUACUACAUUCCCCAAUAGUGGCAUCCGAGCCACGUCUAUGCGUAGAUGUUUUAUGCACGAGUAGAUCACAAAGAGUUGUGGGCGAUAAUAGUCAUACUGCUUACCACCAAUGUAUUACUUUGAUUCGACGGUAUUGUUGGAUGAAGCGGCCCAGACCGACAUUACAUGAUCACGUUCAUGAGACUGGUUCUACCGACGUGCUUUUGCACAUAGGUGGCUGGCGGGUGUCUGUUUCUCCAACUUUAGUUGAAUCGAGUUUGACUAUGGCAGGUCCUUGUUAAAGGUUAAAACAGCACACUUGACGAAAAAUUGUUGUGGUUUUGAUGCGUAGGUAAGAACGGUUCUUGCUAGAAGCCCGUAGCAGCCACGUAAAAUUUGCAACAACAAAGUAGAGGACGUUUAACUUGUUUUUGCAGAGCUUGCUGUGAUAUGAUAUGGUCAAGACGUGAUGUGCUAUAAAUUGUUGUAUGAAAUGAUCAUGUUUUGUAACAGAGUUAUCGGCAAUUGGCAGGAGCCAUAUAGUUGUCACUUUAUUGUAUGCAAUGCAAUCACCAUGUAAUUGCUUUACUUUAUCACUAAGCGGUAGCGAUAGUCGUAGAUGCAAUAGUUGGCGAGACGACAACGAUGCUAGAUGGAGCUCAAGGUGUCACACCGGUGAUGAUGGAGAUCAUGACGAUGCUUCGGUGAUGGAGAUCAUAAGCACAAGAUGAUGAUGGCCGUAUCAUGUCACAUAUUUUGAUUGCAUGUGAUGUUUAUAUUUUAUGCAUCUUAUCUUGCUUAGUACGGCGGUAGCAUUAUAAGAUGAUCCCUUACUAAAUUUCAAGGUAUAAGUGUUCUCCAUCAGUAUGCACCGUUGCUACAGUUCGUUGUGCCGAGACACCACGUGGAUCGGGUGUGAUAAGCUUUAAGUUCACAUACAACAGGUGCAAGCCAGUUUUGCACACACAGAAUACUCGGGUUAAACUUGAUGAGCCUAGCAUAUGCAGAUAUGGCCUCGGAACACUAAGACCGAAAGGUCGAACGUGAAUCAUAUAGUAGAUAUGAUCAACAUAGUGAUGUUCACCAUUGAAAACUACUCCAUAUCACGUGAUGAUUGAUGUCUACUACGCAGCCUUCUCCUUGUAGACGUUGUUGGGCCUCCAAGUGCAAAUGUUUGUAGGACAGUAGCAAAUUUCCCUCAAGUGGAUGACCUAAGGUUUAUCAAUCCGUGGGAGGUGUAGAAUGAAGAUGGUCUCUCUCAAACAACCCUGCAACCAAAUAACAAAGAGUCUCUUGUGUCCCCAACACACCCAAUACAAUGGUAAAUUGUAUAGGUGCACUAGUUCGGCAAAGAGAUGGUGAUACAAGUGCAAUAUGGAUAGUAGAUAUGAGUAUUUGUAAUCUGAAAUUAUAAAAACAGCAAGGUAACUAAUGAUAUAAGUGAGCGUAAACGGUAUUGCAAUGCUAGGAAACAAGGCCUAAGGUUCAUACUUUCACUAGUGCAAGUUCUCUCAACAAUAAUAACAUAACUGGAUCAUAUAAUUAUCCCUCAACAUGCAACAAAGAGUCACUCCAAAGUCACUAAUAGCAAAGAACAAACGAAGAGAUUAUUGUAGGGUACGAAACCACCUCAAAGUUAUCCUUUCUGAUAGAUCUAUUCAAGAGUCCAUAGUAAAAUAACAUGAAGCUAUUAUUUCUGUUCGAUCUAUCAUAGAGUUCAUACUAGAAUAACACCUUAAGACACAAAUCAACCAAAACCCUAAUGUCACCUAGAUACUCCAAUGUCACCUCAAGUAUCCGUGGGCAUGAUUAUACAAUAAGCAUCACACAAUCUCAGAUUCAUCUAUUCAACCAACACAAAGUAUUCAAAGAGUGCCCCAAAGUUUCUACCGAAGAGUCAAGACGAAAACGUGUGCCAACCCCUAUGCAUAAGUUCACAAGGUCAAUGAACCCGCAAGUUAAUCACCAAAACACACAUCAAGUAGAUCACGUGAAUAGUCCAUUGUCACCACAGAUAAGCACAUGCAAGACAUACAUCAAGUGUUCUCAAAUCCUUAAAGACUCAAUCCGAUAAGAUAACUUCAAAGGGAAAACUCAAUCCAUUACAAGAGAGUAGAGGGGGAGAAACAUCAUAAGAUCCAACUAUAAUAGCAAAGCUCGCGAUACAUCAAGGUCGUGCCAAAUCAAGAACACGAGAGAGAGAGAGAGAGAGAGAGAGAGAGAGAGAUCAAACACAUAGCUACUGGUACAUACCCUCAGCCCUGAGGGUGAACUACUCCCUCCUCGUCAUGGAGAGCGUAGGGAUGAUGAAGAUGGCCACCGGUGAUGGAUCCCCCCUCCAGCAGGGUGCCAGAAUAGGGUCCCGAUUGGGUUUUGGUGGCUACAGAGGCUUGCGGCGGCGGAACUCCCGAUCUAUUGUGUUCCUGGAUGUUUUCGGGGUAUGUGGACAUAUAUAGGCGAAAGAAGUCGGUCAGGGGAGCCAUGAGGGGCCCACGAGGGUGGGGGGCGCCCAGGGGGGUAGGGCGUGCCCCUGACCCUCAUGGCCACCUUGAAGCUUCCCUGACGUCUACUCCAAGUCUCUUGGAUUGCUUCCAUUCCAAAAAUAACUCUCCCGAAGGUUUCAUUCUGUUUGGACUCCGCUUGAUAUUCCUUUUCUUCGAAACACUGAAAUAGGCAAGAAAACAUGGGCCUCCGAUUAAUAGGUUAGUCCCAAAAAUAAUAUAAAAGUGUAUAAUAAAGCCCAUUAAAUAUCUAAAACAGAUAAUAUAAUGGCAUGAAUACUUCAUGAAUUAUAGAUACGUUGGAGACGUAUCAGCAUCCCCAAGCUUAAUUCCCGCUCGUCCUCGAGUAGGUAAAUGAUAAAAGAAAGAAUUUAUGAAGUGUGAGUGCUAGCAGGUGCACAAGUUUGAUCAAUGAUAAUUUCAAUCACCUUUUCUAGCAUCAUUAUAUGUCAUAACACUAGCUCAUCUUAUAAAACUUUUCAUGAUCAAGUAACAAGCUAUUCACAUGUUAAUGUAUAGAUCAUAAACUUUCUUGAAAACUAGCAAACCACAUUCUUAAUCAUCAAACAAUUGCAAUUCUUCUUAUUUUCAAGAAGGGUCUAUGUCAGAGCUUUGAUUUAGCAAACUCGACAUACUCAACUAUCAUUUAAUCUUUCACAAUUGCUAACACUCACGUGAUAUUUAUGGGUUCAAAAUUUUAAUCGAACACAGAGAAAGAUAGGGGCUUAUAGUUUCGCCUCCCAACCUUUUACCUCAAGGGUAAUGUCAACAAUAAUAAUUUAUGAACGCCUACAUCCAAGUGGAUAUAUAUAUAUAUAUAUAUAUAUAUAUAUAUCCGGAUCACUCCAACACAAAGUGCUUGCCAAAGGAAAAAGUGUAAAAAGGAAAGGUGUUGAUCACAAUGACUCUUGUAUAAGGGUAAAAGAUAAAAGUAAAAGAUAGGCCCUUCGUAGAGGGAAGCAGAGGUUUUCAUGCGCUUUUAUGGUUGGAUGCACAAAAUCUUAAUGCAAAAGAACGUCACUUUAUAUUGCCGCUUGUGAUAAAGACCUUUAUUAUGAAAUCCAUUGCUUUUAUUUCUUCCCUAUCACAAGUUCGUAUAAAGCUUAUUUUCUUCGCACUAAUAGAUCAUACAUAUUUAGAGAGCAAUUUUUAUUGCCUGCACCGAUGACAACUUACUUGAAGGAUCUUACUCAAUCCUUAGGUAGGUAUGGUGGACUCUCAUGGCAAAACUGGUUUAAAGGAUGUUUGGAAGCACAAGUAGUAUUUAUACUUGGUGCAAAGAAUUUGGCUAGCAUGAGAGGGAAAGGCAAGCUCAGCAUGUUGAAUGAUCCAAGACGAUAUAAUGUUUCGGAUAUAGGAAAACAUAACCCAUUAAGUUGUCUUCCUUGUCCAACAUCCACUUUUUAGCAUGUCAUAUUUUAAUGAGUGCUCACAAUUACAAAAUAUGUCCAACAUAGUAUAUUUAUAUGUGAAAUCUCUCUUCCUUCAAUAUUCUUUCAUGAAUUGUUCAAGUGACCAAUACAAUGUUUGCUAACCUUCAAUAAAUUUACCACCUCUACUUCUUAUAUGUGAAGUCAUUACUCCCCAUGGGAUAAGCGUAUGAAACAUAUAUAAUUUCAGAUUUAUGAUAUUCAAAUCAUUCAACCAUUUACUCAUAAGAUAUAAGUGAAGCACAUGAGUAAAUGGCAAACUACUUCCAAAAAGAUAUAAGUGAAGAUCAAUGAGUAGUUAAGUAUUUGUGUAACUAUGUGAAGACUCUCUCUCAUUUAAGAAUUUCAUAUCUAAUGUAUUUUAUUCAAACAUCAAGCAAAGUAAAACAAAAUGGAAUUGCAAGGAUAGCACAACUCAUGUGAAGAAGCAAAAAACUUAGGCUCAACCGAUACUAACUGAUAAUUGUUGAAGAAGAAAGGUGUGAUGCCUACCGGGGCAUCCCCAAGCUUAGAUGCUUGAGACUUCUUGAAAUAUUAUCUUGGGGUGCCUUGGGCAUCCCCAAGCUUGAGCUUUUGUGUCUCCUUAAUUCCUCUGAUAUCACGUUUUCCUAAAUCUCAAAAACUUCAUCCACACAAAACUCAACAAGAACUCGUGAGAUAAGUUAGUAUAAACCAAUGCAAAAGCCUUAUCAUUCUCUACUAUAAAAAAUCAUUAAAAUUAUUAUUCAACAUUUCAUACUAAAUGCCUCUGCAUAUUUAAUACUCCUAUCCUCAAAUAGAAUCAUUAAACAAGCGAACAUAUGCAAACAAUGCAAACAUAACAGCAAUCUGCCAAAACAGUACAGUCUGUAAAGAAUGCAAGAUCCAUCAUACUUACCUAACUCCAAAACUUCUGAGAAAAAUACUACAAUGUAUAAGAUUUAUAAUAGCUAAAUAUGCAAAAAAAAUUCAAUAUUAUAUCAUUCUCUGACUUUUCUAGGGAAUUUUCGCAACAGCUGUAAACUUUCUGUUUUGAAACAGCAACAUGUAUACUUGCAAAAUAAGCAUGGUAAAGGCUAUCCUUGACAUUUUUAUUGAAAAUAGAGAUGCAAAACAUUAUUCUAAAUAAAAGCAUUCAAAUACUAACAAAAUAAUAUGACGCUCCAAGCAAAACACAUAUCAUGUGGUGAAUAAAAGUAUAGGUCCAAGUAAAGUUAUCGAUGAAGGAAGACGAAAGAGGGGAUGCCUUCCGGGGCAUCCCCAAGCUUAGGCUCUUGGUUUUCCUUGAAUAUUACAUUGGUGUGCCUUGGUCAUCCCCAAUCUUAGGAUCUUGCAACUCCUUAUUCCAUUGUUCAUCGAAUCUUUACCCAAAACAUGAAAACUUCACAACACAAAACUCAACAGAAAACUCGUAAGCUCCGUUAGUAUAAGAAAAUAAAUCACCACUUUUGGUACUGUUGUGAACUCAUUAUAAAUUAAUAUUGGUGUAAUAUCUACUGUAUUACAACUUAUCUAUCGCUCAUACCUUCCGAUACUACUCAUAGAUUUAUCACAAUAAGAAAACAACACAUAGAAAACAGAAUAUGUCUAAAACAGAACACUCUGUAGUAAUCUGUAUCAAAUGUAUACUUCUGGAACUCCAAAAAUUCAGAAAUAAAUUGGUGGACCUGGGGAAUUUGUCUAUUAAUCAUAUUCAAAAAGAAACCUAAAAUCACUCUCCAGUAAAACAUGGCAUCUAAUCUUGUGGGCGCCAAAGUUUCUGUUUUUUUACAGCAAGAUGAUAAAGACUUCACCCAAGUCUUCCCAAAGGUUCUACUUGGCACAAACACUAAUUAAAACAUAAAACCACAUCUAACCAGAGGCUAGUUGAAUUAUUUAUUAUUAAACAGGAACAAAAAGCAAAGAACAAAAAUAAAAUUGGUUUGCCUCCCAACAAGCACUAUCGUUUAACGCCCCUAGCUAGGCAUGAUGAUUUCAAUGAUGCUCACAUAAAAGGAUAAGAAUUGAAACAUAAAGAGAGCAUCAUGAAGAAUAUGACUAACACAUUUAAGCCUAACCCACUUCCUAUGCAUAGGGAUUUUGUGAGCAAACAACUUAUGGGAACAAUAAUCAACUAGCAUUGGAAGGCAAAACAAGCAUAACUUCAAGUUUUUAAGCACAUAGAGAGGAAACUUGAUAUUAUUGCAAUUCCUACAAGCAUAUGUUCCUCCCUCAUAAUAUUUUUCAGUAGCAUCAUGAAUGAAUUCAACCAUAUAACCAGCCCCUAAAGCAUUCUUUUCAUGAUCUGCUUGCAUAGAAAUUUUACUACUCUCCACAUAAGCAAAUUUCUUCUCAUGAAUAUUAGUGGGAGCAAACUUAAAAAAAAUAUAAUGUGAGGCAUAAUCAAAUUGAAAACUAAAAUCAUGAUGACAAGUUUCAUGGUUAUCAUUAUUCUUAAUAGCAUACAAGUCAUCACAAUAAUCAUCAUAGAUACCAACUUUGUUCUCAUAAUCAAUUGGAACCUCUUUCGAAAUAGUGGAUUCAUCACUAAAUAAAGUCAUGACCUCUACAAAUACACUUUUAUCAAUAUAAUCAUCAUAAAUAGGAGGCAUGCUUUCAUCAUAAUAAAUAUUCUCAGUGACAAAAAAUAUCAUAUUCAUCAAACAUAGCAUCCCCAAGCUUGUGGCUUUGCAUAUCAUUAGCAUCAUGGGUAUUCAAAGAAAUCAUAUUAAUAACAUUGCAAUCAUGCUCCUCAUUCAAAGAUUUAGUGCCAUACAUUUUAUAGACUUCUUCUUCUAGCACUUGAGCACAAUUUUCCUUACCAUCAUUCUCACGAAAGAUAUUAAAAAGAUGAAGAGUAUGAGGCAAACUCAAUUCCAUUUUUUGUAGUUUUCUUUUAUAGACUAAAUUAGUGAUAAAACAAGAAACUAAAAGAUUCUAUUGCAAGAUCUAAAGAUAUAACUUCAAGCACUUACCUCCCCGGCAACGGCGCCAGAAAAGAGCUUGAUGUCUACUACGCAACCUUGUCCUUGUAGACGUUGUUUGGCCUCCAAGUGCAGAGGUUUGUAGGAUAAUAGCAAAUUUCCCUCAAAUGGAUGACCUAAGGUUUAUCAAUCCAUGGGAGGUGUAGGAUGAAGAUGGUCUCUCUCAAACAACCCUGCAACCAAAUAACAAAGAGUCUCUUGUGUCCCCAACACACCCAAUACAAUGGUAAAUUGUAUAGGUGCACUAGUUCGGCGAAGAGAUGGUAAUACAAGUGCAAUAUGGAUGGUAGAUAUGAGUAUUUGUAAUAUGAAAAUAUAAAAACAGCAAGGUAACGAGUAAUAAAAGUGAGCGUAAACGGUAUUGCAAUGCUAGGAAACAAGGCCUAAGGUUCAUAUUUUCACUAGUGCAAGUUCUCUCAACAAUAAUAACAUAACUGGAUCAUAUAACUAUCCCUCAACAUGCAGAAAAGAGUCACUCCAAAGUCACUAAUAGCAAAGAACAAACGAAGAGAUUAUUGUAGGGUAUGAAACCACCUCAAAGUUAUCGUUUCUAAUCGAUCUAUUCAAGAGUCCGUAGUAAAAUAACACAAAGCUAUUAUUUCUGUUCGAUCUAUCAUAGAGUUCGUACUAGAAUAACACCUUAAGACACAAAUCAACCAAAACCCUAAUGUCACCUAGAUACUCCAAUGUCACCUCAAGUAUCCGUGGGCAUGAUUAUACGAUAUGCAUCACACAAUCUCAGAUUCAUCUAUUCAAUCAACACAAAGUACUUCAAAGAGUGCCCCAAAGUUUCUACCGAAGAGUCAAGAUGAAAAUGUGUGCCAACCCCUAUGCAUAAGUUCACAAGGUCACUGAACCCGCAAGUUGAUCACCAAAACAUACAUCAAGUAGAUCAUGUGAAUAUCCCAUUGUCACCAUAGAUAAGCACAUGCAAGACAUACAUCAAGUGUUCUCAAAUCCUUAAAGACCUAAUCCGAUAAGAUAACUUCAAAGGGAAAAUUCAAUCCAUUACAAGAGAGUAGAGGGGGAGAAACAUCAUAAGAUCCAACUAUAUAGCAAAGCUCAUGAUACAUCAAGAUCGUGCCAAAUCAAGAACACGAGAGAGAGAGAGAGAGAGAGAGAGAGAGAGAGAGAGAUCAAAUACAUAGCUACUGGUACAUACCCUCAGCCCCAAGGGUGAACUACUCCCUCCUCGUCAUGGAGAGCGUCGGGAUGAUGAAGAUGGCCACCGGUGAGGGAUCCCCCCUCCGGCAGGGUGCCGGAACAGCGUCCCGAUUAGUUUUUGGUAGCUAUAGAGGCUUGUGGCGGCGGAACUUCCGAUCUAUUGUGUUCUUGGAUGUUUUCAGGGUAUAUGGACAUAUAUAGGCAAAAGAAGUCGGUCAAGGGAGCCACGAGGGGUCCACGAGGGUGGGAGGCGCGCCCAGGGGGGUAGGGCGCGCCCCUGACCCUUGUGGCCACCUCGAAGCUUCCUUGACGUCUACUCCAAGUCUCCUAGAUUGCUUCCAUUCCAAAAAUAACUCUCCCGAAGGUUUCAUUCCGUUUUGAUUUUGUUUGAUAUUCCUUUUCUUCGAAACACUGAAAUAGGCAAGAAAACAACAAUUUGGGCUGGGCCUCCGGUUAAUAGGUUAGUCCCAAAAAUAAUAUAAAAGUGUAUAAUAAAGCCCAUUAAAUAUCUAAACAAAUAAUAUAAUAGCAUGAAUACUUCAUGAAUUAUAGAUACGUUGGAGACGUAUCAAUGAUCGAACAUGGUUUAGUUGAUUUGGAUCACGCAUUUAGAUGACUAGAGGGAUGUCUAUCUAAGUGGGAGUUCUUAAGUAAUAUGAUUAAUUGUACUUUAAUUUAUCAUGAACUUAGUCCUGAUAGAUAUUUUGCAUGUGUAUGUUAUUAUAGAUCAAUGGCCCAUACUAUCGUUCCUUUGAAUUUUAAUGCAUUCCUAGAGAAAGCUAAGUUGAAAGAUGAUGGUAGCAAUUACACGGACUGGGUCUAUAACUUGAGGAUUGUAAUCAUUGCUGCACUGAAGAAUUACGUCCUGGAAGCACCCCUAGGUGAACCACCCGCGCCAGCAAAUGCAGACAUUGUGAAUGCUUGGCAGACAUGUGUUGAUGAGUACUCGAUAGUUCAUUGUGCCAUGCUUUACGGCUUAGAAUCGGGACUUCAAAGACGUUUUGAACGUCAUGGAGCAUAUGAGAUGUUUCAAGACUUGAAGUUAAUAUUUCAAGCAAAUGCCUGAGUUGAGAGAUAUGAAGUCCCCAACAAGUUCUAUAGCUGCAAAAUGGAGGAGAAUAGUUUUGUCAGUGAACACAUACUUAGAAUGUCUGGGUACCAUAACCACUUGACUCAGCUGGGAGUUAAUCUUCCUGAUGAUAGUGUCAUUGAUAGAGUUCUUCAAUCACUGCCACCAAGCUAUAAAGGCUUCGUGAUGAACUAUAAUAUGCAAGGGACGAACAAGACAAUUCCCGAGAUCUUCGCGAUGCUAAAGGUUGCGGAGGUAGAAAUCAAAAAGGAGCAUCAAGUGGUCAACAAGACCACUAGUUUCAAGAAAAAGGGCAAAGGGAAGAAGGGGAACUUCAAGAAGAACAGCAAGAAAGUUGCUGCUCAGGAGAAGAAACCCAAGUCUGAACCUAAGCCUGAAACUAAGUGCUUCUACUGCAAAGGGGCUGGUCACUAGAAGCGGAACUACCCCAAGUAUUUGGCGGACAAGAAGGAUGGGAAAGUGAAAGGCAUAUUUGAUAUACAUGUUAUUGAUGUGUACCUUAUAUUACUAAUGCUCGUAGUAGCGCCUGCGUAUUUGAUACUAGUUCCGUUGCUCAUAUUUGCAACUCGAAGCAGGGGCUACUGAUUAAACGAAGAUUGGCUAAGGACGAGGUGACAAUGCGCGUGGGAAAUGGUUCCAAGGUUGAUGUGAUCGCCAUCGGCACGCUACCUCUACAUCUACCUUUGGGGUUAGUUUUAGACCUGAAUAAUUGUUAUUUGGUAACAGCGUUGAGCAUGAACAUUAUAUCUGGAUCUUGUUUGAUGCGAGACGGUUAUUAAUUUAAAUUAAAGAAUAAUGGUUAUUCUAUUUAUAUGAGUAAUAUCUUUUAUGGUCACGCACCCUUGCUGAGUGGUCUAUUUUUGUUGAAUCUCGAUCAUGGUGAUACACAUGUUCAUAGCCAAAAGAUGCAAAGUUGAUAAUGAUAGUGCAACUUAUUUGUGGCACUGCCGUUUAGGUCAUAUUGGUGUAAAGCGCAUGAAGAAACUCCAUGCUGAUGGGCUUUUGGAAUCACUUGAUUAUGAAUAACUUGGUGCUUGUGAACCAUGCCUCAUGGGCAAGAUAACUAAAACUCUGUUCUCCGGAACAAUUGAAUGAGCUACUGACUUAUUGGAAAUAAUACAUACCGAUGUAUGCGGUCCAAUGAGUGUUGAGGCUCCUGGCGGGUAUCGUUAUUUUCUUACCUUCACAGAUGAUUUGAGCAGAUAUGGUUAUAUCUACUUAAUGAAGCAUAAGUCUGAAACAUUUGAAAAGUUCAAAGAAUUUCAGAGUGAAGUGGAAAAUCAUCGUAACAAGAAAAUAAAGUUUCUACGAUCUGAUCGUGGAGGAGAAUAUUUCAGUUGCGAGCUUGGUCUUCAUUUUAAACAAUGUGAAUAGUUUCACAACUCAUGCCACCUGGAACACCACAACAUAAUGGUGUGUCUGAACGUCAUAACCGUACUUUAUUGGAUAUGGUGCGAUCUAUGAUGUCUCUUACUGAUUUACGGCUAUCAUUUUGGGGUUAUGCUUUAGAGACAGCUGCAUUCACUUUAAAUAGGGCACCAUCAAAAUCCAUUGAGACGACGCCUUAUGAACUAUGGUUUGGAAAGAAACCAGAGUUGUCGUUUCUUAAAGUUUGGAGCUGUGAUGCUUAUGUGAAAAAGCUUCAACCUGAUAAGCUCAAACCCAAAUCGAAGAAGUGCGUUUUCAUAGGAUACCCAAAGUAAACUAUUGGGUACACCUUCUAUCACAGAUCCGAAGGCAAAAUAUUUGUUGCUAAAAAUGAAUCCUUUCUAGAGAAGGAGUUUCUCUCGAAAGAAGUGAGUGGGAGGAAAGUAGAGCUUUAUGAGGUAAUUGUACCUUCUCCCGAAUUGGAAAGUAGUCCAUCACAGAAAUCAGUUCCAGUGAUUCCUACACAAAUUAGUGAGGAAGCUAAUGAUGAUGAUCAUGAAACUUCAUAUCAAAUUACUACCGAACCUCGUAGGUCUUCCAGAGUGCGAUCUGCACCAGAGUGGUACAGUAAUCCUGUUCUGGAAGUCAUGUUACUAGACCAUGAUGAACCUACGAACUAUGAGGAAGCGAUGAUGAGCCUAGAUUCCGCGAAAUGGCUUGAGGCCAUGAAAUCUGAGAUGGGAUCCAUGUAUGAGAACACAGUGUGAACUUUGGUGGAUUUGCCCGAUGAUCGGCAAGCCAUAGAAAAUAGAUGGAUCUUCAAGAAUAAGAUUGACGCUGAUGGUAAUGUUACUGUCUACAAAGCUCGACUUGUUGCGAAAGGUUUUCGACAAGUUGAAGGAGUUAACUACGAUGAGACUUUCUCACCCGUAGCGAUGCUUAAGUCUGUCCAAAUCAUGUUAGCAAUUGCCGCAUUUUAUGAUUAUGAAAUUUGGCAGAUAGAUGUCAAAAUUACAUUCCUGAAUGGAUUUCUAGAAAAAGAGUUGUAUAUGAUGCAACCAAAAGGUUUUGUCGAUCCAAAGGGUGCUAACAAAGUGUGCAAGCUCCAGCGAUCCAUUUAUGGACUGGUGCAAGCCUCUCGGAGUUGGAAUAAACAUUUUGAUAGUGUGAUCAAAGCAUAUGGUUUUAUACAGACUUUUGGAGAAGCCUGUAUUUACAAGAAAGUGAGUGGGAGAUGUGUAGCAUUUCUAAUAUUAUAUGCGGAUGACAUAUUGUUGAUUGGAAAUGAUAUAGAAUUUCUGGAUAGCAUAAAUGGAUACUUGAAUAAGAGUUUUUCAAUGAAAGACCUCGGUAAAGCUGCUUACAUAUUGGGCAUCAAGAUUUAUAGAGAUAGAUCAAGACGCUUAAUUGGACUUUCACAAAGAACAUACAUUGAUAAAGUUUUGAAGAAGUUCAAAAUGGAUCAGUUAAAGAAAGGGUUCUUGCCUGUGUUACAAGGUGUGAAGUUGAGUCAGACUCAAUGCCCGACUACUACAGAAGAUAGAGAGAAAAUGAAAGUAAUUACCUAUGCUUUAGCCAUAGGUUCUAUUAUGUAUGCAAUGCUAUGUACCAGACCUGAUGUGUGCCUUGCUAUAAGUAUAUCAGGGAGGUACCAAAGUAAUCCUAGAAUGGAGCACUGGACAGUGGUAAAGAAUGUCCUGAAAUACCUAAAAAGGACUAAGGAUAUGUUUCUCGUUUAUGGAGGUGACAAAGAGCUCACCGUAAAUGGUUACGUCGAUGCAAGCUUUGACACUGAUCCGGAUGACUCUAAGUCGCAAUCCGGAUAGAUAUUUUUAUUGAAUGGUGGAGCUGUCAGUUGGUACAGUUCCAAGCAAAGCGUCGUGGAGGGAUCUACAUGUGAAAUGGAGUACAUAGUUGCAUCGGAAGCAGCAAAUGAAGGAGUCUGGAUGAAGGAGUUCAUAUCCGAUCUAGUUCAUCGGGUCCAAUGAAAAUAUUUUGUGACAAUACUGGUGCAAUUGCCUUGGCCAAGGAAUCCAGAUUUCACAAGAGAACCAAACACAUCAAGAGACACUUCAAUUCCAUCCGGCAUCAGGUCGCGGAGGGAGACAUAGAGAUUUUCCUUAGCCGUGUGCAGUGCCCCCCUCCACAGUAACACACCUCGAUCAUAUCGUCGUAGUGCUUAGGCGAAGCCCUGCAUCGGUAACAUCAUCAUCACUGUCGCCACGCCGUCAUGCUGACGGAACUCACCCUCGUCCUCAACUGGAUCAAGAGCACGAGGGACGUUAUCGAGCUGAACGUGGAGGUGUCAUAUGUUCGGUACUUGGAUCGGUUGGAUCAUGAAGACAUUCGAUUACAUCAACCGCGUUACUAAACGCUUCCGCUUUUGGUCUACAAGGGUACGUGGACACACUCUCCCAUCUCGUUGCUAUGCAUCUCCUAGAUAGAUCUUGCGUGAUCGUAGGAAUUUUUUUGAAUUACUACAUUCCCCAACAGGGGAUGCCCCUGAGUGGCAUCCCCGCUUUCUUCUAACAACCAUCAGUAUUUUACUUGAAACUAUAUUUUUAUUCGUUACAUAAUAUGAGUUUUUCUUGGAGUAUCUUGUAUGAUAUGAGUCUUUGCUUGUUUUGCUUUGUAUUCGAAGUGUUGAAUCUUGCCUGGACACACCCUUUUGAGAGAGCCAAAAAUUAUGCUAUGCUUCACUUAAAUUUUUAGAGCCAUGGAUUUGCUCUAGUGCUUCACUUAUAUCUUUUUUAGCACGGUGUGCUUUGUUAUUUUGGAAUAAAUUCUCUCAUGCUUCACUUAGAUUUAUUUGAGAGUUAGUUAAAUUUUAAGAAAUUAUCUCUUGCUUCACUUAGAUUAUUUUGAGAGAAAUAAAAAAUUAUGCUCAUGAUCUUCACUUAUAUUUGUUUGAGCUUAUCAAAAGCAAUAUAUGAAAAUAGUCCCAAAGUGAUAGAUAUCCAAGGAGGAUAUAAUAAAAACUUUCAUGAAGAUCAUUGGACAAAAUAAACUUGAUUCUUAGUAAUGGUUUUGAGAUAUGACGAUAUGAUAUUUGAGUUAUGUUGAUGAGUAAUUGUGCUUUAGUAAGAAUAUUGGUGUUAAGGUUUGUGAUUCCCUAUGAAAGCACGGAAGUCAAUAUUUAUGCAAUGAAAUUUAUAUCCUACUUAUGGUGAAUUAUUUGGUGUAACUUAUGCUUAAUGCUUGGGUACGAGAUUUUUCGCUUUUUCGUUGGUCGCUUCUCAAUCUUUUUGCUAGUCUUCAUUUUGCAGUAAGUAUGAUCACUACUUGUGCAUCCAAAACCCUUUAAACCAGUUUUGCCAUAUGAGUCUACUAUACCUACCUAUAUGCGGUAUUUCUAUGUCGUUCUAAGCAAAUUUACAUAUGCCAUCUCUAAUUUUCAAAAUAAAUUUCUCUUUUGUGUGCUCUACCGCUCGCGAGGCGGUGAAGGGUGACCAAUAUUUUCCAUGCUAGAUGUGUUAUUCUCAUGAUGAGUGUUUAUUCACUUGUCAUUGCACGAGAGUAUGGCAAAGGUAUUAGGGAUGCCCAGUCCCGAAAUGAAAAAUGAAUUUACUUUAGGUUGUCAAAUAAUAAAUUCCUUGGAAAGUGUUGGUAUGGAGGGCAACCGUGGAUUCGGCUAGCCAUGGAAAGUGAAAGUAAUGGUGGAAAAAGGAAUAAACUUUACUUUCUGUUUGUGAACCGCCUAUGAUGUAUCUAGCAUGGAAAGUGUUGGGAUGCUCCAAGUCAUUUUCGUUUGUGGAAAAAGUAUGCCUCUCAAAAAUAUUUUUAUCUCUCAAUUUAAGCUUUGAGCUCUGGAACCUCUACAAAUCCCUACUUACCUCCGCGAAGGGCCUUUCUUUUAAUUGUGCAAUUUUUAUGUUGAAUUUGAGUCUCUAUCUUCUCUUAUAAAGCACCAACUAAAGGGCACUAUGAUCGUAUUUGAGCACUGGGUGUAACUAAUAUCGAGUGUGUCUCAUGAAUGGAUCAAUGAUUGAGCAUAAUGGGCUAGGGAUAACUUCCUUUAGUGUUGAUAUUUUGGAAGACAUGGUUGCUUGUUGGUAUGCUUGAGUAUUAAAGUCUUCAUGUCAAAACUAGACUAUUGCUUUGAAUCAUAUAAAAGUCCUAAUGUCCAUGUUAUAAAUAAAAGAAAUGCGAUGAACAUGUUAGGCAACAUUCCCCAUCAAAUAUUCUAUUUUUAUCAUUUGCCAACUCGAGGACGAGCAUGAAUUAAGCUUGGGGAUGUUGAUACGUCUCCAAUGUAUCUAUAAUUUUUUAUUGUUCCAUGCUAUUAUAUUAUCAUUCUUGGAUGUUUUACAAUCAUUUUAUAGUCAUUUUAUAUCAUUUUUUGGUACUAACCUAUUGCCAUAGUGCCCAUUGCCAGUUGCUAUUUUCUACAUGUUUUUUACAUCACAGGAAAUCAAUAUCAAACGGAGUCCAACCGCAGCGAAACUCCUGGAGGAUUUUUUUUGGGCAGAAGACAUCUAGUGGGCCAAGAAAGCACCUGGGGCUGGCUCGAGGGGAGCAACACCCACCAAGGCGCGCCAGGAGGCCCAUGCGCGCCCUGUUGGGUUGUGCCCAUGCUCGGGUGCCCCUUGAACUUCCUCUUUGCUCUAUAAAUACACCAAUAUUCCAGAAACCUUAGGGGAGUCGAAGAAAAUCAAUUCCAACCGCCGCAGAGUCCAGAACCACCAGAUCAAAUCUAGACACCAUCACAGAGGGGUUCACUACUUCCAUUGGUGCCUCUUCGAUGAUGCGUGAGUAGUUCUUUGUAUACCUACAGAUCCGUAGUUAGUAGCUAGAUGGCUUCCUCUCUCUCUCUCUCUCUCUCUCUCUCUCUCUCUCUUGAUUGUCAAUACAAUGGUCUCUUGGAGAUUGAUACGUCUCCAACGUAUCUAUAAUUUUUGAUUGUUCCAUGUUGUUAUAUAUAUUAUCAUUCUUGGAUGUUUUACAAUCAUUUUAUAGUCAUUUUAUAUCAUUUUUUGGUACUAACCUAUUCACAUAGUGCCAAGUGUCAGUUGCUAUUUUCUACAUGUUUUUUACAUCACAAGAAAUGAAUAUCAGACGGAGUUCAAAUGCCACGCCACUUUACGAUGAUUUUUUUGGACCAAAAGGAAGAAGUUGGGCCCUGGUUGCACCUGGCGGGAGUCCCGAGGAUGGCACAACCCACCAGGGCGCGCCAGGACGCCCAGGCGCGCCCUGGUGGGUUGUGCCCACCUUGGGUGCCCCUCAGACCACCUCUUUGCUCUAUAAAUACCCCAGUAUUCCAGAAAUCCUAGGGGAGUCGACGAAAUAUUCAUCCAGCCGCCGUAGAGUCCAGAAGCACUAGAUCCAAUCUAGACACCAUCAUGGAGGGGUUCACCACUUCCAUUGGAGCCUCUCCGAUGAUGUGUGAGUAGUUCUUUGUAGACCUUCGGGUCCGUAGUUAGUAGCUAGAUGGCUUCCUCUAUCUCUCUUGAUUAUCAAUACAAUGGUCUCUUGGAGAUCCAUAUGAUGUAAGUCUUUUGGCGGUGUGUUUUUUUGGAUCCGAUGAACUUUGAGUUUAUGAUCAGAUCUAUGUUUUUAUCCAUGAAAGUUAUUUGAGUCUUCUUUGAUCUCUUAAAUGCAUGAUUGCUUAUAGCCUUGUAUUUCUUCUCCGAUAUUUGGGUUUUGUUUCGCCAACUUGAUAUAUUUAUAUUGCAAUGGGAAGAGGUGCCUGGUAGUGGGUUCGAUCUUAUGUCCUUCGCCUAUCUUGAGGCGACGUACCCCGAACGGGACUGACAACCCCUUAAACACGUCGGGUUGCGAGGUGUUGUUAUUUGUGUGCAAGGGUUGUUUAUGUUGUGUUGUUUGGUUCUCCUACAGGUUCGAUAACCUUGGUUUCAUAUCUAAGGGAAAUACCUACCGCCGUUGUGCUACAUCAUCCCUUCCUCUUUGGGGAAAUACCCACGUAGCUUCAAGUGACAUCAAAAGGAAUUUCUAGCGCUAUUGCCAGGGAGGAUCUUCAACAUCAACCAGGUUCCUAAUCACAAAUCUCAUCUCCUUGCAAUUUACAUUAUUCACCAUUUGCCUCUCGCUUUCCUCUCCCCCACUUCACAAAAAUGCCAUUUUAUUCUCCUCUCUUUUUUCGUUCGUCGUUUUCUCAUCAGAUCUGUUUUUGUGUGCGUUCAUGUUUGCGUAGUCAUGAUGCCUCAAAGAAAAUAUUAUGAUGUUCCUUACCCAAAUAUUUUGCUUGAAAUUGAGAAAAGUACUAAGGAAUAUAUGACUACACAAUUUGAGCAUAAUAAAUAUUUUACCGAAGAACUUAAGGAACGUUAUGUUAUGUUAGAAGCUAUAACGAAACAACUUGAUGAUAUUAGUAAGAAGUUUGAAAUCUUCAAUCUAAGUAUGCAUUUGCUGAAAGUUUGUUCGGAAAAAUAUCCGAUGCACAAGCCACUUUAGUGAAUCAAAUGGCCGCUAAACCAAUCUUGUUAGAAGAUAAAAGUGAUGAAGAUCUAAACAUGAUUGGUGUUUCUUCUAUUGAUUCCCUGUUUAGUAAAAAUAAGAUUGAUGAAAAAGGGACUGGAGAAGAGUCAACUUUAGGUAGAAGGCGCCCCAAUAUUUCGGAGGGUGAAAAUCUUGUUGACAAAAUUUAUAAAAGUGGGUUUGAAGAGGUCAAGACUUUAACUAGUGAUGUGCCCACUAUUUUGGAUUACAAAGACUUUAAUUAUGAUAGUUGCUCUUUGAUUGAUUGUAUUUCUUUGUCGCAAUCCAUGAUAAAUCCACCCCAUGCUUAUGAACAAAAUAAAGCUUUUACUAAACAUAUUGUUGAUGCCAUGAUGAAAGCUUUUGAAGAAAAAUUGGAAUUAUAAGUUUCAAUUCCUAGAAAAUUUCAUGAUGAAUGGGAACCUACUAUAAAAGUCAAUAUCAAAAAUUAUGAGUGUUUUGCUUUAUGUGACUUGGGUGCUAGUGUUUCUACAAUUCCAAAAUCUUUAUGUGAUGUGUUUGGUCUUACCGAUAUUGAAGAAUGCUCUUUAAAUUUGCACUUAGAGGAUUCUACUAUUAAGAAACCUAUGGAAAGGAUUAAUGAUGUUCUUAUUCUUGCAAAUAGGAAUUAUGUGCCCAUAGAUUUUAUUGUUCUUGAUAUUGAUUGCAAUCCGUCUUGUCCAAUUAUUCCUGGUAGACCGUUUUUGCGUACUAUUGGUGCCGUGAUUGAUAUGAAAGAAGGCAACAUUAAAUUUCAAUUUACACUAAGGAAGGGAAUGGAACACUUCCCUAGAACAAGAAUUAGGCCACCAUAUGAAUCAAUCAUGAGGGCAUCUUAUGGAUCUAGAACCAAAGAUGACAAAACUUAGAUCCUACGUGUUAUGCCUAGCUAGGGGCGUAAAACGAUUGCGCUUGUUGGGAGGCAACCCAAUGAAUAAAAUUUAUUUUUGCUUUUUUCUUUCUAUUCUUGAGUGUUAGAACAAUUAUGCUACUGUUAUGACUUUGUUUUUUGUGUUUUAGUUAGUGUUUGUGCCAAGCAAUGCCUUUGGGAAGACUUGGGUGAAAGUUUAUUUGAUCUUGCUGAAAAACAGAAACUUUUGCGCUCAUGAGAUUCGUUGUAAUUGUUUAUAGAAGAGUGAUGUUAAGUUGAUUCUUUUUGAAGAGGAUUAAUAUAAAAAUUCCUCACGUCCACCAAUUUAUUUCACAAUUUUUGGAGUUACAGAAGUAUUAGAAAUUUUCAGAUUGCUACAGACUGUUCUGUUUUUGACAGAUUCUGUUUUCUUUGCGUUGUGUGCUUGUUUUGAUGAUUCUAUGGUUUUCUUUAAUGAGUUUUUGCCAUAGAAAAGUUGGAGUACAGUAGAUAUAAUUCAAAAACAAAAUAAGAAUAGGUUUUCUGCAGUACUUAUAGUAGUGGUUUGGUUUCUCAUACUAACGGAUCUCACGAAGAUUUUGUUUGAGUUUUGUGUGAUUGAAGUUUUCAAGUUUUGGGUUAUCUUAUGAUGGAUGAAGGAAUAAGGAUAAGCAAAAGUCUAAGGUUGGGGAUGCCCGAGGCACCCCAAGAUAAUAUUCAGAGAAUUAGCAAGCAAAUAAGCUUGGGGAUGCCCCCGAGUGGCAUCCCCGCUUUCUUCUAACGACCAUCGGUAUUUUACUUGAAACUAUAUUUUUAUGCCUCACAUGAUAUGAGUUUUGCUUGGAGUGUCUUGUAUGAUAUGAAUCUUUGCUUGUUUUUCUUUGUGUUUUAAUUAUUGAAUCCUUGCUGGACGCACCCUUUUUAGAGAGCCAAAAAUUAUGCUAUGCUUGCUCCUAUGCUUCACUUAAAUUUUUAGAGCCAUGGACUUGCUCUAGUACUUCACUUAUAUCUUUUUGAGCACGGUGUGCUUUGUUAGUUUUGAAGAAAUUCUCUCAUGCUUCACUUAGAUUUAUUUGGGAUUUAGUAAAUGUUUAAUAAAUUCUCUUUUGCUUCACUUAGAUUAUUUUGAGAGAAAGAAAAAAAAUUAUGCUCAUGAUCUUCACUUAUAUUUGUUUGAGCUUACCAAAAGCAACAUAUGAAAAUAUUUCCAAAGUGAUAGAUAUCCAAGGGGGAUAUAAUAAAAACUUUCAUGAAGAUCAUUGGACAAAAUAAACUUGAUUCUUAGUAAUGGUUUUGAGAUAUGACGAUGUGAUAUGUGAGUUAUGUUGAUGAGUAAUUGUGCUUUAGUAAGAAUAUUGAUGUUAAGGUUUGUGAUUCCCUAUGCAAGCAUGAAAGUCAAUAGUUAUGCAAUGAAAUUAAUAUCCUACUUAUGGUGCAUUAUUCGGUGUUACUUUCUUAAUGCUUGGGUACGAGAUUUUUCGCUUUUUGGUUGCUCGCUUCUCAAUCUUUUUGCUAGCCUUCAUUUUGCACUAAGUAUGAUCACUACUUGUGCAUCCAAAACCCUUUAAACCAGUUUUGCCAUAUGAGUCCAGUAUACCUACCUAUAUGCGGUAUUUCCAUGCCGUUCUAAACAAAUUUGCAUGUGCCAUCUCUAAUGUUCAAAAUAAAUUUCUCUUUUGUGUGCUCUACUACUCGCGAGGCGGUAAAGGGUAGCCAAUAUUUUCCAUGCUAGAUGUGUUAUUCUCAGGAUGAGUGUUUAUUCACUUGUCAUUGCACAAGAGUACGACAAAGGUAUUAGGGAUGCCCAGUCCCGAAAUGAAAAAUGAAUUUACUUUAUGUCGUCAAAUAAUAAAUUCCUUGGAAAGUGUUGGUAUGGAAGGCACCCGUGGAUACAGCUAGCCAUGGAAAGUGAAAGUUAUGGUGGAAAAAGGAAUAAACUUUAUUUUCUGUUUGGGAACCGCCUAUGAUGUAUCUAUCAUGGAAAGUGUUGGGAUGCUCCAAGUCAUUCUCGUUGGUAGGAAAAGUAUGCCUCUCAAAAAUAAUUUUAUCUCUCAAUUUAAGCUUUGAGCUCUAGCACCUCUACAAAUCCCUCCUUCCCUCCGCGAAGGGCCUUUCUUUUACUUAUGCAAUUUUUAUUUUGAAUUUGAGUCUCCAUCUUCUCUUAUAAAGCAUCAACUAAGGGGCACUAUGAUCGUGUUUGAGCACUGGGUGUAGCUAAUAUUCGAGUGUGUUUCAUGACUGGAUUAAUGAUUGAGCGUGAUGGGCUAGGGGUAACUUGCUUUAGUGUUGAUAUUUCGAAAGACAUGGUUGCUUGUUGGUAUGCUUGAGUAUUAAAGUCUUCAUGUCAAAACUAGACUAUUGCUUUGAAUCGUAUAAAAGUCCAUAUGUCCAUGCUAUAAAGGAAAGAAUGUGAUCAACAUGUUAGGCAGCAUUCCACAUCAAGAAUUCUAUUUUUAUCAUUUACCUACUUGAGGACGAGCAGGAAUUAUGUUCGGGGAUGCUUAUACAUCUCCAACGUAUCUAUAAUUUUUGAUUGCUCCAUGUUGUUAUAUUAUCAUUCUUGGAUGUUUUACAAUCAUUUUAUAUCAUUUUUUGGUACUAACCUAUUGACAUAGUGCCAAGAGCCAGUUGUUGUUUUCUGCAUGUUUUUUACAUCGCACGAAAUCAAUAUCAGACAGAGUCCAAAUGCCACGCCACUUUACAAUGAUUUUUUAUGGACCAAAAGGAAGAAGUUGGGCCCUGGUUGCACCUGGGGGUGUCCCUAGCAGGGGACAACCCACCAGGGCACGCUAGGAGGCCCAGGCGCGCCUUGGUGGGUUGCGCCCACCUCGGGUGCCCCCCGGACCGCCUCUUUGCUCUAUAAAUACCCCAAUAUUCCAGAAACCCUAGGGGAGUCGACAAAAUAUUCAUCCAGCUGCCAUAGAGCCAGGAACCACCAGAUCCAAUCUAGACACCAUCACGGAGGGGUUCACCACUUCCAAUGGUGCCUCUCCGAUGAUGCGUGAGUAGUUAUUUGUAGACCUUCAGGUCCGUAGUUAGUAUCUAGAUGGCUUCCUCUCUCUCUUGAUUAUCAACACUAUGGUCUCUUGGAGAUCCAUAUGAUGUAAGUCUUUUGACGGUGUGUUUGUUGGGAUCCGAUGAACUUUGAGUUUAUGAUCAGAUCUAUGUUUUUAUCCAUGAAAGUUAUUUGAGUGUUCUUUGAUCUCUUAUAUGCAUGAUUGCUUAUAACCUCAUAUUUAUUCUUCGAUAUUUGGGUUUUGUUUGGCCAACUUGAUCUAUUUAUCUUGCAAUGGGAAGAGGUGCUCGGUAGUGGGUUCAAUCUUACGGUGCUUGAUCCAGUGACAUAAAGGGAACCGACACGUAUGUAUCGUUGCUACUAAGGAUAAAAAGAUGGGAUCUGUAUCUACCGUAAUAGAUAAACGGAUCUUGUCUACAUCAUGUCAUCGUUCUUAUUGCAUUACUCCAUUUUUCCAUGAACUUAAUACACUAGAUGCAUGCUGGUUAGCAGUCGAUGUGUGGAGUAAUAGUAGUAGAUGCAGGCAGGAGUCGGUCUACUAAUCUUGGACAUGAUGCCUAUGAAAUGAUCAUUGCUUGGAUAUCGUCAUAAUUAUUUGAAGUUCUAUCAAUUGCCCAACAGUAAUUGUUUUCCCACCAUUUGCUAUUUUUCUCGAGAGAAGCCACUAGUGAAACCUACGGCCCUCGGGUCUCUUUUCAUCAUAUUUGCCUUUGCGAUCUAUUAUCUCUUGCGUUUAUUUUCAGAUCUAUUAAACCAAAAAUACAAAAAUACCGUGCUGCAAUUUAUUUGUUUCAUGAUCUAUUUAUCCUAUCUACAAAUUUACCUCACAUCCUUUGCCUAUCUUGAGGAGUCGUACCGCGAAAGGGUUUGACAACCCCUUUAACACAUCAAGUUGUGAGGUGUAGUUAUUUGUGUGCAGGGGCUGUUACGUAGCGUUGCUUGGUUCUCCUACUGGUUUGAUAACCUUGGUUUCAUAUCUGAGGGAAAUACCUGAAGGAAAUAUGCCCUAGAGGCAAUAAUAAAGUUAUUAUUUAUUUCCUUAUAUCAUGCUAAUUGUUUAUUAUUCAUGCUAGAAUUGUAUUAACCGAAAACAUAAUACAUGUGUGAAUACAUAGACAAACAUAGUGUCACUAGUAUGCCUCUACUUGACUAGCUCGUGAAUCAAAGAUGGUUAAGUUUCCUAGCCAUGGACAAAAGAGUUGUCAUUUGAUUAACGGGAUCACAUCAUUAGGAGAAUGAUUCGAUUGACUUGACCCAUUCCGUUAGCCUAGCACUUGAUCGUUUAGUAUGUUGCUAUUGCUUUCUUCAUGACUUAUACAUGUUCCUGUAACUAUGAGAUUAUGCAACUCCCGUUUACCGGAGGAACACUUUGGGUGCUACCAAACGUCAUAACAUAACUGGGUGAUUAUAAAGGAGUACUACAGGUGUCUCCAAAGGUACAUGUUGGGUUGGCGUAUUUCGAGAUUAGGUUUUGUCACUCCGAUUGUCGGAGAGGUAUCUCUGGGCCCUCUCGGUAAUGCACAUCACUAUAAGCCUUGCAAGCAAUGUGGCCAAUGAGUUGGUUACGGAAUGAUGCAUUACGUAACGAGUAAAGAGACUUGCCGGUAACAAGAUUGAACUAGGUAUUAGAUACCGACGAUCGAAUCUCGGGCAAGUAACAUACCGAUGACAAGGGGAACAAUGUAUGUUGUUAUGCGGUUUGACCGAUAAAGAUCUUAGAAGAAUAUGUAGGAACCAAUAUGGGCAUUCAGGUUCCGCUAUUGGUUAUUGACCGAGAAUAGUUCUAGGUCAUGUCUACAUAGUUCUCGAACCCGUAGGGUCUGCACGCUUAACAUUACGAUGACAGUUUUAUUAUGAGUUUAUAAGUUUUGAUGUACCGAAGUUUGUUCGGAGUCCCGGACGUGAUCACGGACGUAACGAGGAGUCUCGAAAUGGUCGAGACAUAAAGAUCAAUAUAUUGGAAGCGUAUAUUUGGACAUCGGAAUCGUUCCGGGUGAAAUCGGCAUUUUACCGGAGCACCGGGAGGUUACCGGAACCCCCCCGGGGGGUUAUUGGGCCUACAUGGGCCUCGAGGGAGAAGAGGGAAGGAGGCAGGAGGGGGCCGCGCGCCCCUCCCCUUCCUAGUCCGAAUAGGACAAGGGAAGGGGGGCGGCGCCCCCCCCCCUUUCCUUCCCCUCUUCCUCCUCUUUCCCCCCUUCUCCUAUUCCAACUAGGAAAGAAGGGAGUCCUACUCCCGGUGGGAGUAGGACUCCCCCCUUGGCGCGCCCUCCUUGGCCGGCCGCCUCCUCCCCCCUGGCUCCUUUAUAUAUGGGGGUGGGGGGCACCCCAUAGACACACAAGUUGAUCUACGGAUCGUUCCUUAGCCGUGUGCGGUGCCCCCCUCCACCAUAUUCCACCUCGGUCAUAUCGUCGCGGAGUUUAGGCGAAGCCCUGCGCCGGUAGAACAUCAUCAUCGUCACCACGCCGUCGUGCUGACGGAACUCAUCCCUGAAGCUUUGCUGGUUCGGAGCCCGAGGAUCGUCAUCGAGCUGAACGUGUGCUGAACUCGGAGGUGCCGUCCGUUCAGUGCUUGGAUCGGUGGGAUCGUGAAGACGUACGACUACAUCAACCGCGUUGUGCUAACGCUUCCGCUUACGGUCUACGAGGGUACGUGGACAACACUCUCCCCUCUCGUUGCUAUGCCAUUACCAUGAUCUUGCGUGUGCGUAGGAAUUUUUUUGAAAUUACUAUGUUCCCCAACAGUGGCAUCCGAGCCUAGGUUUUAUGCGUUGAUGUUAUAUGCACGAGUAGAACACAAGUGAGUUGUGGGCGAUACAAGUCAUACUGCUUACUAGCAUGUCAUACUUUGGUUCAGCGGUAUUGUUGGAUGAAGCGGCCCGGACCGACAUUACGCGUACGCUUACGCGAGACUGGUUUUACCGCCGUACUUCACACACAGGUGACUAGCGGGUGUCUGUUUCUCCAACUUUAGUUGAACCGAGUGUGGCUACGCCCGGUCCUUGCGAAGGUUAAAACAGCACUAACUUGAUGAACUAUCGUUGUGGUUUUGAUGCGUACGUAAGAACGGUUCUUGCUCAGCCCGUAGCAGCCACGUAAAAUUUGCAACAACAAAGUAGAGGACGUCUAACUUGUUUUUGCAGGGCAUGUUGUGAUGUGAUAUGGUCAAGACGUGAUGAGAUAUAAGUUGUUGUAUGAGAUGAUCAUGUUUUGUUGAAGUUAUCGGCAACUGGCAGAAGCCCUAUGAUUGUCUCUUUGUUGCAUAAGAUGCAAGUGCCAAAUAAUUGCUUUACUUUAUCGCUAUGCGAUAGCAAUAGUUGCAAGAGCAAUAGUUGGCGAGACGACCAUGUGAUGACACAUUGAUAUAGAUCAAGAUGAUGAAGAUCAUGGUGUUGUGCCGGUGACGAUAGAGAUCAUGACAGUACUUUGGAGAUGGAGAUCAAAGGCGCAAGAUGAUCAUGGCCCUAUCAUGUCACAUAUUUUGAUUGCAUAUGAUGUUUAUCUGUUAUACAUCUUAUUCUGUUUUGUUUGACGGUAGCAUUUUAAGAUGAUCUCUCACUAAUUAUCAAGAAGUGUUCUCCCUGAGUAUGCAUCGUUGAGAAAGUUCUUCGUGCUGAGACACCACGUGAUGAUCGGGUGUGAUAGGCUCUACGUUCAAAUACAACGGGUGCAAAACAGUUGCACACGCGGAAUACUCAGGUUAAACUUGACGAGCCUAGCAUAUACAGAUAUGGCCUCGAAACACGGAGACCGAAAGGUCGAACGUGAAUCAUAUAGUAGAUAUGAUCAACAUAGUGAUGUUCACCAUAGAAACUACUCCAUCUCACGUGAUGAUCGGACAUGGUUUAGUUGAUUUGGAUCACGUGAUCACUUAGAUGACUAGAGAGAUGUCUGUCUAAGUGGGAGUUCUUAAGUAAUAUGAUUAAUUGAACUUAAAUUUAUCAUGAACUUAGUCCUAGUAGUAUUUUGCAAACUAUAUUGUAGAAUAAUAGCUCACGUUGUUGCUUUCAUAUGUUUAUUUUGAUAUGUUCCUAGAGAAAAUUGUGUUGAAAAAUGUUAGUAGCAAUGAUGCGGAUUGGAUCCGUGAUCUGAGGUUUAUCCUCAUUGCUGCACAAAAGAAUUAUGUCCUUCAUGCACCGCUAGGUGACAGACCUAUUGCAGGAGCAGAUGCAGACGUUAUGAACGUUUGGCUAGCUCAAUAUGAAGACUACUUGAUAGUUUAGUGCACCAUGCUUAACGUCUUAGAAUCGGGACUUCAAAGACGUUUUGAACGUCAUGGACCAUAUGAGAUGUUCCAGGAGUUGAAGUUAAUAUUUCAAGCAAAUACCCGAGUUGAGAGAUAUGAAGUCUCCAACAAGUUCUAUGGAUAAAAUAUGGAGGAGAAUCGCUCAACUAGUGAGCAUGUGCUCAGAUUGUCUGGGUACUACAAUCGCUUGAAUCAAGUGGGAGUUAACCUUCCAGAUAAGAUAGUGAUUGACAGAGUUCUCUAGUCACCAUCACCAAGUUAGUAGAACUUUGUGAUGAACUACAGUAUGCAAGGGAUGACGAAACGAUUCCCGAGCUCUUCGUGAUGUUGAAAUCGACGAAGGUAGAAAUCAAGAAAGAGCAUCAAGUGUUGAUGGUUGACAAGAUCACUAGUUUCAAGAAAAGGGCAAAGGGAAAGAAAGGGAAACUUCAAGUAGAAUGACAAACAAGUUGUCACUCCCGCAAAGAAGCCCAAAGCUGGACCAAAGCCUGAAACUGAAUGAUUAUACUGCAAAGGAAAUGGUCACUGGAAGUGGAAAUGCCCUGAAUAUUUGGUGGAUAAGAAGGAUGGCAAAGUGAACAAGGGUAUAUUUGAUAUACAGGUUAUUGAUGUGUACCUUACUAGUGUUUAUAGUAGCCCAGAGUAUUUGAUACUUGUUCGUUUGCUAAAUAUUAGUAACUCGAAACAGGAGUUACAGAAUAAACAGAGACUAGUUGAAGGGCAAGUGACGAUGAGUGUUGGAAGUAGUUCCAAGAUUGACAUGAUCAUCAUCGCACACUCCCUAUACUUUCGGGAUUAGUGUUGAACCUAAAUAAAUGUUAUUUGGCGUUUGCAUUGAGCAUGAAUAUGAUUUGAUCAUGUUUAUUGCAAUAUGGUUAUUCAUUUAAAAUCAGAGAAUAAUUGUUGUUCUGUUUAAAUGAAUAAAACCUUUGAUGGUCAUACACCCAAUGAAAAUAGUUUGUUGGAUCUCGAUCGUAGUGAUACACAUAUUCAUAAUAUUGAUGCCAAAAGAUGCAAAGUUAAUAAUGAUAGUGCAACUUAUUUGUGGCACUGCCGUUUGGGUCAUAUCGGUGUAAAGCGCAUGAAGAAACUCCAUACUGAUGGGUUUUUGGAAUCACUUGAUUAUGAAUCAUUUGAUGCUUGCGAACCGUGCCUUAUGGGCAAGAUGACUAAAACUCCGUUCUUCAGAACAAUGGAACAAGCUACUGACUUGUUGGAAAUAAUACAUACCUAUGUAUGCGAUCCAAUGAGUAUUGAUGCUCGUGGUGGGUAUCGUUAUUUUCUGACCUUCACAAGAUGAUUUGAGCAGAUAUGAGUAUAUCUAUUUAAUGAAGCACAAGUCUGAAACAUUUGAAAAGUUCAAAGAAUUUCAGAUGAAGUGGAGAAUCGUCAUAACAAGAAAAUAAAGUUUCUAUGAUUUGAUCACAGAGACAAAUAUUUGACUUACGAGUUUGGUCUUCAAUUAAAACAAUGUGGAAUAGUUUCACAAACUCAUGCCACCUGGAACACCACAACGUUAUGGUGUGUCCGAACGUCGUAACCGCACUUUAUUGGAUAUGGUGCGAUCUAUGAUGUCUCUUAUCGGUUUACCACUAUUGUUUUGGGGUUAUGCAUUAGAGACAGUUGCAUUCACUUUAAAUAGGGCAACAUCAACAUCCGUUGAGAUGACGCCUUAUGAACUAUGGUUUAAGCAAGAAACCAAAGUUGUCGUUUCUUAAAGUUUGGGGUUGCGAUGCUUAUGUGAAAAAGUUUAAACCUAAUAAGCUCGAACCCAAAUCGGAGAAGUGCGUCUUCAUAGAAUACCCAAAAGUAACUAUUGGGUACUCCUUCUAUCACAGAUCCAAAGGAAAGUUAUUCAUUUCUAAGAUGGAUCCUUUCUAGAGAAUGAGUUUCUCUCGAAAGAAGUGAGUGGGAGGAAAGUAGAACUUGAUAAGGUAAUUGUACCUUCUCCCAAAUUGGAAAGUAGUUCAUCACAGAAAUUAGUUCUAGUGAUGCCUACACCGAUUAGUGAGGAAGUUAAUGAUGAUGAUCAUGAAACUUUGGAUCAAGUUACUACAGAAACUCAUAGGUCUUCCAAAGUAUGGUCCGCACCAGAGUGGUACGGUAAUCCUGUUCUGAAAGUCAUGUUACUAGACCAUGAUAAACCUACGAACUAUGAGGAAGCGAUGAUGAGCCCAGAUUCCGUGAAAUGGCUUGAGGCCAUAAAAUCUGAGAUAGGAUCCAUGUAUGAGAACAAAGUAUGGACUUUGGUUGACUUGCUCGAUGAUCAGCAAGCCAUGUUAAAUAAAUGGAUCUUCAAGAGGAAGACGGACACUGAUAGUAGUGUUACUAUCUACAAAGCUCGACUUGUUGCGAAAGGUUUUCGACAAGUUCAAAGGUGUUGAAUACGAUGAGAUUUUCUCACUCAUAUCGAUGCUUAAGUCUGUCCAAAUCAUGUUAGCAAUUGCCACAUUUUAUGAAAUCUGGCAAAUGGAUGUCAAAACUGCAUUCCUUAAUAGAUUUAUUAAAUAAGAGUUGUAUAUGAUGCAACCAGAAGGUUUUGUCAAUCCUAAAGGUGCUAACAAAGUGUGCAAGCUCCAGCGAUCCAUUUAUGGACCGGUGCAAGCCUCUCGGAGUUGGAAUAUACGCUUUGAUGAGUUGAUCAAAGCAUAUGGUUUUAUACAGACUUUUUGAGAAACCUGUAUUUACAAGAAAGUGAGUGGGAGCACUACAGCAUUUCAGAUAAGUAUAUGUGAAUGACAUAUUAUUAAUUGGAAAUGAUGUAGAAUUUUCUGGAAAGCAUAAAGGAGUGUUUGAAAGGAGUUUUUCAAAGAAAGACCUCGGUGAAGCUGCUUACACAUUGAGCAUCAAGAUCUAUAUAGAUAGAUCAAGACGCUUGAUAAGUUUUUCAAUGAAUACAUACCUUGAUAAAUUUUUUGAAGUAGUUCAAAAUGGAACAGUCAAAGAAAGAGUUCUUGCCUGUGUUGCAAGGUGUGAAGUUGAGUAAGACUCAAAACCCGACUAUGGCAGAAAAUAGAAAGAGAAUGAAAAGUCAUUCCCUAUGCCUCAGUCAUAGGUUCUAUAAAGUAUGCUAUGCUGCAAACCAGACCUAUUGUAUACCUUUCUCUGUGUUUGGCAAAGGAAUACAAUUUUGAUCUAAUAGUAGAUCACUGGACAGCGGUCAAGAAUAUCGUUAGUAAAGACCAAGGAAAUACUUCUCGAUUAUGGAGGUGAUAAAAGAGCCCGUCGUAAAAAGUUACAUCGGUGCAAGUUUUUUCACCGAUCCAGAUGACUCUAAGUCUCAAUCUGGAUACAUAUUGAAAGUGGGAGCAAUUAGCUAGAGUAGCUCCAUGCAGAGCAUUGUAGACAUAGAAUAUUUGCAAAAUACAUACGGCUCUGAAUGUAACAGACCCGCUGACUAAGCUUCUCUCACGAGCAAAACAUGAUCACACCUUAGUACUCUCUGGGUGUUAAUCACAUAGCGAUGUGAACUAGAUUAUUGACUCUAGUAAACCCUUUGGGUGUUGAUCACAUGACGAUGUGAACUAUGGGUGUUAAUCAUAUACAGAUAUGAAUAUUGGUGUUAAAUCACAUGAUGAUGUGAACUAGAUUAUUGACUCUAGUGCAAGUGGGAGACUGAAGGAAAUAUGCCCUAGAGGCAAUAAUAAAGUUAUUGUUUAUUUCCUUAUAUCAUGCUAAAUGUUUAUUAUUCAUGCUAGAAUUGUAUUAACCAGAAACAUAAUACAUGUGUGAAUACAUAGACAAACAUAGUGUCACUAGUAUGCCUCUACUUGACUAGCUCGUGAAUCAAAGAUGGUUAAGUUUCCUAGCCAUGGACAAAAGAGUUGUCAUUUGAUUAACGGGAUCACAUCAUUAGGAGAAUGAUGUGAUUGACUUGACCCAUUCCGUUAGCCUAGCACUUGAUCGUUUAGUAUGUUGCUAUUGCUUUCUUCAUGACUUAUACAUGUUCCUGUAACUAUGAGAUUAUGCAACUCCCGUUUACCGGAGGAACACUUUGGGUGCUACCAAACGUCACAACGUAACUGGGUGAUUAUAAAGGAGUACUACAGGUGUCUCCAAAGGUACAUGUUGGGUUGGCGUACUUCGAGAUUAGGUUUUGUCACUCUGAUUGUCGGAGAGGUAUCUCUGGGCCCUCUCGGUAAUGCACAUCACUAUAAGCCUUGCAAGCAAUGUGGCCAAUGAGUUGGUUACGGAAUGAUGCAUUACGUAACAAGUAAAGAGACUUGCCGGUAACGAGAUUGAACUAGGUAUUAGAUACCGACGAUCGAAUCUCGGGCAAGUAACAUACCGAUGACAAAGGGAACAACGUAUGUUGUUAUGCGGUUUGACCGAUAAAGAUCUUCGAAGAAUAUGUAGGAACCAAUAUGGGCAUCCAGGUUCCGCUAUUGGUUAUUGACCGAGAAUAGUUCUAGGUCAUGUCUACAUAGUUCUCGAACCCGUAGAGUCGGCAUGCUUAACGUUACGAUGAUAGUUUUAUUAUGAGUUUGUAAGUUUUGAUGUACCGAAGUUUGUUCGGAGUCCCGGAUGUGAUCAUGGACGUAAUGAGGAGUCUCGAAAUGGUUGAGACAUAAAGAUCAAUAUAUUGGAAGCCUAUAUUUGGACAUCGGAAUCGUUCCGGGUGAAAUCGGCAUUUUACCGGAGCACCGGGAGGUUACCGGAACCCCCCCGGGGGGUUAUUGGGCCUACAUGGGCCUCGAGGAAGAAGAGGGAAGGAGGCAGGAGGGGGCCGCGUGCCCCUCCCCUUCCUAGUCUGAAUAGGACAAGGGAAGGGGGGCGGCGCCCCCCCCCCCCUUUUCCUUCCCCUCUUCCUCCUCUUUCCCCCCUUCUCCUAUUCCAACUAGGAAAGAAGGGAGUCCUACUCCCGGUGGGAGUAGGACUCCCCCCUUGGUGCGCCCUCCUUGGCCGGCCGACUCCUCCCCCCUGGCUCCUUUAUAUACGGGGCCGGGGGGCACCCCAUAGACACACAAGUUGAUCUACGGAUCGUUCCUUAGCCGUGUGCGGUGCCCCCCUCUACCAUAUUCCACCUCGGUCAUAUCGUCGCGGAGUUUAGGUGAAGCCCUGCGCCGGUAGAACAUCAUCAUCGUCACCACGCCGUCAUGCUGACGGAACUCAUCCCCGAAGCUUUGCUGGAUCGGAGCCCGGGGAUCGUCAUCAAGAUGAACGUGUGCUGAACUCGGAGGUGCCGUCCGUUCGGUGCUUGGAUCGGUCGGAUCAUGAAGACGUAUGACUACAUCAACCGCGUUGUGCUAACGCUUCCGCUUACGGUCUACGAGGGUAUGUGGAUAACACUCUCCCCUCUCGUUGCUAUGCCAUCACCAUGAUCUUGCGUGUGCGUAGGAAAUUUUUUGAAAUUACUACGUUCCCCAACAAUACCUACCUCCGCUGUGCUGCAUCAUCCCUUCCUCUUUGGGGAAAUACCGACGUAGCUUCAAGCGACAUCAGAGAUCCAUAUGAUGUAAGCCUUUUUGUGGUGUGUUUGUUGGGAUCCGAUGAACUUUGAGUUUAUGAUCAGAUCUAUGUUUUUAUCCAUGAAAGUUAUUUGAGUCUUCUUUGAUCUCUUAUAUGCAUGAUUGCUUAUAGCCUCAUAUUUUUCUCCGAUAUUUGGGUUUUGUUUGGCCAACUUGAUCUAUUUAUAAUGCAAUGGGAAGAGGUGCUUUGUAGUGGGUUCGAUCUUACGGUGCUUGAUCCCAGUGAUAGAAGGGAAACCGACACGUAUGUAUCGUUGCUACUAAGGAUGACGAGAUGGGAUCUAUAUCUUCCUUAUAUAUAAACCGAUCUUGUCUACAUCAUGUCAUUGUUCUUAUUGCAUUACUAUGUUUUUCCAUUAACUUAACACACUAGAUGCAUGAUGGAUAGCGGUCGAUGUGUGGAGUAAUAGUAGUAGAUGCAGGCAAGAGUCGGUCUACUAAUCUUGGACGCGAUGCCUAUGUAAUGAUCAUUGCUUGGAUAUCGUCAUGAUUAUUUGAAGUUCUAUCAAUUGCCCAACAGUAAUUGUUUUCCCACCGUUUGCUAUUUUUCUCGAGAGAAGCCACUAGUGAAACCUACAGCCCCUAGGUCUCUUUUCAUCAUAUUUGCCUUUGCGAUCUAUUUUCUCUUGCGUUUCAGAUCUAGUAAUCCAAAAAUACAAGAAAUACCUUGCUGCAAUUUAUUGUUCCGCGAUCUAUUUAUCCUAUCUACAAAUUUACCUCACGUCCUUUGCCUAUCUUGAGGCGCCGUACCCCGAAAGGGAUUGACAGCCCCUUUAACACAUCAAGUUGUGAGGUGUUGUUAUUUGUGUGCAGGGGUUGUUUACGUUGUGUUGCUUGGUUCUCCUACUGGUUCGAUAACCUUGGUUUCAUAUCUAAGGGAAAUACCUACCUCUGGUAUGUUGCAUCAUCUCUUCCUCUUUGGGGAAAUACCUACGUACUUAAAGCGACAUCAGAGAUCCAUAUGAUGUAAGCCUUUCAGCGGUGUAUUUGUUGGGAUCCGAUAAACUUUGAGUUUAUGAUCAGAUCUAUGUUUUUAUCCAUGAAAGUUAUUUGAGUCAUCUUUGAUCUCUUAUAUGCAUGAUUGCUUAUAGCCUCGUAUUUCUUCUCUGAUAUCUGGGUUUUGUUCGGCCAACUUGAUAUAUUUAUCUUGCAAAGGGAAGAUGUGCUUUGUAGUGCGUUCGAUCUUACGAUGCUUGAUCCCAGUGACAGAAGGGGAACCGACACGUAUGUAUCAUCGCUACUAAGGAUAACAAGAUGGGAUCUAUAUCUUCAUAAUAGAUAAAAGGAUCUUGUCUACAUCAUGUCAUCGUUCUUAUUCCAUUACUCCAUUUUUCCAUUAACUUAAUACAUUAGAUGCAUGUUGGAUUGCGGUCGAUGGGUGGAGUAAUAGUAGUAGAUGCAGGCAGGAGUCGGUCUACUAAUCUUGGACAUGAUGCCUAUCUAAUGAUCAUUGUCUGGAUAUCAUCAUGAUUAUUUGAAGUUCUAUCAAUUGCCCGACAGUAAUUGUUUUCCCACUGUUUGCUAUUUUUCUCGAGAGAAGCCAUUAGUGAAACCUACGGCCCCCGGGUCUCUUUUCAUCAUAUUUGCCUUUGCGAUUAUUUUCUCUUGAGUUUAUUUUCAGAUCUAUUAAACCAAAAAUACAAAAAUACCUUGCUGCAAUUUAUUUGUUCCGCGAUCUAUUUAACCUAUCUAUAAAUUUACCUCAUGUCCUUUGCCUAUCUUGAGGCGCCGUACCCCGAAAGGGAUUGACAACCCCUUUAACACGUCGGGUUGCGAGGUGUUGUUAUUUGUGUGCAGAGGAUGUUUACAUUGUGUUGCUUGAUUCUCCUACUGGUUCGAUAACCUUGAUUUCAUAUCUGCGGGAAAUAUCUACCGCCGUUGUGCUGCAUCAUCCCUUCCUCUUUGGGGAAAUACCGACGUAGCUUCAAGUGACAUCAGAGAUCCAUAUGGUGUAAGACUUUUUGCGGUGUGUUUGUUGGGAUCCGAUGAACUUUGAGUUUAUGAUCAGAUCUAUGUUUUUAUCCAUGAAAGUUAUUCGAGUCUUCUUUGAUCUCUUAUAUGCAUGAUUCGUUAUAUCCUCGUAUUUCUUCUCCGAUUUGGGUUUUGUUUGGCCAACUUGAUCUAUUUAUCUUGCAAUGGGAAGAUGUGCUUUGUAGUGGGUUCGAUCUUACGAUGCUUGAUCCUAGUGACAGAAGGGAAACCGACACGUAUGUAUCGUUGCUACUAAAGAUAACAAGAUGGGAUCUAUAUCUUCAUAAUAGAUAAACCGAUCUUGUCUACAUCAUGUCAUCGUUCUUAUUGCAUUACUCCAUUUUUUCAUUAACUUAAUACACUAGAUGCAUGCUGGAUAGCGGUCGAUGUGUGGAGUAAUAGUAGUAGAUGCAGGCAAGAGUCGGUCUCCUAGUCUUGGACGUGAUGCCUAUGUAAUGAUCAUUGCCUGGAUAUCUUCAUGAUUACUUGAAGUUCUAUCAAUUGCCCAACAGUAAUUGUUUUCCCGCCAUUUGCUAUUUUUCUCGAGAGAAUCCACUAGUGAAACCUACGGCCCCCGGGUCUCUUUUCAUCAUAUUUGCCUUUGCGAUUAUUUUCUCUUGCGUUUACUUUUAGAUCUAUUAAACCAAAAACACAAAAAUAUCUUGCUGCAAUUUAUUUGUUCCGCGAUCUAUUUAUCCUAUCUACAAAUUUACCUCAUGUCCUUCGCCUAUCUUGAGGCGACGUACCCCGAACGGGACUGACAACCCCUUUAACACGUCGGGUUGCGAGGUGUUGUUAUUUGUGUGCAGGGGCUGUUUACGUUGUGUUGCUUGGUUCUCCUACUGGUUCGAUAACCUUGGUUUCAUAUCUGAGGGAAAUACCUACUGCCGUUGUGCUGCAUCAUCCCUUCCUCUUUGGGGAAAUACCGACGUAGCUUAAAGCGACAUCAGAGAUCCAUAUGAUGUAAGCCUUUUUGGGAUGUGCUUUUUGGGAUCCAAUGAACUUUGAGUUUAUGAUCAGAUCUAUGUUUUUAUCCAUGAAAGUUAUUUGAGUCUUCUUUGAUCUCUUAUAUGCAUGAUUGUUUAUAGCCUGAUAUUUCUUCUCCGAUAUUUGGGUUUUGCUUGGCAACUUGAUCUAUUUAUCUUGCAAUGGGAAGAGGUGCUUUGUAGUGGGUUUGAUCUUACGGUGCUUGAUCCCAGUGACAGAAGGGGAACCAACAUGUAUGUAUCGUUGUAUCUUCAUAAUAGCUAAACGGAUCUUGUGUACAUCAUGUCAUCAUUCUUAUUGCAUUACUCCGUUUUCUCAUUAACUUAAUAGACUAGAUGCAUGCUGGAUAGCGGUCGAUGUGUGGAGUAAUAGUAGUAGAUGCAGGCAGGAGUCGGUCUACUAAUCUUGGACAUGAUGCCUAUGUAAUGAUCAUUGUCUGGAUAUCGUCAUGAUUAUUUUAAGUUCUAUCAAUUGCCCAACAAUAAUUAUUUUCCCACCAUUUGCUAUUUUUCUCGAGAGAAGCCACUAGUGAAACCUACGGCCCCCGGGUCUCUUUUCAUCAUAUUUGCCUUUGCGAUUAUUUUCUCUUGCAUUUAUUUUCAGAUCUAUUAAACCAAAAAUACAAAAAUACCUUGCUGCAAUUUUUUUUCCGACAUCUAUUUAUCCUAUCUACAAAUUUACCUCAUGUCCUUUGCCUAUCUUGAGGCGCCGUACCUCGAAAGGGAUUGACAACCCCCCUUUAACACGUCGGGUUGCGAGGUGUUGUUAUUUAUGUGCAAGGGUUGUUUACGUUGUGUUGCUUGGUUCUCCUACUGGUUCGAUAACCUUGGUUUCAUAUCUGAGGGAAAUACCUACCGCUGCUGUCCUGCACCAUCCCUUCCUCUUUGGGGGAAUAUCGAUGUAGCUUCAAGCGACAUCGGAGAUCCAUAUGAUGUAAGCAUUUUUGCGGUGUGUUUGUUGGGAUCCGAUGAACUGUGAGUUUAUGAUCAGAUCUAUUUUUCUAUGCAUAAAAUUUAUUUGAGUCUUCUUUGAUCUCUUAUAUGCAUGAUUGCUUAUAGCCUCAUAUUUCUUCUCCGAUAUUCGGGUUUUGUUUGGCCAACUUGAUCUAUUUAUCUUGCAAUGGGAAGAGGUGCUUUGUAGUGGGUUCGAUCUUACGGUGCUUGAUCCUAGUGACAGAAGGGAAACUAACACGUAUGUGUCGUUGCUACUAAGGAUAACAAGAUGGGAUCUAUAUCUUCAUAAUAGAUAAACGGAUCUUGUCUACAUCAUGUCAUCGUUCUUAUUGCAUUACUCCAUUUUUUUCAUUAACUUAAUACACUAGAUGCAUGUUGGAUAGCGGUCAAUGUGUGGAGUAAUAGUAGUAGAUACAGGCAGGAGUCGGUCUACUAAUCUUGGAUGUGAUGCAUAUGUAAUGAUCAUUGCCUGGACAUCAUCAUGAUUAUUUGAAGUUAUAUCAAUUGCCCAACAGUAGUUGUUUUCUCACCAUUUGCUAUUUUUCUCGAGAGAAGCCACUAGUGAAACCUACGGCCCUCGGGUCUCUUUUCAUCAUAUUUGCAUUUGUGAUCUAUUUUCUCUUGCGUUUAUUUUCAGAUCUAUUAAACCAAAAAUACAAAAAUACCUUCCGGCAAUUUAUUUGUUCCGCAAUCUAUUUAUCCUAUCUACAAAUUUACCUCACGUCAUUUGCCUAUCUUGAGGCGUCGUACCCCGAAAGGGAUUGACAACCCCUUUAACACGUCGGGUUGCGAGGUGUCGUUAUUUGUGUGCAGGGGCUGUUUACGUUGUGUGGCUUGGUUCUCCUACUCGUUCGAUAAUCUUGGUUUCAUAUUUGAGGGAAAUACCUACCGCCGUUGUGCUACAUCAUCCCUUCCUUUUUAGGGAAAUAUCGACGUAGCUUCAAGCGACAUCAGAGAUCCAUAUGAUGUAAGCCUUUUUGCGGUGUGUUUGUUGGGAUCCAAGCAUCCCUUCCUUUUUAGGGAAAUAUUGACGUAGCUUCAAGCGACAUCAGAGAUCCAUAUGAUGUAAGCCUUUUUGCGGUGUGUUUGUUGUGAUCCGAUGAACUUUGAGUUUAUGAUCAGAUCUAUGUUUUUAUCCAUGAAAGUUACCUGAGUCUUCUUUGAUCUCUUAUAUGCAUGAUUGCUUAUAGCCACGUAUUUCUUCUCCGAUAUUUGGGUUUUGUUUGGCCAACUUGAUCUAUUUAUCUUGCAAUGGGAAGAGGGGGUUUAUAGUGGGUUCGAUCUUACGGUGCUUGAUCCCAAUGACAGAAGGAGAACCGACAUGUAUGUAUUGUUUCUACUAAGGAUAACAAGAUGGGAUCUAUACCUUCAUAAUACAUAAAUGGAUCUUGUCUACAUCAUGUCAUCAUUCUUAUUGCAUUACUCCAUUUUUGCAUUAACUUAAUACACUAGAUGCAUGCUGGAUAGCGGUCGAUGUGUGAAGUAAUAGUAGUAGAUGCAGGCAGGAGUCGGUGUACUAAUCUUGGACGUGAUGCCUAUGUAAUGAUCAUUGCCUGGAUAUCGUCAUAAUUAUUUGAAGUUCUAUCAAUUGCCCAACAGUAAUUGUUUUCCCACCGUUUUCUAUUUUUCUCAAGAGAAGCCACUAGUGAAAGCUACGGCCCCUGGGUCUCUUUUCAUCAUAUUUGCCUUUGAGAUCUAUUUUCCUUUGCAUUUAUUUUCAGAUCAAUUAAACCAAAAUUACAAAAAUACCUUGCUGCAAUUUAUUUGUUCCACGAUCUAUUUAUCCUAUCUACCACUUUUACCUCAUGUUAUUUGCCUAUCUUGAGACGCCGUACCCGAAAGGGAUUGACAACCCCUUUAACACGUCGGGUUGCAGGUAUUUGUUAUUUGUGUGCAGGUGUUGUUUACGUGGUGUGAGGAGGUUCUCCUACUGGUUCGAUAACCUUGGUCUCAUCACUAAGGGAAAUACCUACUGUCGCUAUACUGCAUCAUCCCUUCCUCUUUAGGGAAAUACCGACGUAGUUCUAGCAGACAUCACCCACAACUCCCCAUUAUCCUUUUGUCAUGCUGACAGUCCCGGGGCAUUUCGGCAUCAAUGGAAAAUUUUCCUUCAUUGAGGGCAAAUCCCAAUUUGUCUCUUGUUGUGUUGUCCUUUCUUUCUUGUUGAGUAAACUUAUUAUUGCAAUGCUGCCCCUUGUAGGUUGGUCACCUUUUGCCAUGUUUUGUUGUGCAUGAUGUACACUUGUGUUUGUUAUGCUCAUGUCCCCUAUUUUUCAUUCAAAUGUAACUAUUGCCAUGUUUGUUCUCUGCAUUUUCCAUUUUUUGGGCCAUGUGAUCUAGUUACAUGUUUGAUUUGUGUACUUUGUUGUCAUGCUCUUUCUUUGUGUGUAGGAAUUUUGUUCCCUAUUUUUUUCCAUGGUUCAUGUUUAGUUAUGUGCCUUAGAUAACUUCAUUUCCAUGCUCUUAUGUAUGCAGAAGAUUCUUAUCUUCAAAAAUUCUAGCUUUCGGUGAUUGACUCACAUUUUUUCCAUGUUGUCAUACAUGUACUUAUUUUUCUAGUGCAAAUUUGCCAUGUCAUCUUAUAGGUGUGAUUUUCUUUUAGUUGUUUUUCUUCUUUUGUUUUUGCCAUGUUUUUGUGUGUAGGAGUUAGUUGGUUAAAUGCAAAAUUUGCAAUGCCAACAUGUACUAUGUGGUUUGCUUACUUACAUCGUAUCAAUUUCCAUAGUACUAUGUUCACAUUCUUGUCAUUCUAAUAUAUGUGGUGGUUUAUUACGUAAAUGUCACUUUCAUAUUUUUGUAUUUCUAUUUUAUAUGAGUGGAAAUAGAGCUUGGCAAGGUUUCUUUUCUCUCUUUUUUUCAGAAAAAAAAUGUUGCCUUAAAUUCUUAUUAUGUAUUUUUCAUUUGCAGAUCUUUUUGCAUCAUUGUUCGGAAUGCCCUGGCUACUGCUGUUGAUGGUUUCAUGCCGACGAGAGGGAAUGCUGUCGCAGCCGGCAAACAGAUUCGAAAGGAGGUAUUUUAUACUUGUUUCAUAUGUUUAAUUCUUGGGGCAAAUUAACCAUGGCAAGUUUCUUUAACCACUCACGGAAACUUAAGUGACAUAUCCAUAUCAUGCCAUUUUGUAAUUUGGUUAUCCUUCUGCAGGCUGAUGACCAACAAGUAUGGGGGAUCAAUCGUAGUCCUUUCGAUAAGUAAGAGUGUCAAAUCCAAUGAGGAGCAGAAGGAAAUGAUAAGCGGUUUUCAACAAGGUAUUCUCUGCAAGUGUUGUAAGUACUGGCAAUAGGUAGUUUGGUAGAAAGAUAAUUUGUAGCAAGUAACAAUAAUUACAAAGGUGUAGCAAGGUGGCCCAAUCCUUUUUGUAGCAAAGGACAAGCUAAAGGUACUUCUUAUAGUGAGCAAAACGUUCUCGAGGACACGUGGAUCAUUUAGUUACGUUCAUCAUGUUUAGUUGAUUCACAUUCACUAUUUUGAUAAUUUGAUAUGUGGACUGGUGUUAGGGUGUUUUUCUUACUUGAACAAACAACCCACUUAUGAUUACCCCCUCUCGCAAACAUUCACAACUACGAAAGGAGAAUUAAGAUAAAUCUAACAAUAGCAUGAAACAUACGGACCCAAAUCAGCCCCUUAUGGAGUAGUGCAUAAACUAGGGUUUAAGUUUCUCUCACUCUCAGAACCCAUCAUCUACUUACUACUCCCCAAUGCCUUCCCCUAUGCCCAAACAUGGUGAAGUGUCAUGUAGUUGACGUUCACACAACAUCACGAGGGGUAUGUUUGGUUGCCUGUGCAGCUUUGCCUACACCAUAUGGGGGAUCCUGGUUGAGCCUGGCUUGAUUGAGAUGAUGAGGCGAAGGACCAAAAGGUGGCAACGAUGGCCAAUCGGAGAACCAGCGGAGGAGAAACCGAGGAAGUCGGGGGACACUUCAGGUAAUAAAAACGAUUUCGGGUCUGGAUCUGGCAGAUGCCUCGCACAUGGAGUAGAUGAGAUGUGGCAGGGAGCAAUGGUGGCGGAGGCUGGCGAUGAUGUGCACAGGGGCGAGAGUGAGCCAGAAACGCAAACGAGGGAGUUGUGGUGAAGGGAAUCGUUACCCCUGCAUGAAGUUGAACGCGCGAUGGGAUUGGGGAGGUGGGUGUGGGGGGGUUUGCAUCAGCUCGUGCCUGCAUGCAAGGAACUGAGGAUUCAUGCGUAUCCGCUCAGCCUGGCUCGGGAGCCCUAUAUGCAUCAGUCGGGCCAGGCCCAGUUAUGUGUGCAGUCUACAAACACCCAGUUAUUGCACGGGGGAUGAGAGUAAGCAAACACGCCCUAGAGGAAUAACAACAUAUGCAUCAUCAAAAUAUUGAACGAAUACCAACUUCACAUGUACUUAUAACAAGACUUCUCUUAUGUCCUCAAGAACAAACGGGACUACUCACAAAUCAUAUUCAUGUUCAAUAUCAGAGGAGUAUAAUAUAUGAUUGAGGAUCUAAACAUAUAUUUUUUUUCACCAAAUAAACCAACUAGCAUCAAAUCCAAGAUGUAAUCAACACUACUAGCAACUCAAAUGUAUUAAUCUAAGAUUUGGAGGCAAAGAUCGAAUACAACAGAUGAACUAGGGUUUGAGAUAAGAUGGUACUGGUGAAGAUGUUGAUGGAGAUGAGUCCUCCCAUGAUGAGAUGAGCAUUGAUGAUGCCAAUAGUUUCGAUUUCACCCUCCUAGAGGGAAGUAUCUGCGGCGAAAUCGCUCCGCCGGAAAGCAAAUGUGCUCCUGCUCAGGUUCCACCUCGAGACGGUGGCUCUUUGUCCCGAAAAUAUUCUUCUAUUUUUUUUUGGGAAAAAGGCUUCAUAUAAGAGAAGGGGGCCACAGAGGCCUGCUGUUGGGUCCACAAGCUUAGGUGGCGCGCCCCACCUAAGAUUGUGGCUUUCUGGUGGGGUCCCUCCUCGUGAUUCUUCUUUCAGUAUUUUUAUUAAUUCCAAAAUAAAUCUUCGUAAAAUUUUAGAUCAUUUGGAGCUCCAGAGAAUAGUUAUCUCUGUUGUAGCUCUUUUUAGGCCCAGAAUUCAGGCUGCCGGCGAUUUUCCUCUCCAUAGAAAUCUUGCACAAUAAGAGAGAAAAUACAUUACAAUUGCGUCAUAAAGUGAAAUAUGACUCUAAAACAUUAUAAAUAAUAGUAGAAAAACAUGAAACGUGAUCAACUAAAUUUUUGGGACAAAUCAACUAAAUUUUUGUGUGAAUUUAAAUAAUGUUAAAUAUAAAAAAUCCAUAGAAAGAAAGUUUAGCGCAAAAUGAAUGUACGUAAAUUCUUUGGGACAAAUCAACUAAAUUUUUGUUUGAAUUUAAAUAAUUUUAAAUAUAAAAAAUCCAUAGAAAGAAAUUUUAGCGCAGAAUGAAUGUACGUAAAUUCUUUGGUACAAAUCAACUAAAUUUUUGUUUGAAUUCGAACAAUGUUAAAUAUAAAAAAUCCAGAGAAAGAAAGUAUAGCACGGAAUGAAUGUACGUAAAUUCUUUGGGACAAAUCAACUAAAUUUUUGUUUGAAUUCGACAAUGUUAAAUAUAAAAAAAUCCAAAGAAAGAAAGUAUAGCGGCGAAUGAAUGUACGUAAACUCUUUGGGACAAAUUAAUGGAAUUUUUGUUUGAAUUUGAUUAAUUUUAGAUUUAGAAUCUAGAUAAAGAAAAUAUAGUGUCGUAUGAAUGUACGUAACCUUUUUUUUGGGGGGAAAUCAACUAUUUUUUAAAUUCAAAUAAUGUUAAAUAUAAAUAUUGAGAUAAAAGAAAAUAUAGCGCAGAAUGAGUGUACGUAAAUUCUUUGGGACAAAUCAAUGAAAUUUUUGUUUGAAUUCAAAUAAUUUUAAAUCUUUAAAUCUAGAUAACAGGAAAUAUAGUGUAGUAUGAAUGCAUGUAAUUUUUUGGACAAAUCAACUAAAUUUUUGUUUGAAUUCAAAUAUGUUUAGUCUAAAAAUCUUUUGGACAAAAUAUGUUUGAAUUCAACUAUAUUUUUUGGAUAAAAAAAUAUAAUGCAGAAUGAAUGUACGUAAAUUCUUUUGGACAAAUCAACUAAACAAGAACGGACAAAAUAAAUUUCUUUUAUCCCUAUUUUACAUCAUGUGUCCUUGUGGUCGUCACUCAUUUGCAGGUUCAAACAGCGGGCUUCUUAUUAUUUGGUUAGAUUUACCUUUAAUUUUUUCGGUCAGUCUUGAAAUGAUAUUCGUUUGGUGGCUGUACGGGUGGGUGAGCCUACUAGCAGUGGAUGUGCGUUCUAACUUCUAAACCACCAGCCCCUCCUUUUUUCAUUUUAUUUGAGGGACUCUGUGUGCGUCAAUGAAAAAAAUGCAAGGCAAUUUCUGUAGAAAAAAAAUCCAGUGCAGCCGCUACCAGCCACUGACAGUGGCCGCCUGUACGCUGGCACGCCAGGUAAGCGCAAAAUACGGCUGGAUAUGGGAGGAAGCACCGUAUUUGAACUAUCGGACAAGUUCGCUGACCAGAAAUAUAUAUUUUACAAGUUUAUACACUAAACUGACCGUUAACGUGCAAGUUCUAUGACCCAUGAUGUAUUUAGGUCUUGAAUAAAGCCCUAUGCUUCAUUAGAAAGGAAAAACAUGUCACUGUCGAAUUCAAAAGGAAAAACAGGUCACCGUCGAAUAACCCAAAGUUCCAGGACAUCAGCACCCACUGGACAAACAAAUGUGGACGUUCUACUCGCCAAUGAUUCAACAACAUACUAACAGAAAAGACACAUCUGUGCUUACAAGAUUUAAGAUUCCAGCGCGAUAAAAUUACAACAAGACGAGACAGACUCUGUGGUCGGAAAUUUGUAUACAGCUGAAAGCCUGAAACUGCAGCAACAUCUAGGGCGCAAAGCUUGACUGUUGGUGUGUCUAACUAAAAUGAACAAGGGCAUGAACCACUACACACGAGGUGAUGAAGGGGGCAGCUUUGUCUCUAGAGGUCUUUCACCUGACCGUAGGAUAGCCGUCGCCCGUUGAGGAUUGCAGUGGUUGAAGCUUCAGUUUCGUCGGACUUGAAUUUCCACUCUGAAAAUGAACCACCAUACCUGCAUCUCUGCUCAAGGACAACCAGUACUGUAGUUCCAAUUCCCAACACACCCUGAACUUACUUCUACAGAUUAUCACAAUUCCUCUACUAACCUUAGUACACAUCAUUAACUCAACUAGUAAUAAUGUACGUAUUUCCCAGCUCCUGAAUCACUGCUAUGAUAACCACGCCCAUCCAAGUGCAGUAUAAGGAUCAGUCAUGCAAACCAUACCUGCCAGUUUACUGAAACUGAAAUUAUCAGGGAACUCGUGAACCAUCCCCAUUUGCUUGCAUACUGCAGGUCCGGCUUCCAUUACCUACAAUAUCACAGCAUUUUCUAAGGAAGCAGUUACCCACAACAAUUGAACUAGUACAUCUGUUCUAGAGAAUUGUGGUACAUGAGGCCGCCUUUCAUUCAAAGCUUCCUAUACACUCACUUCCCUCUGGGAACGUAAGUAAAGCACUGACCUUGUACAGCUAGGAAUCAGCAAGUUCCUGGAGGAGUCUGACUGACUACAAAAUUACACUUGCCCAGAUUCUUCAUAGCAAAGGAUGCAUUCCAAAGCUUGCCACCACAUUGUGUGACGAUUCGGUAUUCGACUGGACAAUCUGUGCAACUUCUACUCGCUUCAUUCACUGCUACUCAAUGUAAAAUAUUAAGAGACCAUGACAGUUCUAAUGCAAAGGAUACAGAGGAGCUAACUGCAGUCCCCUCCACAUUUUCUCAUCCGGGCUUGGGACCGGCAAAGGCAGUGUUAAACUACUCCUACUUAAACACAAAAAACAGCAAACACUACAAACAAUUAUAUUGAGCUAAGCAUACAAGCCAAGCAACCAACCAAAGGCGGCAUUGGCAUGACACACGAUUGGCAAUAAAUAUUCAUGCCGUGCGGAACAAACAAAGAAUGCCAUAAAUUCCAGAACCUGAAUGGGAGUAACUAAUUUAUCUAGUGGGAUGAGCGUGAUUCCAAUCUUUGCACAGAGAAAGCUUUAGUAGUUCUAUGCCAUUAUAGGGUCAGAGGACCGUAAGGUGUGUUAACAGACUUCCGUGUCUUCAAAAUCUAGGAUUUAUUAUGUAGUAUGACUGUAUGAAACAGAAUGGGUUUAUCUAAUUUCCAAGUUAAGAAUAUGCAAUCGGCAGGUAUCAUCAAAUUAGUAGUUUUGCUAGUUGCCAACUAUUUUAAAACUAGGAAGUUGCCCGAAAACUAAGAAUAUAUGUAAUUAAAGAGAACAUGCGAUUCAAGAUUCAGAAUCCAGAUCAAAUUAGCAAAUUGCUGGAAAAGAAGCUCAAUUAGCCAUUAGAGGACCUAAGAUGUGUGAACGCUGUGAAAUUAUAUAUUUAUAAGAAUAUGUAACUGAAGAUUCCAUAAUCCAUAUCAAAUUAGCAGUUCGGUGAAAAGAAGUUCAAAUUAGCAACUACAGGACCAUAAGAUGUGUGAACACCAUGAAAUUUUAGAUUUAAUAAGAAUAUGUAAUGGAAGAUUCCAUAAUCCAGAUCAAAUUAGCAGUUCGCCAUAAGAGAUAAAAUUAGCCAUCGGAGGACCAUAGAGAUGUGUGAGCGCUUUGUGUCUUCAAAUCCAGGAUGAAUGAAAUACGAAACAAACUGCCAUAUGUUGAAAGUAAUCAGCAGGAUUCAUCAUCAAAUUAGCCAAAGUGUUUAAGAAUCAUCAAAUUAGCCACUGUUUUGCUAGUUGUCACUUUAAAGUAGGAAGUUCCCCAGCAAACCGAGAAUCCAGAUCUCACUGGAGAAGCACCAAUGAGAAGAACAUCACUUCUGAAAAUCAACUCCAUACCAACAAACCAGAAUCAUAUUCAGUGGACAUGAGCGGAGUGUUCAGGGCAAAAAUUUUGUUCAAGCUUCCAGUUCAGAACCUUCCAAUUCCCCAUUGUUUAUAGUAUAUAUAGCAAUAACUCCUAACCUCUUUCUGCAUAUCAAGUCAUCAGUAUUACCCUACUACACAGGAGGCCACUACUGUUAAACCAACACAAGUGCGAGGGUGGGAUCUUUCUUUAUCACCAAAGUUAAAAAUAUGUGCACACCAAAAGUUGAUUUUGUGUCAUAAGAUGAACCCAAAGAAUGUAUAUACAUAAUAUACAUAAACCAAGUGCAAUCAUGUAUAUAUGUAGAAUAGUAGACCAACAAAUCCAAGUGUAACCAAUUCAUGUGUAUAUAUAUAAUAUGCAUUAACAUUUUAACUGCAUUCAGAGCUCAUGUACAUGCGAUCUUUUACUUCCUACUACGUGAUAUAUUUGCAAAUUGAAAGAUACAAGCAGCCAAAUAUCAAAACAAAACUUCCUGAAACAGUAUGGUAACCAGGUAAUUAAUAGCCAAACCAAACUUUGAUAAUCUGCUAUACAGACUGAGUACGAACUGAUAUUUCCAUUUUGGAAGACUUCUAGCAUUUUCUUGAUUCGAGCAAAAGAUGAGAUCAUAUUCCAUCCAAGUUGGAAGAGGAUACCGUAACCAGUAAGAUUUUUUUUUAUCAUAUACCGUAACCAGUAAGAUGGCACAACAGAAACCUAGUAAGAUGCUUCAGGACAGUUGAAAGAAUCAGAUGCACACACUACCAACUCCAAGCUGCACCAAAGAUAUGAGGCCACUGAAUGCAAGUUCAAACUGAAAACUACCACAAAGACCAUAUCAUUAUGCUUCAGGAUCAGUAAUCAGAGGUCAAAACCAUCAGGGAAGUCCAUUUGCUUCACCAAGUCCCCGCGCUAACUGACUAUCCAACUCUACAAUCUUGCAAUAAAACCUCCAACAAUGCAAAUCAAUUAACGGCCCAAAUAUAAUCAGCAUACUUCAAGUUUCUUCAAGGAAAGUCAGACCAUAGUGAAAUCUGGUAAAUCAGUUGAAACAAGCAUGGAGUCCAGGUGUAAGUUUUUGUGGUUGAAGGAAGAUUCCAAACGAAGAUCCCAAACAGCCAUUAGACAAACAUAAAUCGAAGAACUUAAUGUAUAGCCACUCAAAUCUGACGUCACCAAGCACAGUUGAGGAAUCCAGUAAACCAGUGUGACCAAGCAUGGGAAACUGACCUGCCUCGAGUCCCCUUCACCAUACGUUCACACACCACAUGGAGCUUCACUCCCAAACCAGAUCAAGAUCCAGUACUGCGAUAACAAAUGAAACAAACAGACUGUCUACGAGACACUGACCUCCAUGUACAGAGCAAAGGUUUGGGCCCAAACUCCUAAUAACAAUUACUUGGCCAACCCACACACAAGACCAAGAGAACACAGGGAUCAAGAGUACAGAUAACAAGCAUGGAGAGCUAGUCAUUGCCCACAUGGCCUGGGAUAAAGAAAAAUCUGCAACCAUAGGAAGGGCAGGGGCAAAAACCUAUAUCAGAGAGAUGGCCAAGUAACUACAUGAAAAAUAAAAUAGGAAGGUAAGAAUCUUUUUCGGUUGUAGGAUGUGUCAUUAGUUGAAAGCUCUGGAUUAUCCUUAUAUUCGUGCUGCAUAUGAAUCUGUAUUUAAAAUAUUGUCUAGUAAGAUAAGUUAUAGGUUAUGUAUAAGUUACAAUGAAUUGAAACGACACUAGUAGAUUUAGAAGAUCAGUAGACGGAUUCAUCGUCAGGCUGGACAGGAGUUCGUCAACUACAUCCUGCAGCGAGCAAGAGACCGUUUCUAUAAAAAAAUUGUUAGGGGAAAUGCUGCUUAUAAAUAGCAAAAGCAUGAAUGAUGAGUGGGAACAAGUAAAGCCUGUCUAGGGUCAGGUAUGGAUGAUGGAGGACAACAACGCCAGUUCCAAACUGAAGUUAUAUCCUUUCCAAGUCAGUAUCUGCAAGAGCUGAUAAUUACCAAGGCAAAGAGAACCUAAUGUCUAGAGUUCAAUUAGAGUAAAAAAGGUUGAAAAAGUUUUAGCCACAGAAGGAACCGCCAUGCCGAGGAAAAAUAGGACCGCCUACUAAGCCAUAUCAUUCCAAUUUCUGGAGAGCCACCAAGAAAUAGUUUAAAUCAGAAUUGUGGAGAACCAAAACAGAACAGUGGAGACGAAAGAGUAAAACAGAGGGAGUGAUAAUUAUCCAAAUGCAGAGCAGCAAGAUGCGUCGCUCCCGCUAAGCCAUAUAAUUCCAAUUUCUGGAGAACCACGAACAUAUCCAAAUAUCCUGCACAUAGGCUCAGACUUCCUAAAUAUAUCCUGCAACUGAUACACGCAGAAGACCAGCACAGGAAUCAAGAGUACAAACCAAACGAUUUUAACAGAUUCCGACUCACUACCAGCAUGGUUUGGGAUUAAUCUGCAACCAAAUGGAGGGUAGAAGGAAAAACCUAAAUCAAAGACAUGAACAAGUAGCUACGUGAAACAAAAAUAAGAGGUGAGUUAAAACUGGAGCAGCCUUUUUCACUGUAAGAUGUUCCAUUAGUUUGAAUCUCCAUUGUUGAACCUUGGCAGAUAAAUCUGAAUUCAAAAUAUUGUCUGGUAAGAUAAUUUUAAAGGCUGACUAAGUUCUGAUGAAUUGAGAAAAUAGUUGAUUUAGAAGAACUGCAAACAGAUUCAAGUCGGCAUCAGGUUGGACGAGUUCAUCAAGUACGAUCUGCAACGAGGAAGAUACCUUUCUAUAAGUUACAAGAGGAAAACUAGGCUCAGCUAAAGCAUGCAUCAAAUGUUGAGGUAAAGGGUAAGUAAGCCUGUCUUGGCCGGAAAGUCAGGUAGACAACACUGGUUCCAAUUAUUUCGCCCCCAAGUCAGCAUCUGCACGAGCUGAGAAUUACCAACCAAGGCAAAGAAAAUAACAUUUUGAAAGUUCAAUUAUCAAGGGAGGAUAAAAGGUCGGAUAUGUUGGACCACAGAAAGAACCACCAUGCCGAGGAAAAAUGGGUCACCCGCUAAGCCAUAUAAUUCCAAUUUCUGGAGAACCAGCAGAAAUUCUAAAUCAGAAUUGUCGGGCAACUAAUUGAGCUAUGGAGAAGAAAUUGUCGGGCCUUAGGCAUUUGCCCGAAGAUCUUGAACCGAGGGUAGGAGGUCAGAGAUCUCCACGGCAGCGCCUCCAAACCGCUGCCGAUGAGCAACAACGGGGCAGGUCUUCACCCGGAGCAUCUCGAACACCACCUCCACGCGCCGCAAUCCGCUCACCCGCUCGCCUCCCAUGCAACAACCGCGCUAUCGCCGUAUGGGAGCCACCACGUAUCUCGCCGGCACCAUGUCGGGCCAGAUCCGGCCGCAACCGGAUCACCAUCUAGCCUCACGCCGGAACCCCGGCUGCCUUCAGCCACCAAACGGACGAGGCCGCCGGGCUAGCAAGCCAGCCAGAUUUGCAGCACCAAGCCGGGAGGGGGCGUGCCACCCUGCCCCAUCCCGCAGUGUGGAGCUGCCGACCCGAAGCACAGGCAGCCCGCAGCAGCCGCUACACCGCCAAGAGGGCGCCGUCGAACAUGCGUAAGCCGCCGACUGCCACCCCAUCUUCCAGAUCCAUGCGCCAGGAGCCACCAAGCCGCCACCAUCCGCCGGAUCCACAGCGGCAGGAGCUGCCAGUGCACCACCGAGACGCUGCCGAGCCGAGCACCACCAUCCCGCGCAGACCGCAGGCAACGCUCGUCGUCGCGCCGGAUCCGCACCUGGCCGCGCCCGCCCACAGCUCCGCGACGCAAAGGGAGACGGCCGCCGCCAGGAGCAGUCCUCCCGCCGCCGGCACCGCACGGGCUUUGCCCGAUGGUGGCCGGGGGGAGGGGGGAGGUGGCCGCUGGUUAACGGCUGGGGCGCCCCAAUGCCACCCGGGUGCGAGAGGCAAAAUAGUGCCAUACUUGCGGCGAUUUGGAUGAGAAGAAGAUGAUGUACUCCCUCCAUUCGAAAUUACUUGUCGCGGAAAUGGAUGUAUCUAGACGUAUUUUAGUUUUAGAUACAUCCAUUUCCGAGACAAGUAAUUCUGAACGGAGGAAGUACGUAUAUCCUAAGAAGUCUAUCGAUAUUUUUGUUAUUCAUGGAUCAAUGCAUUUUGGUCCUAUGCUUUAGAAAGGAAAGACAGUUUGAACCCCACAACGGUUAGGGUCACUUAUGCCGAAUAAUCCAAAAGUUCCAGGACAUCAGCAUCCACUCGACAAACAACUGCGGACAUUCUACUCGCCAAUGAUUCAACAACGUAUAUUAACAUCUGCGCUGAUCAAAUAUUUAAGAUACAGCGCGAUGAAAUUACGAGACGAGACAGACACUGUUGUUGGAAUUUGUAUACAGCCGAAACUGCAGCUAACAUCUACAGUAGUGCGCAAAGCUUGACUGACGGUGUGUCUAACUGAAAGAAACAAGGGCACGUACCUCUACACACGAGGUGAUGAAGGACGUCUCCAGAGGGGAUCGCAGCAAGGCCGGUCCUGAGGUUUUGAGAGCCCGGGCGAAACUCAAACUCGGGGCCCUUUAAUAUAGACAUCAUGACAAUAAAAUUGUUGGUCUGGCAAACGGCGGUUUCCUGAAAAUGGCAACAACAUCGGUCGAUUUUCCUAAGGAGAACACGAGGCGUGAACGGGAGUGACGUGGCCGACCGCAGCAGCUGGGCAAGGCCCACGUUGUCGCGGGUAGCAGGGUCUCGGGGGUAGACACCAGGCCGAAAAAGAGGGGUAGUAGAGUGAUGGUCGGAACGGCGGCAGACCGACAACGCACGAGGUGGCUAUAGCAAGCCGGCGCGUCAGCGUAACACAAGCUGAGGGUGAUGGUGGACAGCAGUACAUCCAGGGACGGAGUUAGAAAAUUGGCAUGGAGGGGGCUAGACUAUAAGCAAUUGGCUUUAUUAUUUUUAUUAAUUACCUCUCUUCCUAAUCGUGUCUUCCAAGUACAAAUGGAUAACUGAAAAUUUCCUAAUUAAUUAUUGAUGUUUGUAACUUCUAAAAUUCAUCCCACUUCUGUAGUUUUAUAGUCACAAAUUAAUCUAAUGUAAAAAAUAGAGCUGAGGCGCAAUCAAAUUAGAUAUAGCGUAAACUAACCUUUCUUCCUUAGACCAUCACUGUCAUGCUUAUUCGUGUGGGUGACACCAGCCGGCCGGCCAUGCGUGGUGCCCCUGCAGUUCUGCAUUGCUGCCCUUCUCACCCUCUAUGGAUCCACUGGUAUCAGCUUGAUCAGGCGCUCUGCUGAAUCGAUGUCCAUUGGCAGGCAGUCGGCGAACGUGCGUUUGUGCGUGUGCUACAAGGACUUGGAGUCCAGAUCGCGGAGAACGGAGUUGCGGACUUCAUCGGCGACUCGGCGUCGGCGCAUCGCGACUCCACCUGCGACUCUCGGUCGCGGCCAGUCAGCUAGGGUUAACCUGAAUCGGGAUCGGGAAGAAGAAUCGGGCCACCCGCGACUCACGAAGACACCGUGUGAUCGGUGUAAUCAGCGGCUACAUGCCUUCCUAGCCCAUGGGCUACCUGCCUACGUAACAGGCUUUUGGGGGGCCCUGGAUUUGGGGGGCCCGGGGCGGCCGCCCCCCCUGCCCCCCCCUCAGGGCCGGCCUCGCAGUGGUUGAAGCUUCUUCAGUUUUGUCGGACUUGAAUUUCUACUCUGAAAAUGAACCACCAUAUAUCUGCAUCCCUGACUUUCUUAUGGGCGCAAAAUGAGAUUGUGUGAACGGUAACCACAACUUGACAAGGACAACCAAUAAUGUACGUAUUUCCGAACACGCCCUGAACUUGCUUUUACAGAUUACAAAAAUUCCUCCGCUAACCUCAUUAACUCAACUUGUAAUAAUGUACUCGUAUUUCCCAACUCCUGAAUCACUGCUAUGAUUACCACUACCAUCCAAGUGCAAUAUCAGGACCAGUCACGCAAACGUACCUGCUAGUUUACUGUAACUGAAAUUAUCAGGGAACUCUGUGAACCAUCCCCACUUGCUUGCAUCUGCUACCCUUUUACCCUACUGCGGAUCUCUUGUCCAGCAAUACCACAGCAUUUUCUAGGAGACCUUUCAUGCAAGGCUUCCUACACACUCACGACUUCCCUUCGGGGAAGGUAAGUAAAACACUGACCUUGUACAGCUAGAAAUUCAGCAAGUUGUUGACAGUCCCGACUAACCAAAAUUACCCUUGCCCAGAUUCUUCAUAGCAAAGGUCUGUGCAGCUUCAGUAUUCGACUAGGACAGUCUGUGCAGCUUCUACUCGCUUAAUUCGCUGCUACUCAAUGUAAAAUAUUUGGGCACCAUGACAGUUCUAAUGCAACCGAUACAGAGGAGCUAACUGCAGUUCCCUCCACAUUUUCUCAUCCGGGCUUGGGACCGGCAAAGGCAGUGUUAAACUACUCCUACUUAAAACACAAAAAUUAGCAAACACUACAAACAAUUAUUCAGGUAAGCAUACAAGCCACGUAAUCAACCAAAGGAAGCACUGACACCACACACGAUUGGCAAUAAAUAUUCACGCAACAUUUUCGGAAGAUCAUCACACAGACAUAGGGCACAAACAAAGAAUGCCAUAAAUUCCAGAACCUGAAUGGGAGUAACUAAUUACACUAGUGGGAUGAGCGCGAUUCAAGUCUUUGCACAGGGAAAGCUUUCGAAGUUUUAGCCAUUAUAGGGUCAGAGGACUGUAAGAUGUGUGAACAGAUACUUCUGUGUCUUUAAAAUCUAUAUAUAGGAUUUAUUAUUUAGUAUGAAACAGAAUGGGUUUGUCCAAGUUUCAAGUUACGAAUAUGCAAUCGGUAGGAAUCAUCAAAUUAGUACUUCUGCUAGUUGCCAACUAUAUUAAAACUAGGAAGUUGCCAGAAAACUAAGAAUAUAUGUAACUCAAGAGAAUAUGUGGUUCAAGAUUCAGAAUCCAGAUCAAAUUAGCAGUUCACCGGCAAAGAAGGUCAAUUAGCCAUUAGAGGAUGUGUGAACGCUAUGAAAUUAUAGAUUUAAGAAUAUGUAAUUGAAGAUUCCAUAAUAAUCCAUAUCAAAUUAGCAGUUUGACAGUAAAGAAGGUCAAAUUAUCCAUUAGAUGACCACAAGAUGUGUGAACGAUAUGAAAUUGUCUAUUUAAUAAGAAUAUGUAAUGGAAGAUUCCGUAAUCCAGAUCAAAUUAGCAGUUUGCCGUAAAGAGAUCAAAUUAGCCAUUGGGGGACCGUAGAGAUGUGUGAGCAUUUUGUGUCUUUAAAUCCAGGAUGAAGUACGAAACAAACUGCCAUAUGUUGAAAGUAAUCAGCAGGAUUCAUCAUCAACUUAGAGUGUGUUCAGGAAUCAUCAAAUUGGCCAGACUGUUCUGCUAGGUGUCAAUUUAACCAAACCGAGAAGAUGCAUUGAAGAAUCCAGAUCUCACUGGAGAAGCACCAAUGAGAAGAACAUCACUUCUGAAAAUCAACUCCAUACCAACAAAGCAGAAUCAUAUUCAGUGAACAUGUUCAGGGCAAAAUAUUUGUUCAAGCUUCCAAGCUCAGAAGCUUCAACUAUCUAUUGUUUUAGCAUAUAUAGCAAUAACUCCUAACCACUUUAUGCAUAUCAAGUCAUCAUUAUUACCCAACUACAGGAGGCCAACCAACACAAGUGCGAGCGUGGGAUCUUUCUUUAUCACCAAAGUAAAAAAUAUGAGCACACCAAAAUUUGAUUUUGUGUCAUAAGAUGGACCUAAACAACGUAUAAUCAUGGACAACAGUAUGUAGAAUAUGACAAAUCCAAGUAUGACCAAUUCAUAUAUAUAUAUAUACAUAUAUAUAUAUAUAUAUAUAUAUAUAUAUAUAUAUGCAUUAACAAUUUUUACUGUGUUCAGAGCUCAUGUACAUACGAUCUUUACUUCCUAUUGGGUGAUAAAUUUGCAAGUUGAAAGAUACAAGCAGCCAAAUAUCACACUUCCUGAAACAGUAUGGUAACCAGGUAAUUUAUAGUCAAAUCAAACUUUGAUAAUCUGCUAUACAAACUGAGUAUGAACUGAUAUUUCCAUUUCGGACCCUUAUUUGAGACUUCUAGCAUUUUCUUGAUUCGAGCAGAAGAUGAGAUCAUAUUCCAUCCAACCACAUGCAAGUUGAAGAAGAUACCAUGACCAGUAAAAUGGCAGAACAGAAACCAAGUAAGAUGCUUCAGGACAGUUGAAAGAAUCAGAUGUGCACACUACCAACUCCAAGCUGCACCAAAGAUAUGAGGCACUGAAUGCAAGUUCAAACUGAAAACUACCACAAAGACCAUGGCAUUAUGCUUCAGGAUCACUAAUCAGAAGUCAAAACCAUCAGGGAAGCCCAUUUGCUUUCACCAAGUCCCAGUGCUGACUGACUACCCAACUCUACAAUCUUGCAAUAAAACCUCCAAUAAUGCAAAUCAAUGAACGGCCCAAAUAUGACAGGCAUACUUAUCUUCAAGGAAAACCAGACCAUAAUGAAAUCUGGGAAAUCAGUUGAAGCAAGCAUGGAGUCCAGGUUUAAGUUUUUGUGGUCAAGGAAGACUCCUCCAUCCAGAACGAAGCUCCCAAACAGCCAUCAGACAAACAUAAAUCAAGGAACUUAAGGUAUAGCCACUCAAAUCUGACGUCACCAAGCACAGAUGAGGAAUCCAGUAAAUCAAUGUGACCAAACAUGGGAAACUGACCUGCCUCAAGUACCCUUCACCGUUCACACACCAUAUGGAGCUUCAUUUCCAGACCAGAUCGAGAUCCAGUCCUGCAAGCUAAAUUGUAGAGGAGGCCAUAACAAAUUAAACAAACAGACCGUCUACAAGAAUCUGACCUUACUCCAUGUACAGAGCAAAGGUUUGGGCGCAAACUCCUAACUAUUAUAUCUUGCCAACCCACACUCGCAGAAGACCAAGAGAGCACAGGGAUCAAGAGUACAGAUAACAACCAUGGAGAGCUAGUCAUUGCCCACAUGGCCUGGGCUAAAGAACAAUCUGCAACCAUAGGAAGGGCAGGGGCAAAAACCUAUAUCAAAGAGAUGGCCAAGUAACUAAUAAAUGAAAUAAAGAAAAUAGGAAGGUAAGAGUCUUUUUCGGUUGUAGGAUGUGCCAUUAGUUGAAAGCUCUGGAUUAUCCUUAUAUUUUUUUUGCAUAUGGAUCUGUAUUUAAAAUAUUGUCUUAUAAGAUAUUUCAUAGGUUAUAUAAGUUAAAAGAAUUGAAACGAUACUAGUAGAUUUAGAAGAUCAGUAGAUGGAUUCACCGGGUUGGAAAGGAGUUCUUCAACUACAACCUGCAGCGAGCAAGAGGCCUUCUCUAUAAAUUUUUGGUUAGGGGAAAUGCUGCUUAUAAAUAGCUAAAGCAUGGAUGAAACAAUGUGGGAACAAGUAAAAGCCUGUCUAGGGUCAGGUAUGAAUGAUGGACGACAACACCGCCAGUUCCGAACUGCAGUUUCCUUUCCAAGUCGGUAUCUGCAAGAGCUGAGAAUUACUAAGGCAAAGAAAACCUAAGGUCUAGAGAGUUCAAUUAUAGAGUAAAAAAGGUUGAAAAGUUUUAGCCACAGAAGGAACUGCCACGACGCAAAAUAGGACCGCCUUCUAAGCCAUAUUAUUCCAAUUUCUGGAGAGCCACCAACAAAUAGUUCAAAUUAGAAUUGUGGGAAACCAAAACAGAACAGUGGAGACGAGAGAGUAAAAGAGAGGGAGUGAUAAUUAUCCAAACGCAAAGCAGCAAGAUGUGUCUCUCCGCUAAGCCAUAUAAUUCCAAUUUCUGGAGAGCCAACAUAUCCAAAUAUAUAUCCUGCGGCCCAGACUUCCUAAAUAUAUCCUGCAACUGAUACACGCAGAAGACCAGCACAGGGAUCAAGAGUACAAACAACAAAUCGAUCCAGAGAGAGAGAUAGACCGCAAACCAAAUGAUUUAACAGAUUCCGACUCACAACCAACAUGGUUUGGGCUCAAUCUGCAACCACCAAAGGGAGGGUAGAAAGAAAAACAUAAAUUAAAGACAUAAACAAGUAGCUACGUGAAACAAAAGAUAAGAGGUGGGUUAAAAUAGUCUUUUUCAUUGUAGGAUGUUCCAUUAGUUUGAUUCUCCUUUGUUGAACCUUUGCAGAU